AUGAACAGUGAAAACAAUCAAUUACCGUUAAUUAUCACUGAAAUGGAAAAAAGUACGGGCGAAGUUAUACAGCUGAUCCCCAACUCGAAACAAAGCAUCCAACCUAAAUCGCUUCUGCGACUGGGUGUAUUUGUUCCGACCCUGAAAGAUGGCUCUGAUUCCAUGUCCAGAGGACAUCACAUCGACGCCACCAGGGAGUUGUGCAGAAUGUCCUCUCUCUCCGGAGAAGGUUACGAGAAGAUCAGCAUUUUCGGCCCGCGCCUUGAUAUGGAUACUGAUUUUAAGGUCUGGUUAGGGAUUGUGGAUUCACUGACCAAUAAGUACCUGGAAAAGGACGGCACUGUACGAAUGAAUUUCAUUGAUUUUGCAUGCAGCUGCGGACUGGCGACAAAGCGUGUCGACUCCCGGUUACGCAAGCGAUUCAGUGACUCUCUGACGCGAAUUCAGCAUACGCAUUUCCAGUUUAUAAAGCCGUCUUCGGUUGAAGGCAAAAAAAUCAAAAUUGAUAUGAGUCUGGUCUCUACCUCUUACUAUGAUGAGGGAACCGAUGAGGUCAUCAUCAGGCCAAACCCGGACCUGAACACCCUCUACCAGGUCGAUGGUAAAACCAGGCUAUACCUUAAAAUUCUGAAAACCCUGGCACGAAAAGAGUCAGCACAGGCGCUGUACCUGUACCUUGUGGAGUUACCGGAUAACUUCUAUCGCAUUGGCUUUGACCGACUAAGGGAACGGCUGCAACUCACUGCACACAAAGGCUCUCAGAAUGCCACCAUCAAACGGGCACUGGAGCAACUGGAAGAAGCUGGCUUCCUGAAGUAUUCGAUCGAGAAAUCCCGUGGCGAUUAUGUGCUUGUCAUUCUAAACAGAAAUAAGAAAAUAGCCUGACUACUCCCGCUCUUAGCUGGCUACCACAUACAUCCCUUCUUCUCGUGCCCCCCGCACAGAUCUGAUAUCAGGUGGCAAUCAGCCACCAGCGUUGAUACCCGUGGGCGUUACAGGCCCCGUUUACCCGCCAGCGAUGAUAUCUGUGGUCGCUUCAGGCCCGGUUUACCCGCCAGCGAUGAUACCCGUGGCCGCUUCAGGCCCCGUUUACCCACCAGCGAUGAUAUCUGUGGUCGCUUCAGUACCCGCCAGCGUUGAUACCCGUGGGCGUUACAGGCCCCGUUUACCCGCCAGCGAUGAUAUCUGUGGUCGCUUCAGGCCCGGUUUACCCGCCAGCGAUGAUACCCGUGGCCGCUUCAGGCCCCGUUUACCCACCAGCGAUGAUACCCGUGGGCGUUACAGGCCUCGUUUACCCGCCAGCGGUGAUACCCGUGGGCGUUACAGGCCCGGUUUACCCGCCAGCGAUGAUACCCGUGGCCGCUUCAGGCCCCGUUUACCCGCCAGCGAUGAUACCCGUGGGCGAUGCAGAACCGGUUUACCCGCCAGCGGUGAUACCCGUGGGCGUUACAGGCCCGGUUUACCCGCCAGCGAUGAUAUCCGUGGCCGCUGCAGAGCCGGUUUACCCGCCAGCGAUGAUAUCCGUGGCCGCUGCAGAGCCGGUUUACCCGUCAACGAUGAUAUCUGCGGCCGAUGCAGAACCGGUUUACCCGCCAGCGGUGAUAUCCAUGGGUGUUACAGGCCCCGUUUACCCGCCAGCGGUGAUACCCGUGGGCGUUACAGGCCCCGUUUACCCGCCAGCGGUGAUACCCGUGGGCGUUACAGGCCCCAUUUACCCGCCAGCGGUGAUAACUUUAGGUUAAGUACUUGACAGAAAGGGGGGAAAUGUCUGAGCGACCGUUUUACUUGUUCCGGUCAUUGAGGAGAAACCAGUCAUGAAAAGCCUGUUUGUCAUCAAAGCCAGGCAUGUUAUGGAUAGACAUGUUCCAGUUGAUUAUUUUGACGAUGAACCCUAUGAAUGCCAGUUCAGCAUCAUUCAGUUCACCAUCACCUCUUUUACGUAAAAAAAAGUCGUACCAACGUUCGUAAGCCGGGACAUUGAUAGAUUCUGAAGCCUCAAGCAGGCGUGGGAUAAAAUAUACCAGCUCAUCAAACGCUUUACUUCCUGGAGGUAUAUCGGCACGGCUUAAGCUACAGAGAAGGUUUAUAGUGCACCUUAAAUGAUGCCACUGCAGAGACGGUGACGACGGUAAUACAUUCAUGCUUAUCGGCAAUUCAUGCGGGAUCAGCGCAAGAAGCUGAUUACCGCUGCUGGUGAACUCCCUCUUGUACUGGUGUAAGGCUUCAGGCUUAACCCUUUUCAUCAUUGGAUGGUAGAUCCAUUUUUUCGCUUCCUCAGAAACGAAAAGUAACUUUUCUACCGCAUCCAUCAGCUUUAUGCCUUCUCCCUUCUCCCGGUAUGGAGCGACGAUGCUUUCUAUUCGAACCGCGUCUAUCUCAACCAGCGCCAGCUGGCCGGUCUGGGCUAACAGGUCUGGAUUUGGCUGGAUGUCCUCAGCGGUAUCAUUGAUGAAGAUCCCGAUAGUUGUGUCAUUACACUGUCCGAUAAGGUCAGCAUUCAGCCCGCAUACAAUCCCACCAGCGGUGAUGUUUUUCAGUGUGACAACACCUUUUUCCUUACCGUGCAAAAGGUGUGGAAGAGCCAGGAAUUUUUUCUCCUGUAUCUUCAUCUGAAUGUAUUUUUUGAAAUGUUGUAAGGUCAGUUCACUGCAAACGCCUUUAACAUCCGUGGAGUGGCUGAAAUGCCAUUUUUUACUUUGUCCCUGUCUGGCUAUCAGUGACGUGCCACAGAUGAGGCAAAUACAGUUGCACGAAAGACCAUUUUCAACACUGGCAAUAUCAACAAUUUGAUUGGUGUCCUUAUCAAAACCAAAUGGGAUCCACUUUCGUGCAUUGCGUUUCAUGUUGGCUCCUCGUUUUAUGCAGAUAAAAUAUUCUACAUCAACUGGUUUACUCAAACCGGAGAUAACAUGAUUAACUAAAGAAUUAUUUAAAUAUCAUCAGGGAUUAGACUCCAUACAGAAGCAGGUAUUUUGUCAUAUAUUUUUUUCAUAUAAAUUUCAGCUCUUCGGUGGUCAUACGCACCAUUCAGACUGGUAAUUUCGUUUAUUGCGCCGCCUUCAUCAUUUAAUUUAUCCAGGAUACGUUCGAAAACUUUAUCAAGGGUUUCUGUUGUGCUGCAUUUUCUGAACUUCAGAAGAUAAACUUCUCUGAGGUUGCUUUCAGCUUUAGGGCUUUUCAACAACGUUGCUCCAGGACAUGUUUAGAACUCUCAAUAUGCUCGAAACAAUAAAUGAAUCCCCACAGACUGGCAAGUCAGGUAUUUAUGGUUUUUUGUGAUUGUUCCUGGCUUUGAACAAAAAUACUGUUAGUAUACUGUUUAUAAAACCAGUACUGUUAAAAGACAUGAGAUCUUCCAUGACAGAUAAAACUAAGCUGAUAGCCCUUUCUCGUCCCGAUGACAUGAGCGCACUGGAUGCGCUUAAGCUGUUACGUUUCCGACGCUACAACACGGCAAGAAGCCAGUUAAGGACCACCCGUGUCUGGUCGUCAUGGUGUGCCAAAAAUGGCCUGACGCCCUUCCCUGUGACGGCUGUUGAUGUUGAGCGUUAUAUCAACGGGCUGAAUGGUUCCGUCAAAAUGGCGACCAUUUCUCAUUUCAUUGCGUGCCUUUCGAGUGUUAACGGGAGCCUCGGGUUCCCUGACUUCCGCAACGUUCUUAUUAAGGCGCUUGUCCAGGUCUGGCGGGCGCGGGAAAAUGAGAAAAAAGUGAUUACCGGUCAGGCGCUCCCCUUUAUGGUUGCAGACCUUAAUAUACUCCGUCGGGCCCUUCAGAAGAGCGACGACAUCAGGGAUAUCCGCGAUCUGGCUAUGAUCUGGGUUGGUUUUGAAACGCUGCUGCGCAACGUGGAAAUCCGGAGGAUUAAAACCGGUGACCUCAAAUGGCAAAAUGACAAUGACUGUUACCUUCUGGAUGUAAUGCGGACCAAAACAAGCCUGUCGAGCAACCUGACGUUUCAACUUUCGCCACAGUGCAGCCGACACGUCAGGCGACUGAUUGAAACGGUGGAGUAUACGGAUACAGAAACCUUCGGGAACCGUUACCUGUUUCAACCUGUCAACGUCCAUACAAACCGGUAUUUUCCGGCCACCAGCAGUAAGCUGUCCAGAGGCAAAUCUAUAGAUAACAUGCUCCUGAAGGCUGGCUUCAAUCAGUCGUUGCUCACUCAGCUGCAGAAGGACUCACAGGUCACACGAGAGGAUGUCGGUAUUCUGUCCUCCAAUUCACUGAACCAGGCAUUUUCGCGCCUGUGGGAUAUAGCCGGUAAAGUGGGUGAUAACCGGCAGUCUGGCCGGUACAUUAAGUGGACAGGGCACAGUGUGCGAGUCGGGGGGGCUAUUGAACUGUUCAGGGACGGAUACACUCUGGAGAAAAUUACGGAGAUGGGGAACUGGUCUGAUCCGAAAAUGGUUUUCCGGUAUAUCAGGGCAUACCUUGCCAGUGAAAAAGCCAUGGUGAGCUUUAUGCGCAAUCAUCUUGACGAUAUAUAACCAUAGCCCGGGGAUGCCUGUAAACAGGUGUUAACGUGCUAUGGGGUUAAUGAAACGUCGUUAAAUAUUAAUCUCCUUUAAACCGGUUAAUACAAAAUUACCUUUUUCAGAUAGAGUGUCGAAGUCAUUCAGACUGAACUCAUGGGUAUGAAACCAGACAACACGACACGUAGGACAGGUAACCGGUAAUUCAUCUUCGCCUAUUUUCUCGCAAUUAUGGAUAAUUUCACCCUGCUCAUUCCUGUCGAUAUUAUAACCACUUGUGCAGAGUGUUUCAUACCCAUGUGCACCUGUGACAAUAUGAGUGGCUGUUCUUUCUUUAACCUCUCCAUUUAUUUUUAUCUGUUCGCGGGUGGUAAUUGUUCGUUUAUUGUUCACUGUGCCUCCUGAACGAAUGUGGUAAUAUUAUGAUACUAAUCUUGUAUUAACUCUUUCUUCGGUCGGGGAAACGCCUCAGGAAGGACCACGCGAUCAAGAAAUUUAAAAAGCUCAUCACCUUUCAGAAACGUUCUUGAACGGAGUUCAUUUACCAUAUCGUUGUGUACCGAGCGAUUAAUGUCAAAAAAAAGAUCAAGCAUUAACUGCUGCUCCGCUUUGAGAGCUAUCAAUUUACUCUCAUUAUGCUCUACCUGUUCUUUCGUUUUUGGAUGCAUGUGAUAUAUGCCACGGGUAAGGUUAGACAGAUAAGAGUCUGCUGUUUUCAACCAUCGGGCAUGAUCAUUGGAGCUCCCUAAUGAUUCAUGACCGGUAUGUGAGCGUUCCCCGGCAUUCCCGGCCAACAGUAACAGCAUGAACCAUUCAGCCAUUGUUUUUUCAUCAAGGUUAUGAGGCUUUAAGCCAUCCUGUACAUAACCCAGUGAGCCCGAAUUAUCCGCUUUAGCCUUAGCCACGACCAAAAGAUUUGAUGGGUACUCAUCAAAAGCAGCGUAUACCAUCGCAUGACCCGCUUCAUGUGCGGCGAUAAAUAACCGGUCCUGAACCGUAACCCUGGUCGUUACAGGAGUGCCGUAAGAAUAGUUGCCAUGAUCAUGCCGCAAGGGAUUGCAAUAUGAUAUGCCGGUUUUCGAACAGGUUAAAAUAAAUUGAGUGAGAGCAAUGACAAAUAACACACUAAUAGCCAGGUUCGGUGUAUCGAUGAGCUUGUCACCGAAAAUGCCAAUGGCAGACAGAACAGCAAUAUACGCGGUAGACCCGUAUAACAAUGAGGGGUAUGUGUUCGGGGAAAGAUAUAAUGGAUAAAUAAGUAUACAGAAAAGUCCACUAAUCAUAACAAAUUUCUGGACUAACACCGCGUCAUAGUGUUCUGGGGUGCGGAAUAAAUGCAGAGACACCCACAUUAUUAAGCUGCAUGCUCCCAGCCGUCCUGUUUCCUUCAGUAUGCGGCCGUAAGGAAGAAAGACAAAGAAAUGCCUUAACUGUCUCCAGAAUCGCUUCUGGCGAGUUUCACGAAGAAAAUUUUCAAAUAAUUUCAUUAUUUAUCGCUUUUGCUCUGCCUUUUCGGUUUUCCGUUGUUUUUUCAUUCUCCGUUUUUCCUUGAUACCCGCCAGGGUGUAAAGAACAACUGAAGCAAUGAAAUUUACCAGCGCAGCAAAUUCUACCCCCAGAUGAAUCACUGCCGGUGUGAUGGGUAAGAAUAAAGCCACAAGAAGCAGAAUAAAUGAAAUGAUACACCGUAAGGCCUUCCCUUCCCUACCGUCACCCUGAUUAUUAUGGUUCGCACCGGCACCGAUUUUGCUUGUCAAAAAAUUCAGGCCGUACGCACACAGGGCGGUUACGACCAUGAAAAUUGCAUAAUUCAUUAUUCCUCCUGGGGUUUUAAUCUCAGCCUGACCACAUUGACCAGUUUCUUAAUGCCGUCCUCGCCUGGAACAAACACAUAGCGAUACCUCGGCCAUGUAGUGUGAGUAAAAACCUCACCAGCUGUUUUCAUAUCAAGUGGCAAGAAUCUUUCUGUCAUGCUCUCUGGUAAUUUAUCUACGGAGAUCAUCCCUUUCCUGAAACUUUUAACCAUCAGAGCAAGCGGGGUUUUGCAAUUUUUAUUACUCAUGGUUUCUGUGUAACGGAUCAUCCCUCCCAUCGUGACCUGAACUUUACCGAGUUCACAAUCAAACAAUGGCAUCACAGGCCAGAAAGGAAUUUCAAGACUCGUGCUGGUCAGAGCUUGUUCGUAGCCCUGCUCACUGGUUUCCACCGUUGUGUUAAGUCCCGGGAACAGAGCAUGCAUAAACCGGAUGACCUUGACCACCCCGGGUGUACUGGCUUUGCGCUGAUAGAUAUCAGGCAACCACGGCGAUGUACUGGCCCAUAAGGUAGUUGAGGCAUAGACCUGUUUCUCCAUAUGCCACAGAAGGGAGGGAUCCGACAGAAAAUGAUGGACUGUAAGCAACUCAGCCAGGAAUCUGUCUUCACUCGGUUGUGUCAUGGCAUGUUUAAAACUGAUCUGAACCCGGAAACGUUCCUUAGCGUUCAGAAACGAUAUUCCGCGACUGACCGCAACCUCGUAUCGCCUGUUGGCCGGGUCCGCAUGACAAAUACCGGUUAAAAUCCGGUUCAUGCCAACUCCUUAAUCACUUCUACCAGCCCGAUGCGGGGCAGGACAGAACGAUAUUUUUCUUCAAAAUUCCCGCGCUUCUGCCUUUCACCUUUUUCGUAAUCUUUUAACGGGUUAAAGCGGCCCGGUUCACUGAACAAAAUUAAAGGUAAAGGUGCCCGGAAGUUAAGUUUGUACGGUCCGGACAGGUCAUCAGGAUCAUCAGGGCUGGUGUACCGGAUAUUGACGUUAACAGCAGGAAAGUUACUUUCCCGAAUGAAACGAAACUUCCUCAGCUGCUCAUCUUCAUGACAGGCCUCUUCAUUGAGCGCUGACAACAUCAUGAUUUCCUCAAUGCGCUCCUGCUUCAGUCGCUUAACAUCCUGUAAUGUCAGACUGAUAUCGGGCUUUAAUUCCGUUAGUUCCCUGCGUAAGCGAUCAAUAACCGUUUCCAGACGAGUGAACUUAUGAACGACCGGAAUUUGCCAGGUGAAACCGAGAGUGCGAAUUUUCUGAGUCACUAUGCGGAUGUUACGUGAUACCUGCAGGGUUACCAGCCACGGGCAGACCUGAUGCAGUAUUUCUGACCGGGUGUCCUUAUAUUGAGUGAUACCUUUGACCACAUCAGCGAAGUUGUCACGAAGGCGGUUGAUUUCACCCACCAGCUCAGUCACCAGGUCAUGGUUGUUGUUGACUACAAUAUACCCGGGAUAUUUACGGGUGAUUUUAGUUGAAUAAGGUUCAUUUUUGGCCUGGCUUUUAUCAACCCGCUGCUGCCGGUAGAUAUCUACCAGGGUAUCGAGAUCGGGCUCCGAGUGAGACACUUUAAUAUACUGUGGCGGGUCAUAUUCCUCCACGCUACGUGGCUCCGGGAGCGAAGCAAGGUAAGUUGACCCGAUAUCGCUGUCCCGGAGCAAACUGUGCAGAUCAUCGAGUUUGCGUAGUUGCUCUUCAUUGUAAUGUGCGAAGUCAGUAUUCAUAUCUUCUCCCGUUUCAGGUGACCAACGUUGGAGGGUAGACGCUAAAUGAACUCAGGUAAAGUCUUAAACGUGAGCCACACCGGAAGCCGACGUCCGUCCUGACACACCCGAAUCAACCGGUAUCGAGUUUUCUCCAUUGACACAAGCCAGUAACCAGCAGGGACAGGCCGGUUAAUCGUUAUCAGCUUCAGUCCGUAAAACCCACACGAAAUUAACAUGCGCCCGUCGUGCUCCCUGAAAAUGAAACUGAAGGAGGGAUAAAGCAGCCAGAAUGCCGUCAGGUAAAUGUACCAGGUAUAAGGGACCGUUAGCUGCAGGAUUUCAUAGUUACGCACCGUCGCUGUAAUGAGUCCAAGGCUUAAUAUUGCCCCUAUACCUGCAUAGAGUUUAAACGAUGGACUUUCGUAGUUCUUCCAGGUAAUGCUUCCAAUACGGUGCACUUUACACAUCGUCUUGCCUCACUGAAAUUGUAUUUGGCCUUUCAUACGGGGAAUAAUUUCCUUCUCCCACAAAGACCUGGAAUUGCCAUGCCCCCCCUGAAGUUGCAUAGCACAGACUCUGUUAAAAACGGAUAUCUCUUUCCUGAUUGCCUGGGUUUGACGAUCCGUGAGUACAAUGUAUUCCGGUACCAGUUGCAUGACACCGUUCAUCAUUUCAGCCUUCAUUAUUCCUGGGCCAUCUUUUUUGUCAGCCUCAUCGGUUUCCUUCACAUUGAAUCCAAAUGAACAAAGAAGCUGACCCUGGGCCUUAGGCCCCAUCUGGACACCCCGGCUGUCGACCGUAAAACGAACGAUCGCGUGGUCCCCCCCUUCAUCACUGGUUAUGUUUCUUACCAACAUGCUGAUUGGAGUCAUAUGUAACCAGCUGUAGAUUCCCAAAACAAUUUCUUCUUUUAAAAUCAUAUUCAAUUUGUCGGUUCUCUUUUUCUCAUUAAUGAAUAUGAAAACAUAAAAAACGGCUCUGUAAAGCCCUAAUCUGUCGAAAGCAGAGGUUUUGUAUUUUUUAAUUUGUACUCAAUAAAAAUUCCGGCCGCAUCAGCUGUUGUUAUUUCAGACAAUAUGGCGUCAAUGAUUUCAGGCUCAGUGAUGUUAUUAAAUCCCAGCUUACGGACCAUUUCUUUGACGCGCUCAAAACGUCGAGCCGUGACGGUAUCGAUGACAAAACUAUUUACUGGUACGUCAUCAGAUACGACAGGCAUCUCAGUUAGUUUCAUGUUCUUUCUCCAGAUCCGGGAUGUAAGCAAAAUUGAACGCAAUGGCUUUUUCCGGGGAAUCACCCGCAAUGAGCUUUAACCAUGAGUAAGAGUCGUGCUGGCUCAGAAAAAUAACAAGAUAACCUUUGUCUGCACCGUUGCGCUCUUUGAUAAACUUUAUCUCUUUAUCCAUUCCGAAGCCCAUUGGUCCGUGUAUGACACACGAUUGCUCAGGAAGCAUCGAACUGAACAUGGAUAUAACGACAUCUCUUAGCUCUAAAUUUUCGUGGGCAAUGAAAGCUACCUUUUUACCUUCGUUAACCGAAGCUACAAUGCUUUUCACACUUGAUUUCACGUUAUAGCGAUAGACAAUCAAGCGGAGGCGAGUCAUGCAGAGGCAAAUAAUACCCGCGCAGCUGACCAGAGCGCCGUACACUGACCCCUCUAUAAACCAGUUUAGGCCCCCAACAACCAGUAGCCCCAAAAAAGUAACUAUGCUCAGAAUGAAAAUAAAAAAGUUAAUUUUGUGGUCUUUAGGGUACCAGGUAGAUGCAACGGCCAUGAUAGCCAUUGCGCCGACUAAUGCAUACAUUGAAAGGUCAUACGGGUUACUCAUCAACAGUCUCGCAAUCGUGACCAGGGCAACCCCUGAUAGUUGAAAAAUUAGGACAUUCCUGGGGAGUUAUAAGUCGCUCACCGGCCUCAUAACGCUUUUGUAAGUCCAUACGUAAAGCUUCUGCGUUGUCACUCCCCAGGAGAUAGAGAAGUAACUCGUCAUCGGCCAAAAGUAACUUUUCCAGGUCGUAGCAUUCGUGUUUGUAGUCCAUCAUCCCUCCUUGAAACUAUUAAAUCACAGAGAAAAGGUUAACUUUCUGGACUAAAGACCUAAAAUUGCGCAUUAGCGAUAAAUUUUUGAUAAAAAAAAAGCGCAUAAAAUAUGCGCUCUUUUUUAUAGACAACAAUGGGUAAUUAAUUCAUACAGAGCAUGUGAUUCUUAACUCUUUCUAUGAAGUUACUCAUUGAGGGAAGGUUUAACUCGUCCCCUAUGCGUUGACAGUCAAAAAGCGACUGUGCAGGGGAAUAGUUAAAUCCUUUAUUAUUGACAAACUCUAAAAUCUCUUUCAGAUAGGAGUUUUUGCUACCGGCACUGAAGGAGUUGAGUAAAGGCCCGCGAUCUAAAAGUUCACCAGCUGCUUUUUUCGACAAGCUAAUGCUUUGCUUGCUUAUGAUCUUACAAUGAUAGUAAUCAAAGUUAUCACUUCCUUCCCAGUCAAGAUACUUAGAAGAGUGAAACUCCGAAAGCAAAAGCAACAUUGUGCCAUGAUCGCGAACAACAUAUAAAAAUUCGAAAUUACCAUUCAUCAACGCUUGUUUAACUAAGCGCAAAUCAAUCUCUAUGUCGUAGUCAUACCACGGAUUGUUAACGAGGGAAGCUGAAUGCUUCAGAAUGAAGUCUUCUUUUACCCAGUUAAAAACCGCUUCGAUAUCAAAAUCAUAAUAAAAGUUCAUAGUGGGCUCUCCUUAAUAAAAAAGAGAGAGAGCCCCCACAGGGAGAACUCUCCCUGUAUGGGUUAUGAAAUUAGUUAAUCAGGUCAAAAAAUCUUUCUUCCAGUCUGGCCGGGAAAGCUUCAUGACCCUUGAGCAUCAAUACAUCAUUCCAGUCGACACCUUUUGCACCAUCAGGAAUGUCCAGUUCAGGUAAAUGAACAUUAACGCAGACUUUCGCAUCAGGAUACCGUUCAGCAAGUAAGGGCUCCAUACGGCUCUUAAGAACACGUGCAGCGAACUCACCAGCUUGCUUACCGGUUUUGGGGUUAAGCCGAUCUUUAUCUGCCCAAAUCGAUAACUCAAUGAAUUGGCAAUCAGAAGGUGGCAUUAAAUGCUCUGGUAUUUCCAGCAUUUCCAUAAACGUUGAACUUGAAGAUGCCCAGCACGGAAUUGAGGUCGCCUCUGUGACAGAUAACGCAUUCUCAAUACCUUCACUAAUACCCAAAAACCAUGACUUUGAUUCUUCACAGUAAGUAGGCUUAAAUAACUGCAUCGAACCACCAUUCAUCUGGUAGACCGGUUUCAUUAUUAAUUUAGGAAAUUGAACAUCAGCUUUUUUAUGUCCAUCAUCAGUUAGAUGGGUUUUAUGGAUGGUGCAGUUGCGACCAUACUUGUCGUUAAAGAUAGUAACCAUCGUUGGGUGAAAACUAGCUGGUUUAUUAUCACCAGGCCAGUAACGCAUUUUAGCAUUUACCCCCAAACUGGCUGGUAGUUUUGUGAGCAUCCUUUUUAUUCCGCGCCCUGAUAGAUAACGAGCAACUAAUGAAUCGGGUGUCACAAAUUUCGUGUACUUAUAAACAGCUUCUAACUUGUUUAUGCGACUAAGUCUUUCUUCCUCUCCAAUAUCUGAAAAGGAUUGAGCCUUUUUCUCAUAAAGAACAAUGUUAACACGGUCGGCUUCAUUUAACUUUCUAUCCUUGGAAACUCCAAUCAUAUCUAGAAUGUCUUUUGCAGCCUGCGUUUUACUAAAGUUUUUAAGUUCAGCAAUUAAAUCGAUGCCAUCAAUGAAAGCAUUAUGUGGAUAAUCCUCAUGAAUAGCAUGAACACUUUCUAGGGUCCUAUCUUUAAAUCUGAAUUUCGUUUUGCCACCACCAGUAAACGGGCAUUUGACAGAACGCGGUGCUUUUUCCAAAGCCUCCUGAAACUCAGGAUAGUACGUUAAUACAUUACGCCAACCACCCAGCUGCUGCACAUGAGAUUUGACUAGGUCAAAGGUAUCUUGUGCGUGCUGCAUAGGGGAUUUAGCCGAUGAAUUAUAAUUUGUAGAAUGACUCAUAAUACUCUCCUAGCUGACAUUGUGGGUUUCACAAUGCCUACUGCAAUGCAGAUAACAUUGAGAAACCCACAACGCAGAAUGAAGAUGUGCCACGAGGUGGCACAAUCAUUUAUAAGACUUCGAAACCAUUAGAACGAUAUUUAUUCACCAGUCUUUCAACCGCUGAAUCCAUCGCUUCGGAGUUAGCUUCUGAAAAUUUAGUAUCACGUACUAAACGUUCUACUGGCAUAAUUCCAUCAACAACUUCACCUUCAGUGAUGUAUACCUUGGUUCCAAACAUCCCACUGUCUAAUUGACGAGAGUCAACACGUACACGUUUAAUAUAUUUAUUACCUUUCAUAUGUUUGCUCCUUAAAAGGCGAGCAAACAUACCCAGGCGGGUAUAUAAGCCCGCAGGGGAAGAUAAUUAAAUUUAAAUAAGGUUUCUGAUUAGAUCUCGAUACAAAGAGUUCAAUUCAGAAAUAUCGUUUAUUUUUUGAAAAUAAACUCCAUCAAAGCCUUGAGGUUUACUUAUGCCAUAACCGACACAAACGAUUUCUAUGCCAUGUUUUUUAGCAUUUUUAACAGCUGCACAAACUUCCUCUACUGUGUCUGAUGGAUCACCAUCAGUAGCAAUAAAGAUAACUUUUCGCGAAAAAUUCAAACGAUUGAAAUAUUCAACACACGAAUUAAUCGCUUUGGCAGUUGGUGUAUAUAAUCCGCUAGAGACAUUUUCAUAAUUAGAAAAGCUUGCAGAUACUGUUUUAUUAAAAGAUUUAAUAACAUCAAUACAAUCUACUUGUUGAACUGGAUACACAAUAUCAGCAACAUCAAUAUUGUUUACCGUUUCACAAGCCAGGGUAAAAGCAAGGUUUGCGUUUAAAGCUAAAACAGAUACAUCACACAUAGAUGCAGAGAUAUCACGAAGGUUAAUUACACCGACAUCAGACCUCUUGUAUCCUUCCCCGCUUUUCCUAAACACAGAUGUGGCACCCAUUGGGACUUCAACAAGCUUUCUAUCAUGAAGACGAACUCCGCGAUCGCUUAGCCUGUUGUUACGCCGUACAUUCUGUUUAUUCAAAGAAGAAAGUAACUUUCUUAGCUCACGAGAGUUAUCCCGUGCGUUGUUAUAGUCCUCUUCGGUGAGCGAGAUAAAACCAAAUCGAAAACCGAAGUGUUUUACAUCAGCAUCGCUGAAACUAGAUGCCAUUUGGCAAAUAGCUCGUUUAAUAGAUUCAUGAAAAUCAUGGGAAUUAUCCUGUUCAAAAUCUGUAUCCAGGUAAUUAUCAAGAUCUUCAAUAGCCUUUCUUAGCUGUGCCGGUGAGAAACUUGGUGUUGAACGUGAAGAAGAAUCAGAGUCAUCAGAGUCGUCUGACUUAUCAGAGUCAUCAGAGUCAUCAGAGUCGUCAGAAUCAUCAGAGUCGUCAGAAUCAUCAUAGUCAUCAGAAUCAUCAGAAUCAUCAGAGUCAUCAGAGUCAUCAGAGUCGUCAGAAUCAUCAGAGUCGUCAGAAUCAUCAGAGUCGCCAGAAUCAUCAGAGUCAACAGAGUCAUCAGAGUCAUCAGAGUCAUCAGAUUUGUUCUGCUCCUCUUUAUCUUUUAGAUCAUCACGUAACUUUUCAAAUUCUUCAUGUAGUUUUAAUCCUAACUCGCACGCCAUAAGAGUUGAAUUAACUCCAGUAGCUUCGAGAAUUAAAGAAUCAAACCUGUCUUUCAUGUCGAACAGAACAGUAUCAGCAAGUGCAAAAAAAUCAUUCAGAAUCUCAGGAAUACCAUCUUGCCCAAGUUGAUUAACACGAAGUUUGUUUAAGAUAUACAUUUCAAUGUAUGAAACGAUAUUUGAACCAUCACCAGUCAUACAUCCGUCACUAACCAUAAAUGAAUACAUUUCUGCCAGCAUGGUUUUUGAAAGCCGAAAGAAAUUUCCAGUUUUCUCUUCCAUCUGAAUGUCUUCAAAAAGAUUAAUGCAGCGAUGAAGUCUUUUAAGCUUAAUUAGCGCUAUUCUUUCAUCAUUUUUUGAUGAAAAACUAGGGUUGCCAUCAGGUAGAAUACUUUCGAAACCAGGUUGUUUUGAUAAAUAUUCAUUUCUAAAAUUUUCAUACGUUUCAAGUUCAGUAUAACGAUUAUGACCACCUUCAUGACAUAUCCAGCCGCUACAUAACUUCCAGUAUUUGUCAUUACUAAAGUCACCAUUUGGUAAAAAAAUAGCCUUUGUCUUCAUGUUAAUGCGUGGUGUUGUAUUUGGCCCAAGAAAAUGAACAUUGAGAUCAGGAUCAGCACCAAUAACACGAGCCAUAUUAUCUACAGCUAACUUACUACGAACUGAGUUGUUAAGUUUAAUCGUCAUAUAGCACCCAUAAAAGUUAAUGGGCGCACCCAUGUGGGUUUGCCCACAAGGGAUUAGAAGGAAUCAAAAAUUCAAUGGAGUAGAGAAAGUUACUUUUUUCUGUACCGCAUCAGUAUUCGAGACCGGGGGUAAAGUAGAAGCCGGGGUAUUAGCCUGGGUUACUUUUGUAGCAAAAGGAUCAACAAAUUUGGAUCCAGUUUUAUUAGCUAAUUGGUCAUCUAAAUCGUUAAAACGAUUUUUGAUUUCGCUGAUAAAACUAGUCACAAGAUCGUCACCAUCCAUGAUUUUGUUCAAACGAUUAGUAUCACUUAACAGUAACAACCAUUCGCGGAACAAACUCAUAUGAAGUGGUGAAUCCAGAUUACCAGAAGGAAGAUGGUUUAGUACGCUUUGGAUAGAAUCCGCAAUUUUAGUUGCACGAUUAUCCAGAAACAUAAAACUCACAACCUUAUCUUUUAAAUUAGACAACUUUUCUACAAAAGCCUGGUCAAUCUUAGGCUUGGUGCAGGAAGCAUAAAUAGAUUCAGCAGUCAGAGCAAUAUCUUGAAUUAAUCCGACUGAAUAGCGAUCACCUAAAUCGUUUCCAUCAAUUGACAUUGGUGUAAAUGGAAUUGGGUGACUAAUCUGGAAAAGAAAUGAAUUUUCGAAAUCCGUUCUUGUCAUUCUUAAUUUCUCAAUUAAGUCUGCGAGUUUUGGACUUCUAUCUUUUUCCAUCUGAAUGUAAUAUUCAUAGUUAUCUAGAGCAUUCUGAAUUCCUUCCUUGAAAUAUUCGCGGACGGCUUCAACUUCAAUUAAAUACUCUUCCAGCUUAGAAGUUGGGAGUAUAUUCAUAGAGCUGAACGGAAUGCAGUAUUUACGUUUGAGUGUACUCAAUCGCGUGUGAACAGCGCUUUUAAAGUUCAACGCUUUAGUUGAAAUCCAUUGGACUUCGACCUUGCUCACACUCGACUGGUCUGAUACUUCAUCUUCAUCAAGAAACUGUCGUAUUUCAUCGGUUCUACGACGACCCUGACAACCUUCGACAUCUACCUUAAUAAUAACGGCACCAUCUUGUAACUCAGGAUUACGGUCGAUAAAAUCUUGAACAGAUUUACUGAUUUCAGAGGUAUCAGCAAUAGCAGUGAUUUUGACUUUAGCCAUGAUAUUUCUCCAGUAUAAACCGGAAAAAUAUCUCCCAGAGGGAAAUAUAUUUCCCGGUGGGGGUAGGUUAAAUUGUUUGUUUAAAAUAGGUAUCUAUUACAAUUGCGAAACUGAACGUGAUACUUCUUCCGGGUACAGUUGUUCAAGCAAAAUUUCAGCUCUACUACAUGCUUCAGAAGAUAACUUAGAAGUGAAUGCAAUUUUAAACCCAACAGAAAUUUCUUCAUCAAGGACUUUGGAGGUAGAAAUCCAUGAAAUCAAUUCACGAAUAUCCAUCACCAGUUCGUCAUCUUUGAGAUUGUUAAGUUCAAAAGCAACUUUUGCAAACAUUCUUAAACAUGAAGGUUUUAAAUCAGGAAAAUGGGCUUCGGCUGCACAAUACAUAGUUUGUUCAUCAGGUCGAAUCAUCGGCAAUAUUAAAAAACGCUUAAUAAAUGCAGAGUCCUGGGACUGUGAUGAAGCGAAACGCAUAUCCUCUCCACUCAUGUUGGUAUUAGCGGUACCGAUAAAACGGGUAAAGCGAUUUGCAUAAAUCAACUCGCCACCUUCUUUACCAGUUGCCCACGGUUUACGUUCAAGCGGCAUAUGAAGCUUAGCGGCCGUAUCUGGGUUUAUUUUAUCAAUCUCAUCAAGAAGAAUGAUAUGCCCAUCACGAUAGCCUUGCACAAGGUCACUAUAGACAUAAUGUGUAUUGCCAUUUUCUAACGUUCUCAUACCUUCAAGGUCAUCAACAGAUAAUUCAUUAUUAAUUUGCUUGAUGGUGAUAGGCCAGUUCAGCAUAUGGCUGAUAUAUAAUGCUAACUCCGUUUUACCAGAACCAGACUCUCCUUGCAGGCAGAUACCAGCAGUUACCUCAUUAUUUAAAAGUAACUUCACCGUACGGCGUAGGGUGAUCGGGUUCGGACGAUAUUUAAUGUUUAACGGAGCACGAUAAGGCGUAACUUUUUUGAAAAUGGGUAUAAAAUCAUUUUCGUUAAAGCAGUCUACAUUAAAAUGUUCGUUUGCACGGACAACAAUAUAUUCCUCCUCAUCCAUGUAUUCCUUUGCUUUGGUUAACUCAUGAGCUUUGAAAUAUUUAAUUUCUAAAUCAGAGUUUGCGUUCAAAGUCAGAACAUUAGCAUUGGUGUUAGCAGCAGUAGCGUGUGUCAUAUAUAACUCCAUUAGAUAUGUAUAAAAUUAAAUGUUUUUGAUAAUAGCUUUGGAAGUGCUGAAAAGUAAUCCGUAGUCAAAACCGUAUGCAUGAGAUAUGACCUUACAAGCAUCAGAAUGUAACCACAGAAUAUAAUCAACAGCUUCUGUUUUGAGAACGUAUGAAUCGGUACUUUGAUCCAGUGUCCAAGCGCCAUUUUCACUUAAAUAAUCAAGGAUAAGCAUUUGCUCGUCGAAAAUCUUUUUUAAGAUUUUCAAUCUGUCAGCUAUUGACCAUCGGAUUAUCAAUGAUCUCCUUGUGUCACAAUAUCUUUCAUCCAGGAAAUAUGUCCAUUUAAUCGGCCCUUUGAUGGGAUGAGAAAAUGUUAAGUUAUCAGUUUCCAAUGAUUUAAUAAGAUUUUGCAUUGACUCUCUUGUUCGUAUCUCAAGUAAAAGUCGCGACUUAAUAAAACUAAUAAUUUCAUCAGGGUCAUAUCCAAAACGAUGACACACAAUUUGAAAUUGUUUUGUACAAUACCAAUCUAACUCAAUUUUUAAUUUGGGAGUUAAAUAUCGAAACCCAUGGGCAUCAAUUUUAUAAACCAUAGACUGGUCUAUAUGGUACUGAACAGUUACAAACGAUGAUUCCAUUAUUUUGUAGAAGAACGUGGAGAUAUGUUCAUCGGACCAACUGAAAUCAUCGAGCUCUUGGUAGUUAUGGUACGAUACGUUGUUACCAUCAUCUUCAUCGAUUGAGCUUGACUCCACAGGUAUAUAUACCUUUUCCUUAACCUCUUCAUCUUCAAAUAAGAAUCUGAAACUAAGUUGGUUUUCAUUCACAAUCUUUUUAAAUUUACUACUUAAAUGCAUGAUAGGGUUCUCCAAAGGAGAAACCCAAAUGGGAUUUCUCCCAGUAGGGGGUAAAAAAUUAUUAACGUGUUAAGAACCGGGAACCGCCGAAACCUUCAAUAGGCUUAGGAGCUCUGUGAAUCAAUUUCUGGGCCUGGACUCUUACAACAGUCAAUUCACCAGAGUGAACUUUAUCCGUCACCAGACAACCAGAUAUCAUCAGGUUAUCGCCUCGUAUAAUCUCUUUAAACUCCUUAUCAUACAGGUCUUGAGGUAUUUUCACCUGAAUCGAUGAAACUACCAUUUCUAUUUUACCAUUUCUAUCCAUUUCCUGUUUGUUAUCCAGUAUUAGCAUAAUAGUGUCAUAUUCAGGACGAAUAAUAACCUUAUUAACUUCACCGGAUACGCAAACGGUAUUAAUGUGAUUUGUAUACAUAUUAGGUCUCUUUUAAAAAAGUAAAAAGAGACCCAGAAGGAGUCUCUUUUCUCCUUACGGAAAUGAAAUAACAAAACUAAAUAUUAAUGCAAUCAUCUUUAAUCACCUUCCCUUGAAACAAGAAAGGAAUUAAAAAAAACCAGAAUAACUAAAAAAAUUAUAAAGACUAACAGAGAUACCAUAUGCAAUAAGAGCACAAGCAGAACCUUUCAGUACUCUUGAAACUGUUACAUCAUAGAGUUUACCUGAGUCUUUAAGAUCGUCUUUCUUAGCUUCGAUCAUAACUUCAUUAUCUUGAUUCUUUUCCAUUGCUGCUCGGGCUUUCAAUUCAUCAUCUUUCAAUGAUGCUUCAAGCUUAAGCAGGCGAGGCAUUAAAUCAGCAACAACAAAAUCAAAACCAUUUACUUUGUGGAUCAUCAUUUCUUUGAAAGAUAAGUCAUAAUGCUUAUCCUUAAGGCCAAACUCCUGCAUCAAAGGCUUCAAUUUACCAUAAAGGUCAUUGAGGUCCUGAUGAGGGGAUUCAACAGUCUCAAUAAAGUGCUGACGUUUAUAAAAAACAUGCACCUCAUCUAAGACCAUUUCAAGCCAUUGACCCACUUUAACAGCUCCAAGCUUAAUCAGUUUUUCUUUACCGAAGUUAAGAUUUUCUGAUGUGAUGAUAGAGCUAAUAUUCAACUCAACAAAUUUUUUAUCUAGAGAUGACAAAAAAUCUUCGAGGUUUUUUUCACGCGGAAUAUCAGGAAACUCUUCAAGAAGUUGCUCAGCCUCAUCGAGGUCGAUCUCCUUAAUGAAUGCAUCACCAACAUUAACGCUAUAGAUUACAGAACGUUCACAACCAACUAAAUGCUUCAAUUUAGAACUUUCUUCAAGCGCUUUUAACUCGAUUACGCGGCUGACAGAUUCUGUCAUGUACCAGACGUAUGUCUUAUCGUUAUCAGAGCCCUUUUCUAAUUUAGAUAUAUCACUACCAGUAUUUGAUGGUGGGAUUUCUUCACCAUAAAAUGCUUUAGCAUGAGCCAUCAAAAUUGAGUCUUUAUCAAUUUUGUUAGCAGCCGGUCGUGAAGUUCUAGCAGUAGUGGAGCUUUUAGCACGAGUAGCAGCUGUAGCAUUAGAUUUAGCAGUAGAUUUAGCAGUAGUAGAAGUAGUCAUUUUAUAUACCUUUAAAUUUAGUGUUAAUUCAAUUGAACCGUGUUUACAGUUUUGUUGAAAUUGGCGAAUGCCGUCGUUUAUCACCCGGAAGCAACAAACCGCCUGAAUUUAUACUUUUCUGGCAUUAAAAAGUCCGUAGAAAGUCACUUUUAAAAAAGUAAUUAAGCUACGAGUUGUGGAAAUACAGAUGUGAGAAAUCGCACCAGCGCCACUUUUUUUUGGAAGAGGCUCUGGUGUCGAAACUCAAAAUUGAGCUAUCCAUUUAUGGAUAUCUUAGAAGAGAUAAAGGUAUUAAAAGUAAAUCUAUUGAGAAGUUUAUACAUCAUUCGUGUUUCAUUGUAAACACAAAUCUUCAUUACCCUCGAUAACUGCAUUUUCUUCUGAUAACUCAACAACUUUAGGGAACGACUCAGUUAUAAAUUCUGAUGGUUUGCCAUUCCAGGUAAUGUAAAGCUCUAGCUCUGCCCUGGUCAUCCCAACAAAAAACAAACGUCUCUCCUCUUCUAUUCCUUCCUCACCAAUAACCUUCGGUGAAGGUAUUUGAUCAUGGUUACAGUUAAUGAUGAUUACUUUUUUCCAUUCGAGUCCUUUUGAGCCAUGAAGCGUACAGAGGCAGAUCCCGUUUUGCUCUGUUUCACUGGUUUCCUUUUUACUUCCCAUGGUCAUUCCAGCUGCAAUAUUCAGCAUCUUGAGCCAUCCAUCUUUUAUGGCCCAUCGGUAACAGGACAUUAAAGAGAUACGGGUUACAGACGGGUCUCCUUUUGUAUUCGACAUCUUGUAACCGGCCAUCCCCAGCCAAUCUUUGAUUUUUUUAAAACGGUCUUCAAUUUCUUCUUUUAUCAGUGUAUCUGUCAUCAUCGAUACCAUGUGCUUAUGAAGCGUUUUUGUAAGAACAGAUACAUCAUGAGGGAGGUCAAUUUGUUGAAAAGUUACUUUUCUGGUGCUCAUGGUUUUCCAGACCAUAUCCAGAAUUUGCUCAUCCUCAUUGAAAAAGGACAGCACUCUUUUCAUCAGCCCAAUGUUGCCAGGCUGUCGGAAAAAGGAGAACAGGUGAAGGAUGUUACUUGGCUCUAACCCUUCCCAGAAUGAUUUACCCCCUAUCCUUGUUACAGGCAUUUCAAGGUAGCUUUCCAUCUUGUCUAGGGUUGUGUUGUUUCGGCUGAGGAUUGCCCAGUCAUGAGGGUUUCGCUCCACCAGCUCCUUAAUCACAUCGAAUUGGUCCUCAGCGUUAGCUGACCGUAUAAAAGUUACUUUCCCCUUAUCACCUUUUCUGCCAGAAACGAGGCUCUUCUCAUAACGGGCCUUGUUCUUCCUGAUAACGGUAUCUGCAUACUUGAGGAUCAGCGGAGCGCACCUGAAACAUUUUGUCAGGUGAAAAACGUUAGGGUUGUAUGCUUUGUCAAACUGACGAAAAAUCUUUACACCACCGGCAUCUCUGAAACUGUAGAUGGUCUGGUCAUCAUCUCCAACAAUCGUUGUGUUGAUUCCCCUCUUUGCAUGCUCAGAUAUCCAGGUAAAUUGAAUACUAUCGGUGUCCUGCACUUCAUCAACAAUCAGAUGCGUGAUGCUUAAUGGUCUCAUCUUGUCGGCACUCAACAUGCCCACUACAUACUUUGAUAGUGAGUUGAAGUCAGCAACAUUAUCCUUUUUGCAAAAGUUCAUGUACUCGUUGUAGAAGGCCACCUGUUCGCGUGUAUAUUUAAUCCUGAUAAUGUCUGGGUUCAGCUCACGACCAAUCCCGUCAAUGAAUGGCAUAAUGUCGUAGACACCUUCAUGGUAGUUAAGGUGUUUUUGAACUCGGGAAACCAUUGCCAUUUGCUUGUGACCAAUCAGCAGCCCACCGUUCCAGCCUGACUGGUUAACCAUUUUUUUUAUAAACCCGUGGAAAGUAUCUACCUCUAUCCUACUCAUAAACUUAGGCUCUAUCAUUUUCUGGAGGCUAUUUUUUAAUGAGUCUGUCGCUGCCCGGGUAAAGGUGACUAGAGAAACCCUUGCCAAAGGAUGGCGCUGAAAAAUGGACUUUGUACCUUCUUUCAUCGUGAAUGAUUUCCCACUUCCUGGGCAGGCUAUAACCAUAGUGUUUUUAUCCAUGUUUCGUAUAACACGGUCUUGUUCUUCAGUACUCGAUACCAUCUUAGCUCCUAUAUUUCCAAGUGUUUAUCAUGACACAAUCAGGAGGAUUUUUUUGGGAAUAGUGUCUAUUUAAGAAGGUUGUCAAUUUUUAUUCAUUUUAAUGUUUGCUCAUCUGUAAUUAACUUGCACAUAAGAAGAUCAAUCUUAACUCAGUUCACUCUUAUAAACUCUCACUGUUUAUGACAAAAACAAAGCUGGAACAAAAAAUACCCCCUUGCACAAUGAAUUUUAUAUGGAAUAAUAAAAUUAAAUAAACCACUGGGACACUUAAAUGAAAAAGACACUGACCACUGUAUUGGCUUGCACACUUCUUGCAGGUUGUGCUACGCAACCAACCAGUCCGGAAAACCGCAUGUUUACUAAAAUGCAUGACGUCUACUGGCACUCAGAUCCUCAGAAAUCCCUAGCAGUAAACGCGUAUUCGUUGGCUGGGGUUCAGGUAAACGUCGAAGAAGCUGAGAAUGCCUCUGGAGGCGUCGAUGAGGGGCUUGCCUCUAAAAUGCUUUUGAACACGGCGACAGGAGCUAUCACCGGCGGACUCAAAGCUGGAAUUGGGAUGUUUACCGCAUCACUUUAUAGUGAAGCAGAUGCGGAAUACAUCCAGACCCCACAAUUUGUCGUUUUCGUGCCAAACCCAACUAAACUUCCAUACAAUGAUUCGGCACUUGUAAAAAAUGGGGCAAAAAUAAUUAUCGAUGCUAUCAAAGAUCAUCCUAAACUAAACAAUGCUACUUACUCACAACAAAUCAAAGCUCUUUCUGAAUGUACAAUAAGUAAGUCCUUUAUGGGGCCUUGGGAUACGUGUGAGACUAAAACUGAAGUACCGCAAUCUGGUAGUAAUGGAACAACCUUCUUUAAGUAUCAAGUAAUCCGUCCAGCCACUGGGUCAGAACUAGAUGAAUUACAUAUGAAAGCUGGUAAUUAUACAGUUAUACGAUAUGUCUACUUUAUGGUGAAGGGACUAUCUUUUGAUACCACUGGUUUCCCUGGGUUUACACUAAUGCCUCAAACACCAAAAACGGCCCCGGGCUAUGCAAGUGUAUCUAUAAAUGGCGGAGAAUAUUACUUUAUCAAGGGUGGUUUAGGAUAUAAAAAAUUCCCUUUAAAAAAAGGCAUUGAUUAAAAAUAUUAUAAUCUGACCGGGCUAUACCCGGUCAGAUGGUUAUUUGAUAAUAGCUCCGGUAAUAGGGUCCGUGUAAACUGAACCUACAUCGCAGAUUGCUGGUCUUGGUAAGUAUGAACAGUCAACAUUUUCUGCUUUCAAAGCCUGCGUAUUCUCUUCCCUAGCUUUUGUCAUGUUGACAUCACCACCCAUUGACUCUAAUGCUCUUUCAGAAGGUAACUGUGCAUUGUCGUUCUUAUAAGGACCCAUGUUAGCAACUGAGCUUUCUGUAAAUGUUGCAUAUUCAUCGGGGACCUCCCCUGCUACAACGGCAGACUCAAUAUACUCAGUCAUGUCUAUUUUAUCCCAGUCAAGUUGCUGAACCUGAGAUAUGGUUAACCCUACACAACCACUUUCUAUGGGAUUAAUACCUAAUUGAGGAUAAGCCUGCUGCAUUAUAACUCGCGAUAAUAACGAGUUGUAACAACACAUAUCAGUUGCUUUUUUAAUACAUUUCUUUGUGAAUCCAACGUUCAGAUAUUUAACACAACGGUCGGUAUCAAUUACAAAACAUGCUCCUUGAUUCUUGUGUAUUGAUGCCUCCAUUUCCUUUUGGUCACAGGCAAGAAGCAUUUCGAGAAGCAUUUUUGUUAUUUGAUAAGCUGUAUAAAUCCAACCAAUAACAUUCAAGGCCAACAUAAAGUUGGUAACAGCUGAGGAAAAAACAGCCUGCCCGGCUGCACUUGCUGUUUUAUCAAAAACAAAGUCCCUAAUUGCGUCGGGUAACAUGUCGUAAGCUUUAUUCAUUAACUGCUGUUUAAUUGCAGCGAGUCCUCCAGUCUGUAACCCGUCUUUGGUAAGCUCAGUUGCGGCUGCGGAACCACCCCCCUCUACUGUGGUUGAUCCAAUCAGUUUAGAAACGUUGCCUGUAACUGACUCAUACACUGACGUCAGGGGUUCGGUCACUCGUUGCCACAUUUGACCCACACUUGACGAUACUCCGGACGUCCAUUGCCCUACUGAAUUAGUCAUAGAGGCCCAGGUACCGGAUUCGCCUCCAGUCCAGGUCGUCAACUUAGCUGAGAUUUUACUCCAGUUUGUAUUUCUCAACAUGGUACCUGCCAGGAUAAUGGCUUCAAGCUUACCAGCUGCUCCUUCAGGAGCUUCGCAGCAGUCAGUUUUUGCGAGUCCAUUAACAAAACCUACAGAGCGACCGCACCAUUGCUUCUCACCAGAAAAAACAAUGCAGGAGUUUGAAUCAUUUGGGUCGCUGCACAUUGCGUCACCCUGCAUAUUCUGGACCAUGCUUGUGUAGGCAACAACUUUUCCAAAAUCUUUAUUUUCCUCAUUUGCACCAGUAUUACACGUACCACCAGAACAUGGGAUCAUACCUAUGCAAGUAUUAGACUCAUUAGUAAUAGUAACGGUUCUUGUUGUGCCUUCAUCGCAAGUCCAUUUUUGUUCAUACAUAUAGCAUUGAUUCGUGCCUUCAUCGAACCAUCCUUCUGCACACGAUUGUUUUGACAUCGAACACGACGAGUUUGUGGAGUAUUUGGAGCAUGCAUCUGGCAUGGUCUUUAUAUCAUCGUAGUUGUAACAGGCAUCAUUCCCAUCAGCAUCUUUCAAGAUAUUACCUGAUGCGUCAUACUGACAUAAUUUUUCUUUUCCUAGUGGGUCACAGAAAUAACCUUCUAGGUUUGUUUUCCAGGUUAUAUUGUUUGUGUCUCCGUCAUAAAGAGGUGACGCAUAUUGCAGAAUAGACUGUGGUAGUCGUUUUGUUCCAACAUCCAAAUCGUUAAAUCUAUCAAAGCGACAAAAUGAGUCUGUUUUUUUUACAGCUUCAUAGCACCCUGCUGGUUCUUGUAUGUGUUUGUCUUCAAGUUUAAUAUUUUCAAAUAUCAAUUCUACUUCAAAAUACCCUUCGCCUUUACCACCUACCCAUACAGUGGAUGACAUUUCAACUUCAUUGUCUGACUCAUCGUAUACUGAUUUUUUGACUUGUUCAGUAACAUCAAUAGGCUCUUGUAGUUUAUUUGAUGUUUUUCUCUCAAGACCAUUUCUUGGCGAACCAUAACCCGGAUCACGAUAUUCACCAUCUAUAUGUGCGAAAAUUUGGGUGUUAUCUAUUUUGACCUGCAUGUGAUCAUCCCAUUCUGCAGAAACUAUUUUGGCAGAUUUAAUGACAGCAUCCUGGUGAAAAUGAAGUGACAUACUAUUUUCAUGCACGCCCUCAUCAAAAUAGUCAUCACCAUGUCGUCCGAACCAGACUCUUAUACAAUUGUCACCACAUACGCUUAGGUCGCCAUUUCCUCCUGAAAUGUAUACAGGAACACUAAAUUCACGAGUUAUCGUACAACUGCUGUAAUUAUCCUUUUUAGGUGCAUUACAGUAAUACUCCUUAUAAUCUGGAGUGUGUUUGUCAAUUGUUGAAGUAGUUGUCUGCGUUGAGCAAUUCUGUAGCCACUGCCCUGUUCCGGCUGCUGCAUUGGCAAUCUCGCUUCUUCCACUCGUGAACAUAGGGUCAUUUGGUGAAAUAUUAGGUAUAGGAUUCGACUUGGUAGCAGACACCAGCGACCGGUAGGCCUGGCCGUCAUAGCUGUUUGCUGUAAAAAGCUGACUUUUCCUGUUUUUAAUAUCCUCUACAAACCCCUUCUCAUCCCCAUAACUGUCAUCUGCAUUAAACUGAACAUCAGCAUUAUUUUGCUCUGAACUGUACAUUUCAGCCGUAUUGGUGCCCGUUAUUCUGCCACCAGCAUUAGGGUUAGGUUUAAUUGAUAUACUUCCAUCUUCAUUCCUGGAAAGUAACUUUCCUCCAUUUUCAGUUCCAUUAAUUGUUAUGUUAUUCCCACUCAUCUUUGGAAGUGAAACUGUUCCUGCUAUAUCAGCUCCGUCUGUUUUUGCAAAGUUUAAUACAUCCUCAUUAGAAAACUGCUUACCACUGUACUUACUCAUAUCAACACUUGAAGAGCCAGUGUUGUCGUAUGAAUUCAGUUUCUCAGUGUAUGAACCCCCUUCACUACUCUUAUAUUUUUCCAGAAUAUUAUCUGUCGUAACCGUUGCGGUUCUGUUUGCAGCGGGGUUACUUAGGUCAAAGGUAUUUUCAAGACUCUCAUAUAUUUCGUUUGCGGCAUAAACCCUUGGGGUCAAUACCAUGUUUAUCAGGGUGACAUAAUAUGCCCAACUCAGUGUGUUAGUUAUUAUGGAUACGGAUAAAAUCAAAGAAAUAAUUUUUUUCAUAUGUUUUACCGUUAUCAAGGGAUAUAUCUAACGCAACAGUCAUUAUAUCUCCACAGCAUAUAUACGUAGUUAUUAACACCUAUUCGUUUACGCCCGCCUUUUCUAGUGGACCAGUCAUGGACUGAAUCACCUAAUCGAUGGCAACACUCAGGCCCUUCUGCUUCCGGAACGGGGUAUAACAUCGACAAACGAUAUUGCGAUCUUGGCAUGAAGUAACUAAAUCCUCGCUCACACAUCGCAUCCUUACCCAUCGUUUGCAUCAGCAUUCCUUGUCUGUGAAGUUUUGUUAUCAUUCGUUGUGUCAGCAAAGAUGAAACUCUGACUGAAUCGUCGUUCGCAAAUACGUGGCCCGUUAACGGAUAUAGAUUGCCAUCGCAUCCGGCGCAAAAGUGUGCACUCAAGUUAUCUGCCCCUGCAGUCACUUUGACGCAGUCUGCUGCACACCACAUAGAAGCAAUAGGGUUUGCAAACACUACAGCCUCUGGAUUCAGAACGAGCGUAAGAAGGUCAUUUUCCCAAAGAGGGUCUACCUCACUUAUAUAUGUCAGAGACGGAUCAAUGUAUGGCUCGGCCGUACAAUCCCCCAUGAUGAGAAGCUUUAGCAUGACCAGUAUCGGGAAUUCCCAUAAAUGAACAUCAUAAAACCCCGCUUCGUUACCACCUUUCGGUUUAUUGGUAGCGCCUUUGCCCAUAUCAAAACUCGAUGCCUGCAGGCUUACACCUUCGAGAACUGGUGAACACCACGGGGACUGAACUACUUCAACCAUUUUUACUGGUUGAAAGAACGAAAGCUGCCAGCCAACCUCAGGAACCCCGUUCUGGUCAGUACAGAAACAAACAGGUUCUGAAGGGGCUGCUCCUUCUGGUGCUUUACCUACUCCCAUAAUUCUCAUAGGGAAAAUACAGCUCCAGCAAAUAUUUUUGAUUAGCCCUUUCCAUACGCCAGCUGAUUGACAAAUACCACUACCGUUUUCAGCACCUAUUGCCAUACGAGGGAGCGCCAGAGAAAGCAUAAGGGCAGUAAAUGCGGGCAAAAGUAACUUUUUAAUCAUUCCGCAAUUCCUUUCUCUGAUUGUUUGUUUACGCGGGUAUAUUCACGCACAUCUGCCUGAGCAAAUUGCUGGACUUUAAAAUAGGCCCCUUCAACUGAAAUUAUUGAUGGUGUGGCUUUAAUGAGAAAACGAUUAAUGAUUUCAGGAUUAAUUUUGUACAUCUGGCCGUAAAAUUGACCCCGUAGCUCUUCAAGGUGUUUCCAGCCGUCAUCCCGUUUCAGACGAGUAAAGAUAGGCAUAACCUUACCUUCCCCAAAACGAUGCAUAAACUGUAUUUUUGCCCAGUCGAGCUGCUCAGAGCUCAUUGGAUCAAAGAUAAUCAUCGUCAGUUUUUGCGGGAACUGUGCGAGCGGGUUGCCUCGCUGCCCUGCUGCGGCCAGCAGGUUGCCCUGGUUGUCUUUGAUGUCCUGGUUAACCUGAAUAGUCGGGUCGAUGUACCAGAUUUUAUUUUCAUCAGUAACGGGAAGUGAUGCCAUCCACUGAUUGUUCCAGGUGUCUUUAAUGGCGUUUCUUUUUGCCGCCUCCCAGUCAUAUUUGCUGCUUCUUUCUUCGAGUUCCUGAAUAAUGCUUUUCUCUUUAACAGGGAAUGUUUGAGCUGUCACCGGGAAGGUCGUCCUGUCUGGAUCUUCCUCAAUCUGUUUCAUGAAAUAUUUAAUGUUAAUAGAACCACUGAUUUUGUAGGUCUUAUCAUCUUUUCUGUAAACCAUCGUAGGAACUUCUUUCACACCGUACUGGGUGAAGCUUUCUGGAUCGAGGGUUACUAACGGCUCUGUUUUAACUUUUGAAUUGGCGAUAUAGGCUUUCAAAACUACCUGCAUCUGAAUGAGGUUAUCUACCCCAUCUUUAAGUCCACGGAAAACAACACGUGCUUUAUUCUCAGAUGCCGUCUUUAUCAGGUCAUUUAAUACGUAGUCUGGCAUACUAAAUGAUGCAAAAAUUGUUAACCCGUUAUCUGUCGACAGCUCUUCAUUUCGGUUGUUAUCUAAUUUACGUUCGAAAUCCUGUGCCGUAAUACCCGACUUCCCAAACAUUUUUUCAACGUUAGAAGACUGGGUUCGCAUUGUCUGGUUUUUCGAAUUGUUGAUAGUGUCGGCUUCUUCUGCAUAGGCCUCAGUAGGCUGAUUCUUUUUAAUGUCCUGCGCUAUAUCACUCAUUGCAUUAGAUUCACGCAUCUUACCAGUGUGCUCUAUUACUGCACGAACACUGUCAGAAACCGAGCUGGGAUUGUAUCGAGGUGUACCGACAAUAGACUCCAUGCUUUGCGGUUUCGAAGGGUUAAUCGCGUCAUCUGCAUAUGACAGAGGGGUGGCUAAAAGGUAGCAAAAAAGUAACUUUUUAAGGCAUUCAGAAUACGGCAUAUGCUUUUCCUGUGAUUGUCGUUUCUGGUACUGUUCCCCAAAAACGGGAAUCCCAUGAGUAAUCGGUUUGGCCUACAACGAAAAUGUGACCUGCGGGAACCGUAAUUUCACGGUUCAAUGUCUGCGAGUCAAUCUGAUAUUUUUUGGCAAUACGUCUGCCGUCCACCGGGAAAAUACGUUCUCCGUUUUUGACGAAUGUUUCUGUAAUCUGGAUUUUGUCCCCACCUUUACCAGCAACGAUUUUUAUUACCUUAUCACCUGGUUUAAUGAAUCGAACAUCUCUGUCCAUGGUGAAGUUAAUCAUGUCCCCAAUUUCAUAACUCUUAUCAUGGUUAUCCACCAUGUAAUACUCAGCAGGAAUACAGCCGUACAGUAGCCCGUGGCCCAGGGUGAAGCGGGAAAAGAACAGGUGCGUUAAUACCGCUAUGAUCACAAGGUGCAGAAUAAGAGAUUUAUCUACUCUUAAAAAACCCCUUUGGUGCGGAGAAAGAUAUCUUAGGGACAUCAACAUAAGAUGGGUCCUGAUUGAUUAUUUCUGAAUAUUAUGCCCCAAAGAAAAAAACCAUUUUCUUAAUAACAGGAUGAUUUUAAUGAUUUACCCAAAAAAAAUAGCCCCUGUUUCAGGGGCUAUAGUUGUUAAGGGCUCAGGCUAGUUAUUCAGAGUAAUGUAGCUUGUCGCCGUAUCUCCGCUGUCGUCGUAUGCCGUGAUAGAAACCACCAGCUUACCUUUGUUUUGAGCCUUGGACAGUGUUGCAGUGCUUCCGAACACACCACGAACCUGUCCAUUUACCUUCCAGACAUAACUGGAAAUCUUACCGUCAGGGUCACUACAUUUCGAUGUAAAUGACCAGCUCAGCGGGGUCUCAGUGUAUGUCAGGUUACAGGUCGGCGGGGUGUUCGGUAUCACGUCAAAGUCUACCGUGACAACCCCUCUCUGGCCCUGCUUACUGACCACGUCCAUUUCAAGCUUAUAUGUGCCUUCCAUGAUGUUCUCAAACGUCUGUGACCAGUAGUUUUUCCCACCAUCAACAGGCUUACCAUUCAGCUUAAAGGUUACAUUAUCAAUUGAGUCUGCCGAGUGGGCCAGCUUCACACUUGACCUCAUGGACAGAUCCAACGGUGCCCUCAUAAACUUGCUGGAGUAUUUCGGGUUAACCGUUAUUUCCAUCGGGCUCUGUUCGUUCACGACGAAAGUAUAAUCAACCCGGGCCUCAUUAUUCCGGUUAUCCUUCAGGACAUAAGUGAGUGUAUGGGUACCUGAUUUUGUUACCUGGAAUACCUUGUUACCGUUAUUGUCGCUGGACAGCGUCAUCGCAUCUUUGUUGUACUGCCAGUCCUGGGUGAACACAACACCCGGAUAAGAUACAUCCACGUCAGAGACCGAUACAGCAAGCUCUGAGGGGAUCAUGGUGUAUUUCAGUUUUGUAUUCAGGCGCGGUUGCGGGAAUUUGUAUACCCAGGAUUUCACGCUGAUUUUACGUUUCGCAAUGGUCCUGUCCUGUGCCUCCGGCAUGUAGGCCUGAUAGGUAAAGGCUGCAUACCCACGGGCAUCUAACAUGUCUUCGGUCAGGACAGUAUCCAGCAGACCACCUUGUUUAAUGCUGCCAUCAGGGAGCACCCACUCCUCGACAACCUUAGCAUCAGAUGAAUACUCGAUAUUUGGGUUCGUAUAGGUACCCUGCAAAGUUACUUUUUUACCUACCUCAACCUGCGAGUUCCCAUCGACCCUAACAGACAAUUUCUUGUGCUUAAUGACGGUUACUCGGGCCCUGGUUUCUUUCCAUGCCGAUGUCCCGGCCAUAUCGUCGGUCUCGGUAUACCGUACUUUUGCAAAGAUAUAUUUUGGAACCUCAGAGGACGUGAUCAUGUAUUUCACGCCGCCCUCAGUCCAUUCCUCUCCAUCCUCGGACCACUGAACUUCAACUGCACUGCCCUGUACAUCUUCAUUGUUGUCAGUCAGUGUUACCGGGAUGCUGUGGCCCUCAAGAACCUUGCCCACUGAAAUAACCGGUUUCGGCUCUCUGUACGCAACGACUGUGAGAUUAUCGGUAUAGGAGACCUUACCGGUGUACUUGUUGGUCAGUUUGGCACGGUAAAGCCACUUACCAACCUCUUUUUGUUUAAUACUGACGCUUCGAAGACCCGUCAUAUCUUCAAUCGUGUUCCAGGUCGAACCAUUGUUACUGGAAAUCUGCCAUUCAGUUGGGCUCAGGGAAUCAUAAUCAUCGGUACUUUUCGUCCUGAAUGAAACCAUUGCCGACAGAGGAACACGGCCGACAAUAAGCGAUUUAGACAGACCACCUUCGAGGUCAGCCCCUUUAUAAACCCUUAUAUUGGUUGUUGACGUCUCACGUUUGAGAACAAAAUCUUCAAACGGGCUGCGAACCGUUGCAACGGCGAUAAUGCGGUGGCUACCCAGUGUCAGAUCAUCCAUGUUGAGCUCACCAGUCGCAAUCCCCUCAGAGUUGACGGCCAGAUUACCUGUCAGUGGUGUGCGCUCUGAUACCGAUACAUCUUUACCGGUUUCUUGAUCAGUCACCCAUUUGGAAGUGACUUUAUACACCACCACAUCCCAGUUACCCAUAGUGGAAGCAUCGUACAAUGUACAGUUACAACUGUUAUUCCAUUGCCCAAUGUUAACCGACACCGGCACCUUGAGGCUUGUCGCUGAUUUACGCUCUUCAACCUUCAUGUAGGCACGAAUACCGAAGUUAGGAACUGUAUAAACCUUAAGCACACUGGAUGAAUUUAUGCUGGCUUCAUUUUCAUAGGCCGCAUCGAUAUUGACAUUCGUUUGCGUCCACAAAGGUGCUGCCGGGACCUUUAUACGCUCAGAAUAAGUGACCGGUGUAUCACCCCCCGACUUAUUCUUGUAGGUUUUAGUUUUAGCGUCCUGGCCCUCUACCUUAGUCGUAAGGACAAUGUUUGCAGGAACUGAUUUUGCCAGUACCUUAGCAGCGUCCCCGCCAGUGAUGUAAACCAGAGCUGUAUUCUUACCGAGGGUAUCUACGGUUUUACUUAGUUUGUAGGAAAUCUCCGGUGCAAACGGUUCAACGGCAUUAAGCGUUUUACGGUUAUGGGUGGCUAGGGCUUUGGAGCCUUUUGUAUUAAUCACAUAGACGUUGUAGUCAAGGACGUUAUCGCCAACUUUAGAGAAGUAACCUGUCAGGCCUGGCGCCUUAGAUUUCGAGUAAAAUUCGAGACCUGAUGGAACGUUGUUCCACUGAACAUAACAGGCUGUGCCGUAAACGCCUGUACCGAACUGGCUCAGGAGCGCCUGUGCAUCUUCCUCAGUGGAGAAAAUCUUACAAGUAUUCCCUGAUAGCUGUGUAACCAGUGAGGUAUAAGGACGCACGUAACUGUAAAUUGUGGAUGCAGAGUCAAUGGACUUCAGCGUGAAAGUCAUCGGCAUAUAGGUGAAAUCGAUGUUAUACGUUUUCGAUAUACCGUUAACGUUCUCAGCCACAACCGUCAAAGUAUGGACUUUGUUUGUUUCGAGUGACGGCAUCGCCUGCAACCGGUAGAUCCCUUUGACGUUGGUCGGGCUGUAGGAAGCCAUGACAUUGUCAAUGACGACACUCUUGAUAUCGGCCACGCCCUCUUCACCCUGGAAUGCAGCAAUAACGAUUUCAUUCAGGAAGUAAACCUGAUCACGCUUAACAAGCUCUGCGCCCUCCUUAUAGACGGAAACAGAUGGCUCAUCAGAAAGAAUAAGUUUUGCUUCAGGCUCUGUGUAGUUCGAGUCGUUACCCGCUGUAUUCGAGACAGAAUACGUCGCAUUGUAAGACGCGCUAGCCAGAUCGCUUAUGUCAAAGAAAUAGACAAAUUUACCCGCAACUUCCUGGUACCCGGCAACCGGCUGAAGAGUUCGGCGGGAUGGUGAUGACCAGAUUUUGUUGAAGUUUAGCUCCGUACCAUCAUCUAAAGUAACUUUUGUGGUUGGAGAGAAACUACCAUCAGGUGCAAGUGUGAGCGACAUUGCAGCCGGUUUCCACCAGUCACUGGUAUCUGACCGGGCCGGUACCGAAACAGCGACAGCGAUCGUCUGGGGAGCAACGUAGAUAUCUUUAUCGCCGACUUUGAAUGCGCGAGCUUCUUUAGAAACGUUCCAGAAAGUGGUAUCUACCGCUGGAGCACGAUAAUCCCAGCUUAGUCUGACGUUAGACGUCACGGGUGGUGAGAAGUAAUUAUUGAAUGAAUUUAAGGUAACACCUACAUCCCUGGUGCCGAAAUCUGAACUUCCAUCGGUAAUACCCACACUGCCGGUCGUAAUGGUACAUUUUGAUGCACCAGCAGCAAUGGCGCAUGAGGUUCCGGAGCCGACAGAAGCGACCAUAUCAUAGUCACGCGGUUCGACGGUGAUAUCAAUAUUCGAGAGCGUUUCAUUUUUAAUGUAUGAAGUCAGCGAUAGACCGGUAGAGCCGUUGCUCAUUGAACCUUUUAUAGUUGAAAUCACAGGCGCGACUGGGGCAACAGUCUUGAAGAUGUACUCCCCUUCCCUGACGAUGACUUUUUCUCUUUCUGUCCCCGAGUAGUAGGCGAUUUGCCAGGGCAGUUUGAUAUCACCAGCUAUCGCAGGAAUACCUUUUAGAGAAAAUCCAUUGGCAACCGGCAUACCUGAGUUAUUAGGCAACCAUUCAAACACACAUUUAAGGCUACCAGUGGUACUUUUCACAUUGGGAUCAGAAGAAACGUCGCAACCAUCCGAAACCGGAAUGGCAGUCACCGUGCUUUGUUUUACGAAUGCAGUAUUUACAGCUGGGCUGGUCGAAAAUUUGACAUCAGGUAAUGACGUUUCCAGUGUUCCAGAAACCAUUAUCGAUUCUGCGUUUGAAAAAGCACUGAACACAGAACAGAACAUCAGCAAAGAGAUUUUGUUAAUUUUAGUCAUGGAACGCUCUGAACGUAGUUAUGCCAUAGUUGCACCUACUGUAUCCUAUGAACACAGUGUAUUUUCCCAAUUAAGAGAAGUGUUUUUUUUGAAAUUUCGUGAAAACUGAAAGGGGGACCCGAAAAAGUUACUUUUGAAAUUGCGCGUUGGCAUUAAGACGCAUACACGUUAAAAGCGUGUCAGAAGGAACACCAGGAUUUCGUGCCAGUAUGACGGACAGGAGGAAAAGACCUAACCGAAGGCAUGCGGCCGGUGCAAUGCUAAUUUUAUGUAUAAAGUUUGCAUCUCGUUCAUCCCUGUUAAUGGCUACGACUCCAGCCUCAAGCACUGCAGUGGGCUUGCCAUCAAAAGUAACUUUUACGUUUUUGUACACCUGCUUGUUCAGGUGCUUUGUUUUCUUAUCUUUAAGGACAGCGUCAUGAGUAAGGCGAAGGAAUGCCAUGCACAAGGUGAUCACUUCAUCGUCACUCAACUUUGUUGAAAAGACCUUUUGACCCGUCCAGUCAAAUGCACCCGGCUUGGAUUGUAGUGGUCCAGCCAGGAUUAGAUUGACAGCAUCAUUGGACUCAGAAAAAUUCAGCUCAAGCGCUGAUUUACCAGAAUUAAAAACCUUUUCAUUUCUGAACUUUUUUUGCGGAGAGUCAUAAGGAGUUAGAGUUUCCACCAGAUAUUUCCCUCACCUUCGUUAAUUAAAUCCUUAACCAGGCCAAUGUAGGUGUUUCCCCCAGAUUGCUUCAUCGCGAUGAUAUAAGCGCUGGUCUCAAGCAUUAGAUAAUUUCCCGAAGGCGCUCCGGGAGGAACCUCAUUAGCACUAAGGUUUUUAUUGUACUUUUUUUUAACGACCGAAGGGAUGUUGUUAAUCAUUAUUGUUUUUUCGUCAACAACCUGAAAAUUCAAACUGGUUUCAGCACCUGCCAGACUUACGGCAUGAACCGAAUCUUGCUUGAAACUCACCAGGUCCGGUUUAUUCAUAGUUACUAAAUAAAUACCUAGAAGAGUAAUGCAUGGAAUUAUGAAUAAACUAACUAUUUUAAUACUCACCUUCUUCAUCUUCAUCAUAUCCCCCGUGGGUCUGGCAAGCAGUAAUGUAAAGAAUCCUAAGCUGAUGUAGAAAAUUCUCUGCUGUUGCUCCACCUACAAAUGUUAUCAUUCUGUUGAUUCUGGUACCGGCAUCCUCAAGCUCAAACUCAGCGACUCCACAAUCUGACAUAAUAGUCAUAGUGUUUUCGUCUGGGUCAUCAUCAAGCGAAGGGGGGAUAAUAAUAGAUAGGAUAACAGUAUCUACUGGUGCUAUUUCCCAGUCGUGACCUUCACGUGCCAUAGGAAUUAUCUGAAUAAAAUACCCAUCCAGAAUCAAUGAAAGUGGAUUUCGCGUGCUAUCAGCAAAACCAAAUGUAUUGGCAGCUUCUUCGAAGUUUAAGCCAGAACGCUCAAUAAUCUUGAGAAGUUCCUGCUUUCGUACCCCAUGGUAAAUCAUGCCAUCUGUCAUCUGUAGUUACUCAUGUGCUUUGAUGGAUAGUGUGUUGCUAAAAAUCAUAUCAAAAACAGACUGCUCCUACCUUAACCAGAGCGAGUAAAAAAAUUUAACCUUCGCACUGACUCUAUAGGUUUAUCUAAUCUUAGCUUAACAUGUAAGCAACCAUCCCUCGAAGUUUUUAAACUCAAAAGCUCAACGUAAACGAGCUGAAACCAGCAAAUGGCACGUAUUAUUCACUUGUUCAACAAAAUCAUCAAUCCAAAGACACAUUUUUAAAUGCAACAAAAGUCACUUUUUUCAGAACUGGCCUAAUUUAACCCGUAUUAGAAACUGGGACUGGGAUUGAAUAGCGAGACCUUAAACUGAAGCAUUCAGGAAAUGCAUCGCUUUGAUUUUGAUGUACCGCCUUGUAAAACAACACGUUAAACUUACAUGACGAUACAAAACGUUAUGCUUUCUCUUCGGUUCUUUAUCGUUUGAUGUGCCAGUAAGAGAGCGAUUAAACCCUGACGGAGAAUGAAGGCAACGCACAAGGGGUCUGACCUCUGAUAACUUUUUAGCCACGCCUGUUUUCACUCUACUUAGUAAGGAUUCUCAUAAAUAGCUAAAAAAGUCACUUUUACAGAAAUCUGACUAUGUCAUGAAAAAAAAUAGUAAAAAAAGAGCAUUUUGGCUCGCUGGCGACCUCAUCUCCGCACGCAUAAAGGUAUGAUCUAGCAGAGGUGAUAAAUGACUAUUCUUUCAAAUCUAAGUAUUGACCUGAAUGAUUUCACUGGACGGAUUCUAAUCGUCAGUGACCUUUUUGGUCACUUUGAAUUAUUAAUCAAAGGGCUUUCAAAACUGACACGGCCCGGCGAUGAAGUGGUUAUUAUAACAACCGGUAAUUUAUUUGACUGGGGCCCGUCUGCCCCCCAACUGCUUGAAGCGGUUGUUUAUAAAAAAUUUGGUGACAGAAAAGUACACUUUUUCACGGUGGUAGGUUUUCAUGAAAUGCUUAUGACUGAUGCUAUCACUCAAAAGAACCUGAAAAGCUUCCGGUACUUUCCAGAUACGCAUACUCGUAAACACUGGAGAAGUUUAGGUGGUAGCUGGCAUGACUCAUACGAUCAAAUUUUGCUUGAGCGUGAUAUUUACAAAAUCGACUACCCACUGUUCAUCAAUCUCAAAACAAGGCUUGGUAAUUACAUAAUCGGCUCCUCCGAUAUCCCUCAGGAUGGCCGGGACUGGAGCGAUAUCAUAGCUACCUUAAACAAAAUGGAUAAUCAGAGUCUUCGAAUUAUGGCGAGCAACAUCACCAGAAGCCGGUAUUUCCUUGAAUCAGGAAAUUCAAUAGAAGGCAUAUCACUUGUCGUUUUAGGUGCGCAUCAACCCGAUCACAUAGGACAGAUUUUCAAAGGUGAGGCUGCAUUAGCUAAAUCCACUGUUUGUCUUUUCCCUAACAACUGGGAUGGGUUAUCAGCUGCACCACUGGACUUCAAAAUUCGAUUUAUUGACAUUACCGAAACAGAAUCCGGGAGUUGCUAUGAAUUUUAGAGCUUUAGCAUGUCUUUUCUUGUUGCUACCCACCGCAGGUAAUGUUAUGGCCGAUUCUCAGCUUCAGCUCAGUUCGGAUGUUAUUGUUGACCAGCACCAGGAAACCGUAAAAGGCAAAACGAGUUAUUUUAAGAAUAAAGUCGACGAUGCGAAAUACAUCCGGAUUAGCAAUCAGGCGGCAUCGUUCCCAUUAAUCCUUUCGCUACCAGAAGUUAAUUAUUCUGUCAUUGUUAAGAAUGGACACGCAACGUUGGCAUCUGAAGGCAAAGAUCUGAUUUGGGUAGAACCAGGCAGCUACGUUAUACUGCACAUUAAAGAAGGCGCGAAAUUCUAUGAUUUCAUUCCCGUGGUCUACAUCAUUGGGAAAGACACCCCCAAAGCUCUUACCGUUAUACCAGGUAAAGAAAUAAGCGCUGCAAAAUUGACAGAAAUAAUUGAUUAUAAAAAUUCUCCAGUGCAAAAAACACUGACCAGCAAAGACAAAGUAACUGGCUUAUCGGAUUUUAAAAACAUAAAGAAACUUAAAACAGGAUUUUAUAAAAUACAAGUCAAUCAAUUUACAUCCGUGAAUUUUGAUAAGGAAAUCUACAUAAUUUCACGAAACAAUAUGCUGGCAGGUUCGCAAUACUUCACUAGAAAACUGAUUGCCUAUCCACGCGAACAAAUAAUUAUAAGCAUUUCCGGAGAGACUCAUGUUAAAAAAUAGCCUGAUGCUUCUGGCCGCGUUAUUUCUUACCGCAUGUCAACAGUCACCGGGCUGGCAUAAAACGCUUCCUGCAAUAAGCUAUAGCCCUGUUAAAACUAUUGAUAUGCCCGGAAAAGUCUCAGGCAAUUAUACUGUCCGCGUAGUUAAUGCUGGAAUAGAAGUCUAUGUUCUAAUUGAAAAUGGUUAUAAUGAGUUUAUGACUGUCAACAAACUGUCAUUAUACGGUAAUCGAUGCGGGUAUGAGUCUCAAGAGGAGUUACUCAUUCCUCCCGCCUCAGUCAGUACCUAUAUGGUUCCUAACAUUGCAUUAUUAGGUCUGUGCUAUACAGAUGAUAUCAAGAUGAUUUUCGUAAACAAUAAAUUCAAUGGGUUAUCCAGGAAUAAAAAGGAUACACCUGUCCCUCUCGAAGUGUUGAUGCAGUUUAAACUUACUUCUGCAAAAGAAAAUGAGGAAUAUAAUGACGUUAUUUAUAGCUCGUGGAAUUAAGAAAAUAAGCGUAGCUGCAUUCGCUUUAGCAAUGACAACUGUCCCAACCUGGGCCUUUACCUACACCAUUGAUUCCAAUCCACAGGGUGCAGCGGUCAUUAAUGUGAUUACAAAGGAAAGAGUCGGUGUGACUCCCGUUAAAGUGGAGAUACCAGAUACGCAGGAAGGAAAGACUUUCGGUAUCCUGUAUAAAGACUACCGAAAUGUAGCCCUCAUGAUUUACAAACCAGCGCCAACAGCAGAGAGAGCCUUUACGAACAGUCCGCCGGUUGUGGUCACAAGCGCUCUUCCGGGAGAGUAUCCGUUAGGUGUAAAUAUCGAUGAAGCUCGGGAUAAAGUAGUUGUUGAUUUGCGGCCAGUAAUGUCACAACCAGUAAUCCUGCAAUAAAAAAGGGGCCUUAGCGCCCCUUUUCUUUUUAAGCUACCUGCCGUGUUUUCACACCUAACUGAAUCAGUUCUUCUUCGUAAACCCUGUCAAUUGCUUCCGCAUAUGUAUAUCCGUCACUAAUAAGGUCCCAGAUUUUGCGACGGUCUGCCGGGUCAGUUGUAAAACAAAGUUCCAUCUUACGGUCAACAUAAAGACGUACGAUUUGCUGUACAUUCUCAAAACGGAUCAUAAUCUCCGAAAAAACAAACUUUUCAGUCCUGAUCAACUUCAUUCUUUCGUACUCUGCUGAGGAUGCUGAAAUGUAUUUGUUCUUCUCCAUGGAAUCAAUCGCCUCUGGUGACUGCUUCAUGAUAAAUUUCCAUGGCGAGUUGUUGGCAAUUGCGAUACCAAUUGGAGACUUGUAGAAAUCUUCGAAGCUCUGUGUAAUACAGAUACCAGCACAGUUUGUUUUACGGAAACGACGCCAUGCUGCUUCAAGGAAUUUCGUAAAGAAAUUCACAGCAGCGUCAUCACCGUUACUUUCACCGAUAUAUUCCCACGCUUCAUCAAGAAUGAAUAACCGCCGACGUCCAUCCUUCUUAAUAAACAUAGCAUGUUGAGCAGCCUGAAUAAUCGACAUCAGCACAACCCACUGUAAAUGAGGGGUAGGUUUAAGCUCUUCCAGCUCAAGUACAAUAAACCGGCUAUCAAAAUCAAUUGGUGGCAAUGAUGUGGUGAACCUGCGCCCAUAAAUACCGUCCUCGCACCACGGCCCCAACUGCACACCAAUAUCUUUAAUCUCUUGUUUCGAGUGGUUUUUACACUUUAUGGCAAACCCGGUGACAGAUGGUAAAUAAUUAUCCUCAGGUGAUUUAGCCUCUUCUAUAAUUAGGCGAAGCAUUUCAGCUUCCUGGUAAUCUGUAAUAUUACCACUACUGGAUGCCAUCAAUUUAAUCUGAUUAAGAACCAUAAUAGUUUGUGAAAUCAGAUCCGAUUCCUUGUUUGUGUCAUCUUCCCCUUUCGCGAUUCCAUCCAGAUUUUCAUCACCAGUGUAUUUCUUAACCAUAAAAGCGAAUGGGUUAAGAGAAAAAGUAGCAUCAACGCCAAAAUCGAUAAACUGGGAAUCUUCAAACUGUUCAGCAAGACCCUGAUAUGAGCGACCUAUAUCGACGACAAACACCUGAGCGCCAUCUGGUGACGCAUUAAAUUUGCCAUUCAGAUCCAGCGGUGGAGCGAACUUGUCGGAAGUAAGUAUUUGACGCACAUCAUCAAAAUGGUAGAGCGGGUUUAUAUGCUCACCAGAACACAGAUAGUUAAGAAUAAUGUUGUUUGCUGCAAAUGAUUUACCUGCCCCGGAUGUUGCGCCUACGCAUACGUUGUAACUAGCAGAUGUUUCAAAAAUAUCAAUCAUGACCAGCUGCCCUUCGCGUGUUACAAAGGGUAUAACCGGAUUCGCAGAGUUUCCUUUCCACGGCCCGAAAAUAGGAGCUAAGUGAGCAGCGCCCGUGUUCGUCAUGACAUCUCCACGAUCCAUAUCUCUGAAUGUAGAUGGGUCAUUACAUAACGGUAAAGCUGACAUUACGCCUGAGAAGCAAAUAUAACUGUCAUCUGCUACAAUUAUUUUUUUCUCACUGUAGUAGCUCAUCAGACUUUUUGCAGCCGUUUUCACUUUUUCCAGAGUGUUGUCCAUGACAAUAAAUGUCAUGUACGUCUGUAGUAAUUUUGCUUUAUCUUCCAGCUCUCUUGUCAAAGCCGAGUAAUCUUUAUCCAUAUCGGCGAGACGAGGUAGAUAUUUUAGGACAAUUGGAAUUUUUGACUGGUUAUCUGUAAUUGCCUUAUAACGCAGAUAUUCUUUCUGUAUUUUCUUUUGAUAUGGAAACUGGACGCAGUAAUUGAUAAUGAAUGGUGAAAAAAUGGUUUUACUUCCAGUCAUCCAGUCAACCACGAGCUCAUAAAUGGCCCCAAAAUUGACAUAUUCAGGAAAUUUAGUCAUAGACAGGUGCUUGAAAUAACGCUGAGCCGUUUCAUCACCAUCAGAGGUCAAUGAGGAAAAAUAAUCUUCCCCUACCUCAUACUUCCGGCCUGGAAUGUUGACCUGUUUGUUAAGUGGCAUUAAUGAACUGGAUUCAAGACCGCCAUAUUUCCAUCUGGAGUCUUUGCCUGGGUUCAAUAUUUUAUCAACGCUGUAUAACCACAUAUCAGCGUCACCUAUAAUUGGAGAAAGGGUUAACCCUUUCAGUUUUGCCAGAAGGUCUUUAAACAGUGCAUCGAGUCGCAUUGCUUCGGAUUCGCUUGGCGAGAAACCCUUAAUAGGUAUCCGCACGGUUACCCAUAAUUCGAAAUUCCUGAGCUUUAACUCAUCGGCCUGAGUGAUUUUUAUACCAUCAGCAACCUUCAACGGAUCAUAUUGGCUUUUCGUCAGAUAGUCGAGUGAGUAUACAGUCAGCAGGUCAGCUUUUUCGUUAUCCCGCCCCCCCAUUCUGUUACCGCGUCGGCGUAACCAUCGGGACAAUGAAGUAUUGACAUCAGGUAACGCUGUCAAUGUCAUUUGCAUAAUGGACUCAGCAGGGAAAUCCAUUUUAAACAGAUCCGUCAUCAGGUUUUGUUGGUUAUCAUAUAAUCCAGGUGACGGGUUGCAGACAAAAAAGAAGCCUACUGCAUUAUCUUCCAGCAAAAAAUAAGGCGCAUCCACCAUUCUGUCGACCACCGGAAUGAAGUGACCUAAGUUAUAUCUUUCCAGUUCUUUUGCGAGACGUGAGUUGUUCAUACUUUUUCCUUACAUUCCGUGGAACUCUAUAUACAUUCAUUGGAUCGGCUAGAAAGAACUACCGGUGACUCCGUUCGCCGUUACGCCUUUAGUGCUGCGUUGCUGCUGCUGCAUGUUGUUACGAGCGCUAUCCUGAACUUCCAGCGGCACAAUUCGGGCCGGGUUUUUCAAUGCUGAAUCACCAGCAACCCACGUUUGAGGUUUGACGUUGACAUAUACAUAACCAGGGAGGUUAAGUGCGUCGUUAUCGUCAGUGUAAGGUGCAAUAAGAACACGCAUGACCUUCCCUUGCCUUAACACGGCCAGAGGUUCCGGAGCGAUAACAGCCUGUCGGGUCCCCUGUACCUGAUACUGACGCUCCUGAUAUGAGCUCAGCGUUGGGUUUACAGGCUUACCGUCAAACUCUGAAUACAGGCCUUUACCUGCUGGUACCUGCUGUUGCGACACAUAACUUGCCGUUGUCAGUGGUUUCACCGGCUGGGGUGUUCCGGAGAACAACGGUUUAGGGCCAGUGCUAACCACUGGUUUUUGUGGGUACUGAACGCCUGGCGGUGGAGUUAAGGAUGUUGGAUACUUACUAUCCGCAAUAUCCUGCUUUCCCCCAUCACCUUCCUUUUUUAAAUACUUUAGAUCGUCGUGAUUGUUAGUGGCUUCCAUAAUUGCCCGGGGGCCCAUACACAGAACGCCUUUUUCAAUACCCGGGCAUGAGCUCUCAGAUUGACCGAUGCAACCAGAUAAAGUAGUCACCGCAGCAACAGACAUGAGUAAUUUCGUGAUGUUAUUCAUAUGUACGCCUUAUUUAUCAAAAGGGUUUUUAAGCAACGGUUGUAAAUUCAAUUUCAACCAUCCCUUAUAAUCAGUCGGUAAGCCAUUGCCCAAAAGUCCGUCUUCACGGAUCACAGAAGGCAUCCCCUGAACGUUAUAGACAGAGGCCAGAUAUAAACCAGUUACGAUUGGUUCUACUGAACAAUCUUUCAGGCUUUCAUGAGGGAUAAGACGGCUAUUUAUAUCCUGUGAUUUACCUAAUAACGACUGAAGAAUAUCGUAAUUAGAUACCUUCCCCGCUUUUACAGAACACCACAUUUGCUUAACACGUUUAGCCGCUUCGCCGGGACUCGGUAGGAUGACAAUAUCAAAACGCACUGCUUGCCUGUCUUCAUUCAUCUUUUUCAGGAAAUUAAUACAAUCAGCACAAUCAAGAGUAAUGAAGAUAACCGCCUGACGUUUAAGGGCAGGAUUACCGAACUGGAUAGUAAAGGCAUCCUCAGGCUUAAACGGUGCUUCGCUCAACGGCAGAAAGUAACUUUCCCGGAUAUCAGCUAUCGACUGUACCUGUUUUUUUCGGAGCACAUCGUAAGCCUUACCUUCUGAAAAAGAGUAACGGCCCGUAGUGGUAACUAGUGUGAGACCACUACGUUGAUCCUCAAACAAGAAAAUCCCACCAGUCGGUAAGUAGAUUGCAUCAGUUGGUUUGUAAGAACCAAGCUGGCUGACUAAUCCGCGUUGUGACUGAUUUAAAGCCAGUCCGUUGUCAGCAGCUGCACGGGUUAACGCGGCCGCGUCAGCAUCAUAUUUAUCAGAGGCAAUAGAAUGAGCUGAAUUGAGCAGUGCAAUAAACGCAAGUGAUUUGAAAAGUAACUUUUUCAUGAUUACUGCUUACCCUCAAAAUACUUAGGGUCUAUGCCAAAUUCAGUCAGCUCACUUUCAAGUUCGGACUCAUUUAUGUAAGCAACUUCACUUACUGUUGAUGGCCGCGUAAUGACGUAACUCAUAUCCAGAACAAGGAAAUCACGCGCCCUGUACAGCGCCAUAAGCUUGCGGAUAUAAGGAAGGUAGCCUUCAUUAUUUCCGUUAUGUGCCUUUAAAUACUGUUCGUUUAAUGCCGAAGGGUUAAGAACAGCAAUUUUCACACUGUCAUUAAACAGGCUGGUCCCCUUAUUAAGGUGCUUACCGAUAAACAGCCCAAUGCAUGUCAGGACAGCGGCAACUAUGAUGACUUUGACUGUCUUUUCGAUGAAUGAAUAUGAGACAAAAAAUGUCAUCUUUUUCUGUUCACUUUCAACUUCACUUUUUUCAAAAUCAGCGUCAUUUGUGUCAUCAUCUUUUCUUGGUUCAGUCAUGUUUAUUUCGCCGCUAAAUUGGUUGGAAUGGAUGCACCGUUAAGGACGACAAAAGUCGCAUUAAUACCCGGAGAAAGCUCUACAACCGGCCACUGCUGAUCAAUUAUGUGGGUAUACCAGUCUGUCAGCUUGUUUAAUCCUCCCGAGACCAUACCACUUGCGCUCACAGCGCCAAGAGCACCAAUGUUAGGUCCCUGGAAUUGUGCUUGUGAGUUAGGAUCGAUAUUCAGCUGACUAACUUUGCUUGGGCUCAGUCCCUGCGCCAGCGCGCUAAGGCCACCGGCUAAGGCACUACCCAUAAUAGCGUUACCGUUUCGGGAGAUAAGCGUACCUUUGAUACCGGCUUUUCCGUCGAUUUCACUAACUGCGUAUGCCUCCAGUUUGAUAUCAAAGCUUUUCCCUUUGGAAUUUACACAGCUCAGACUUGUUGUGCGGAUAUAGACUCGUUCAGAGGCCAUAUCUCCACGAGCGGUACCCAGGAGGUUACAAUCACGAAGAUCCAUUCUGUAGUUAUUGGGUAAGAAAACAUCGCGUUUAACCCUGAACGUUACUCCCAACGGUUCCUCCUGAGACGAUAAUGAUGUCGGCGCUUCCACACCUGUCACCAGAACUGCAUAAAGUUGGGAAGUAGCAGGCAAAUACUGGUCUUCAGAGCGUUUUGAGUGACGUGCAUUGCUAUCUAUUGGCUUAGUGCCAUCACCUGCCACGGCAGGCGCUCCGGCUUUAACAACUCGCUUUUGGUUAGCGUUCGUAAUGUUCUUUUCAACAAUUGGUGUCACUUCAAGGACACCGUUAUUGGCAGUGGUAAUGCUGUUACUGGUAAUUGUGCGCACCAGCUGGGUACGUUGAGGUGAGAUACCGCCUGCGACUGGUAUUUCCUGAUUGCGAUUUGCCACCGCAUCACCAUUAAGCUGAUAGGCUGGAUUUUGCUGCUGAUUGUCAUUGGCCUGCUGGCCUACGCGGUUAUCGAGGCUACGAUUACUUGCCGGGCCCUUACCAUUCUGCAUAUCUGAAAUUUGUUGGUUCAGCUGCUUAAGUUGCGCUUUUAGCUCACUUAUCUCACUGGAAUUUUCAGACUUAUAUUUCUCCAUCUGCUUAACCUGAUCCAACAUGGAUUGUUGGUCUUUACGGUUUUCCUGUUGAACAGUUUGCAGAAAACGCUUCUGUCCCUCUUCAUCCAUAUUGUGGAUAGAAGAAGUAUCCAGAAGGUUAGUAACUGGCUUAAUUUUUUUUGAUUUCUGGUUUGAAUCAUCUCCCCCCAUAAGCGUGAGAGUCGCCAUCACAAGAGCCCCAAAUGCUACGAUGAGUAGAAAAGCCAUUCGAAUGGCUUUAUUUUCUGCCCACAAUUCCUUCAGCUUCAAAGUUUUCAUUAUGUUGACCUUUAUUACCUGGAGGUAAAUAUCUCUUUACCCUCAAUGACCUGAUCUUUUCAUCUAUUUGCGGUACAGAGUAAGGAGGCUCAGCCCGUAAAUUUUUGAACACGUUAUUUUCAAGAUGCUCAUAGAACUGACUCUCACUCUCCAGUUCAAUUUGAGUGUUCUCUCUUGCUUGUUCAUGAGUCCUGGACCCAUCCGGCUCAGUUAGAGUGAUGAUUUUUUCAUCGGAUUUUUUACCCUUGCUUAAGUCAAUAUUUUUCUCACGAGCUAUAACUUCGUCAGAAAGCAAUAUGUCCGAGUCAUAAACCUUAAAAUCAUCAAAUUCAGGGAGUUCGGUUUCUUGCACUGUAUAUUCCGUGGGCAAAAUCUGAACCAGCUCAGAUCGUUCCUUUUGGACAUUUCCGAUAAAAAAACCAACGCCUAAACCAACACUGAACAAAAUGACCCAAGCGAAUACUGAAAAGUUACUUUUCUUUCUCAUUCAUUAAUCAGACUUGGCCGUUUAGUUACACGUGACUCUCGCUCCUGGUAGAGUUUGUCACGAAGAAUAUACAGCUCUGUUUUUUCACCAGGUUGCAAGAAUGCUUUAUCAAAAAUCGCAGUGGCAAUAACACCUGGCGUAAUGCAUUUUUGGUCAUCAACAACCGCUGGAUAAGUCAGGUUAUUUUGAACAAGAACGACAUCUACAAGUUCACGAGCACCGAUAAGGCGUUGACCAAGCUUCGCAUAAAAGUUAAAUCGGCAAGGUGAUUUUUCGUUAUUAGGGAUAACCGAGAGUUUAUCCAACUGAAGUGCAAAACCGGUUGGUACUUCACCAUUAGCAACCGGAUAAAGGAUAUCGAUGAUCCUCUGCUUACGAUCAUCCUGAGCAAUCGCUUUUUCGUCAAGCUCACCAGAUUGUGCUUGCUCCAGCAGCACUUUAUUCGUGUUGGAAGCUAUAUGGCGAUCACGUUCAAUAGCCAUGUUUUGCGUUAACUGAGUUUGAACACGAAUCAUGGCUCCGGGCACAUCUAUAGGAAUCAGCGUCAGGUUAUAAGUUGAUUCUGGCACCCCUUCUUCGGCCAGCAUAAUGCCUACAGGGGCAUCUUUUACUGUCGUAAUGAAGACACUGCCACCUUCAACAUAGAUAGUUGUAUCUUCUGAAGGUGCGGUUGUUGAAACACUUACGUUCUUAAAUGAAGUCUGGAUGCGGUUUUGUAAACCUAAUGAAACAGGAAGAACAAUAUUUCCCCCUGGAGGUACAGUAACGUUUUGCAUUGGUUGAUAACGCUUCUUAGCCUCAUUGACUGCCUUUUGACCAGGUCCUUCCGAGGGUGCAUUGUUCAUUAACGAAUCGGUCAUUGAACGAACAGCAGCAGAAGAAGCGCUAGUCUGGGAUAGCCCUGGAGCAGCAGGAAUAGCAGUAGUCGGGCGAUUUGGAUUAAUCGGUGGCUGGUUACUGUUUAUAGGAGGUUGGGUAACUGCCAAGGCUCCUGGCACUUGUUUAACGGCAUUGGUCACAAUAUCCAUUGCUUUGGCCGAGUCAGGCGGCUCAUCAAAGGCUUGGGUAUUUACUGCUGACGCAGGAAUACUGAACGGUUCAUCAGCAUGAACAACUGGAGCCAGCACGUUUAAUGUGAUUAGUAGUCCUAAAAGUUUUCUUUUCAUAUUAUUGGGCUUCUGCUUCGUUCUGUUGCUGGAUCAUGUCGGUAUUUUCAGUAAACUCUUUUUCCAAUACCUUCCCGUUAACUGUUACUUUUUUGAUAUUUGGGGUACCUGAAUACUGGUUCAGGUAAAGGAUUCGAGGCCGUCCGCUUUUGACGCUCAAAACCAUCUCAAAGGUCCAACGCUCAGAUUGUUCUUUAUCAGAAACGUUAAGGAAUUUCGUUUUACGGGUUCCCCAGACAUAAAGAACGUUAUCACCCGGAAGAAAGCUCACAUCCUCUGCAACAAAGGUCUGAUCAACUUUCCUCGCCAGCAUUAAAUCAGAGGCUUUUUUGAGCUCAGCUUCUAAAGCUGACUGCUUAGAUGCUGGAAACAUUUUUAAAAUAUAACCAGUAACGAAAUUCACGUUCUUGGGGUUUAUGUUGCCCAAUGUGGUUGCUAUAAAUAGGCCCCAUUGCGUCUUAUAUGACUCACUAGCUUUACUGCCAGCAACGGAUACUUCCUCAGUCAUAUCUGGAGGUAUAGCAAUGAUCUCUGUGGUUGAAAAAAAAACAACUUUGAUAACCAAGAGACCAGCAAUCACGGUCAAAAGUCCGUUGUUAAAAAUUAACUUUUUGUCCCGUUGAAUUAACUGGCUAUAGGUCAGUUCAGCACCCGUUUUUUUCCCUAUUUUGGGAGUUUCGAGCUCUUUUGAUAAAUUCAGGAUCGACUUAGGACGCUGCAUUUUGUCAGUGCUAUAACUUUCUGCCUUUUCAACCUGGACAUCAUCAGCCUCAUCAUCCUUUGAUUUAUCAGCUACCUUCUUCUUAGGCACAAACCUGAAGAAGUUCAUGACGUUUUCUAAAAGUGACUUUUUCUCGCUCAUUACUUCUCCGGGAUUAAUUUAGCUGUACAGCACUCGCAUAAAAGGGUCAGAAAAAUAUCGACUCUGGAAAACAGUUCUUCCCGGCAGAAAACCAUUCCACCAAAGUUUGUGUUUCAGUCUUCCCCGCACCGCGCUUUCCUUUGCUUUGUUGUAUGCAAUCCAGUAAACAACUGCGGUAACUGAUGCAAUGGACAUACAUUCAAAAAUAUUCCCGAACGCAAGAAGGCCCAUAACUACGCCGAUCUGCUUGGCAUCAAAAAACAAUAUCAGCAAAGGUAGAUUAAUCCGGUAUGGAAAUCGGUAUGUGUAAUUGUUAUCCAUUUACUUAGCACCAUUUCUGAACAUGGUCUCUAUUGUACAGGUAAUAAAAAGGGGACUUUCGUCCCCUAAUUGUUGUUUUGCGUUUUUAGCAAAAUUUAUUUUUACAGCGCAACACCUGCAUCCAGGAAACCGGAGAUGAUUUUUUCGCCAUUCGCAAGGAUCAUCAUCAUGAGGAAGGAAACCAGCGCCAGGCCUGGGUUCGGACGACCGAUAGAGAAAUAAAACGCAGAGAACAGCAUACACGCGGCCAGUGCUUUACCUGGCGCACCGCUUAAUGCUUCAGACAGCUGGGUCCAGAUUUCACCCAGAGCGCCAUCGUCACCGCCCGCUAGGGCAAUAGAGGAAAACAACGCAGCGCACAGCAGAGCUACAAAUACCUGGAACACUUUAUUGCUGACCAUAUUACGCAGGUUGUCAGACAGGGUGAAGGCAGCAGUACCGUUCAUAGCCAUAGAUUUCUGGAUCAUUGUGAAACUCCUGAAUGCAAAAAUUGGUUUAGGUUUUCUGGCGCUAACCAGCAAUUUGAGAAUACCCAGGGUUAAUUUUUAAUUUCGAAUCUAUAGAACAUUUUUUUUAUAAAAAAACGGGGAAAUGGCAGGACCCAUUAAAGUCACUUUUUCGCAAAGCUUAAAAAGUCAUCCUAUGGGUGAAAUAAAUCCUUUCUAUAUGGGCAUAGGUAACCACACAACCAAAGAUAACCACAUGAUUUUAUUGUGAUUAAUUUUCAACACCGACAUCUGUUCAAUUUUGCAUCCAAAAUCACCUUUUCGGUAUUAUGUUUCAAAAGGCACUUUCUGAAAUGGAAAAAUGCAUUUUUCGCGUUCAAAAAAGUCACUUUCGUGUUGUUACAACCCAAUCGAAUUGAGAAAAGUCACUUUUAACUCACCUUUGGUCGGGGGCUUAAACCCAACUUCUGUAAUUGCCUCAGUCAGGACAGCAACAAAAGUCACUUUUGUGGCUAACAAACAUAGACGUCAGAUAUCAGGUUUACUACCGGGAUACUAUAAUUGGUAGUUUUCAUGUAUUUUGGUCCGGUUUUCUCUGAAAAAUGCUCAAAAAAUUAAGAAAAUGGAGAAAAUUUGAAGAUUCUGUGUUCAAUAUAACUUAUUGAAUUUUGGUGUUUUCAUAUCACAAUCAGAGUAAUUAUCUGAAAGCAAGCGGUUGCAUCUACCUUAUCGGGAUAUAAUCUGCUAUAUAUGCCAAAAAAUGCAACCUUUCCCUCUUCACAACCUUCAUUUCAAAAUGUAAAUUUAGGAAUACUCUGAAGUGUGUCGUGAAUGGAAUAUCAUGAAAAUCAAGCUUAUUUCGGUUUUGGGUUUAGACCUUAAAAUUUCCUUAAAUAACAAUAUCUUAACCAUGAGCUGUAAUCUUGACGGUCUUAGUAUUUUCGUAACCCGUCGUAUUAUUCGCAACUCAAAACUGACCGAAUCAGAAAUUUUCGCAAAAAUCGAUUCGGAUUGGGUCAGUAAAAUUUUUGCUAUAAAUAUCAGGCAGAUAAAGAACGUCCUAGAAUCAAACGUUUCCGUAAUACCGGUACAGAGUCAACCUAAACAGGUUAGCGUAUUGGUUGACGAACACGUUCCAGCAUUCAAAAAUUUUUGAUUAAUAGUCUUCAAAUCUACAGGGUUAAUCGGAAUUAUUUCCAAUUCCAGCCAGCAAUGUCGUUUUCUAAUGUCAAAAAAAUACCCCCUUACCUGGCGAUCUUUUCCUGAUAGGAUAUGGAAUAUCUGAGGGGAGAUAUAUAUGUGGAUAACGACCAACAACGAAAUCAUUUGUGACACUGAGCCGAAUUCUGCCGGAUUUAUUGAAAUCCAGCGGCCCUGUCCGGACUGUCUAGGUUCUGGUAUUAAUUGCAAUCAUUGCUCUGGCACCGGCGUACUCCCUGCUGUAUUGGAAAAAGUUAUUCCUGUGUAUGAGUGGGCUGCCAAAAAUUCGCUAAAAUUUCCAUUUAUAUCACCUGAGCAGACCCUAAUUAGAAAGUGGCUGGAAAUCAGAUUAUCGACUUCCAAUCAGGGUAAAAAUCAUUUCCAUUCUUCACUGGUCCAGGUUUUGGAUAAAAGUAACUUUCCUACCAAAUUGCAAUAUAGGUGUCUGCGGCCAACUCAACAAGAACAUAAAACGGUUGCCAGCCUGACGGUCAGACCUUAUAACGCAAAAAUCGGGGCCUGUUUAAAUCUCGAUCUCACCGUUAGAAAAAUUGAGGUGCUAACUCGUAAGUUUUCUAUCGAGAGCUUUUCCUCAUUACUGUUGGAAACCACUGACCACCGGCAUUUUAUUGCCUAUGAUUCGAAUCCAUCCCGACAUAGUCCCGGGGAUAUUCUACGUUGCAACAUUCAGGUAGUUAAACGACUCUGGAUCAAUAAUAUGAGUAUAUUGCAGGUUAAAAUUGUCAAUACUUCACCUGGAGAUUUAUAAGUGGCUGACAACAGAAAUCCCUCAAGCUUUACAGAGGUACUUGUUACUCUUUAUGCUUCGAAAUAAUAAAUUGCCAGAGAUUCAGCUAUUGCAGGAUUUCUUUAGAAAAAACCACAAGUUAUCCUUAACCUGUGACCAGACUAAAGUUGAUUUCACUUCAAGUGAAAUCACUCCCCUGCUCUCUAAAGAUAAAAGUAACUUUUCUCAGGAUAAGGUCUUUUUGACAGGGCCGAUUAUGCAUGGCCGAUAUCAACCUUUGUGGUUUGCCAUUUUGCUGGACUUGAACGCAAGACAACCAACCGAACAAGGCCUUCAAUUCUGUUUUUCUCUUGGCGAACUGAUAGAAAAAACAGACAGAGUUUCAGAGGCUAUAGGUCUGCGUAAAAUUUGUUAUACCCCGGGUGAGGUUUUGUUCUUUUUGUUGAUGAUGAUUGAGUUCAGGAUAGAGAUACAAACAGAUAAUAUUCGUCAGACCUGCGCUGUAUUUUCAGAAAUCAGUCACAAUGUUGAUUGUGAUGCGGUCAACCGGGUUAGUUUUACUGUUAAUCCCAGGAUUGUCACGACUCUGUUGGGACUGACUAAUGCAGUAUCAGUUUUUCUGACAACGCUUUUUUUUGCCAAACGGCCCGAGGUUUUUGACCUUCACCAAAAGUUACUUUCGGAAAAAGAAGUCAAAUCCCUUUCCGAAAUCGCUCCAGCAACAUUUAAACACGUACAGUUACUAGGUCGAUUUGGAUUUAUCACUUACACAAAGAAAAGAAAAUUGUUUGAUAUUCAUAGUAUUAGCGUUUUUGUUGAGGGUGUUAGUCCAUUGUGAUUUUCAAAAAAAAGUAACUUUCGAAAAAAAUCGCUCACUAGCAGUUUUAACCACCUAGCGAGAAGUUUUUACAGAAAAUUACUGUAGAGUCUAAUUUCUGGGUUGAAUUGCUCAAAGGUCAUAAAAUGAAGAUAAAUAGAGAAGCUGAUUUUUUUAUCUCCACAGUACGGAGCGGUCGGACUGUCAAAAAUUUGCGUGAAUUUAGUGACGCAAACCCCGACAUUUGCCAUAAAGCAGUUAAUGGUCAGCCAUUUCUGAUUGAUCCCCGGGCAUUAGGAUUAGUGCCAAACUGGAACUGCCGUGAGAUGGGCCUGGGAGAGGCUUACUACCAACUACCUAAACCUUCUCAACAUAUACAGAAUCUGAAAGCCGCAUUUUUAAGCGGGGCCGAUAUUGAUCCUAUUACAGUUGUGAUUGUAGAAGGUCGGCCCUUAGUCCGUCAGGGGAACUGUCGUACACGAGCAGCCCUGCUAGCGCUAAAGGAAUCUGGUCUGCCGAUUCUAAUUAGAUUGAGGGAAUUUCAGGGAGACGAGAUCGAGCAGGAAUGGCAUUCAUUGGAUGGGGCGAAAUCAUUGCAGCUUUGUCCUGUUGGACGUGGAGUUGCCUAUAGCAGACUAGUUAAUGACGCCGGGAUGUCGGUAGACAUGGUAGCGCAGCGUGAGAAUAUUUCCGAAAUGGCCGUGAGGCAACUUAUUUCUCUUGCGACUAUCGAUGAUGAGCUGAAAAUUUUAAUUACUCAGGAAGUUAUUUCUUACACACUCUGUCUGGAAUUAAUUCGUGACCUGGGCGAAAAGGAAGCGCUGGAGAAAAUCCGGGGAGAAUUAAACGCAAAGCUCCAGGUCAUAGCUAAUUCAAAAGAGGGUGACUCACUUCCUCUGAAUGUUUCUGAAGUAAUGACUGCACCAAACUCUCGUAAAUCUGUCAGGAUCACUAAAAAAUCAUUGGGUUUUCAACCCAUCCCUCGUAAAUUAGCCCAGAAUCUUGCGGCCAGUUCUAAAGAGGUUUCAAAAAGGUUACGGGCCUCGCUUCCGGCUGAGUUUGAUCUUGAACAAUUUGGUCCGAACGAAAAAAUACCAAUUGAGCUCGACAAGCAUUUAAUUGAGCUGAUUUUACAGUCAGAAGCCUCAGUUCUAGAUCACGAGGUGAAACUUCAAAGGAAAACGACUAAGGGCAAACUUUCACAUUCGACUCAGGCAGCUGAUGUUGAGAACAAUACAAUACCUGCUUCUGAUGAAGCAACAAAUGAACCCUUGAACGAUCAACCUUCAAGCAAUCAGAAUAAAGAAUUUUCAUUGCUAAAUUUGCAUUCUGCUGUAUGAAAUGUGUUUACUUGGUAUCACUAAAUGCUGGAGGAUCUAACUAUGUCUGAUUUUAAAUGCGCUGAAAUGGAUGGCAUUCCCCCGUUUCCUGAAAAUGGCGAGCCUGUAGCUGUUACGGUCCCUCCUGUCAUCAUGAAUAAUUUUCCUCUUGCUGAUCCAGAAGAGGAUUGAGGUCUGCCGUAAUUUUUUCCCUUCAUAACUGCAGGGGUGAUGCAAUCACCCCAAAAUUCAAUACAUAUCAAUAAUCUAGCAAUCCUUCAUUUAAUAAACACUGGAUAAAUAUUAUAUUUUUAAAUUUUCUGAAUGUUUAUGACUAAUACUAAAAAUAUAACCCCACCCUUCUCUCUCAUGUUUUAAAAAUAGGGUCUAUACAAGGCGUUUUUAUUUGAUUUAAUGGUGUCAUCUACAAACGCUAGGGGGGGGAUUCAAUGAAACAUUCAAAUGAGCAAUGGUUUUCUGUUGACGGUCAGUUAAUUGAUGAAAAAUUUGUUUUCAAUAUUCAUGAGUUCAAUGGCUCCGCCCGGUAUGAAAAAAGUUAUUCAUGUUCAUAUUGUAAAGGGUCCGGCCGUCAUCGUUUGAGCUAUGCAAACUCUACUGGUGCAUGUACUUCCUGUAAAGGUACUGGUAAACAAGGCACCUUAAUUAAAGAAUGUUAUACCCUGAAAGAGCUUUUCAAAAAGAAUUAUUCAGCAGCUCAAAAAGUUGUAACUUCAACCACCUGGCGGCGGCAAAGGAUGGAUAAUUUAACUCCACUGGAGCAUAAAAUCAUAUCAGCAACUGAUAAAAAUCCAUUCCUUAAGAUUCUUACACUUACCAUUCAAAGCGGUCGUCAACUUUCUGCUAAACAAAUUGCAGUCGCUGAGCGAAUCCUUUCAGAAAUCCACUAACCCUCAAAUGCACAAUGUCACUGUCAAAAGAUGGUGACAUUUUUUUAUUUACUCCCCUUAUCGGGAAAACCCAAAAAUUUUGCAUGAUAUUAUUCUCAUAUAGACCUAUGAGUGUCUUUCAAAAGUUACUUUCGCGGCCUCCCUCAUAAAAAGGUUCAUUAUGAAUUUACCACUAUUCUUAAAUCGUACUGCUAUAGCUGUAGGCCUUACGUUGGCUUCCGGUGUGUUAUCCGUUGCGCACUCACGUGUAUACGAGUACACCUUUACCGAUAUUAACGGGGUCCAUAAAAGUGUCUCAGAAAGCGCCCCAUAUCUUAACCCCCAGGGCAAUUUUAACGCCCUUCUCAUUGGAGGGUUAGAUCAACAAAUCCGUAUCUCCGUUUCUCGCGAUGAAGAUAACAGCUCCAUUUAUAGCACUACAACCGGCAUCAUUACUGUUGAUGACCGAAUCUCGUCUUCAAGCGGCAAUAGUUUCUACGGUAAAUCUGUCACGAUCCCCCCUCUUAGUGAUGGCCGCUACACCAUCAAAUCCGAAAUUUUAGACUCAAAAUCAGCUGUGGUAUCAACAACAACUCACCCUGUUUUUAUUGAUACCGUGGGGCCUACGUCUGAUAACUUUUCGGUUCCAUGGGUACCAGGUUAUGACAUGGUGGUAUCAGGUUCUCGAUGGGAACUUGGACGUGGUCAGGAAUCUAUAAUUUACCUCGCUGUCAAAAACAUCAAUGAUUUGUCAGGUUUUGAUAAAGCGGUAGUUCAGAUCAUUAAACCCGGUGGCUCCGUAUACUCAAGUUAUACAAUGUCUUACGAUGAAGGCUCUAAAGGUGCAACAGCCCCUAUUACUAAAAGUGGCAUGAAUAAAGCUGACUGGAUGCCUGUUUCAGACGCUGAUACUGACUUUAAAUUUCGCGGCUUACUCUAUGAUAAAGCUGGCAACGUCUCUCAGGUUCCAGACCAGACCUUUGUAUUCGACUCAUCGCCGGGAGAAAGUGAAUUAUUUGCAGUAGAAGAUCCAACUGCUACAACAAGCGUCAUACCUGGUUUCGAAAAAGGAUAUGUUAAAUACACUGCUGGUAUGACUGUAGAUACAAACCCAGUUACUCUUAUUUAUAGAUUACCAAGGACAAAUUAUCGUGCAAAUAAUAAAGCGGGAUUAUCUUUUGGUUCCCUAUUAACUGAAUCUAAUGGUUACGUUUAUAUCAAGCAGACUAUUCCUGUUGGAACAUCAUUUGUUAUUCAUAACGGAUAUCAAUAUGGCGGAGGAAAUUCUUCAUAUAACGUUAAACUGGGAGAGAACGCUCCAAAAUCACCAGUAAUCAGAUCAAGACUAAUGACUUUCUCAACAGUAGGCAGUUUUGACUAUGGUCAGAAGCUUUUUAAAAAUGAAGAACUGCCUGGUGAAUAUCAAACUGCAUCUAUAACUGUUGACGCAAGGGAUUAUGUACAAUCUUUUUACAAUGCAACACAAGCAAGGGAAGUCUGCUCAAUACCCGUUGGAGAAACAACAUGCACUGGAACUUUUUCCUACAAAAUUAAUAAAGGAAAUGGUUACAUUGCGCAUUAUUUCUUAGUGCGCAGUCCUGAUAAGAAAUUAACUUCCGACCAAUUUGAAAUUAGAAGUAUUUGGAAUACAGAUUUAAUUCCAAAAAUUACAGGAUUUGAUUAUAGAGAAGCUAAUAAAUCUAUUCUGGUCUAUGUUACUCAACCUGGUAAUGGUAACUGGAGAGAAGUAUUGAGGUUAGCUAGUGUCGAACUUUUUGACACAUUAUCUGGAACGUCACUUUUAGCCGGUUCAAAAGUGGCAAUGUCAGGUGAUGAUUAUACCUAUGCCCUUGAUUUAUCGAAGUUACCAGAAGGGAAGUAUGAUCUUGCAUUCAGAGCAAAAGAUACAUUUAAUAAUACUUCCCAACUUCCUUUUAAGUCUAUUGUUGUGGAUAAAACGCCCCCUUCUCUCUCUAUCUCUUAUGAUGGCGCACCUCUAAUAUCUGAAAGUACGGUGUACGGAUUAGAAAACAUAUCAGUAUCUGUAACUGAUUCAUUGAGCGAAUCGAAGAUUUACCAAAUGGUUCUUCAAGGCGGACCUACAUCUGAUGAUGUUGAAUUAGGUUUUACUAAAAAUACGGAUGGAACCUAUACCCCACUCUAUCCAAGAUUAUUUCCGUCUCUCGAUGAAACAACAGAUAAAUACACCCUUUUAGUUAAAGCUAUAGAUGAUGCAGGUAACAUGUCAUCUAAAUCUAUCCGCUUUGCCUACUACCCUAAGAACCUUAUUGUUCUUGAUAAACUAAAUACCCUGGCAGUCAAUAAGGCGAUAAAAUUAUCUUCUGGUGAGCCAUUAGCCGUUCUUAAAGCAAGCCAGUUGCGUCGUAAUGAUGGUUCGCUUGCAAAAGGCGUCCAAACAGCACUAAUUACUGUAAGGGGUGAUUCAGCAUUCCCAAUUAGUGUUAUUGGCAAUGUUGUAGCCCCUGGAGAAACAAAGGAAAUUCAAAUAGAUUUAGGUGCUGUUGGAAACGAUGUAGUGAUCCCAAUAUUCCCUGGUAUUAAUGGUGUUGUUGGUUCAUCUGGAUUUAUAGUUGAAUUUCCGCAACUCAAAUAAACUUAUAUUCACUCAUAAAAACCAGUUCAUGUGACUGGUUUUUUUUAUUUUUAUUAACAGUUUUAUUUCAAUCCCUACCCUUUAAUCGCUUUAUGAUAACCGCUCAGGCCCUCCCCCUGUUCGCAGUCCUGCUUCGGGAGGCCGGGCGGCUUUCUGAUACCCCGGCAGGACAAAACAACCCCCUUGUUCGCAGUUCUGCUCCGGGUGGCCCAGCGGCUUUCUGAUACCCCGGCAGGACAAAACAACCCCCUUGUUCGCAGUUCUGCUUCGGGAGACCCUGCGGCUUUCUGAUGCCCCGGCAGGACAAAACAACCCCCUUGUUCGCAGUUCUGCUUCGGGAGGCCCAGCGGCUUUCUGAUACCCCGGCAGGACAAAACAACCCCCUUGUUCGCAGUUCUGCUUCGGGAGGCCCUGCGGCUUUCUGAUGCCCAGUAGGUCAACCCGACAUCUUUGUUAACUGCUUUGCUUCAAGUAGCCCUGUAGCUUUGUGAUCGCCCGGUGUGACAAAACAACCCCCUUGUUCGCAGUCCUGCUCCGGGAGCCCCAGCAGCUUCCUGAUAGCCAGUCACAUUAAAACAACCCCCUUGUUCGCAGUCCGGCUCCGGGUGGCCCAGCGGCUUUCUGAUACCCCGGCAGGACAAAACAACCCCCUUGUUCGCAGUUCUGCUCCGGGGGCCCUGCGGCUUUCUGAUCCCCCGGCAGGACAAAACAACCCCCUUGUUCGCAGUCCUGCUCCGGGAGGCCCUGCGGCUUUCUGAUGCCCAGUAGGUCAACCCGACAUCUUUGUUAACUGCUUUGCUUCAAGUAGCCCUGUAGCUUUGUGAUCGCCCGGUGUGACAAAACAACCCCCUUGUUCGCAGUCCUGCUCCGGGAGCCCCAGCAGCUUCCUGAUAGCCAGUCACAUUAAAACAACCCCCUUGUUCGCAGUCCGGCUCCGGGUGGCCCAGCGGCUUUCUGAUACCCCGGCAGGACAAAACAACCCCCUUGUUCGCAGCUGCUUCGGGUGGCCCAGCGGCUUUCUGAUACCCCGGCAGGACAAAACAACCCCCUUGUUCGCAGUUCUGCUUCGGGAGGCCCUGCGGCUUUCUGAUGCCCAGUAGGUCAACCCGACAUCUUUGUUAACUGCUUUGCUUCAAGUAGCCCUGUAGCUUUGUGAUCGCCCGGUGUGACAAAACAACCCCCUUGUUCGCAGUCCUGCUCCGGGAGCCCCAGCAGCUUCCUGAUAGCCAGUCACAUUAAAACAACCCCCUUGUUCGCAGUCCGGCUCCGGGUGGCCCAGCGGCUUUCUGAUACCCCGGCAGGACAAAACAACCCCCUUGUUCGCAGUUCUGCUUCGGGAGACCCUGCGGCUUUCUGAUGCCCCGGCAGGACAAAACAACCCCCUUGUUCGCAGUUCUGCUUCGGGAGGCCCUGCGGCUUUCUGAUGCCCAGUAGGUCAACCCGACAUCUUUGUUAACUGCUUUGCUUCAAGUAGCCCUGUAGCUUUGUGAUCGCCCGGUGUGACAAAACAACCCCCUUGUUCGCAGUCCUGCUCCGGGAGCCCCAGCAGCUUCCUGAUAGCCAGUCACAUUAAAACAACCCCCUUGUUCGCAGUCCGGCUCCGGGUGGCCCAGCGGCUUUCUGAUACCCCGGCAGGACAAAACAACCCCCUUGUUCGCAAUGCUGCUUCGGGUGGCCCAGCUGCUUUCUGAUACCCCGGCAGGACAAAACAACCCCCUUGUUCGCAGUUCUGCUCCGGGUGGCCCUGCGGCUUUCUGAUGCCCAGUAGGUCAACCCGACAUCUUUGUUAACUUCUUUGCUUCAAGUAGCCCUGUAGCUUUGUGAUCGCCCGGUGUGACAAAACAACCCCCUUGUUCGCAGUCCGGCUCCGGGUGGCCCAGCGGCUUUCUGAUACCCCGGCAGGACAAAACAACCCCCUUGUUCGCAAUGCUGCUUCGGGUGGCCCAGCUGCUUUCUGAUACCCCGGCAGGACAAAACAACCCCCUUGUUCGCAGUUCUGCUCCGGGUGGCCCUGCGGCUUCAUGACAACCCCACAGGGUAAAACAACCCCCUUGUUCGCAGUCCUGCUCCGCGUGGCCCAGCGGCUUUCUGAUAGCCCGGCAGGAAAAACAACCCCCUUGUUCGCAGUCCGCUCCGGGUGGCCCAGCAGCUUUCUGAUUGCCCGGCAGGACAAAACAACCCCCUUGUUCGCAUUGCUGCUUCGGGUGGCCCAGCGGCUUUCUGAUACCCCGGCAGGACAAAACAACCCCCUUGUUCGCAGUCAUGCUCCGGGUGGCCCAGCGGCUUUCUGAUACCCCGGCAGAGCAAAACAACCCCCUUGUUCGCAGUCCUGCUCCGGGUGGCACAGCGUAUUCCUGACAGACUGGCAUGACAAAACAACCCCCUUGUUCGCAGUCCGGCUCCGGGAGGCCAGGCGGAUUUCUGAUAUCCCGACAGAGUAAAACAACCCCCUUGUUCGCAGAUCUGCUCCGGGUGGCCGAGCGGCUUCAUGACAGCCAGACAAGACAAAACAACCCCCUUGUUCGCAGUUCUGCUCCGGGUAGCCCAGCGGCUUCAUGACAACCCGACAGGGUGAAACAACCCCCUUGUUCGCAGUCCGGCUUCGGGUGGCCCAGCGGCUUUCUGAUACCCAGACAGGACAAAACAACCCCCUUGUUCGCAGUGCUGCUCGGUGGCCCAGCGGAUUCCUGAUACCCCGGCAUGACAAAACAACCCCCUUGUUCGCAGUCCUGCUCCGGGUGGCCCAGCGGCUUUCUGAUACCCCGGCAGGGUAAAACAACCCCCUUGUUCGCAGUCAUGCUCCGGGUGGCCCAGCGGCUUUCUGAUACCCCGGCAGGGUAAAACAACCCCCUUGUUCGCAGUCAUGCUCCGGGUGGCCCAGCGGCUUUCUGAUACCCCGGCAGAGCAAAACAACCCCCUUGUUCGCAGUCCUGCUCCGGGGAAACUCUGCGGCUUUCUGAUGCCCAGUAGGUCGCCACCCUGUGUCUUGUACACAGUCAAUAUCAGGAAUGGACGAUGAGGGUUUGGGAGGGUAGGGGAGGGAGGGGGAGAAAUCGUGAUCAUUGGACAUGAAAAAAAGAUGCGUAAUUUUAAAUGUUAGGUAUAAGACCUAGCAUGAAAGCUGUAGAAUUUACCAAAUCGGAAUAUUUUUACAGUUAUUGAUUAUUUUCCUUUUAUAUCAAUAUUUUGAAUUUAGGUUGUACACAAGACGAACAAAUUGAAUUGUGCGCGAAAAGUUAUUUUGAGCGCUAAAUGCGUUAAAUGUGCAUUACAAUGCACUUUUAACUUGUAAUGCGCUCAAGCCUCAUUAAUAAUGUGAAAACUAACCUAAGGAGAUACCAUGAGCAUACUAGAUGAUAUUCGUACGAUCGGCCUGAAAAUGAAAAAUGAACAAGCAAGCCUUAAGGAAAUUAUCCUUGAGUCAAGCCGGGUAGAUGUUUCUGAUGAACAGGUCGAUGGAUUAGACCGUCUUAUCUAUAACCACUGUUUAAAUAAAAAAACUCUCUCUGAUUUCUUUGGUAAAUCAAGAAAUACAUUUAGUAGAAUUCUUUCCGAACUACAUGAGAAACAGGUAAUUGGGGAACCCAUUUUCCAGAACAAGAGUCACCUGUAUACCCGGUGGGAUGUGCAAAAAAUAAUUGAUGCAAUGGGCACAAUUCAAUAUCGCGAAAUGUAUUUACCGCGAGUCAUCGUGAUUGAGAACCACAAAGGUGGAACCGGUAAAAGUACAACAACAGUAACACUCGCUACCGCAGCUGCUUUGGAUCUUAAUCUAAAUGCAAGAAUCCUUGUAAUUGACCUGGACCCGCAAGGUUCAUUGGGUAAUAACCUUAUUCAUACCACUAGCGAUGAUAGUGUUUAUCUGACUAUUACCGACGUUUUGCUUAGUGAAAUUGAAGAUAAUGAUUUCACUCAGUAUAUAAAUCAAGGUUACACGGAAGAACAAAUAAUUGGGGCGAUGGCCUUUUCUACACAUUUACCUAACAUGGAUGUAAUAACAGCUUUCCCGACUGAUGACAGAUUUACUGACAAAUACUGGAGUCUGGAUAAGGAAGCAAGACUCAAGCUACUAACUCGGUUUCGCGAUGUAGUUAUCCCUGUAUUGAAAGAAAAGUACGAUCUCAUUUUUAUUGAUACACCACCGCAAGAUUCUCCAAUCAUUUGGUCAACAAAUGAGGCGGCUGACGCAAUUCUUGUUCCGAUUACACCCCGUGAAUAUGAUUUUGCUUCUACCACAAACUAUAUGAUUACUAUUUCAGACCGUCUGGCACAAUUGCCCUCCAAAGGCGAAAACAUUAAAUGGCUAAAUGUAUUGGCUGUGAAUGUAGAUGACAGAAGCCAGCAUGAGAUUCGUACUUUAAAUAAACUUGUAAGAACUGUACGUGACCGUUUCAUGACAACAAAUAUUAAACAUUCAGAAGCUUUCGUUGCAGCAGCUGAAAAAGGUCGCACUGUACUCGAUAUUAAAAAAUCAGAAGAGCUCUGUUCUUCAAAGCAGUAUGAUAUUGCGGAAAUGUCUGUUCAGUCUGUAUAUCAACAACUUAUCAAUGAGAUUAAAAGCUUUUCAGUUAGGGAGGACAGUGAAUAAUGAGUGAUGUUGAACGCGGUACGAGCAAAGACAAGUACUUGACCGGAAACGCAAAGCGUACAUUUGUUGAUCAAAAAAGCGGGCUUCCGCCUCUAAAAGCUCCUUCUGUACAAAAACGCCUAUUUACUCUGUCAAAUGGUCGUAAAGUAGAAGCUCGCUACGUAGUCGUUCCUGGUUCAGAAGUGGCAGAGAAGACGCUAGUUCAUGAGCUAAACCCUCGAAAUCAAGAGGCAAUUGACGACCUUUCAACAAGGGAAAUACUCCCCCUUAUAAAAGAAAAUGGGGUUACUACUGAAGCUAUUGCUGUAUACCGCGACGGUAAAUAUUACCUGAUUGAGGGUAGUCGGCGUCGUUAUUGCUGCAUCAAAUGUUUGGCAGACCUGCCGUUAUGGGCAUUUGAUGAAGAGGUAAGUCGUGAAGAUGUCGAUUGUAUUGUAAAUGCUGCACAAACAGCGAAAAGGUUCUCAUAUCGUGAAGUGGGUAUUAAGUACCUUCAAAUCAUGAAAAAUGAAGAGUUCAAAACCAAUGAGGAACUUGCUUCUUAUUUUAACAUUAGCGUUGAGUCGGUAAGAAAGAGAAUCCAGGCGGCUAAAGUUAACGAAGAACUAAUUAGAAUUUUCCCUGAUAGUGAAGGGAUACCUAAUACUUACUAUGGUAAAUUGGCUAAAAUUGAAAAAGUUGCUAUUGCCCAUAAAAUCCCUUUGUCAGAGCUAACAUCUGAAGUCGGGACAGAAGACAAUAAGAUCAUUAACGUUAAUGAUAUUGAGGAAGUCCAGAAAUCCAUUUUAGAUGGUUUGCAUUCAGUACUUACCAUUCUCUGUAAUGAUGCAAAUAAACCGCCUAAAUGGACUGUGUCAGAUAUUAUAGAUUUCGAAGAUAAGGAUACUUACGCACGUGUCAGGAAGAGCCAAGACGGUCAAAAAGUAAGUUUUGAGUUCAAGCGUAUAAGCCAGUCAACCAUUAAUGAAAUAGAACGUUUAAUUAAAGUUAGUAUUGGCAAAUCAAAAUAAUCAUAAAAUGGUAUGGUCAUGGCCCUUAGGGGUCAUGACUUUAUAAUCCAUUAAAAGCAAAGCAACCCCCUUGUUCGCAGUCCGGCUCCUUGAGAUCCAACGGCUUCAUGUUAACCCGACAUGACAAAACAACCCCCUUGUUCGCAGUCCGGCCCCUUGACGCCCAGCGGCUUCAUGGAAGCCCGGCAGGGCAAAACAACCCCCUUGUUCGCAGUCCAGCCCCUUGACGCCCAGCGGUUUCAUGACAACCCGGCAGGACAAAACAACCCCCUUGUUCGCAGUCCGGCCCCUUGACGCCCAUCGGCUUCAUGACAACCCGGCAGGGCAAAACAACCCCCUUGUUCGCAGUCCGGCCCCUUGACGCCCAUCGCUUCAUGACAACCCGGCAGGGUAAAACAACCCCCUUGUUCGCAGUCCGGCUCCUUGAGAUACAACGGCUUCAUGAUAACCCGACAUGAUAAAACAACCCCCUUGUUCGCAGUCCGGCCCCUUGACGCCCAGCGGUUUCAUGACAACCCGGCAGGGCAAAACAACCCCCUUGUUCGCAGUCCGGCCCCUUGACGCCCAUCGGCUUCAUGACAACCCAACAGGGCAAAACAACCCCCUUGUUCGCAGUCCGGCCACUUGGCGUCCAUCGGCGUCCUGAUACCCCGGCAGGGUAAAACAACCCCCUUGUUCGCAGUCCGGCCACUUGGCGUCCAUCGGCGUCCUGAUACCCCGGCAGGGUAAAACAACCCCCUUGUUCGCAGUCCGGCCACUUGGCGUCCAUCGGCGUCCUGAUACCCCGGCAGGGUAAAACAACCCCCUUGUUCGCAGUCCGGCCACUUGGCGUCCAUCGGCGUCCUGAUACCCCGGCAGGGUAAAACCACCCCCUUGUUCGCAGACCAGCCCCUUGACGCCCAGCGGUUUCAUGACAACCCGGCAGGACAAAACAACCCCCUUGUUCGCAGUCCGGCCCCUUGACGCCCAUCGGCUUCAUGACAACCCGGCAGGGCAAAACAACCCCCUUGUUCGCAGUAACGCUAUGACCGGUCUGUGACACCUGAUGAAUGGUUUUUGAUUUACGCCCAUAUAAAUUAGGUUGUUAGUAGAGAAAAAAAUUUAUUCAUGCUGAUAAGAUUGGGAAAGGUGGCAGAUCUGGAUUGAGUAAUUUUUUAUUCGUAAAUCAACUGAACAGGUAGGAUAUGGGAGAAUUAUAUUUGCUGUUUGCUAAAGACAAAAAUGGCAUGUUAUAUGACACCUAUCAUGCCCGGCUAACAUCUGACAUUGAUUACUAUUGCACUCAAUGCGGACGUCGCAUUGAUUAUCAAAAAGAAGUUGAAAUUGGAGACUUCAAACAACAGCAUUUUUUUAAACACAGCGUGGCUGAUGAUAAAACUAUAGAGAUAUGUGAAGAAAGCUAUCUUAAUGAAGCUAUUAAAGAUAUCGCACAUAGUAUCCUAGCCACUGACGGCUUCAUUCAUGUGAGCCCAAUGUUUAAUAAAGGCCAGAUUCAAGCACCGAGUAAAAUUUUCGCACCUCAUAACGUCAUGAUUUCACAUGAUGACCUCAUAGGUUCCCAGCGAGUUGAUUUCAAAUGGACAAGUUCAAAAGGGAAAUGCAUGGGGUUAGUUUUCGUUGACCACAAUGAAGUCAUUGAAAACAAGGUGUAUGACGUGACCGAUUCAAAAGCCUUCAUUGCCGAAAUUAACCUUGCAAUACUUAAAAGUCAUCUACGUUCGAUGAUUAAAUCAAAACAUGGGAUGGAUACUGGAUUAAUCAACGCCAUAAAGGGAUUAUUAACCAAUAAAAAUAUAUAUAGCCGCUGGAUCAGUUGGGACGGUAAAAAAACGAAUUUUAGAAUGUCUCCAGCUUACUUUCGUACCUUCAACAACUACGGAUAUGACAGUUACAAAAACAUAGUUUCGCUGGAUGGUUUUUUUCAUCAUGAAAAUGAUUACAUUGACCAAAAUACAAAGUCCGUUUUGAAGAUGACAGGAAGGAAGUUUGAUUUUCAAGUUAAAGAAAUGACGUAUAAGUUCAGCCUGGAACGAGGAAGUUACUCCGAUACGUUCUAUGUCGUCAUCUAUGAGAAAGAAUGCGUUUUACUUGAUUAUGUACUCAAUUCUGUUCCAGCUAAUGACAAUACAUACAAUCAGAUUAAAGCUUUGUGUAUAAAGCUCAUUCGUAUGUAUGAAUCUGCCAUGCGUGGUUUAAGCCUUGCUGGUUAGGGCUGCGCCCGGCCUACUCACGAAUAAUCAGGGCCGUUUUCCGUCCAAAAAAAGCCUCCACCCCCUUUAAACUGGGGGAGGGGAGUAAUAAACAGCAAAAACGGAUCUGAUCAUGUCGAAAACGACGUUGAUCAUUUCUGGAAACCUCCCAGCAAAGCUGGUAUCUAUCGUCCUGAAGUGACGAUUAACGAAUCUAGAAAGUUACUUUCUUUGGUGGGGUAGGUCGGUGGUAGGAAAACGAUGGUGACUCCAGGGCUAAGGCCCUAAUCAGGUGUUAACCUAAUCAGGGCUUACUUAGUGAUAACUUAAUUACUGAAUUUGCGGAAAUUCGAUAAUGAAGUUGCUUUCGCCGGUAGAGCCGUUUUCCGCUGUAAAAAUUGGGACGGUUGAGUUUUCCCCGUUCCCAAGGUCUAUCUGAAUUUCUUUCGUCUCCCCAGGCUGGAUCACGUUCCCCAGAAUGUUAAUCGCAUAAUCGGCAUCCUUCCUGACCGUGAUAUUUGCUGUUUGUACGCCCUGCGCCAGUGAGCCAUCGUUACGACGCAGCUGGCCCGUACGCAUGACGGCCAGCGGUGUGUUAUCGCUGGUUUUGAGCGCUUUCACCACGCCUAAAGUUUUCAGCUUCUCAAGGGUCACGAGAUUUUUAGGGUAAUAGGCAAACUGAAUGCUUUUUUGUGUCGUGUUGCCUUUGGCAUCGGUAGCAAAAGCGGUCAGUGUAUAUUUGUCCGUAUCUGAAUCCAGGCUGGGGAAGAGGCGAGGGUAGUCUGGGGUAUAACUACCGUCCGAGUUCUGGUUAAAACCUAAGACAACGCUGUCAGACGCCGGUCCCCCUUUGAGCUCAAGCCGGACAAGGCUGGGGGCGGUUAACGCAUCAUUUAACGUUAUGCUGAUGUUCUCAAGCCCGUAAACGGUGGCUCCAGAGGACAGAGACGCAUUUUCAUAGUUGAAAUUCACCACAGGAGGCGUCUUGUCGUUAAUCAGGUUUAUGAAUGGUGACGAUGUUUCAUUGCUAAAGGUGUCCUUUGCCAGAAAGCUCAGGUUAUAUUUCCCUUCGGCCAGUUUGCUCAGGUCAAAACUGUAUGUGUAAUCCUCGCCAGAAAGGGCGGUCUGGGCACCAGAUAACAACUGUCCACCAGUAUCAGAAUCUAUCAGGGUAGCCGAUUUUAGUUGCAGCAGAUCGCGGAAUUUACCGCGUCCAGGUUGCGUUACAAAUAAAAGAACCUUUUUGUUUUCUUCCUGGUAACUGUAUCCAGUAAUUCUGGGUAGCAGGUCAGUAUUCCAGUGGUGCCUUUUUUCAAUAGAUACUGAUGAAAACGUUUUAUCGAAAUCAGUCAAUCUGAAGGAGUAGGUCGUAAUACCGUUCCCCGUUUUUGGGAUGGACCAGGAUACCGCACCGAUACACUCAGUUUCGCCAGCUGGUACCUGACAAAUCUCAGUAUUACCACUCAUCGCACGCUGAACGUAAUUCCGUGGUGAUGCCGUUAUCCUUACAGAGCUGAAUUUAACGGGCAGAUCUUUGGUAUUCCAAAGGUAGCUGCCUGCAUUCGUUUCGCCUUUUUUGUCUGAUGUUAACCAGGCCUCAGGUGCUGCCGGACUGACCGGAGCCUCACUCCCCAAAUUGAUAUCAUAGGAGAGUGAACCGCCGCCCCAUUGAUAGCCAUUAUGGAUAGUGUAAGUGACUUUAUAGGCGGUCUUCGCUGAUACAUAGCUGUACCCAUUAGCCUCGGAAAUUAUCGUUCCAAACUUCAAACCAGCUUUAUUGUAUUCCCUGCGGUUAUUCGAUGGCACCCGAUACACGAGUGUCAAAGGGUUCUGGUUUACAGUCAUUCCCGGCUUAUAAGCUAUGUAACCUUCACUAAAGCCUGGAACCACGCUCGUUUUAGACGUGGGGUCAUAUACGGCAAACAGUGUGUAUUCACCAAGAUCCGAGUCAAAUACAAACCUCUGGUCUGGCAAUGCUUUACGGUUUCCCGCUUUAUCAUAGAGCGUUACACGAAAGCGGUAUUCGACAUCAGCGUUUGAUACAGGCAUCCAGGCGGAACGACUAAAAUUACCUUUUGUCCACGGCACAGAUAGCGAUGCUGAACCACUGUCGUAAACCAUAUCAGUGAUGGAAUACACCGUAUCGUCAGGCUUGAUCACCUGGAUAGUCGCUUUAUCAAAACCGGUUGCAGCUUUGACAUUAUUCACAUUCAGGUAGAGUUUUGCUUCAGCCCCCUGGCCCAGUUCCCAGCGAUCACCAGUUAACACCAUGUCGUAUCCGGGUUUUUGGUCCACGCUCAGGUUAUCGGAUGAGGGGCCAGCAGUAUCAAUAAUAAAAUUGUGAGUCGUGCUGUCGAUAACCGCGUUUUGUGUAUUCAGGAUAUCCGAGGUUAUGACAUAACUCCCGUCACUCAAAGGCGGCAGUGUCACCGUUUUUCCGUAAAACUCUUCACCUGUAGAGGCCUUUAUACGGUCAUUGACCGUCACGCUAUCUGUAGUAAAGCUAUAUACACCAACAUUGUCUUUCUUUACCGUUACCUGAAUUUUGCGAUCGAGACCUGAUAUCAGCUUUACCUGAAUUUUUUCGUUCGUAUUCAGAACACCAGAAUCCGCGCUGACUGAUUUAUCCGUUCCGUAGAUAUCCGUGAUCGCAUACUCAUAGACACGAGCAUAUGAGGGGAGAGAAAGGGCGGUCAGUAUUAGCGUAGUCAGUAAUUUUAUUUUCAAUUUCAUAUCAAAUUAUUCCAGAAGAAUAUUGAAGGUUAUGCCAUGGCGAUAAUGAUUUUCUUUUUCUGAUUGCAUGCAUUUAACAGAGCCAUGAGGCAAGAAAAGCCACCAGCCCCACGUAACAGAGGCGGUGGCCGUCGAUAGUUAGUUAAGUUGCGGGAACUCGAUGAUGAAGUUACUUUGGCCUGUAGAGCCGUUAGCAGCCGGAAAAAUCGGUACAGUGGAAUUUGCGCCGGUUCCGAGGUCGAGCUGAAUUUCUUUUGUUUCCCCAGGUUGGAUCACCGUACCGAGAAUGUUGAUGGCGUACUCAGCAUCACUUCGGACCGUGAUAUUGGCUGUCUGGAUGCCUUGGGCAAGUGAACCAUCAUUACGUCGCAGCUGACCGGUUCGCAUGACGGCCAGCGGUGUGUUGUCGCUUGUUUUCAGCGCCUUCACCACACCCAGCGUUUUGAGUUUUUCCAGGGUCACGAGAUUUUUCGGAUAGUAGGCAAACUGAAUACUUUUCUGGGACGUGUUCCCUUUAGCAUCUGUAGCAUAGGCCGUGAGAGUGUAUUUAUCCGUCGACGCAUCCAGAGUCGGGAACAGACGUGGGUAAUCUGGUGUGUAGCUCCCGUCAGCAUUCUGGUUAAAGCCGAGGACAACACUGUCAGAUGCCGGUCCCCCUUUGAGCUCCAGACGGUCAAGAACUGGUUUGGUCAACGCAUCGUUAAGGUUAACGGCGAUAUUCUCCAGUCCAUAGACGGUCGUUCCGGAGGGGAGCGGGGCAUUCUCGUAGUUAAAGCUGAUUUCCGGAGGCGUCAUGUCAUGCACCAGCGUGAUGAAUGGCGACGUUGCCUCGUUUUCGAAAGUGUCUUUUGCCAGGAAGCCUAAAUUGUAUCGUCCUUCCGCCAGCUUACUCAGAUCAAACGUAUAGGUGUAAUCUUCACCCGAAAGCGCAAUUUUGGUUCCAUUAAGUACCUGCACGCCGGUAUCGGCAUUAAUCAGUUCAGCAGACUUGAGCUGGAGCUGGUCCCUGAAGUUGCCGUUACCGGGCUGCGUAACAAAUAACAGCACUUUUUUCUUAUCUUCCUGAUAGUCAUAGCCGGUGAUUUUAGGAAGAAGAUUGGUGUUCCAGUGGUUACGCCUUUCCGCAUUUAUUGAGGCUAGUGUUUUGUCCUCGUUAUACAUUCUAAAAGAAUAGGUCACGCUACCAUUACCACUUUGGGCAAUAGUCCAUGGUACCGGCCCGCUGCACUCAGUCUCGCCUGGCGGGAUCUGACAAAUUUCCAGGUUCCCUGUAAACGCUCUCUGGAGAUAGUUUCUCGCAGAGGUACGAACUCUCGCUGAAAUGAAUUUCACCGGCAGAUCGCUUGUCUUCCACAAGUAGUUAAAGGAAUUGAUUUCACCCUUUUUGUCCGUAGUGAGCCAGACGGUGGAAGGCGUUUCCGGACUUUCAGGGGUAUCCGGCCCGAGUUUCAGAUUGUAAGUCGCAGCAGCGCCACCCCACUGGUACCCGUUAUGGAUAUCGUAUCUGAUGUUAUACGGCGUUGUUGCGGCCACAUAGACGUAGCCGUUGGCUUCGGAGAUGAUGGUGCCAAAACUUAAACCCGCUUUGUUGUAUUUCCGGACGUUAUUCGUCGGUAGCCGGUAGACGAGGGUAAUCGGAUUUUGAUUAACCGUCAUACCUGCUUUAUACGCUACGUAUCCCGAGGUGAUCCCCGGCACCACGCUUGUCUGUGAUUCGGGAUCGCGUAUUGCAAAUAGGGUAAAUUCACCAAGCUGGUUGUCGAAAACAAAUUUCUGGUCAGGUAACACUUUACGUGAGCCUGCCUUGUCAUAAAGCGUCACCCUGAAACGAAAUUCAACGUCUGCAUCCGAUGUCGGCAUCCAGGAAGCCUUUUUCCUUUCACCUAAUGUCCAGGGAGCCGAAAGGGAAGAGGACCCACCAUCAUAAUCCAUGUCCGUGAUUGAAUAGACGCUGUUGUCCGGGUUGAUGACCUGUAGCGUUGCUUUAUCAAAACCGGUCGCGGCCUUAACGUUAUUCACGUUCACAUAUAAUUUUUGUUCAGCACCGAGGCCGAGCUCCCAGCGGUCUCCCUGUGUGACCAUUUCAUAGCCUGGUUUCUGAAUAAUGCUCAGAUUGUCUGAGGUUGGCCCAACACUAUCGAUGGUGAAAUCCUGAGUGGUUGAGUCGACCUGAAUAUCCUGUGUGUUAAGUAUUUCAGAGAUGACCUGAUAGGGACCAUCACUCAGGGGAGGAAGCGUGAUGAUUUUCCCGUAGAACUCUUCGCCCGUUGAGGCCUUAAUUCGAUCACUUACCUUAAUGCUAUCGGUGGUCGUGCCGUAGACCUCUGUACCGUCUUUCCUGACAGAUACGUGUACUUUGCGAUCGAGGCCGGAAAUCAGGCUUAGCUGAAUUUUUUCGUUAGUGUUAAGAAUACCGGUUUCCGCACUGACUGAUUUCUCAGCGCCAUAGAUAUCCUUAAUGGUGUACUCGUAGACCCGCGAAUACGAUGAAAAGGGGAGGGUCGCGAGGAUUAACGUUGUCAGCAGUUUUAUUUUGGUAUUCAUAUCAAAUCAUUCCCAGCAGGCUUGAAAUCAGAGUGAAGAAAGUUACUUUUCUCUCUCCCCGGCCGUCAUAUCCGCCGUGUCGUGUUUAUCCAGAAAUUACCGGCCACCAGCAGGGACCGGUAAUCGUGAGCCGCUAUUUAAUUUGCGGAAACUCAAUGAUGAAAUCGCUUUGCCCGGUAGCGCCGUUUGUCGCCGGGAAAAUUGGGACCGUGGCGUUUACACCAGCGCCGAGGUCUAUCUGGAUUUCUUUGGUUUCGCCUGGCUGAAUGACAGUACCCAGUAUGUUGAUCGCAUAAUCAGCGUCAGUCCUGAGCGUGAUGUUGGCCGUUUGUACGCCCUGAACCAGGGAGCCAUCGUUACGCCUCAGCUGCCCGGUACGCAUGACGGCCAGCGGUGUGUUGUCGCUGGUUUUCAGCGCCUUCACCACACCCAGCGUUUUGAGUUUUUCCAGGGUCACGAGAUUUUUCGGAUAGUAGGCGAACUGAAUGCUUUUCUGCGUGGCGUUCCCUUUGGUAUCCGUUGCAUAAGCCGUCAGCGUGUAUUUAUCGGUAUUUUCGUCAAGGGUAGGGAACAGACGGGGAUAAUCUGGCGUAUAGGAGCCAUCGGCAUUCUGGUUGAAGCCAAGGAUCACACUAUCAGAUGCGGGGCCACCUUUGAGCUCAAGACGUUCCAGUACAGGCUUUGUCAGCGCAUCAUUCAGGCUGAUCGCGAUGUUCUCCAGCCCGUACACGGUAGAACCGGAAGCGAGCGGGGCAUUUUCAUAAUUAAAUAUGACGUCCGGGGGAGUCAUGUCGUUCACCAGCGUAAUGAACGGGGAUGACGAUUCAUUAUCGAAGGUGUCUUUGGCAAGGAAAGAAAGGUUAUAUUUGCCUUCCGGGAGAGCUCCCAGAUCAAACGUAUAGGUGUAAUCAUCACCAGCAAUCGCUGUAUUGGUACCGGUUAACACCUGCACAUUUGAAUCUGCAUUAAUCAGAACAGCAGACUUAAGCUGCAAUUUGUACCGUAAACUGCCGUUCCCCGGCAGAUUCACAAAUAGCAGAACCUUUUUCUUGUCUUCCUGGUAAUCAUAGCCAGUAAUUCUGGGUAACUGGUCAGCAUUCCAGUAUUGCCGCCUUUCAGCAUAUUGUGAGAAAAGGGAGCCAUCGGCAUUGGUCAUCUUGAAGAAAAACCCCAUAUGGCCGUUACCACUUUUUUGAAUAUUCCCUACAAUUUUCCCUUCACACUCCAGUUCGCCGACAGGAAUGUCACAUAAGAAAUCGCCGGUAUUAGACAUAGCCUUUUGGAUGUAAUUUCGUGCCGACGCUUUCACGCGGGCAGUAAGAAAUGUCACCGGGAGAUCGGAUGUUUUCCAGAGGUAAUCAUAUGAGCUUACCGCGCUUUUCUUGUCCGAGGUAAUCCACACGUCAGGAGUAGUUGGGCUUACCGGCGCAUCUGCACCCAUUUUAAUAUUGUAGGUAACACUGGCUCCCCCCCACUGAUAACCGUUAUGGAUAACAGAGAGCGUCUGGUAAGGGGUCGUGACCGACACAUAGCUGUAGCCGUUCGCCUCAGAAAUUAUGUUCCCGAAGGCCAGCCCGCCUUUUCUGUACUCCCUGCGGUUCGUAGAAGGGACACGGUAGACAAAUGUAAUGGGGUUCAGAUUGACCGUCAUCCCCGAUUUAUAUUCAACAUAGCCUUUACUGAAUCCAGGUAUAACACUGGUUUCAGUUGUAGGGUCAUACACCGCGACUAGCGUGUAUUCGCCUAAAUCCGAGUCAAAGAUGAACUUCUGAUCCGGCAGGACUUUUCGGGUACCGGCCUUGUCGUAUAGCGUGACACGAAAGCGAUAUUCUGUAUCCGCAUUGGACACCGGCAUCCAGUCGGCUUUAACCGCGCUCCCCUUAGUCCACGGAACAGAAAGCGAUGCAGAACCGCUGUCGUAAACCAUGUCCAUUUUGGAAUAGACGGUAUUAUCAGGAUUUAGGAUCUGGAUAGUGGCUUUAUCAAAACCGGCAGUCGCUUUCACAUUUUUGACGGUGACAUAGAGUUUUGCUUCUGCCCCCAACCCCAGCUCCCAGAGGUUUCCGGUAAGGACCAUGUCAUAUCCCGGACGCUGAUCAAUACUCAUGUUAUCGGCAGUGGGGCCAGACGUAUCAAUCAGGAAUGACUGGGUUGUCGAAUCAAUAAGGGCAUCCUGGGUAUUCAGUAUUUCCGAGGUGAUGGUAUACAGCCCAUCACUUAACGGGGGCAGGGUUAUCACUUUCCCGUAAAACUCUUCAUCUGAUGAUGAUUUGAUGCGGUCGGCAACUUUUACGCUUUCUGUCGUCGUGCUGUAGACAUUCACGUCGCCUUUUUUCACCGUCACCCGGAUUUUUCUGUCCAGUCCUGAAAUCAGGCUAAGCUGGAUUUUUUCCGUGGUGUUCAGCUUCGCUGAAUCGGCGCUAACGGAUUUCUCCACACCGUAGAUAUCUUUGAUUGUGUACUCAUAAACACGGGAAUGGCCGGGCAAUGAAAGGGUGCCGAGGAUUAAUGCCGCCAGAAGCUUGGAUUUGAAUUUCAUAUCAGUACCAGUCUAAAGCAUGGUUAAAAGGUCGCAUUGUGGGUCGCUCUUAACCACUGAUGGAGCGAUACAUGCCUAAAAGUUACUUUCCUUCUCCGUUGAAAAAAAACGGAUGUUUAUGAUUCUGCACUUCAGGCCAGCGGCUUAUUUCACCUGCUGGAGAACAGCACGCCUGCUCUUCUGGACUGGCGAGUGUAAUGAGCGAUUCCACACCAGCGUGUUUUCGUAAAUCGAGAUGAAACCAAGACUAAUCAGCUCCUGCUUAAUCCGUUCGUUCAGCAAUGAACAGGUCUUUUGCCCCGUCAAAUUUGAAAGGUAAUUUUGUAAGGCCUUUGGUGUGGCCGGGAGAGAUUUAGGGGAGGAUGCGCAGGAAAGCUUCAGUCUGUUAAUCCAGUAGCCCAUGUCAUGCUCUUUGGCUUUCAUCACUUUCAUUGUUGAAGCCUUGUCUUUAACCGGUUGCGGAACGGGCAGGGCUGGAGAGAUCCUUGUACAGCUGAUCCCUGUUGCUUUCAGACGGGCAAUAAUACCGUCAUAGCCCUUGUCACGGGAGAUAACAGAGAAGUGUGACGUAUCCCCGGCCAAUGCGGUCAGUUGUCCGAGUUCCAGGACCAGAUGGAAAUCAACAUUGUUUUUGGAUACCUCAGUCGCCGGAAUAAUGCGUAAAGAAAUUGCAGAGCUCAGGGACGUAACAGGAAUUUUAAUGUUUUCCUGUUUAGCGCCCGUGAAGAAAAGCACUUUGUCAAAGUCAUGAAGGGAAACUCCCUCAAGGCUUCCGAUAUUUUCAUAAUCAAUCAGGGCAAUUCUGGUUUUGGGACUUCGCAUUACUCUCUCCCGAAAAAAAAGGUUGAACCAAAUAUCAACCAAAUCGACUACACCACAUGCAGGCCAAAAGUAACUUUUAUGCCUACGUACAUUACCUGCACCCAGUAAAAGUGACUUUUUAAAGGGCAAAUCCUGACUAAACGUCCAGCUCCUGAUUCACCAUGGCUACGGCCAUUGGUCUGGAGCCACUGGUAUCAUCCACCUCGACGGCUAUAUCUAUCCAACGGCUGGGAUCUGAAACCCAGUCAAUAAGCUCUUUUAUGGACAGGCUGUGCCUGAUCUCAAUGUUUUUAAUGCUGUCAUUGCCAAACCAGUUAAUCCGGUUCACAUGCUGUUUUAUGUAGUACACAUCCCAUGAGCCAUGGCCCAGAAAGUCCUUACCCCACUGCCGUUUAAGCUCUCGCCAGUCACAGGGCAGAACGUCUGCACGAGAAAGACUGUCUGUUAUCUGAUAGAUAUCUGAAAACCCCACCUCGCUAUCCGGGAUCAUUUCCAGGUACAGGUACCCGGCAACCGGAUGCUUCGCGCUAAUGACCACAUUUUUGGAGCUCAUCAAAGGUUCCGUUUUUCGUAUUAACAGGCCUGACGCCAAUAAUCCAGUUAUAUCAAAAUCGGCAUCAGAAAUUCCUGAAUAACAGGACGAAAAAAAGCCUAAACGAAAAAAAAUGCGAUAGAAAAAAUAGGGUCUUCCAGGAGCGAUAUAUUUUGAUAUCGUCAAAUAACUAAUCCAUCGGAGAAGUUCAAAUGACGCCAGUAUUCAGAGCGGGAAAUGUGAAAACAGUACGCGCAGCAAGAAGAAAACGACACAGAAGGAGAGGGAGGCUCAUUCACAGCCAUGAUGACAGUUUCAUUACCAACAGACUCCUCGAUCAGCUAACCGACGAGAUGAUGUAUCAGGAAGCAUUCAGAAAAAAGCUUAUCGACGAACGAUAAAAAAAUACUCCACGGCCGAAAAGUACCUUUUAGCCGGAAAAAAUCAAAAUUCUCUAUGUUAGAUUAUGACCAGUAUUAUUAGGUCAGAAGUAAACCAGUGCCCUGUCUGGUUAAAGGGAAUGGCGGUAGCUUCUGAAAAUUCAGCUUAACUUCCAGUUUAUUCUAGCGGGAUGUCUAUGCAUUCAACUCAUCUGACGAAAAAGUUUAAUAUUCUGGCGGUCGUCUAUUUCACAAUCAUUGCUUGUGGUCAGAUUGUUCUUUUCCCUCAUUCGCAGCCCAUUUUUCUGGUCAUCGUCACUAUGGGUAUUGCGGUUCGCUUAUUUACCCUGCGGCCACAAUAUAAAAAUUUACGGUUUCUGGUUUUGUCCAUCAUCUCACACCAUCUUGUUUUUACCAUUCUUACGCUCAUCCAGCUCUAUAUCAAUGCCAGGUAUAUCAGGGCCAGUUUCAUUGAGUAUCAGAUGGUUUACGCGCCUUUGCUCAUCGGGAUGGGAUAUGUGUAUUUCAACGUCUGGAGAGCGCGUACCUGACGUCCACCUGACCUCUUUGAUUAAAGGAGCCUGAAUGCUUCGUUCUACCCCCAAAAUCACACCCCUGACCUUUUCUCCUGAAGAAAUUAGUGGCCUACAGAACGGCCAAAAAACCCAGUUCCGCCGGGCACUGAAAGGUCGUGAUGCUUUUUCAGAAAAUAUCACCUCCAGAGUAACUUCUGGACCUGCAAUACCAGUCCUAAAAUGCCCUUAUGGUCAGCCCGGCGACCGGAUUUGGAUCAGAGAAACAGCAAGGACCGAGUGGCAGCAAGUACAGGAGUCCCCGCUAAGAGUUCAGACCGGUGUACGGUACCGCGUUGAUAACGAGUACCAGGAACUGACCAGCGAUUACCCGUGCCGGAUGUUCCCUACAAAACGCCUGACAUCACAAGGCGUGCCUGCGUGGGCAACGCCGGUAAGUAUGCCUCGAUGGGCUAGCCGGUAUCUUCUCGAAGUCUGCGAUACGCGCCUUGAGAAACUCUGCGAUAUCUCUGAAACCGAUGCCUAUGCGGAGGGGGUUCUCACUGAAGUGUGGGACCAGGUUGUCGUUGCCCGAAAUUACGGUAUACCCGAUGCAUUCUUUCAGUACUGGUCUGACGAUAUCGAUCACUACGUCGAAAUGAAUGAACUGUACCGUAGCUCUUUCCAGAGCCUGUGGGAUAAGAUUUAUGAAGCUGGAAGCUGGGCUUCUAACCCGCUCGUUUGGGUUGUCACGUUUAAAUUACUGGAUAUCGACAGGGGGGAGAAUGAAUAACACGCCAGCUCUAUACGAGGCUGUUGAUUCAAAGAUUCUGGAAAAGGUGGGUAAACAUCCAAAAGCAUUCGUGGAUAUAUAUUUUCCGGAAAUAUACACGCUUUGCGUGGAAAUUCUUAAUGACAAUAAAAAAGAGCCUGCUCGUAUACUCGACAGGCGACUACAGGCUCUACGAAAGAAAGGUUUGAUCCAUCACGUUACCGGGAAAGGUUGGGUUAAAAUGAUUCCCCAGGAAGGAAAGGAAGGAAAUUCAGGGGGGUAGAGACUCCAGCUGAUAAAAUGAAAUAUCAGGGCUGUUCUUUUCAUAUGGAGUAAGCUGUUAUGCUUUACCCAUUUUUUGGAGCCCUGUGCUUCAUUCUGACGUUAUGCUUUUUAAGUAUCAGCGGUAUGAUUAUUCUCAUCCAUAAAACUGAUUCUGUUCAAUACAGCGUUCGGCGUUACCGAUUUCUUUUACUCUGCAAGGCAGCUGGUGCAGUGAAUUUUUUUAUUACCAUUUACUGCAUCGCUGGAACCGAGGGACAGCUUUAGCGCUGUUCCACAUCUGGUCAAAUCUUGUGGCUCUGGACCGAAAAGUAACUUUUCAACCGGGCUAUCAAUCCAGACAAUCAGAAUAUGACAUUCUUCUUAUUAAAUGAUGUCGCCGGGGGCGAUUAUGAAUAUCUAUAUGGACGGUAAAAAUGUAGGCUGGCUUUUAUACCUUGCUAUGGGUUUUGUCGCUUUGGGCAUUGCUUUUUUAUUGUCCCAUAAAAUCACUUCAAUGCUAAAAAUAAAAUCAACGGCUAAUGGCGGGCUUAUCAUAUCAGGAAUUACAUUAAUCCUGGCUGGUUUUGUCAUGUUCAUUGUCGUUAACCGAAGUUCAUUAUCAUUGGAUGAUAUUAAGAUGGGAGAGCGCUGGCUUAAUGAGUGCCAGCUACUUGAAACUAACAUUAACAAUGGUCUUUUUGACGAACCGACAAACAAGGUUAAUUGCAACGGAGUGAUUGAAAACAUUCCAAAAUACAGUUACGACGAUUACACCACCGAAUGGUUAUUGUACCACCAACGCAAUGAAAAUCUGAAACAUGCAGGACUAACAUCAAAACUCAGUUCAUAGCUGAUUUCAUGAAAGUAACUUUCUUAUCACCUAUUUUAAACGACUCAAGAGGCUGUUUGUGAAUAAAUUAUUAAUAUUCAUGGCGUUAUCACUUUCCCUGUGUCUGUCUGGCUGUGAUUUGGGAACAUCAAAGUCCUCAUGGGCUACCGCUAAAGUGGUUAAAACAGAGAUGGUGUAUGGAAAUGUACUAUACAGGAUUGUUUUCUAUACCCUUCCGGAUUUUGAUGAAGGAAAUAGGAUUUUUCAGGCGAACCUUUCUCCUCUUGAGGCAGUGAAAGCAGAACAUGGGCAAAUGAAUAUCAGGCUGAGAACAUAUUCAGAUGGCAAAAUAAUGGUGUAUGAAAACAUUAGAACUUUCAAAGAAUAGUUAUGACAGAGGCAGUUAUAUGAGAAUGAAAAUCAUCAGCAACUCAUCCAGUCAUUCAGCGCAUUAUAUAUACACAUCAUUUAUUAUAAUAUUAAGUUUGCUUGUCGCAUACUUUCUUGCAAAAGAACUUUCAAAAACAGAUGAGCCCGCAACGAAACAAGAGUUAAUUGAUAUCAUUGAAGCUACCCCAUGCGCUUUAGAACCUAUCUCCAGAGCCAUAGAGCAAAAUCCGAUAAGUAUCGUCAGAGCAAAUUCUAUUGCCAUCCAAUGUCAGAGAAACAUAUUAAGAAGCGAAGUUAUAAAUGAGCAAAGAGAAGCAUUAAAUGAGCAAAAACAAGCAUUAAAGUACGUUGAAAAAGAUGAGUGGCAAUAAUAUUUACAAUCAUUUCUUUGUUUUAAAUUCACAUAUCAAUAAAUGCUUUAUAAGCAGGCAUAACAUGGAAAUUAAACAGAACUUCUUGGUAGUAAUAGCUUUAAUUAUUGUUGUUUGUGGUAUUUUUAUAGUUUCCGGGAAGUAUGAUGUUAACACUUUCCAGUUUGCAUAUUCCAUUGCCACAAAAGAGAGUCUGGCGAAAAUUAUAAACAAUACGCCUUGUGCAUAUAACCCCAUUAAUAAAGCCCUCGAAAACGGGCCGAUUGAUAUCGGGCAGGCCAAUGAAAUUGCAGAUAAAUGUAAGAGGGAGGAGCAGUCAGAAGCAGAAAGGAAAGUGCAGCAGGAUGCGUUAAGGCAAAUCAGCAAACCUAACGAUAUUGAAGAUAAAGACCGAGCUGCGACCAAACAGGAGAUUAUUGACAUCAUCAGUUCUUCACCUUGUGCUAAUGGACCAAUCACUGCUGCCAUCGCUGGUAUGCCUAUUAGCAUCAGUUAUGCCCGACAUCUCGGCAGCACUUGUGAAGAAGUUUCAGCACAACGGCAACGUUUAAAACAUGAAAGAGAAGAACAGGUACAGGCUCUUUCCUAUUUUUACGAGUAAUAACCCCCCUGGUUCUUAUUCAUUAAGAAAAAGGUGGUCGUUAACCUAAAGGUUUUUUAAAAAUAAAAAGGACUGGCAUCGUUUCUUUAAGUGUCAGUUAUCAAAUUUCGGAAAGUUACUUUCUGGGGGGACUAUGUCUGAAAAGAUUAUCAAAAGGGGAGGAGAGCUCAUAGAGUUGCACUCUCGCAAUAAUAUUUCAAAUAAAGCGGAGCUGCAGAGCAAUACACAAAAACCCAAAACGAAAAUCACCAAAGCUCAAAGAGCAGCACUCAGAAUGAAAUUUGCUGCCCGGUGUGCUUAUUGCGGGUGUGAGCUGAAGGAAAAGGGCUGGCACGCCGACCAUGUAGAGCCAGUACGGAGAGAUUUCGAUAUAGUUCGCGCGCCCCAGGGGAGUCGGGUGACUCACGUUGCACGCAACAAUGGACGAGUAUUCCAUCCCGAGCGGCAUGAUUUAGAAAAUCUUUUCCCAGCAUGUUCUCCAUGCAACCUGUUUAAAGCGACAUUUUCAAUCGAGGGAUUCAGGAAACAGAUAGCCCACCAGCCUGAACGAGCUCAAGCCUACUCUGUCAACUUCCGCACCGCCCAACGAUUCGGACUAGUGACGGUCAUAGAGAGACCUGUCGUGUUCUGGUUUGAGGUGGCUUUGUUGAAUAAAUCAGAUUUCGGGUAAGUCUCCCCCGUAGCGGGUUGUGUUUUCAGGCAAUACGCACGCUUUCAGGCAUACCUGCUUUCGUCAUUUUGUUCAGCGCUCGUACCAGGGCCAUAGCCUCUGCAACCUGACCAUCGUAGUCACGCAGUGUCAGUGAACCCCCGAACAGCUGUUUUACCCGGUACAUCGCCGUUUCCGCUAUCGAGCGACGGUUGUAAUCUGUUGUCCAUUUCCACCGCGCAUUACUCCCGGUCAUUCGCUGAUUAGCCACUGCACGGUUACGGUCUGCAUAUUCACCGGGCCAGUAACCCGCACCUUUUCGGGGUGGGAUAAGCGCGCUGAUUUUCUUACGCCGCAGUUCAUCGUGACAGAGCCGGGUGUCGUAAGCGCCGUCUGCCGAUGCUGCCCUGAUUUUUCUGUGAGUCUGCCGGAUAAGACCCGGGAAGGCUUCUGAGUCCGUCACAUUGUUCAGCGACAGGUCAGCGCAGAUGAUUUCAUGUGUUUUACUGUCAACGGCGAGAUGCAGCUUACGCCAGAUACGGCGGCGUUCCUGGCCAUGCUUUUUGACUUUCCACUCGCCUUCACCGAAGACCUUCAGCCCGGUGGAAUCAAUUACCAGGUGUGCGAUUUCACCCCGGGUGGGCGUUUUGAAACUGACAUUAACCGACUUUGCCCGCCUGCUGACACAGCUGUAAUCCGGGCAGCGUAGCGGAACGUUCAUCAGAGAAAAAAUGGAAUCAAUAAAGCCCUGCGCAGCGCGCAGGGUCAGCCUGAAUACGCGUUUAAUGACCAGCACAGUCGUGAUGGCAAGGUCAGAAUAGCGCUGAGGUCUGCCUCGUGAAGAAGGUGUUGCUGACUCAUACCAGGCCUGAAUAGCUUCAUCAUCCAGCCAGAAAGUUAUGGAGCCACGGUUGAUGAGGGCUUUAUUGUAGGUGGGCCAGUUGGUGAUUUUGAACUUUUGCUUUGCCACGGAACGGUCUGCGUUGUCGGGAAGAUACGUGAUCUGAUCCUUCAACUCAGCAAAAGUUCGAUUUAUUCAACAAAGCCGUUUGAGGUCUAUGAUGCUUCGGAGCCUCUGGAGCCCCAACUAUCCUACUUCAUGGAGAACCGGCAGGUCGCUCCGGUCUCCAGAUGAUUUGAUUGAUAGUCAAUCGCCCUUCCGAACGUUGGUGUUUAUUUAUCUUUCCAGGUUGCGAGAGAAUAAGAGGUAUUUUGCAGUUUUAGUAUUAAUGUUUAAUUUCAGGAGGAUAUUACUACCUUCGGUAAGAAUACGUUUCUAACGAAUGAAGACAUCCUGAUAAUAUCAAAAAUCCUGAGCUGCUCGUUGCAUUUCAUCGGUGAUUAAAUCAUAAGUUACAGUAAUAUCCGCCCCGCAAGCCUGUUCCAGCUUCAAUCUAAUCAACUUACCGAUAUGUUCAUCUGUCAUCGAGGAUUCGAUCCUGACGAUUCCUCUGCCAGCUCUUAGUUUAGCUCGGUUUUCUUCUACCUCAUGAAUAUCGAAAGUUUCCAUUGUCAUCUCUCUGUUGUCAGAUAAAUUGUUUAGAACAAUAUAUCAGUCGUCACCAUGCAUCUCAACAUAUCCUUAAAAUAACCCGUGGCGCAGGCCAGUAUAACCAGAUAAUAUUCUGGCAUCAUUCCUGUUCAUUGUUAUAUAAACUGUUCAGUUACAGGCAUUGCCUGGUCAUACUUCUAUCUCGAAUCGUUAACCAUGUGAUGUAAUUAGUCAUGCAAAAUGGACUCUACUAUGCCCAGUCAAAUUCCACUCGCGCCAAUACUUCCGACAGAUUUAUUCAAUAAAGAGGGCUUUAUUGAAUAAAUCGAAUAGAGAGAACAAAGGGGAGUCCUGUUGACCCUGCACUACGGGUUCUACCAGCGCUUCUCAAUAGUGUCUACUAUGAGGCUUAUGUAAGCAGAUCUCGAUUCCUCACUGUCGGACUGCCUUGCGUAAGCUUUUUUUAUUGCACCUUCAGAGAGAGGAUGUUUCAUGUUUAGAAGUAACAUGAUCACCAGAACAUCGAUAAUGCGGGCAGAGGAAAAGUACUCAUAGAUGUAGUCGAAAGACGUUUGUUUAAAGUCUACUCCAGUUGCUCCAAUAUCAAUCAGGGCAGCGAUUAUCUCCCUUUCGUCACCAUUUCUGACGGUAAGCUUUAACAGGUUUAGUUUACGUUUCUGUGCUUCCUCAAUCUUUCGUUGUGACUGUAGAUAUUCGGCAAGGUUUUUAAACAUUAUAACGUAUCCCGUGAGUACUAAUCCCGCAGAGCAUACGGAGAUUCCCUGAAAGUUGGAAGUCGGCAAACACCUGAUUUGACCAUUCCCCAUAAUGGAUAUACAAUAAUCGUCAAAUGGAGGUGGCUUAUGUACAAAAACACCACAGCUGAAAAACUACCAGAUACUCAUGAUAAUCUGACGGACUUUCAGCGCAAUCUACUGAAAAGAAUAAACAAUAUCGCACUGUCUCUGAUGCCUGAGUUUGAGGACAAAUCCCAGGCCAUGGAAGCGAUCACACUGGAUGAUGGCUCAUUGAUGCAGUUACUUUACUCUGUGCAAAUGCAACAAAAAACGCACGCAUCUGAGUAUGAAAUGCGUAAGGUUCAUCGCCGUCGUGAAAAUCUGGAAGCUUUUUACAGAAGCCUUCAGGAAAUAGGCGGUACCUUUAAAGUCAAUGAUGUGGCGGACAUACUGGGGAUUACCCGACAGGCAGUGAACAUCCGGGUGAAGAAGAAUCAGCUUCUGGCCUUUAAGCAAAACGGUGACUUUAUGUUCCCGGUCUUCCAGUUUACUGAUGAAGGUCUGAGACCGGGAUUUAAAGACAUCAUGGACGCAUUCGAUGAGGAUACCCAUCCGGUGUUGCGGCUGGAGGUUUUCAAAGCUCCGAUUGCGGUCAGCGAUGAGCAAACCAAAACACCCAUCCAGAUCCUGACUGAUGGCGCAGCUGAAGAUGAACUGGCUCUGGCCGUUCGAGCCGCACGACUAUUCGGUAGCCAUGUUGCCAGCUGAGUUAAAGAAAAGAGGGGCAUACCGCGCCCCUCUUUAGUUACUUCGGUUCGGACAUAAUUUUGAAGUUUAGUAAUUCCUCAAACAUCUCUUCGCCGGUCAUGAACGUACCAGGCCAACCUGCAGGGAAAAUUCCUGUAUCUGUCUCCCUGUAAGAUGCAUAGGGCACCAUCCCCCCGGGAGUAUCAGUGAAAGCAGGCGGCUUACCUGGCAUUUCCCAGAAAGCAUAACAACGCUUGCAGCGAUAGUGUCUUCCUGAAUAAGAGAUCCCAUCAAAAUCACUUCCAAAAUGCGUAUGCAAAUACGACAUCAGCCAUUGUGUGAAGGUAUAGUUUUCGUUUUCAACGCUGUCAGGUGGAAUGUGAAGCAGCUGGCAUAAACCAACAAUAUCGAUCGCUUUCACCGUUCUGUUGACAUCUAUCGAGCACAUAUAAUGCUGAUGUAAGACUUUCUCUGGGUAAUUAACAGGACCACCCAAAUGAAGUAAACGUCCGUAUGCUUCCGCCGCUGCCGUUAAUGAUGAGUCUGCAGCGUACCACACGGCAAUCGAACCACCGGGUGGGUUGUAGCGUCCACACUCUUCAAAUAACACUGGCGCACUGAACUGUACUGCACUUGCAUAACACUUCUUCUGGUGACGCUUCAAAACAGCCGAAGCCGGAUUGAUUGUCACUGUCGGAAUACGCCCUACCUUUUGUAACGCUACAAUUCCCUGCGUCACUUUAUCUUCUUCAAAAAUCCAUUUAUCCAUAAAACACCUCCUUACAACAGAUUAGGCCAUAGGCUUUCUCCAUUCUCAUUUAUAAAAUGUCCCUGAAGUAUCGUCAUUCAAGGACGAAUAAGACCUGCGGUCUCGCUGAUAUUAUAUCCAAAAAAACCAUAUGUUUCAUAUAAAUAUGGUUUAUCUUCCAGAUGAAUUUAGAGUAUAAAUAGUAGCUUGCAUUGUACCUAAUUUAAGGUACAAUUGAUGUUGAAAGGGAAGGCUACCGAGCCGCCCAAUAACUGCCUCAGGAGGCGUUCAUGUCAACUAUCCCUCAAUUAGCUGAACUGGGUUUUACCUCAGAUGUUAUACCUGUGAUCAAUACACCAGCGCCCAAUAUGACUCGCGGAUUUGAGCGCUUUCAUAUCAGCUAUAACUUUUCAUCAGCAGCAUACGGUUGCGACACAACAGCUCUGGUUCUGGAUGAGCGUGUCUUUUUCGUUCUGGACGGGGACCACGCCAGGGAUAUGACCGAAGCUGCAAAAUCACAUGGUAUUGAUGGAUGCGUGAACGUCUUCAUAGACCGUAUUGAGUCUGCUAAUCGUCACAGCGAGCAUAAAAUGGCGAUUGGCCUGACAAGUGAUAAGUUCGGACUGAUGCCGACCGCACUUGCCGUCAUCGGAGAACAGAACAUCCUCCGGCUUCUCUCUGCAGUGACAGGAACUGUUCAGGACUUUUCAGCGAACGGCAUUAACAAGGAUUAACCAUUCUAAGUACCAACAGACCCAUAACAUCUGAGGCUUAUAUGAAACUUGACGAUUUAACAGGUGACGACCGUACUCUGGUUGUAGUCGCUCUCCAGGCUCUUCACCGGGAGCGAGCUAACGCAUAUCAUGCAGCCUGCACCGCCUGCCAGCUCUCAGGCAAGCAACCACCAGCUGAAGCCCUUUUUGGCGUUGAUGAAUGUAUUUCGGCAUUACGCAGGAUUGGGGCUCUCCCGAUGAGAUGAAAUCAGAGAUGAAAUCAACCAAUGUGAAAGACGAUAGUAGGGCAUUACUCAUCAGUGCUGGUCAGUUGUUGUUUGGUGAGCGCUGGCAAACGGAACUCGCCAGAGCCCUUGGCCUGUCAGACGGCAGGCGCAUCCGUCAGUGGCUUUCUGGUGACAGACCAAUUCCAGUUGGAAUAUGGGAUGACCUGAGUGGUCUUCUGAAUGACCGAAGUUCCGAAAUAGCUCUGAUUGCUAAACACAUUCAAGACAGGACGAAUGAGAACGUAUAGGUUAAUUGAGCUGACAGUAGGGAGGGGGGAAAGUGACGCAACAAUUCUCGCCUCCGCGUGAAGUCGUGGAGAUGUCCCGGCGGAUUUUUGAAAAUGUAAUCUCCAGUAGCCUCAAUACUGCUGAUACCACAGGAACCUGUAUGUAUGGUUCGAUUCUGGUUUCCAUGCUCCUGGAGAAAUAUUCAGGUGUCAGGACACGUAUCGCCGGUGGAGAUGGUGUUGGUGAUGGUGGAAUUCUAACUGCAGCCGGUAUGAAGGGGCAUUAUUGGGUUGUUGCCAACGUACAUGGAAUGCUCUUUGUUGUCGAUAUCACGGCAGAUCAGUUUGGCAUGGACAAAAUCGUAUACAAAGGGUUAAAGGAUGCUCCAGAGUACAUUGAGGGCCACCAAAUCACCAUUGAUGACCAUGUUCAUGAGACCCUUCAUCAGAUUAUAGAGAGUCAGCGUUCAGAAUAUAACCAGCCGUGAGCCCUGUAAGAAAUGACAAAGAACAGGAGUCCUGGCUCGCCAGAGCUCUUUGUACUGGUUAAAAACCCAGAUAUCAUUCCCCCUGGGUUAUAUGAGUGAUAGACUAUCACUCAUAUAACCUUUGGAGGUAAGAAUGUCUGAAUUUGAAUCCCUUGCAGAAGAGCUGGUAGAAGAAGCACGAAAUGAAGAGGCCAAGCAACAGCAACGGGACCUGACACUGAUAGGUAAAGUCCUGGAAAUUUAUGAUCAGAAGUUCGUUGCAGAGCUUCUCCGUAAGCUGGGUAAUUCAGACUGGACCAGGGAGACCCUGAACCGCUGGAUUAAUGGUAAAUGUGGACCUCGUUCGCUCACAGUAACCGAAGCGUCUCUGCUCGAAAAGAUGCUCCCUCAGCCGCCUGCUAACCACCCCGAUUAUGCAUUUCGCUUCAUCGAUCUCUUCGCCGGUAUCGGCGGCAUCCGUCAUGGAUUUGAGGCCAUUGGCGGCAAGUGUGUUUUCACCAGUGAAUGGAACAGCUAUUCAGUCAAGACUUAUAAGGCUAACUGGUACUGUGACCCCGACGCACAUAUCUUCAAUUCAGACAUCCGGGAUGUCACGCUCAGUCAUAAAGAUGAUGUCAGCGAAGAAGCCGCCUACGCCAAUAUCGACAAAUCGAUACCCGAUCACGAUGUCCUGUUAGCUGGGUUUCCAUGCCAGCCUUUCAGCCUUGCCGGUGUCAGUAAGAAAAACUCACUUGGCCGUAAACACGGUUUUGAAUGUGACACCCAAGGGACCCUAUUCUUUGAUGUGGCCCGCAUCAUCAUGGCGAAAAAGCCAGCCAUCUUUGUCCUGGAAAACGUCAAGAACCUCAAGAGCCACGACAAAGGCAAAACAUUCCGCGUCAUUAUGGAUACCCUGGAUGAACUCGGUUACGACGUCGCCGACGCUGAAGCAACAGGUGCCGAAGAUCCAAAAGUUAUAGAUGGUAAACAUUUCAUCCCGCAACACCGGGAGCGUAUUGUUCUGGUGGGGUUCAGACGUGACCUGAAUUUAAGCCAGGGAUUUAGUCUUGGUGACAUUUCUUCUCUGUACCCGGAAAAAAAGGUCCUGUUCAGAGAGCUUCUUGAUAGUGAAGUAGAAGAUAAAUAUACACUAACGCCAAAGCUGUGGGAUUAUCUCUAUAAGUACGCCAAAAAACACCAAGAGAAAGGCAAUGGUUUUGGUUUUGGACUGGUGAAGCCUGAAAAUGAUGAUGCAAUUUCUCGCACAAUAUCAGCGAGAUAUCACAAGGAUGGUUCAGAAUCGCUCGUUGAUCGUGGUUGGGAUAGCGAACUCGGUGAAAAGAACUUUAACGACCCAGAGAACAUGACCCGACGUCCUCGUCGUCUAACACCGCGUGAGUGUGCCCGGCUAAUGGGAUUUGAGCAGCCAGGGAAAGUAACUUUUAGAAUCCCCGUAUCCGAUACUCAGGCUUACCGCCAGUUCGGAAAUUCCGUCAUCGUGCCGGUAUUCGAUGCAGUAGCGAAAUUGCUGGAGUCACGGAUCAUCGAGGCUGUGAAGGCGCGGAAAUAGAAGGUAUUGAAAGAGCCCCAAGGGGCUCUUCAAAUAUCUAUGCUGGUAUCAUCCCAUUGCGCAUACGACUCUCGCCAGAUGUGGGGGGAUGUCACCAAUAGAGUUUUUUAAGUUCAUCUAUAAACGCAGAUAGUGACAUUAGCUCACCCCUGAUUUCCUCGGGAAAGGCCUUAUGCAACCCUACCGGUACAACGAGCCGUAUCCCCUCAGACUGCAUUUCCCUGAACUGUGCCACAGAUACGCCCUGCUGUAAGGUGAACAGGUGUACUGUAUCAAUUCUGUCAGCCUCAUUCAGUACCUGCCGCCAGCGGUCCUUACAGGUGGUUUUAACCCCCAACAUGCGUAACUGUUCAGCAGGGUAAUAAGGAUCGCGAUAGGCAGCACCGGAAGGAAAGAUGAAAUCGGGUUUUUUCUUACCUUCCGUGAUAGCCUGAGUUUCAAAGCUCAUUACACCGUGUUCUUUGAAAAGAGAUUCAAGAUGGAGCUCAAGACUUUUCCCGGCACGAGACUUCCUCCGGUUACUCACUGAGUUAGCAAGCGUAAUAAAAUCAUUCACCGUGGCAAAGCCUUCGGCUAUCUGACCCAGCACGUGCAGUUCCUCAACGGCUAGAAAAAUUUCAAACUCAAUUUUCCGCCGCCACGUCAGUUGAGUGUCCGGAUCGUCAGAUUUUUUAUCGUAAUGACAUGCGGCAAAACCAAUAAUUUCCCUUCCUGAAGGAAAGUGAUGGGCCCAUUCCGGCGGCAGCUCAUACCUGGUCCUGGCUGGGGAGUGCUCGGUAACGAAUCCCCCAAUUAUUUUGUCUCCAGGACCAAAUAUUGUUCCUCCCGGGAUAACUUCUCCAAUAAUAGGUUCAAGAACCUCCUCCUCGGUCAGGUCUUUGCAGACCCAGACAUCGCAAUAACUGGAAGAUGUGCCGGGGAUAUGGUCGAACGCGAGAAGGGCCAGAGCUCCUGUAUUCUCCGGAUUCUGGAGCGGAUUUUGUCUACCAAAGCCCGUCAGCCGUUUUUCAUCCCGGGUGCCACCGAAAAACUUAUUGUUAUAGUAAAUGGCCCUUACAUCAUUAAGGUCAGGGCAAUCAGGAUGAGAUGACAUGUGCACUGAAAAAAGUGCUUCUGGAUUUCUUAACUGAGUAUCACGGAGUGAAGGGAACAGCUCAUCAAUGACUGCCCCUGGCAUGUAAAGACCAGACUGGUGGGAUCUUGUCGCGCCGGUAUCGUUCGCGGAUAGACGCUUCACGUAUACCCAGACAUUAGCAGAGCAUUUUUCUUGCAACCACUCAGCCAGAAUACUCAUCCAAACUACUCCAUCAUAAACAUUCACUGUUUAUGAAAGAUGUUACGGAUCCUGAGGUUAGAAGCAAGGCUAAAAGAAUCGGAGUGGGCUGGAGUGAGGGGAUGAUUAACAGUGAAUUGCUUAUACGUUCAAAAGGUUAUGCUCAUAAAAAUACACUAAUACUAAACCUUAAUAAUUUAUAAAAUCGUUAGUUACCCGGACUGUAUAUCAACACUACCUUCACAUCAUGUUCCUCAACGUACGCUACAUCAUUAAAAAAAUCAGUCAGAAAAAAAUGGCGAUGUGUAUUUCAUAUAAUUUCUCACUGUUUAUGAGAUGAAGGACUCCUCCAGCAUUUAAAUAUAGCAUACGAACAAAUCAGGGGAUUGACGAAGCAACUUAAAAUGUAAGAAUAGAGAUGCGCGAUAUUCAUCAUCAAUGACAGACUCACAUGAAAUAGCAUUAAAAUCGUUCAUGCACGUCUGAAACAGGCAUGAUCAAUAUUAUUUUUCACAAUCAAAACCGGGAUUAUAUUGACUAAACAUUUAUAUGUGGAAAAAUAGACUAAUCCCGUAUCACUCUAAAAGGUAACAUAUGAAAAUCCGAGAUAAGAUUGCUGCUGAAUUGAAUUACCAGGCAUCUGUAGAAGGAGAGACGGGUAAUAUAAAAAUGUGUCGUAUUAUUCUGGAGUCUGUGAACAAUGCUGUUGUUUUCAAUACAAUGACAAAGGUAGAGAAGGCACCUGACUCUGACGCAAAAACCACCAAUGAGCAGUAUUUCCACUAUGUUCAACCAUGGGUUAUCCCGUUCAUUGAAAAAAUGCAUACAGCCAAAGACGAAUGACGACAGCAUCCCUGGAAAGGAAGAACCUAUGGCAUUACUGAUUUCAGCAGAUGAUAGUAUUCGAAAGCUAUCCCCUCAGGACCUUGACGGUAGCCGUGAUAAUGAAGGUGUAUUCUCGCUCGCCGAUAUGCAACAAAUGGUAGGCGGUUACAUUCAGGCAGUGAGACUUAAUCCUGUUAUCGUACAUGAAGAUACGCGUUACACCUGGUUAAUUAUCAAUGAAGAAGGGAAGCUUCUAUCUUUGCCAAUUAACAACAAUGCGACCCUUAUGGCAGUCACUGCUAUCAGGCAUGAUGAUUACAUCGUCGGUGAUGCAUUGAUGCUUGAAGAACACGAAUUUCAGUAACUUUUUGUGAUACACUAUUCUCGUUAUUAUUCAAUGUUCGUUAGUUAAAUUUGCCUGUCGAUGACAGGCUUUUUUUUGAAAUAAAAAGCCCGGAACCAGGCUUUAAGUGGAGUACCAUCAGACAGAAGAAAGUUACUUUUUGGAUUUUUCGCUACCAGGAUGGAGUGCUAAGGCAUCAGGCUUAACAUCAACCAUUGCCAUUAAACAUUCUUUAUGCCCGUAUGUGCUACCGCCUGAUUUGUCGAUAUACACAACUCCAUUUUCUCUCAUUCUCUCCCUUCCAUAGCGGGCCGCAUACGACUCUGGCAUAUUUUUCGAGCAAAUCUCACAGGGCCCCAGAUAGUCACUACCCCUGGCCGUUGCCCUAAUGACUUUUACCAGUCGACCCGUUGGUACGUUAGAAAUCAUUUGAUUAAACCUCAAGCAUUAUCCAAAGGGCGAUUAAACAUUACCCUUAAGAAAAUUGAAAAGAAAAAAAACUAACACACUAGCACCCAACAUAUAGAUCGUGAUGAUAAAUAUUCUGGCUGAAAUGGUUGGGGUCAUUCUUGCGUUAAAUGCACUGAUGAAUAGUGCGAUUGCCGCAAUGAUUUUUAUAAUAUACUCAGGGAUAACAUUGUUUUCACCUAAAAUCUCGUAUACCUGUGAGCUUAACAGGCAAAAAGAAAGAAUAACAAGCGGACUCAACCAUUUAAGGUUGCGAAUUAAAUACCAAUCCUCUUUGCUGUUUUUCAUACUCAUUCAUACCCUCUAAAUUUAAUUAUCGACCAGAUUCUAAUUUCACAUUACUUUUUUAGCUUUGACAGUAACUUUUUGAACGGGGUGUACUCAUACACGAUCAAUGCAGUCAAUAAAAUCAAACUCACAGAAAGAAUAAAAAGGUGAAUGCAAUUUAUAUAAAAUUCGAGCUUUAUGCUCAAUUUUUUCAAGUUUUCAAGUUCCUUAAACUCAUUUCCGACAUCAUACAUGUCCUGAUGACCUGCUAAUUUUGCCGAACGAAAGAGAGCGUCUUUUUCAAUGGCGGUUUGAGUUUCCAGGGCUUCAUUUAUCUCACUCUUUUUUAACAUUAAUUUAUUGAGUUCCGCACCAGCGCUCGAAAUAUCCGUCUCUUUGUUUUUUCUUUCAAGAAUUACAAUUAAAUUCUUAAUGUUAGAAUUAAGUUCUUCAAUGUCACUUUGUUUAACUGUUUUCAAUAACAUCGUAGACGUUUUAUUUGACAGUUCAUCCAAAUCUGGAUGACCUGCGUACUCCUCUGAAAUCUUCGCUGAGGCAGUGUCUCGCUCAUUAAUCAGCUCGCUAAUGUGUUUCAACGGUCGAGAAUCAUUAGAUGAAAAUGUAUCUAUGGGUGGCUCAUCAAUACUGCGAGCAACGCUACCAGAACUCAUGAAUAUCGUCAGCAGAAGGGCGGGCAGUAGGGCACGGGGAACAUUUGAAAAUUUUGAGGGUUUCAUAAUAGCUUCCUGAAUUUUUGAGAUGUGAGUAGUUUCACGAUCGUAAAGGAAAAUUCUGUCGAUUUCCGGUCUUUGCUGACCAUAAAAAGGAUUUAGAACUUUUUAUUUUCUUUAGUUAGCCUAAGCAUCCCCCCCCUUUAACAGAUAGGGGGGGGUAGAGGCUAUCAGCAUCCCAUCAUCCGUUCCAUUUUUUCCAUUUGAGCUAAGUCCGCCAACUCACGACGUUCGCGGCGUUCUACGACAAGAGCUCUUUUUUCCCCAAAAGUCAGAGCACUGAUAAUGGGGACCUUAAUUUUCCCACUGCCUUUACAGGUGGUGCAGGCAACAUCAUAUGUACCGUUUACUAUCCUGUGCCGUUCCUCUGGCUCCAUUUCGUAAAGCUCAGCGCUGGUAAAACCAUCCGAAAACGCUGGGUUGUCAAUGGUACCGUGGCCUUCACAGUGAUGACAAAUUGCCCAAUAAAACUUACCCAUGCAUGGCUCCCUUUAUCAGCUGUUACACCAUUCAUCGUAAGUUUUUAGUGGCUUUCCGGUAGUGACGUCAAUACCUUUUCCAUUAUCUGCACAAGCAAGGUAAAUUUGGUAUUCACUGUCGUUAUCACCACGAGAACGAGUCUGCCAGUUUUCAUUUUGUUCAAGUUUCAUGACACACCUCACUUUAAUUUAUUAGUGUUAUCCUACUCUAUUUGACUCGUCCAUCAACCCCCUAAUUACUAAACAAGAAAUAUUUUAAUGCUAUUGUUUAGCAACUUUAAAUCGUGUUUAACAACAAGCGUGCGUUAAAGAACAUUACCAGCGACAAUAGAAAUAAAAUAAUACUUAAUGCCACUUCUUUUAAGGCUUCAUUUACAACUAUCUUUCUGAAUCCUGAGGAGAAGGGGGCGGAAGGAUUCAAACAUCUCAAUGCUGGGAUUAAAUUCAUAAUGGCGAAAAUUAAGAGAGUAAGUCCAGCCGAUACGAACAGUGUAAUCACACUGUAUGAUACAUGCUCAUGCUUAUAGAACAUAUUGUAUGCUAUCAAGGUUAUACCUAUGAGUACAAGGAAUAAACCUGUGAUGUUAACAAUAAUGAAUAUGGCGUCCUUUCUGUUAUAUAGGGAAGAAAUCAUCACUCUACCAAUCAUCAACAAUACAAUGAUGUCAAGAAUUACAUUUAAUGAAAAUAUAGCGAUAUAAUAAAAAUCACUCAUAUCCUUUCCUUUUCCCUACAAACAAAAAAUGUUGCUUGUGAUGUAAUGUUAAAUAUAUUAAAAAUCAUUGAUUUGAAGUCAUAUCAUAAUACUGUCCAUAGGUUAAUUUUAUAAAAUCAGGGGGAAUAGACACUUCAUUUUUGAAUCCAUCAACUCUAUUCGGAAUGCAAAAUACCAGAGCAUCAUUUCUUUCAAAGAGCAUACCGCAUUUCGUUGUCAGCAUAGCCGUUGCAUGCUUGCGGAAGGAGGAUGGACCGCCUUGUGCUGUUCGCAUCACGCCAUAGUGGUUGAUAAUGUAAGAUUCCCAACAAGGAUACGAACCGAGCCUUUCAUUUGCUGAUUUAAUAACCGAAUCCAGUUUUUUAUUGUAGUCGCGACCUUCCUUUGUGUUGCCUUUGCCGCGUACAACUAUCACCGGUUUAUUAUUGAAUAUAGAUCGCUCUUUAAUCGUUAUGGGGCACGGAAAGGUACACUCAGCAUCCCAGGCAAAGGCACGCAAUUUAUCCCCUUUAUCUCCCAAUCCGUAUGAAUUAAUGAAUGCAAUUGCCCCGACUGACCUGCAGGCUUCAUCAAUAACCAUGGAACGUUGCUCUCCGACAGUUUCAUAGGACUGAAUUAACUCCUUAACCUUUGGUCCUUCAACAAGGUAAUAAUCAUAAUACUUAGCCUGGUCCGACAUCGUGGUCCCUCUCGUGUUAUGGAUGGUUACUGCAAUCAAAGAAAGUUACUUUUUUGCGGCAGUAAGCCCAAGAACUUCUUUCAUCUGUUUCUGUGUCCAUAUCGUUUUGGUAAUGGUCAGAUCUACAUCACCGCGAUAGGCUGUACCAUCUGGCAAAAUCACCAGGCUAAUUAUUUUUUUCCUGGUUUAGAAACUUCAAACCGAUCUCCACUUCUCUUUACGGUAUAACCCUUUAACAGAGCCUCCUGAACGAUUUUUUCUUUUCCUUUCUUAGCCAUAACCCCCUCCCGGCUUUUAUAGCAUAGCAAUCAGGGUAAAUUAUCAAAUAUCAAGGACAACAUCGCCACAGGGACGACAGCAGCAUGGCAGAAUUUCAUCCGCACCUACGUAAGCCAGGGGGAAGCAGUUGUAAGUGACUUUUCCUGAUUUUUUCUUGAGCCUGCAUGCACCACAAAAACCUGAACGGCAUUGUGAUUCAACAGGAACCCCCGCCGACUCUAGUUGCUCCAGGAUAGAGUUUGCACUAUUUUCAGAGGUUAUAAGCAUUUUGCUUUUCUCAGCAAAGAUAGUCUGACAAUUGAUAUAACCUGACAUAAGCCGCCCCCUUUUAUCUUUAUCAUAUUAUAUCAUUUUACCAGGCUACCAUAACCCCCUAAUUAUGCGAUGAGUGAAAAUUAACCCGGAAAAGUUUUAUCAUCAGAAAUAUUCAGAAAUUAUCACAUCAGAGCCAGCCACAUUGGAAAACCACAAUCAUAAAUGGCGGGUGUUUAUGAAAAAUAAUUUUAAAUUUUCACGCUCAAACUAAAAAUGACCCCUUGAUGCAGCGUUUUAAUAUGCAAUCAUGUAUUCAACAAAGGAGAAAAUAUGAUCCAUUCAUUUGAAGAAAAGAACCUUGAGAAGUUAUUUAAGAGCGGGAAAUCGCAGUCAGGUCUUCCAACGGAUAUUACCAACAGUCUGAAAAGGGCGCUUGAGGAGCUGCAUAAUGCGGCAAGCGAAGCUGACCUGAUCCGUCUUAAAAGUCGUAACUAUGAAAAAAUUCACCAUACACGUUUACGAGAACGUGAAAGGGCGGGAGAUAUGUCAUCUAUCCGUGUCUCUUCAAAAUAUCGUCUGCUGUUCACCUGGGCCGAUGGUGGCGCAAACCGGGUGAAACUUACCGCUCAUGCCCAUGCGUAAGGAUUCGUUUAUGCAGCAUUGCACAGCACGUCCUAAUGACGAAGUCCGGGCUAUCGAUCUGUUUACAUCCUUAGGUCGGGAAGGGGUGCAGUUUCGCCUGGACAGCCUCGCUAUAUUGGCAGCAUCUCGCUGGGAGCAGGCGUUACCUUUGCCUCCUGAUUACACAGGAACACCGAUUGAUUUUCUGUCGGAUGCGGAACGCGAGGAAAGGCAUAUCCUUUUAACCGGUCAGAUGCUUUGCAUCGAUGAGAUAGCUGAAGCACGUGAACGUAUAAAGCAGCGUAUAGCCAGUCGUAAAAAGCUAUGCGGUACACGGAAUGCUGACUCACAUAUUGAAAGCGUUUGAAUGGGACUACCAUGUUAGAGAAAAUUUAUUAUCUGGCCCUUUUUCUGAUUGCGGUUUGCAUUAUCUGUGGUUUCGUUUUUGCAUGGCGCAGACGUAGCCCUAUGGCCCUGACGUUGACUAUCAGCGCUCUUGUGAUCUGUAUUGCUUUUCAUACGCUGGAGAACUCUGUUGCGACAGGUAAGGAUGAGUUAUUGCCAGGUGCCAGGGACUUUACACAGUGCGAGCUGGUUGACCAGCAAUCAGCUGAAAUCAGCGGUUUUGGCUAUCCGGUCGUUGUUCUGAUUUGUGAUGACGGCCAACAGAUUUUAGAUGCAGGGAUAUACACGCAGCAGCUGAAGCAAAAACAGGAUUGCGCCCCGGGCAGUGAGGUAACAAGCUGUCAUUAACUGCCAGAAAAGUUACUUUCCCAAAUAAUUCUUAUCCGCUGCAGUAUUUCCUGUUUUCCAGCGAGAAAGUAUCCGUUAGUAUCUGUUAACAUCAUUGAAUCAAACACAGAGAGAACAAAAAAAAUUAACCGCCAUAGAGGUAUAAAUGACUUCCGACGACAAUCAGAAUAAUGCAAGCGGCAAAGGUGUGGAUGAUUCUGUUAAAUCAGGCCAGAGCCAACAAAACACAAUUAGCAUUCUUAAACCAGGAUCAAAUAACGACCUGAUUGACCAACUUCGUGGUGGGCCUCUGGACAAAACAUCCGUUGACUAUGAAUACCACUCACCGGAUCCUACUGAAACUGCCCAACGUCUUGCUUUAAUUAGUUAUUUGAUUGCCGGGGAAGAAAAAAAUGGUGCCUUUUAAACCUGUUAAUUUGCUUCAAAUUAUGUCAUCUCACAAGAUGGAGACAGAUGAUGUUGCACUAAUCGCCGGUACCGAUUCUGUUGUAGUGGAGUCCUGGUUCAAGGAUGGGGUCGCCAGUGAGACAGCCCUGCACAACAUCGCAUGUGCAGUCGGAGUAUCGACGGAAUGGAUUCGGGGCUUUGUCUCCGGUGAGGAUGAAACACUUAAGGCAAACAGUGAAGGCCUGACGAAAGAGUUGCAGAAUCUUCCCCCUGAAGAAAUCUCCGUUCUGGCAAAAAGCUUCAGUUUGCGUUUGAAAGAUAUCAGUGAACUCGAUAACAAGCAGCAGGGGCAGGCUCUUUCAACGGUCAAUAAUAAUGCGGUUUUCAAUAGUGAUACCGAAGAACUCCUUGCGGUAUAUCGGUUAUUGCCAGAAACAGAAAGACGAAAUCUAUAUCGUGUGGUUUGUUUGAGACACAAAGAACUAGCACGGCUUUACGAAAAAUAUAUUAAUAAUAAACAACUUAUUUAAUAAUGCUACAUGGCUACAGAACUGGACAUUAGCAAUAGCCGGUGUCCGGUUUUUAUCCGCACGCGCUAGUUUUAAAUGAAACUAACAAUCAGUCAUAAACACUGGGCAAAAACAAAUUAUUUCCAUUUCAAUCUCAUUUCACCCCUGGUCAUAGCAUUUAUUUCUGGCAUAAUAGCUUUAUAGUGAAUAACACAGCUUGCCCUGAAUUGUUACUCUCUUACUAAAUUAUCAAGGAUAAACUAAUGAUAUCUAAAAACGAGGCAUUAGAUUUUUUAAUGAUGCCAAGCCAGGGUGCAACCUUUAGCGUUUUUGUUGGUGCUAUUAGUUUAUUAUCAAUCCAUACACAAGGGUAAAACAUGACGAACAAAGAUGUCAGCAAAGCGAUUUCAGUCAAAGACAAAGAAGCUCUUCAUUUAGAAGUUGUAGAUGGAAAACUAGCUGUAAAAAGAAUAUGCGAAGAUUUUGUUAUCGUAAAUUUGAAUGAUAUCCCUUCGAACCGUGAAGAACUCAUUCAUUUCAAUAAUAAAUAUUUAGCUCCAAACGGACUCGGUAUUGAUGCAGAGUCACUUUCUGAUGUAAAAGUCGAGCAACUUAUUGAAACAAUAAAAGAAACAUUCACUAAGGAGAAUGGGGUUGCCACUAUGACUGACUAUACUGGCCCUCUUAAUUAACCCAACACUAGCUAUCAGUGAGGCGAUAUGUCGACAGAAAACAGUGCAAAGAUCACUUUUACUUUUAACGGUAAUGCUCCUCAACACUGGAUAACUACAUUAAAUAGUCAAAGGAAAGGUACCUGGAUUGAUCCGCAAUCCAGCGGCAGCAAAGUACUGCUGGACAUCCUCACUAGCAGCGGCAUUGAUGCGGACAGCGUUCGCGGUGAUGAUGUUCUGGUGUUUUCAGUUCCCUCUCAGCGUGAGAUUUUGUCUGAACUUCUUGGUAUCUAUGCCGUUUCUGAUGCCAGAGUGUUGCUUAUCGCCGCUACGCCAUUCUGUCCGAACCUUUCUCGUGUUGUGGUAACAACCCACCAGCUUCUUUCGGACGGCAGCUCUGUUUCCAGCGAACAAAAGGCAUUACGCAACCUGUUUUUUAUGACACAAAACGGCAUCUGUAUUCAGAGUGAUUUAUCUUUGAAUCUUGACCCGGCCAAACUACCUGGUUCCCGUUUCUUUGCCUGUGAAGAUGAUAUGGAACAAGCAGGAAUUCAGCGUUGGGGAGAAAAUGGUGGUGAUGCCUGGCGUGCAAUGGCAACGAUUAUGCAUGGAAAGAAAAUUCUCAUCAACGGGGCCGGACAAAUGCUGGAACUAGGGAAUACCCCGGAAGAGCGGAUUAACGCCGUCAAUAAUUAAAUUCAUUUAUAGGUUGUACCUAUGGAAACAACAUUUUUAGGAAACAACGAGUUUAUCAAACAUGGAGGCCAGUUAUUCCUAAAAACUGAGGAAAGCUGUUUCGCUUUUUAUAAUAUAGAAUGGGCGAAAAAAAUCUUAUCCAGUGAUAAUGUUAAGUUUCAAAAUGGAAGGAUGUCCCAUGACGUCGCCCAUGAUGUUCUUGAGGAAGCUCAGGAUAACUUAUUAUGUUUUUUGUGUGCAACAUUACCUAAAAUGUCCACCAGCUAAAACUAACUGUUUGCGUGAAAUGACGCUAUCGAGCCCCCCCCUAACACAGGGGUUCUCGUAGCCAUAACAAGAAUUCCAUCUAACACUGCAAUCAAAGGGAAAUGGUUUUUGGGGAUUCGAAAGUUAUACAUCCAUAAACAGUGGAUGUUUAUAAAUCAUAUAAUUUUUUAUCGGAUUAUUUUUUAAUCUAAUGAAAAUCACCCCUGGCACUCAAUUAUAAAUAUGAGAUAAUGAUUUUACGAAUUCAACAGGGGUAUGUUAUGUCUCGUCUGAACCUGGAUUUAAUUGAAACUAUUUACUCUGAUGCUGACCGUGAACUCACCAAUGAUGAGUUGUAUCGGGAGGUACAGUCUCGCCUUUCAAUUUCAGAUAAUGAUUUCAAUUCAAAAGAAAAAUUCGGUUUGGCCGGUGUUCCUCAUAACAAAAUUAAACACCGUAUCCGUUGGUUCCAACAGACACUAAAAGCCAUGAACGUCAUCGAACGUUUAAGCUCCGGUCGCUCUCUAUGGCGUCACUGCAGGAAAAAAAAUUCCGGACUUUCCGAAGCGCGGGAAGGGACACGUAUAGUGGCAUUCAGUACAGAUCUCGGGGUAGCGAUUUUAGGCAACUCUACAAUGGUGUUGCCUGGCAAUACCGAACCGGUCCAUCUCUGCCUGACAUCUCCACCGUAUCCACUCAGAAAGCAGCGGGAUUAUGCCGCAGCCUUCAAAAACGACAGUGACUAUAUUGAUUUCAUCGUGGAAGCCAUUAGACCAAUCGCCCGCCAGCUGGUUAACGGUGGUUCUGUCGUGCUGAAUAUCGGUCAGGAUAUUUUUAAUCCGGGUCAGCCUUCACGUUCCCUCUACCCGGAGCGCCUGCUACUGGCCUUGUGCGAAAAACUUGACCUCUACCUGAUGGACCGGGUGCCGUGGGUGAAUAUGAGCAAACCACCCUCACCGACAUAUUGGGCCUGCCGUAAGAAAGUUCAGCUGCUGGCCGGUCAUGAAAUUAUUUUCUGGCUGACCAAUAAUCCUGAUGCUGUCCGUUCCUGUAACCAGCGCGUUUUGCAGCCCCAUACAGAGAGCCACAGCGCGUUGGUUGCCAGAGGCGGAGAGAACCGUACGACCAUCUACGGUGACGGAGCCCAUGUCGUGAAACCAGGUGCCUUUUCUCAAUCCACUGACGGGGCUAUUCCCAAAAAUGUGAUAAUCCGAGGCCAUGCGUGUGCUGACACUCGCCGCUUUCACAAGGAAGCUAAACGGUUAGGGCUUCCUGGACAUGGGGCGAUGUUCCCUACGGCCAUCCCCGACUUCUUCAUACGGUUUCUGACGGAAGAAAACGAGCUGGUGGUUGAUCCUUUCGCUGGCUCUCUAAAAACAGGCCUUGCCGCCGAACGGCUCAACCGCAGAUGGAUGUGUUUUGAUAGUAUUCUGGAAUGGUUACGAAUUUCAGCCACCGGCUUUUUUUCUGACUUCCCGGGAUUUGAGAUGAACCCGAUUAUUGAUAACGGCGAGUUGUUCGCGUAAGCGGGCGUUAGAACAUUUUUCAUUCUGCACAUCGUGGAGUGAACGAUCACAGGAGAUGGCAAUAUGCCUGACAUUAUCCCGCACCAACAGCAGCCGGAACAAUUUCAUAAAUUCUACUCCCUCAAGGGGGGGCAAUACUGGCGUGCCAAAAACGCGAUUCCUGAACAACGUAUAGAGCAGGAUGAGGUUUUGCUGAUUGAGUCGCUUCGCUGGGUCGAUAAUGCACUCCAUACCGUGAUCCUCCGCACCCAUCCGUCAAAAUUCGACAAAAACUUUGUUUUCAAAUUCACCGAUGCUGCUGGCCGUAGCUACAGCACGACGAAAUCGUUUAAAGAACACCGCUUUCUGUUCGACGAUUUUCUGGACAAAUUUGAGUUUGCCGAUGACGGGCAGGAAAUCCGUGGUCAGGAACUGCUGGCCGCUCAAAACCGGGUUAGCCAGCUGACACAGCAAAUGACCGACACCAUGUCCGAUCCUGAUGCUCUGCGUACGGAACUUCUUGGCAGGAUUGAAGCGAAAAAAGCCAGUUCAUCAGCUCCUGGGGAUGAGAAAAAACAACUGCCUAUGGUUCCGGGCCUGUCGUCAUCUACGGAGUUAGCAUCUCUCGGUUCCGCUCUUUCUUCCGGAAUAGAUGAAACAAAAAUAGUACAGCUCAAGCAGGCAGUUGAGUUCAGACAUGAAAUCGCGCAGGCCCAAAUCGACUGGAUCAAAGAAAAGAACUCUGUGAUUUCGAAAGCCGUCAUGGCUAUUACACCCUAUCUGGAAGAGUCGGCCGCCGCACAGUUGGCUAUUGCUGAAGAUAGUCGUGAAACGCUGAAUAAGCUGAUGGACGGUAUCAAGUCCCUUGACCUUUACAUCGGUAAAGAUGUGGUGGUUAACACGAUCAGAGAGGGCGAUUCAGCACCGGCACACAUUCCCUUAACGUUCGUACAGCGUAAGCUGGCCGUCGACGAGGAAACCGCUGUUUUUCUCGAUAUCGGUGAAUGGUUUGAUUUUGAAAAGCUGCCACUUUUUUUCCAGGCAUUAAAGAACCAUCCGGGGCUGGUGGAGCAGAUCUUCCCGUCACAGCGCUGCGUGGUCUGUAUGACCACGACCCGGCGCUAUAUUGAUUAUCAGGACCGCUGGGCGAACUGGGAGCUUAAUGCCAAAAACCAGACCGUUUUCCUGAUGGUUCGGGACGGCGAACGGCUGUUCCAGGUCUACUCCGGUGUUGAAUCUCACCUCGGCGCUCAUACGCUUUUCCCGACCACCGAUGAGCAGGGAAAUAUCUUUCGUGGCGUUGACGGUUCGCAGGUGACGUUCAAUGACGUGUCCUACACGGACAAACUCAAAGCCCAUGAGAUGGUUGCUCUGCAUUAUUACCGGUUUCUUAUCCUGUGCUGCGGGCUCGACCACCGGCUUAAGCUCUUUGGCGAGUUCUACGACCCUCAGGACCGCUUAAGUUUCGUCUCUAUGGCGUUCCAGGAGACGUAUUGUCGAUUCAUUUACGAUCAUGAUGGUACUGGUCUUCUGGACGAUCCUGAUGCGAAAGUGCGCCCCUCUAUUGAGGAGUAUAUAACCCAGGCCAAUAGCCAUUUGCGCUCAGGUUCAAGGGUGUUCUGCGAGUGGAGAGCUGUUUGUACACCAAAUACCGCGCCAGGUGUUGUGAAAGUCGAUACUGGUACCAGUUACCGAUCCUAUUAUUUUACCGCCGAUUUCAUCGAUGAUGAGGGAAUGGCAGUGGCCUUUACCCGCAACAAUGAGAUUUGCGUGGAGGUUCCGGUCAAAAAAGAUAUCUACCGUCGCACCCGGGCUAAUGAUGUACGUGAAUUUAAUGCGAAAGUAUCCCUCACGAAUUUUCAGCGUGAUCCGUGGGAUGACGCCAGCAGCGUGGGAUUCCUCUGUCUGGACGCGGUAAAAGCCGAUGAUCUGGAUUAUUACAUCAACAGCCGCUCCAGCCGUAGGGAUUUUAUGUACUACAUAAAGCUCUUCAAACGCCUUUCAGCUGUCCUGAGAGCGGAAGAAGAGCAGGAGAUGCCAUAUCGACAAAAGCUCCUCAGAGCGCUGGUUGAUGGCAACAUAGGCACUAAAGCUAACCGUGCUGAAAUCGUCGACAAGACAGUUAUCACCUGGCGGGCUGACAAAAAAGGUCAGCCGCUUAGUGAAGGAAUUGACAACGAGAAAAGCUGGAAGGCAUUACUUGGCAUGAUGGACCUGAUCGCCUGGCGCGGUUUGAGCCAUAAAGAGGCCGCAGUGGAGAUGGCCAUCUCCCGGGGUAGCAAACCGUUACGUCUGAUAGUCAUGACAAAUGCCAGACUGGCUCUGUACGUAACCCCUACAGACGAGGAACGUGAUGAUCGCGUGGAAAAACAUAAGUGGGCCAUGCUGCUGACCUUCAAAAUGUCAGCAAAAGGGCUGACUCUGGAUUCCAGCAAGCCUGCUUUGCUAAGCAAAAAUAGUGUCUGCGAAACAACCCUCUAUGAAUGGCCGGAGGCCAAUGAGUGGAAAGGGCUGAAAUCAGUGUUCUCCAGCUUCCACGAAAAACAAAGAGCUUUUGAAUACAUUGAGACAGGUAAAGAGGACCUGCGAAAACUGUCUCCGGCUAACCCUGCUGAAUUUGAGGCUGGGGUACGUGAAUGGAUGACGGCCUACUGCGAAAUGAAUGAUUACCGCAAAACCGGGGGCCAGGUGCAGCAUCCGAGAUUGAUGAUACCGGUAGGCAUCUACAUUGACCGGGGAGACUGGCAAUAUAUCUACGUCACUACAGAGAGUGAGGCCGCAGGGUAUUUUUAUCACAACGCCAGCGAAUCCCUGAAAAAGGAACUUUUUCAGGAGUAUGUAUCACGCUUUGCUCAUCAGGAAGGAAAACUCGAAAGGCUUGAAACUCGGGGGAACCGGCUGGCAUUGGGCAUGGCUAACAAAACUCCCGACAUCGGGAUGUUCAGUGCAGAUCGCAAUGUUGAAAUGGAUAGCGUGAAAUAUGGUUCUCUGUCUUACAGUGCUUACAGCCAGCUUCAGAUGAUAGAAAACCGUUUAUAUUUUGUCAUUGAGGAAGCUGAACGUGGGGUACAUCGUCGGAUUUAUAUUGCCGAUAACCUAAAAGACGAUAAGGAUGAGUUUAUCAUAGACAAACUCCUUGGUUCUUCACAUCUACAGGAGUCGUCUGGCGUUGAUGUAUUCGAAGUUAUGCUGCCUAAGUCGCUGUCAGAAGGGCCACUGCCGGUAUUGAAAUCAAGUGGUGAAAUCUACCGUAUUCACCACUGGUUCGACAUUUGUCCAAAAGGGACUGACUCGAAUGUAUCAUUGAGCAAUAUUGAUGCCCCUGUAAAUACUGUUACCAGACACAGUUUUGAUAGCAGGGAGGCGGCAAUUAUGCAUAUCCUGAGGCAGGAUAAUACAGUUAGGAAAAACACCUCUGGUGACAUAUUUAAUACGCCAGAAGGUAUUAACGAAAGAUGGUAUUAGGAGGGGCUAAUGUUUAGCAUGUUCUUUGUUUUAACCAGUAUUGUUGUGUGGAUUAUGCCGGUGAUGACCAUCGCCGGAGCAAUUUUCCGUAAGGACCUGUUAAACCGGAAUGAAUGGACAUUUCUCGUAUUCUUUAGCGUUAUUGCUGCAUCGUACGUGUCAUAUUCCAGCUGGCAGGACAGAAAUAUGGGCCUGGUACCAAUAGGGAAAGAAUAUUUAUCUUGCCAGUUAAAAUCGCGUAAUGAACCUGACCUCACAAGUUUCAGGACCGUGACACUUGAUUGUGGCGGAGAAGAAAAAAUGGCUAAAGAGGAAUUUUAUGAUGCGGCCGUAAAAGCCGCCACAAAAUACGGUUAUGAGUAAAUCGUCAAGAUUCACUUUCCUCCAUUUUACCCCUCAGCAAUUUCAAUUUCGUUCAAUCCACCAGCACAGGCCCACGGUCCCGGUAAACCCGGUACCGGGACCUGUGCCGUGAGACCACUUUAGACGGGUCACAUCACUUCAAAGGGAAGCUGUCGCCGUCUCAGUCACCCGGUCUCAAAAUUUUUACAGGCGUUCAGCCUGCAAAAACUUUGAGCUGCGGCUUCCUUCUCCGCCCUUUUUCGUUCUGUUUUCCCCGUCUGCGUUUGUCUCACGGCACAGGUCAAGCCGCAUACUAUCCUCAACUGCUGGAGAACUCGCUAUGAACGUUUUUAACAAUCUGUUUAAUCGUCACUGCCAAAACACUCUGCUGGCGCACGGCUGGCCCGCCGAUCUGGAGCUGGACUAUUCAUUACGUUAUUGCCAGGGAGAUGGUGUGGCAUUUUACGGCGUGCUGCAUGACAAAGAAAUUUUGACUUUGCUGUCUGGUCUGCUGAGAGAUAACCACAUCACCGAAAAGCUGGCAGAAGAGGUUGCCGAAGUAAUAAAAGACAGCGACACAACACUCACCCUUGAGCGCAACAGUUUUGGCUACCGGUAUUCUCAUGCUAAUACCAUCCGGGCAGAGUUAGAGAAUUACCCAGACGACAUUGGAUAUGAAGAGCGCUUUAAUGACAUGCUGGAGAGUGUCCGUGGGAGCAUUGAGCAGAUUUGUAGCACACUGGAAGGUGACGGAUAUAAAAUUCAUGAAAGCAUAACGCCUUCGUAUGAAGGAGACCUGGUUAUGUCACGUUCCACCGCCAAUUUUGAAAUCAUUGUGACAGAAAGCGAAGAGGAAUACUGGGACACAUCUGAUACCUGGGAUGAUGAAUGCAAAGAUUUAUGCAUCGCAGAUAUUCUGAGUGGCAAAUGUGAACUGAAAAACCUAGAAAUCCAGGUCAGAGGUAGACACACAGGCAAGGUCUAUGGGCAACAUUAUGCCGAACUGGUAUUUAUUAAUAAAAACAGCCCGGUGCGAAGCUGGUUUGACAGGGAAUGGUUAAGAACAGCGCUUGAUGAUGCACGUGGCAAUAUUGAAGAAAACCGUAGUGAACUGAAAAACAUAAGGUCAUAAUUUAUAUUUAAGGAGGUGCGACUAUAUAUGAUGUCGCACCUUUUUAAAAUAUUGGCAAACACAUAAAUGCCUGUCACAUUCAGAAAGGAAAAUCAUUGUAGCACUAUUCUGAAAUUCAUAAGGAAUUACAGCGUUGAGAAUAUCCGAUGUUUACUGGCUUAACUUUCGCUGAAAACUACGGCUGUUCAGUAGAUACAGGUAUCGGAAUGCCCAGAGCUUCCAUCAUUCCGGCCCCCGGUCGUGCAGUGGAACAGCGAAACGAGAUUGCCGCGCUUCGCCUGUCCAUCCGGUGACGGCGAACGGAAAAAACUAUUCGUCCGCGAUGGACGAUUCCGGUUAAAGUCCUAAAAUGGUCAAUGUCUCCAGGCUUUCAGGGAUUGGGAUCCGCCUGGCCCGCUUAUCCAACAUUUCACUGAUCCUUUCUGGAUCAAACAGGAUCCAACCUUUCAGCAACCCUAUCCUUAAGUCAAUUAGCCCCUCAGAAGCCCGUAAACGCUCUCUGAGGACAUUUUUCAGAAAAAAGGUAUCUACCUACGUAUAAAUUCUACUAUUAAUCCUGUGGCGUUUCAGGGGCAUUUUGUCAUUGGGGGGGGAUUGUCUUCACUGUUAGCUGUUCCCAAAUACUACCACCAGCAUUACCAGGCAGAGAUACAACACACAUUGACUUUUUUUUAUCAUAUUAAUAAAUAACAGUUUUUAAAACAAAACAUCAGCGUUCGUACGUUGCCUUUUACGCUUGUUUGCCGUUGUUUAUCUCGAUCUGGAAUCCAGCUUCGGGAGGAUCAGGGGGGGAAUGCCCGGAAAGAAGCUAUUUUGCUGGUUUUGUAAGCAAUCUGGAGGGGCAAGACACUUAUCACCGUUAUCCACAGGGUAUAACCAAUAAUAGAUCCCAAUAUGAUCCAAGAUCUAACCUAAAUAAAACCCAAAGGAUCCCCGCUCCUUCAUCCCAUUGAUUUUAUGAUAAAAAUCGUCACUUUCCCUCAUCGUUCGUACGUAGUUUUGUCAACGUUCGUACGUGAUUAUGUCAUUGCUAGGUUGAAAUUCGUCAUCGUUGGUAUGUAUUUUUAACAUCGUUCAUAUGAUAUUAAGUAAUCGUUCGUACGUUUGCAGAAGGAUAACCUGUGAAGAAAGUAAACAAAGAAAUAUCUAAAGAUAUCAGUGGGAAAGGUUAUUUUUCUUUUGAAGUGACAGGACAAACAGGCAAAGUUACUCACUUCGCACCAGGGAACACAGGCACUGUCCAGCCCGUUGCGCUGCUAAGACUAGGGGUAUUUGUCCCGACUCCCUUGGCUACAGGCAAAACACGUUCCAUUGAUAAAGUUGUGACUAUGGACGUGUCAAACGAGCUCCAGCAUAUGGAGGUCGCUUCCAGUGAAGGGUACAAGGAGAUCUCCCUAUCUAGCCCCCGGCUGGAUAUGAACACCGAUUUUCGAGUCUGGCUGGGAAUUGUCAGGACGAUUCACGAUUUUAACGAUGUCUCAGUUUCGGGAAGAAUAAAAUUACCUUUCUCAACGUUCCUCAAAAACUGUGGAUUUGACCCGACACGAUCGAAUAAGCACAUGAAAGCACGUAUCGACGCCUCGAUGGUUAAGCUAAGAAUGGUGACAUUUCAGUUCAGAAACGAAGAUUCCACGCUUACUACCGGCCUGAUAAACUGGGCACGUUAUAACAUCAAAACAAAUGAGAUCGAGAUAGAAGGUGACCCCCGCAUCAAAGAGCUUUACGCGAUUGAUUAUAAGGUUUUUUUGCGGCUUAAGGCACUGGACAGCUUACAACGAAAAGAGUCUGCACAGGCGUUGUAUACCUAUCUGGCGAGCUUGCCGAAGAACCCGGCCCCAAUCAGCAUGAAACGAUUCCGAGACCGACUGCGGUUAACUUCCCACGUCUCCGCUCAGAAUGAAAUUAUACGGCGCUCACUUCGUGAGCUACAUGAGAUAGGUUAUCUGCAAUACCAUGAAGAGAAGGUCGGUAGAAAUAUCAAAUUUCAUAUCCUAAAAAGAAGCCCAUCUCUCGGUGCGAAAAAGGACCCUAUUCAGGCACCGGCACAAAAUGCCCCGAUCCUGGAUGACCCGUUGCUUGAAAAACUGAAAAUGAUGAAAGCAGCUGGAUUUACCGGCGAAGAGAUUGCUGCAGUUCUUGUUUCCAUCGAUAAGAUGAAAAAGAUAAACGGCAAGCAUCAUGAUGAAGAGGCUGAAGACGCGGAUUUUAGCGAGGAGUGAGACUGCUCAACUAACAGAGGGAGUCUUGGCUUUCUGAGACUCGUUCAUUUCCUGAUUGCCUUCCUUCAGACGCAAAAAAACCUGGGGCAUUCCCCAUCUAAUUAUCAAAACGUCAUCGUUCGUACGUUCACGGUUGACGGAUGCGUGUAUCCGGACCUAUUGUCAUCGUUCGUACGUUAACGUGCUUUGCUCGUUAAAAACACUCCCGAUAAAAUGGCAGAUGCCAGGAACGUUCUGGAACAAAAACAGAUUGUAUGAAUUGAUAUUUAAAUUAAUAAAAAUCAAUAAGAUAUACUUUCGUGAGCUACAUAUACACCUUCCCUAAACUCAUACUGUCUUCUAAAUACAGUUUCCGCUAACACUAGCGCAACGCCAAAAAGUCAUCGUUCGUACGUAUGAACGAUGACGAAAUGGAUCAGAGGCAUUGUUCUACUGAACAGGCAAUCUGAUAACAGAUGUGUGCGGAACUAGCCUCAGGCCUAAACCUUUAACGUUCAGCGAGCUUUAAUUGGUAUUGAUACUCGUACGGCGGUACUCCCUUACUAAAAGUAACUUUUCAAACUUAAAUUGCCCGAUGUGCUGUCCUGUUUUGAAACUCACCAAAGUUUUCCAGACAGCGCGCUUUAGAGACUCAAUCGCCCACCACUUUACUUGGAAAAAAAGUUACUUUUGGUGAUAAGCCCUGUCAGAGCAGCUGAUCCUGUUUCGUCGUGCAUCCGGACGAACAUAUAAAUGAGAGACUGGACAGAGCAAGGCACCGGAGGCCAAGAUUGCUCCUUCUCUCGUACGUCUGGCUUGUCCUGGCCUCAAGUGAUCACUCAAGGCUUAUCGCAAUCAAAAGUAACUUUACAAACUAUCCCACCAGCUGAAGCACCGGAAUGCCGUUGCUCAUCACAGGUUGAACAAUUUUACAAUGUGCUGAAAUGAUUUUUCGGGAUUAAGGAACGUUUUUUCGUGAUGUAAGCAAUAAAAUGUCAUUUCAUAUCAAGGCUGUAUGAAUAUACAGUGUCUGGAUAUGACCGUCGCCGGUUUUUGUCCGAUUGGGGAAAUAAUAAAUAUCCUGGAAAAGGCCUUUACAGCGUUAAAGACAUAGAUAUGCAUUUAGCCCAUGCCUAUAAUGAGUAGCCGAAACAUUAAAAUAGAUAUGAGGUAACAGAAUGAUUAAUAUCAAAGAAAUUCCACUUAGGGAUAUCCUUGUUGUGGGGAUUCCUGUUCUGUUGUUUUUGACUUUGCUGUGCAUGCUUAAAAGUCACUUUCCAGACGUUGUUAACGUCAUCGGUACAUUAUUCGUUUUUAUUUUUUCGCCAGCACUGGUGGCACUGUUGACCAUUAACCGGGGAGUGUUCGUGUACUUUGCCGGAGCGCUCGUUACACAGGUGCUUACUGCUUCUCUGGUGUAUUUUGUUUCUUCCCGCGACUUUAGCGAAUCUGUAGGCCUUGGAGCGUGCGCAAUAGUGAUUUACGUAAUUGCUCAGUCGAAAAUUAACGACAUUAAUCCAUAGUUAAGAAGGGAAAAACAUAACUCCGCACAUUAGUUCUGGUGGCGGAAAGCAGAAAGCCUCGUAGUUAAUUUUCAAGGAAGAGUAAACCACGAAAUUAACGCGAAACGCCCUUAGACAUUUUAUCCCCCUCCUUUGCAUAAUCACUGAAUGUUUAUGAAAUAAAAGAAUUUUUUUCCUCUAUUAUUCAAAUAAGGGCUUUACACAGGGUUUUAAUCUGUAUAAUUGUUGCUGCCAGACACGAAUACAGAAGAGGGUUUUAUUGCAUAUGGGUGGUCGUGGAAGUUGCCGAAGAAAGCGAAGCCUGCGCUGUGUCCCCUGCUAUGCAGGAAACUGGCACCGCUACAGAGACGGGCUGGACUAUAACGGAUGGGAAGAUGUAUCAGUGAUCGCAAAUAAAGGGUCGGGGUAUGUGUGUCAAUGCAGACAAUGUGGUCACACCUACAUCUCCUACUCCUCUGCUGCCCGUCGCCAGUAUCAGUAUCAGGUUAACAGAAGCAGCGAUGAACCCGGUAUUCGGGAAAAUAAUUUUAAUUCAAAUGCAAAUUCACCCUCUUAAUUCUGAAACGCCAUUGUGUAUCGGGAUAAACUUUCUGUGCAUGCUGGUUUGCAUCAGCGCAUUUCAUGAGUGCUGUUGCAGACAUGCAGAUGAAAUCAGAUUUGAUAAUUUAUAAAGAAUGAAGGGCAGGGCUGAUUAAUGAAAACGUCUAUCGCACCGAUUCUGUUCGGGAGGAAUAUUGCCAAUAUUUCGGAGAAGCAUUUUACUCCCUGGUUUUGUCCUUAUGACCACUACCCGGGUUUGGUUCUGGCCUCAACGAUCACCGUUCCUUAUUCACCCUCACCGGACUGGUUUCUGGGUGAAGAACAAUGUGGAGGUCACAGUUGUAACCAGUUUCGUGCAGCAAUAAAGCCUUUGCAGAUCAUACCUCAGUCACAGGUACAAGGGGAUCUGGAACUCAUUGCCAGCGAGGGAUUUGAGCCAGGCACGCUCGAUUAUUUUAGCCUUGCAGACGAUGAGGUGCAGAAACGGGUACGGCUGAAUUAUCAGUCAUUCGUUAUGAAUCUAGGUUUAACCUGCUCGGAUGAAAAUGUUCUUCUGCUGACGCAGCCACUGUAUCCACUGGAUGCGACGGAAUCCAAUCUCAGAGCGUUAACUACAGACCAGACUUGCCUGAGCGGACUUACUGACACCACCGGACUGGUCAUUUUUGUUGUGGGGGUGAACUGCGACUAGGAGAGGGUAGAAAAGGGUAGUAUCACGCUAAGCCACUUACACAUUAACGAAUAAAAGUCACUUUUUGAGGUAGAUAUGAAAAAAAUCACACGCGAUGCAUUACUGGUACCCUUCAUCGGGCUGCUGAUCCUCUCCUACCACAUGGGCUAUUUCCUUUCCGACUGGCCUUACUGGCAGGUAUACGCCAUGCUGGCGGUGGCCUUCUUUGCAGGCCGUUUCUGGCUGAGAAAAAAAACGUCGAAAGAUGAACCUCAGGAAGGCAAAACAGCCGGUGAGUAAAUCUUUUCCUGAACUGGCCUGUUCCGGUAAUAACGUCCAGGCCAUUCAGUCAGUUGACGGAAUAACAUAAAAGGAGCCUCUGUAUGAGCAACAUGACAGUGUCGUUUUACAGUAAAAAACAUCAUGACACCGUAACCAGCGCGAUUAAAGCCCGUGCCACAUCAUCAAUUGAGCUUCUCUGUACACCGACGCUUAAUCAGCUCCUGGAGCUGACAAAUGCGAUCUGCCUGUGUGCCGGGAUUGAAAAUCAAAUCGGCCUUUUCGUUGACGACUCAAAUAGUGACGAAUCCGGGCACGACGAACAGGAACUUACGACACACGUUGCAUGGCUGUUUAACCAGAAAAGCCAUGGUACUGCCCGUAAUGCAAUUAUUAAAAAAGACAUUACGGAGGUGAAAAUUGAUGACCCUCUGACUUUGAAUGAGAUUCUGGCGAUCAUCGAGGCAGUGUGUCGUUGCGGCGGUAUUGACGAUGACGUAGUGGCUAUUGCCGAGCCUAUGGUAACGGUCAUUGACGGCGCAAAAUACGAUAACGCCGCUGCCGUGGAUACCAUUCAUUGACCGAACGGAAACCGGAAAAGUAACUUUUCCAUAGAGGUGUUUAUGCUGUUUCGGAAACUUGUUUUGUCAGGGGGAGGAUGUAUCUUGCUUCUGGCCUAUCACGGAGGCUAUUUGUUAAGAACCUGGCCGUGGCUGUUCUAUUAUGCAAUGGUCGCAUGGGGGGUUGCAUUCAGCUGGUAUUUUUUCGCGACCCCUAAAGCCGAUUUGGUUCCGGAAAAGAUAAACAAAAACGAAAAACAAAUACCCAUCGCUGGUCAAUCACAGACUAACCGGUAUAAACAGAAUGAUAGUGAUUCUUCACUGAUUAGCCAUAACAUUAAUUUCUCAUCUACAGGAAUCAAUCAUUCGGAAAGUAUCAUAAACAAUGGAUCAGAUUGCAGUUAUUCGGACUCGUCAGAUUCAGGAUGCAGUGGGGGUGAUUAAAAAUCCUGGAUAAAUAAUUAAAAUCCUUACAAAUAAUUAGAUGAGGAGGAGAUAUGGCAUACACAGGAAUAACAGAUCACGCCAGACUCAGACUUAUGCAGCGUUCACGACUUCCCCUGCAUGUACUCACUGACAUGAUCGACAAAAGGGAAUAUGUGGAUCUGGGUUCCAAACCCGGAAUAUUAAAAAAACACAUUCUGAUUUAUAGUCGACUGGAUGAACGUUGGUACGUACUAAUCAGGGACAUAACAUCAGGAUGUAUCGUUACGGUAUUGCCGGAAAAUUACCAUGAUUCUUCAUUUAUUAAAAUCAAAGAUUCAGAUAAAAAAUCUGCAUAUGAUUUAGCGUUUAAAGUCAGGGCUUCUAGUCCUGAAGUUAUUAGUAUAAAUCUGUGCUUUAAUGAUUUCGAUGGUUACCGACAUUCAAAGAAUAUUUAUUCCAUACCGCUUUCACAGGUGGAUAUGUCGCAAGAGUUAUUUUUAAAGUCAAAGUUUAUAAAACAGAUAAAAAGAAAUAUUAGGGAAAAUAUUGCACGAGGGCUUUCCUUUGAUGAACAUACCAUAGAGCCUGGUUAUACGCCGUUGUUCCUGAACGUGAGGUUCAGUGCGGAUACAUACAAAAUAUUAUAUUUCUGAUUACAGGGGAAACUCAAUGAAUGACCGAGUCGUCUUUUUAAACAUCAAUGCAGAAGAUAAAACCCCAUUUAUUACUGAGGUAGAAAUGCUUAUUGGGGGAGUCCCACGGCUUAUGUAUCCAGAUGGCACAGAGCAGUUUGCGGAUGAUGAAAGCGAAACUGUUCUGAUUUAUUCACCUCGACUGACCGAGCAGGAACUAGAAGCAUUUUGCGAAUCGAACAUUGAGCAUUACCGGACUUUUCACGAGAAAAAUUUAAAACACAUACUGAGGGGAGACCGCGUAUCAAUAACCCAUUUCUGGGUUGAAUAAACUAAGUUAGGUAUUCACGAUUUGGAGGGAAUCAUGUAUCUGCAUCUUGUACCAACACUAUACCACAUCAUUUCAAAUAAAUGCCGACUAGAAUCAGUGACGAUCCCGGAACUGAAAUUCGAGAUUAAGGAUGAUGGACUUUCAUGCGGAAGACCGUAUCCAAAUAAACGGCUUUAUGUUGGCAUGAAAAAUAAUCGGAAAGCCAUGGUUGGGCUACUUCUUGAAUAUGACAAACAACUCAGCCAAUUUACAACGGAAUAUAAAUGGGUUAUUGAUAACAUUGGUGUUGUUCAGCACCAUAUUAAAACGAUUGUGCUGGACAGUGAAUUUGACCUUAUUUCACAACACAUAGGGUUAAAUAUUGGUCUGGAUGAAUUGAAGCCAAGACUCCAUCCCUCUUAUCACAAAAUCGCACCAGUUAAAAUACAACCUAUGAUGGAAUCAUACCGAACAGGCGAAGCGGUUAAUAAAUUGCAGCAUGAUGUAUGGGAGAAUAAUGUUCUACUGUUCAGGACAGAGACAUUGCUUUUGCAUACUCUGGAAUCAGAAAGACUCGCUAAGUAUAGUUUUUUCAUCGACAGGCUUCCUCAAUUAAGUUCUAAAAUUUGCAUCUGAAUUAAUUCAAAAAGCUCCGAUUUUAUUGAGGGGCUUUCCUUUUCAUGAAAUGCCAAUUUAAAAACCCCAUACAACUUAUGACCUAAACUUGAAACACAAUCAGGAAAAGACGACUACGCAAUGAUGGUUGCUAUGGGGGGUUAACCCCAUUCCAAUUUUGAUUAAAAUCACUGAGUUAUUUUGACUUAAUUUUUCUCCCUUAUUUGCAUCUUAUGUAAACAGUGGGGCAUUAUAAACUCAUGACUUUCUGCCCCAACACCUCAAGAUCUAAGAAAGUAACUUUUUUAUUGGUUUUUUAAAAAUGGGGGUUGAUGGGACGAAAAAAAAAGGUAUCCUGGUUUCAACGAAGAAUAGUUUUAAUGCUUGCCUUAUCUACCCGGGAGUUCAUAUGUCCUUAGAAAAUACAUUGACCGCUGAGUUAAAUUCAUCAGAGAACGCAGGCGGUAUUAUACCUUCUGUUGCUAUUGAUUUAAUUAUUGCUCAACGUGCAGCAGGUAUUGCGGCAUUUAUGGAAGGUUUAGAUAAACUCAGGGAAGCGGAGCGACUGUUCGCUGCUGCGGCUGAAAAGGACUGGUUCACGGGGCUAGAUGAGAUUAUUUCGACCGGUAGGCGUUGCCUUAAAGAACAUGAGAUAGAGGCGGUUCGACGCCGGGUGGCUCGUAGCGUUGAUAGCUCUAUCUGGCAACGCUUGAUGACCCAGACAGGUAUGUUUACGUUGAUGAGUGGUGAUCAACAUGACAAAUGGACUGCUCAGGUAUACAGCAAAGAUUGUCCGGAAGUCACCCUGGACAAUGUCAUCAGUACGUUUCAGCAUCUUAAUGCAACAAAAAAUGAAACGUUUGUUACAGGUAUUAUUGAUGUUUUCCGUAAGCUGUCCUGGGACUACAAAACAAAUAAUCCUUGCCGUCUGGGCAAGAAAAUUAUCCUCGAAGGUGUUUUAUCCAUAAAUGUCUCACCAACCCGAUACGCUUCGGUCAGGACUAAUGCGCAGAACUGGAUUAACGAUCUCGCCCGUGCUUUCUGCCUCAUCGACAAGAAAAACGUGCCAGAUUCACGGAUAGCAGAAGGGUGCCAGUACAGGGAUUUUAUCAACUUAAACAGUUAUACGUUAAACGGUGUGUUUACCUGCGAGUGGUUCACUAUUAAAUCUUUCUGGAAAGGUUCAGCUCAUGUGACUUUCACACGCCCUGACCUCGUUGAAAAAAUUAAUGAAAUUAUUGCAAGCCGAUACCCCGGCGCUCUCCCACCCAGAGUAUGAAAGUAAAUUCCAACUAUUUAAUCAUACAAAAUUCAUUAUUAAGGAAUCCUGAUAUGGGAAUUCAAAUUAAAGAAAGUUACACCACUGCUGUUAUCAGCACCGCGCACAUUGCUAAAGAAGAUACUGAGUUAUUAACUGAUGCCAGUUAUAAUCCCCGAACAGAUAGUGGACGUAGCUGGAUCCACGUAAACGAAUAUGGUUAUAUUAUUCGGACCAGCGUUGAAAAUCCGGGGUGGAAACAGCUUUUACGAGACGAUGGUAUCUCCUGGCCUACAAUUGAAAAUAUCGAAAAAGUGAUUAAUGCUGGGUACGAAUGUGUUCAUUUUGACCGUGACGCAGAUAUCGUUGAUGGUCUGAUGGCGUGGGAAUGGUAACUACUCAUUACCAGGGCUCCUUAACCUAUAGGGAAGGGGCCCAUAUAUAAUUGGCAGUACAGAAAAAAAAGGAGUCAUUAAUGGAUAUGCUUAACGGGUGCAGUUCAGCUCCUCAGGUUUCAACAUCAACCGCUAUUGCUGGUGGACGCGAAGUCAUUGUGACCGGUUGUGUGACAAAGCAGGGCAGAGCUAUUCAUUUCUGCAAUCAUAAGCUACUCAGCGGUAGCAAUAAUAAUCUCUGGUUCCCAGUGGACACCGUAGAUGACUGGUUUUCCGGCAUUGAACGAGUGCUGGUUAUGAAUGGGCUUGCUGAGAAUGUCGUAAACCUCACGCCGUUAAUUGAAGGUUCAGAAUAUUUCGACUGGAAAGUAAAGUAUAACCUCCGGGUUAUCUGACUCACAAAAAGUUACUUUCUUGCUUAACGCUUAUGAACAAUCAGAGAAAUCAAUUGGCUGUCCACCAGCUUCUGGACAGCCGUUCUUCUAAUUAGAUCUUAUCCAGAAAUUACAAGAUAACUCCAUUUCUGUCCCGUUAAUUGUCGUUUUGAAAAAAUCAUAAUGAUAAAAUCAAAUUCACCGUAGAGCUUGUCACCUGCCUGAAAAAAAACAGGGGCUUGAUAAGGCGAUUUAAAAAUGUAUCCUGGUUUGAUGAAUAGUCAUUUCCGGGUGAAGGGAGAAUUUAAUGGCUGUCCAAAAAAUUCAUACUGGCAUCGUGAUUACCAAAGACGGCGAGGUAACAAAGAAAUUUCAUGAAACACCGACCAUGUGGGUGGUCAAUAAAACUGAAUGUUAUCGCAAGGAUAACGGCAUACGCCAUUUUGGUGAAAGAACCCGCCGCCGCCUUGUCCUCGAAUCCAUAAAACCAAUACCUGAAGUUAAAAAUUAACUAACUUAAUUAUUUAAUUAGUUGACAAAAAAGGAAAAAAUAAUGAAUAGCCAUUCUCCAAAAGUCGUCAUGAUGGACAGUGACGAAGCAGCCAGUAUUCAAACAUUAACGGGAUGGGUCGAUCGUCAGGGGCGUUUCUGGGGAGAUAACGAACAUCAGGCCCGCUGGAGUGGUUCAACGCACCGCAAAUGUGGAAAACAUCCGGAACAACAUCCUGCAUACCCUUCUAACAGUUAUUGUGAAUCAUGCAGAAAAGAAGAUCGCCAGGCUAAGUUUGCAGAAAUGAAGCGGGUGGCCUGGCGCGGCGAACCGUUGGUGAUUUUCGAUACGGAUACCUAUUUUUUUGAUGCCGAGUCGCUGGAGGAUUAUUGCCGUGACCAUGACGUUUUACCCGGUGAUCUGCAACUGGUUAUCUGUCUUCCAAACCAUAUAGAUCAGUUUGAUAUCCUGCAACAUUGCGAAGAAAUUCUACCCGAAGAUGGUGAGAUAAGCUUUAUCCCUGAAGCUGUCCAGGUGGCGGUUGAGGCGUUGAAUAAAGCGAUCAAAGAAAGCGCAGCGGUCUCAUGGAGCCAGGGCUCCCUGGUAGCUGUUUUACCGGAUGACCUGCUGAAUGCCGGUGAGAAGACCGCAGGGCAGAAAGAACAAACCGCCUGAUAAUGGCGGUGGGCACCACCGAUAAUUACGGGGCUUGUAAGCCCCUAAAUUAGGGCUGACAGAUAUGUUAAUGCAGACAGAAAAGGCAGUAUUACAAAUUGCGGAGUAUAUCCCCCGAGCUUGCCGCAAUAUGAAACUCUUUGAGGCAAAGGCCCGACUUGCAACCAAAAUCGCAUUGUAUAUUGUUGACGGCUGCUGUGACGAAGUACUCAAUCUGGCUUUCAAACCUGCACUUAACUGCCGCACCAGGGAACAGUUUUUUAACCAUAUUCAGCAAAUUAAAAACGGAGCUGGCAAUGUUCGCUUUUAAUGACGUUAAUACUCCGCAUGAAUGCUUCAAGAAAUGUCGUUGCUACCUCCCCCCAAAGCAACGCGAACAGCAUCGUUUAACCCAGCAUGUUUCUGAAUUUGACGAGCAUCCCGCUGACCAGAUUGACCAAUACAAGGACUACCCCGAUGCGUAAAGAUAACAAUGUCCUCCCUCCAAAGAUUAACAACGGUGUUCUCCGGCGAUGGAAUGCUCAGCGUGGGCAAAGAAAUAGCAGGGGUGGGAGAUAUAAACGCUUCCCUUCAGUUCACAACUUGAACGAGUGGGUCGUUGAUCGUUUGAUCUCAGAAAUUAUCGCAGAGGACAGAGAUGCCUGAUAACACCGAACUGACACAUGAUGAAAUCAUUGCUGCGUUGGCACAGCUGAAGCAGAUCAGCGAAUACCCAACUCCCUCUACUCAAUACGCACGCGUCUUACUUAAAUAUAUUACUACGCUGGUGGAGUCGCAGAAGAAGGCGCAUUCAGUAAUGGCUGGAGUCGUAACCGCAGCAUGUAUCCGGGGAGUCAGACCAUUUGAUGGAAUUGAGUGCGAUCCCCCAACUCUGGAAGAAAAUGCGGAAGCGUGUGGCGAUGCCAUGUCUGCUCGAAUCAGAGAACUGGAAUCUAACCCACCAAAACCUAAGGAAUUAGCCGAAGCGCUUUUUCUGAUUGCAACUUUACGUGAGCAAAGCGACGGUUGGGAGCGUAAAGCCAUUAACAGUUUCGCUGAGCGUACGCAGAUGUUCCAGCGCAUUGCCGAGUUGGAAAAGAGAAACCAAGAACUGGAGUCAGGGCUGUUAAUUCCAGCCGAAGUUGAGAGCCAGGACCGAGCAUCUGGCAUGAACGCUGAGGCAAUUUGUGUCGACGGGAACAAACCUGGCAUGAUUGUGGCGGUGCACAUUGAUGCCGGUGACUUUGUUAAUGUUAAUGGUCUGAUAUUAAAGGUAAUUGAAACCGACUUUGACGACCACGACGUAACUUUAUAUUUGGCUGGUGGUGAAGAGUUUAAAUGUGCUGCUGGUUACCUGAUAGAAGUGGUUCCUGUACCAGAGGAUGAAGAGUAAUGGCUAAGCGCGAUUUUAUCCCAGCUGGCGCGACCUGCUGGCAGGGCGGUUGUUGUACUCACAGGGGGAUUACCCGUCGCCAUCGUUAUGUUACCGGGGGCGAUGGGCGGAAAUUCGAAUCGUGUUCCUAUACUGACGACUGGUACGCACUUGGCGACACGAUUGACUCUUAUGGGAGACCAUACCGGUAUCGAAUCACGGGUGAGAAGGCCACGGUUCUUACUCAGUUCUGCUUAGAAAAUUUAAAGCCAGAGUAAAACAGACAAUGAAAAAAUAUACCGAGCUUGACAGAAUAAUCAUGGAAAAAAUCGGUGUUACCCCGAUCCCUUUUCACCUCUUGUUUUCCCACGACGACAUCCCGGCCGAAUGCAAAAAAAUUGCCAUGAAAGAAGGAAAAAGCGAGCCAUUUCGCAUCCUCGAUCGUCGGCUUCAGGCUCUACGUAAAGCCGGAAAUAUCCGUAGCACUUCUAAAGGUUGGGUGAGGACUUAACAAAUGACCACUAAAUUACCAUUAACAGACGAACGCCUCUCCACCAUCAGUGAUUACUUUGUUGCGAUGGAAGAACAUUACAGUGACCCGGCAGACAGAGAGAAUUUUGAAAUUUUCAGUGAUGCUAAAGCCUUUCUGGCAGAGCUACAGCAACGUCGCAAGGCUGCAACAGGUCGCGAACCGGUGGGCAUUAAGCUCCCCCCUAAGAUGUCGAAUGAUCGCAUAAAUGCGCAUGAAUUAAGCACAGGCGUCGACGUCUGGAACCGAUGUAUUGAUGAAGUGGCAAAGCUGAACGGCAAAUGUAUCCCGUCAGUUCCAUCCGGGCUUCACCCAAAUACGCAAAAGCUCGUGACCGAAUUCUGCACCGAGCUGGCUGAAAAGCUUUAUAAGGCGCAACUCAAGUACGGCCACUCAGAUAACUGGUCAUACGCAAAUUGGGAAAUUGAGUGCCAGACAGCUUUCCACGAGCAUAUCGCCAAAGGUGACCCCCGCGACGUUGCCGCGUACUGCGCAUUUAUGUGGUAUCACGGCUGGAGAACCGAGGUCGAGCGUCGAGAACAGGUCGUGCCAGAUGAGGUCGAGCAUGUAGCCGCCGUACUAGAGCUUAUCGGUGGUUUUGAGGCUGCUGAUAUCGAUAGCGACACAGUAGAUUUACGGUUUGAGAUCGACGAUGUGGACACUGGCUCUGACGUAUCCAUUACUGAAUAUGCCGCACGCGGUUCCGCUAUUAUCCGUAUGCUGGCUGGCAAUGCUCCGGUAAAUCCAGACAGUUGCAUUCUAGAGGCGCUGGAGAACAUACAAACCGAGAAUGAAGUGGCACGAGACCAGUUAGUCAUUCUCCAGCUGACGCUAUUAAAGCAGCAGAGAAAGAUUGCCGAGCUGGAGUCCCGCACCGUGAAGCUGCCGAAACCUAAAGAUUCUGACCCGGGUUGGAAAAUUGAUCCGGAAUUUAUCAGCAAAGUUCAGAACGAGAUAGGGUACGAUGACCAAUGCGAAUGCUGGGAGGGUACACCUUCCAUGGAGGUAGUAGAGGCCGUUUUGCUGGCCGCCGCUGGCAUCAAGAUGGAGGUUGAAUAGAUGGCAUUCAUAUCUCAACUGGGAACAAUACCAAAGAGUAGCGGAAGAGUGCCAGGUUCUAAGUUCGUUUCGUUUAGAAAGACAAAAUCUGGUGCUACUGGUGGGCUUAUUACUAAGGACACUGGACUGCGCGGAACCAAAAUAGACAUUCAGAUUGAUGAGGAUAAUAAAACUAUCCGUCUUGGCGAGUACGAGAACGGAGUGAUGGUAACUCAAAGACAGGGCGUAUUCAGUUGCUCGGUUAGCGUAUUUAAUGCAGUGGGAAAGUGCCGAAUAUCCCUGACUGAUGGCGGGGACGGGUGGUGGUACGGAAGUUAUAAAUAAGUAGGCAGCUAACCACUAUUAUCCGGUUUAUAACAAAAACCAGGUUCUCCCCCUGCUGGAAUCACUUGGACUUAGAUUUUUUAGGCGGAUGCAUGAGUAGAGACGAAAAUAUUCAGGCUGUAUUUGAUCUAAAAGCUGGUUAUACACUUGGGCUCGCCGACAUCGAGAUUCUUAAGAGAGUGGCCCGGAUGGCGCUGGCCGCAAUGGACGGCGAGCCGGUAGUGUUUACCGACGAACGAAACCUUCAUCAUAUUGCCAUGGGCCGAGAAACCUCUCUGAUUUGGGGCAAACAGAACCAUGAGGCGGGAGAUAUCCCGCUCUUUCGCCACGCUAAGCCAGCGCCGGUAGUGCCGGUAGUGCCGGAUGCAUUGAUUAAAGCUGUAGAUUUUUAUGAACAGGUUAAACGUGAAAAUCCGUCAGUAGAAACGGGAGCCUGGAAAGAUGCCGUGGAGUGGGUACUGAAGGAAGCCUGCCUGGCUGCUAAAAAGGAUGAGUCAUGACACAGAAAAUCAGAUUAACAGACGCGCAAGUCUAUACGCUGCGCCGAAUGAAAAGCGGCACCAGAUACUUUCUACAGGGCGAUGGAAGGCGUGGAGAUGAGGACAACGGUACGCGCAGAGUCAACUGCCCGUCGCUUCCCGUCCUCUUUAGAAAUGGUCUCGUUGAUUUUUGCAGUGAUUGCGUAAAGCAGAAUUACACCUGGUAUAGCGUGAAGUUGACGCCUGAAGGAGCAAAAGCCGCAAAUGGUUCUCAGACAAGGAAAGAGCGCGGUUUGCCCUGAUGAGGGUUGCUUACAGUGCCAUGAUGCAAUUGAUCUCGGAUACCUGUCAGCAUAACAGUCAGAAAAAGUUACUUUCUUUUCUCCCCAGCAGUGAUAAUCCCCGGCACUAUCGGGUGUUUUUAGAUAUUCUCCAUGUUUACUUUUUCAUGCUUCGGGGAGAAUAUUUUAAUUCAUCGUUAAUUAUUUCUCAGUGUUUAUGAAAUCACCAUGGUUUAUUUUUUGUGGAGCGACCAUUGGAUGCCGUCAGAAAAAGUUUCUUUCCUGGUGAUAUGCAAUUAGGGGCUUGCGAAAACGAUUCGAAAUAGUAUCCUGGUUUGAGGUCGAAUAAUUUUAUCCAAGACUGGACACCACAUUCCGGGAGCGAUGAACAUGAGCAAGGUACCUGAACAAAAAAAGCAUGUAAUUAAUUUUGAAUGCGACCAUUGCGGACGCAGCUAUGACGAUACUGAUGUUUGUACUUCUGACGAUUGCCCUGAUAAUGAAAUCGCUAUGCCAGACCUACUUAAUUACUGGACAGUUGAUGAAGUGGCUGAAUGUCUCGACGGCGUGGGUGAUGAUCUUUACAGAAAGCUAUGGUCGUACAUUACAGCAGAGACUGAUGGUAACCCGCCACUGGCUAAAGUUGCCUGGGAAGCGUUGACUCAUGAAGAGAAGGCUGAAAUGGUCCAGGCAGUGGAACAAGAGUUCCCUGACGGUGAUUAAGUUCAGUAAUGUGUGACAAACAAAGUGUCGUGCCGGUAAUGGGUAAAGAACGGAAAUAAUACACAGCAAACCCUAUAAAUACCUUCCACCAGCAGCAAUGGACAUUUACGCUUGUAUCCAUUCUGGAAGAGCAGGCGACAGGCCUGCUUUAAAAAAGAACAACUAAACAGCUGGUGGAUUGGGAUAAUUUAAUCAACUUUAGUGUUAUCUGAGUGGUAACGCGAUAUUUUCACUUAAAUAUUUCAUGGUGAAUUAAAUGAAAGCAUUAAACGAACUACAGUUACGCCAGAUAUCCGCAUGCCCUGGGAACAUUGAGUUACAGGAUUGGUUGAAAAUACUUGUUGCUGAUAAUGCAGUGCUCGUUCGUUCUUUAACGGUCAUCGCUAAUUCAGAUGAGCAUCAUGGUAAGACGAUGGUCUGUGAUUUUGAUUCGUUGAUUUCUGUAGCUACUGCUGGUCUGAAAGAGCUGUAUGGGUCCACCACAUAUUGCAAUUUUUACUCUCACGUAAAAUAUAGUCCACUGGCGUCAUCAGUUCGAGUGAUUUAUGUGGCCUUUUGCUGUUAUACAGCACCAGAUAUUCAGCCAUUCUUUGAUUAAACAAAUUCAGGUCCUCAAAAAGCAACAAUUCAUUGAAUUCAAUAAAUUGUUCUCUAAGUGUCCGGUUAAAUCGCUCACAGGUCGCAUUCAUUUUCGGUGUGUACGGAUAGGUCCAGAUGUGUUUAAUCGAGGCUUCCUGUAGCGUUUUAUCAAAGUUACCGAGGAACUCCUUACCGUUGUCAGUGACAACUUGUCUGAUAGCGACAGGAAAGAGCUUUGUGGCCUUGCUGAAGAAAUGGCUGGUAAUAUCGCUGUUGAGUGAAGGGACCGCCAGGGCCAGCGCAUAGUCGCUGUGCUCGUCGAUCAUGGUAAUGAUAUAGCGGCGUAGGUCCCCCAUCCUGAGUUCAAUCGCGUCCAUCCCUAUGAGUUCGCCUGUUUUUACCGGGCGGUAUUGUUUUGGUCUUCUGGGCUUCACUGAGCGUUUUUUUAUCAACCGGGCUUUGCCCCUGGCGCUGAGGCGUACGGGGAUCAUCCGCAUUUUAUCGUGAGCACCAGCAAUGAUUCUUCCAAUGGUUGACGUGCUGGGACAGGUAAAAUGCCGCGCUUCACACCAUGGUUUCAGCCUGACAAAAAUCUGCUCUUUGCCGAGAUUGGGUAACUCAGUUCUCAGACGCCUGAUCUCCUUGAGUACAUCAGGAUGCCAGUGCCUUGAACGGCGAACCAGAGGGGCUUUGCUUCUUGGAAUUAGUGCUUCUGGACCACCGGUGCGCAGUAACCGGCGCCACCAGUAGAGUGUUCGCGUUGAUACGUCAAAAGCAUCAGCUGCGGCACGGAUCCCGUGCUUAUCCCAGAAGUUCAGAGCCUUCAUUCUUAACUUCGCAAUCUCGGGCAUAAGAGAGUGUUUCAUCGCAUAAGCAGUUGCUCGGUAAUACCCAAAAUAGCCGACACCGAUAUGCUGCAUCAACAUCUGGCAAUCCCUCCUUUAGUGUUCUGAGGCAAUUGCAAUAUCUGUGUGAACUUACACAGGAGGAGUAAACCAUGAAACUACCGCGAAACGCCCUUAUCUGGUGCGUAUUAAUCGUGUGUAUCACGCUCUUGAUAUUCACAUGCCUGACCCGGAACCGCUUAUGCGAACUCCGGCUAAAGGACGGGGACAGGGAGGUCGCGGCAAGCCUGGCUUACGAAUCCAACGGUAAGUAGCAACCUGGAGGCGGGGGAAACCCCGCCUUUUCAGGAGCUGGGUUGAUCUGACAUGCCUGAAGCGCUUUAUGAAGGGGUUACCGGUUCGCUGGUAGCCCCUUUUUCCUGCCCGGAUACCAAUUAAAAAACCGCACGACCGGGGAGGGGAAAUCAAAAAAAAGCCCACCAGUGGCGGGCAAAGACUACACACAGCUACUACAGGAAGAUUCAGGCGGUUUCUUCGUAAACGUUGUAAUCACACAUUGCGCCGCUGUAAUUCUGAGAGCUCAGCGCUUUAUUCAUCGCGCAACUGAAGGCGUUCGAGCGAUCGCCAGCUGUACCGUUGUGUCCGUAGCGGGCAAUUUCAUUCGGUUUUUCAUAACUGCAUUCUUCCAGAACAAUAAAGGCAGCAGCUUCACUAUCCAGCAAUUCGAUACCGAGCCCUGCAUUUUUUGUGUUUUUUAACUGGUAAUAUGCCGUAAGUGUCAUGCCGGACCCCUCAUAAGUCAUACCGUUAGUAAUAACACAUUUCUAUGGGUAAAGUUGAAAUUUAUUAAUCCGCCCUGAAACCCGACAUUAACAAUAAUAUUCAGGGUGAUAAAUGAUUAAAUCAAUGCAUCGAUGCUUCAAUUUCCGUUAUGUUAAUUUAUUAUUUAAAAAACUGCAAUCAGGAAAAGAAAUGUCCGACCACUGCCACCCGGCGAGACUGGUUAUUAUUAUCCGGGGGGGUAAUUGCUGGGCAUAUAGACACUGACAGUUUAUUAGUAUAGAUAACUGUUCGAUAAAAUAACACAGUCCAUAAACAGUGCAAAAUUAUGGCCUGAGAUAAACAGGAAGGUAACUUUUUAGGCUGAGGUCAUCACACAGACAUAGUUCCUCAAUAUUAAACCCUUCAUCGUACCCCUUGAACGGUAUGAUUCGUUAAUUAUUUUGGGUCUUGAUGCGUUGAUUUUAAUUGCUAUCCUGGUUAUCAGCCAGCGGAGUGUUCUUAAGGGAGCGCCGCAACGUUAAAGACAGGGACAAUAAAAUGACUACAACACAAUUAAUCACUGCUGCAGAGAAUGAAGAUGUGUUUGCCAAUAUUAUGACCACGCUGGUGGAGUUGGCAAAACACGAGGGCGAUUUCAUGUUGCAUGACGCCAUCUGUCGGGCGGAAAUCGAUAUCGACGAAGAUAAAUUUUACAGCAUGAUUGGGGGCCACAGGCAAUCCGCUGCACAAUGUGUCCGCUUACUCAGGCGCUGCGGGGCUAUCACAAGUAAAGCAGUGUACGACCUUGCGUCGAACGUCGAGCGUCUGGCUCUACGGCUUGCCCGCGAUGAAUGGCUAAGGGAUAUGCCAUUUCCGUUAAAAUCCCUGGCAUUUUAUCAGGACGAGGCGACAGCAAAACGCGAAAGCUAUCUGGUCAAUCAGAAAGAGAAACAGUAUCGGUUCAGUGUCUAUGUAACAGGGCGUGUGGAAUACCCUGAAGAUGACCCGAUGCAAGGCACCUACAUCACUGACGGGACAUUCCUGCUGGGUAAAGCCCAGACCGUGGCAGAUGCGCUGGAACGGGCAAAGGAAGCCGCUAUGCGGGGUGAAUGGAACGAACGUGGGGAGGAAGAGGAUAGUUAUGAUCCGUGGAUGUGCAGAGACUGCGGACCGGUCAGCUUUUAUGAAAGAACGAUCGAAAUCCGGGAUGAAAAUGAACGGCUAGUGGUUGCCGGUAAUGCCUGCAACCUGGAAUGGUACGGGCACGUUGCUAGUCUGGAGGAAAUCCGCCGAAUUGAAGAGCAACAGAAGGCACUCUACGAGAAAGCCAGCUACGAAAGCGGCUGGGACAACUAUGAGACCGCUCGUCAGUUGCGACAGGAAGCAGAACAGUUAUCCGUCGGUAUUGUGGAUGAAUACUGGCGCAACCACCCGGACGUUAUUAAAGCAGUGGAGGAGUUUAAUUAUCCGGCGUUCAUGGAUGAAGAGGCGAUCGCCUUUAACGCUGACGAGGACAUGGGGAUAGAAUGACGGUCAGCUGGUGGGGCAAGCAUGUACAAUCCAAACCAGCUAAAGCACCUGGCGGGCCAACUGGCGCACGCCGAUCACCCAAGAAACCCGGAACCUUUCUUCUGAUUGCGAUUUUUCCAAACGACCAAAAGUGUUCGCAGGGACAGAGGGGGUUAAGGGGGAGUGGCUGACCGCACAUAUCCGAUCCUUUCCCUUGUACUGAUGCAGGUUGCUCACGUCAUGUACUGUUUUCUGAAAGAAGUGAUGAAGGCAAUCAGAGGAAAAGUUACUUUCGCUCACACUGGCAGUCACCCCGCACAUUACCUGAAGGAGCUGACGCAGUGAUGACGUGCAGAGCGGGCGUGAAACGCUAUACCGCUGUCAGGGCUCUGUAUAAUAUUCCGUGGCGUAUUCAACCGCAUCCAGCGAUGCGCAACCUGUCAUACCGAAGUAACGCCGGUCAGUUACGCCGUCAAUCCUGAACGGUACCAGCGUGCCGGUCUGUCCUACCUGCACCCCUCGUUCCUCAAUGAUCACAUCCUUUUGAGUUAAAUGGGGCUUCGAAAACAGCCGUUCGCCAUUUAACAGGACAUUCUUCAAAACGGCGGCUGUGGCCUGCUCUGUCGUCACUGAAGGGCAGGCGCGUAUAUCCGCCUGGAGAGACGCACGGGCGUCCAGCCAGUACCACGCAAUAAGCGCUGCUAUAAACACGGCCAGCGCUAAAACAGAUAUCCCUGCUACUUUUAAAAACUUCAUCAUGGGCAGUACCACUUACCGAUAAUUUAACACCGGGCUGAAAUAUGACACAGAAACAUAAUGCCAGCCAUCCCUUAUAAUGUCAGUGGACGGAAAGGAUGACUGGGGUAAACAAAACACAAUCAGAGGAAAAGCUAUUUAUGAUCGGCAUCAUUGGGCCGGUAUGAGUUUGCAUAAUGCCUGGAUAAAUACGAGUGAGGUAAGGGACAUCCGCCUUAAGUGAUUGCAAGCUCAUAAUGCCUGGUAAAUUACGGGUUAUCGGGUACACAGCAAUAAUGAAUCUUCAGGCGAAGAAAGUAACUUUUGUCGACGGUGGACGGAAAACAGGCAACAAGACGACCAGGACUCAAUGACGUCAUAACGUCGGGGUACGCUAUCUCUACGCCAGAGGGCCAGUCUUUGGUAUCAGCUGUAAAAAGCCUUCAGGAAGCGCACAGCACGACAGCUGGCGCUCUUUAGUGGCAUUGCCUGUAGUUCCGGUUCAGUUCGGCCCGGUAUGCCUCUGAGUCCAUAUAUGAACGAUCUGCCGCGUUCCGUCUCAGUGUGUCGGACACAAACACAUCAUUAGCCAGUGUGUCCUGCAUACGUUUUAUGGUCAUUGUGUCAUUGCAAUUAUGUCUACGCACACUGGCAAUAUCAGAAAUAAUCAAUCCGAUUACCGGAGACAGUUCAUAUAAUGCGAUUAUUUAUUUUUUCUCUGGCGGUCUGACAUCAGGGUCACUUUCUGCAGAAAUGCCUGACGCAAGUGGGACGCAAAGAAGAAGGGACAGUAUUAAUUUGUUCAUGGCUUCUUCGGCCUUGAACCACGCCAGGCACAAUAUGAGAGGUAGGAUACAAAAGAGAAAAAUACAAAAGGGAUGUAAAACCAGACCCUCAGGGAUUUAAUUUCUUCAUCUGAGACCAGAAAGGUCAAGGCAGAUAUUAUGGCGAAACAGAUGAGUGUCAAUGUGAGUGUAAGAAUAAAUACAAACUUAUCAUCUGAAGUAGUAGGGAUGAGGCAUGAUUCUUUCCGAUCGCUUUUGUGUUCCAUGUAGGCUCGCUAUUAAUGAUGGGUGAAUAUGCGAUGAUAUUAUCACAACAGGUCAUGAUAUUCGGAUGGAGUAAAUCUGAAAUGCUUUUCUGGUGGCGAUAAAUGUAGUUAAUCGCAAAACGUAAUAAUCGGCUUCAGUAAUGUUCUUCAGUAACUCAGAAACUUUUCGAAUAGUUAGUUAAUGCUGACAGUAGCGGCUCAUGCGCGCCCAUAGAAUGCCAUUGUGCUGGGCCCGAAGGGGGGGAUAUCAUCACAUCGAUGAUGUUGGUUUUGCUGGUGGAUGUUGGCAGUCACCAGGGGCAGGCAUUCAGAGAAAAGUAACUUUUAUCUACCGCCGGAUACUAACCCUGAAAUGCCAGGGUGAUUAUGAAUGGGCGAUGAUAUAAAAAAACCUGAAAUGAGCUGAAUGCUCUAACCAGUGGCUACGACAGACAAUAUGAUUAUGUAUAAUGCUGAAAGACAGUCAUUCGCGUUUUUAAUGAUUACUUAUUUUUUCAGGAGUCAAAUAUGGGCAUUAAAUUUCAUGAUUUCAGAGAUGACAGACAAACCUUUGACAGGGGGGAGUGGCAGGCCACCAUCGACAUGAAUAAAUGGCUGGAAGAUAAAAACAUAGACGUUAUAUCAGUUGAAACUAUUUUUGAAGUCUCAGGAUCCAUGGCGAGCACUUCCAGCAGGUUCGAGGCAAUCCGACUUUGGUACAAAGAAGUCAGCCCGUCUGUCUGAGCGAUGGAAUGAGUUGAGCAAGCUGGGUAUGCUGGUUAACCUGUUCACCUAAGCAUAAUAAAACCAUAUUCCAACAUUUAAUCAGGAUGAAGCAAUGAGUAAGAGUGUGGAUCAAAAAUCCAGAAUAUAUCCAUCGGUUGGUUUUUUCAUCGUAACCUUAAUACCCUGCAUCAUGGGGCUGGCUCUAUACUUUAUGGCUCCAUACAUACUGUCUGCUGAAGACCUGGCGUUUGUCGAAAAUUUACCCUUAUUGGCGUUGUCCUUGUUUUUGCUCUUUGCCGCUGUUUCAGGUGUUUUGAGCGGGGCUUUACAACACGCUAAAUUGUUAAAGACGGCAAAGAAGAAAUAGUGAUAUCUCUCAGAGGAAAAGUGACUUUUGGGGUCCCUACGGUGAGACGAUUACCAGAAACAGGAGCUGCUAAUGUAUAGCCGUUUCAUGAAUGAUCCGCUCGACGAGAAAUACUUACUGUCGCCAGGUAUUUCGGAUUCUUACGCUGAUGGUGAAAUCCCUGCGGAAGAGAUAGAUGUCAGGGAUGCGCUAAUACGAUUCAAAGUCAAAGGCGAUCAGGCGUUGUCCAUGAAUCUGUUCCACAGGCUGUUUCAUUACCAGCGUUACAGGGAGGUCAGGGCAUCAUUCGAUAAAAGCAGGCUAACGCUGGUGGACGUGGUUAAUCGUUCCCCAUUCCACAAAGCGGCGAUGCGGCGGAUAUACAGUGAUUUUCCAGAACAAAGUAUUGCACGUAGGGUGCUGGUUGAUUUUGUCAGGUAGGUUGUUAGCUCUUUCUAAAGCCAAAACGUAAAUUGUGGGCUGGUACAUUAGACAGACCCAAUAAAAGCAAAUGGCAAUCAGAAGUAACAAUGUUUCUCAUCGGUCAGCUCGUGUACACUUACCCUGGAAAGCUCACGCACAAGCGCUCUGCGGCGUUCCUGGCAUCUGCCUGUACCGCUGGGCCACAGCUUACUGCCAUGGCUCAUUCUCGCCGGAAUGAUGCCGUAUGCAGGCUCCUAAAGGAAGAUGACUCGCAGCUGCGGGCUCAACCGUAAGUAAUCUGAUACAAACUGACAUUAAGCCGCCAUUCAAACAGGGCAAGGAAGAAAACCUCGAACCUCCAUUCCCGCCGGUCGGUAUUCACCACAAAAGUCACUUUUAACCACCGGGAUUCACCGGGGUCAUCACAUCACAGCGCCUCAUAAUUUCUGGUUGUUUAUGAUUACCUGAUCAUCUUAUUCAAAAACACCGGUUGAAUAUCGACUCCAUUUUUUCUCACUGUUUAUUAGACGCAUUCCCGCAACUGUUAUUGCAUCCGUUUUUAAUAGCGUGGAUGAAAAUAGGGGCUUUGAGGAGGCGUUUGAAUCUUUAUAAUAAGAGGCUGGUAAAGCUGCUGGUGGACCUGACAUGACAUUUCUUAAAUCUCUGGACUCACCGCCAUUCAUCGCAACGUAUCGUUGGGCGGGCUCAUUCGAUGGACGCUAUAUGCCUCAGGCGUAUUCACUUCUGCAGGAGUUGAAUCUCCGUCACUACCUGCCGGUGGUCAAGGCCGAGUUCGAUAUCUGUGUCAUUCACUGUGGUAGAGAGUGGUGGCGCUUCAGGCUGGUGGAUGUGAAAUCUGAUGAACAUCAGCAAAGGAUGGUGGCCCGGACGGCAUACCGGCUAAACCAGUCAAUGGGGAUCGCCGAGCAAAUGGUCAACAUGAUCCGCGCGUGGCAGUCCGUGCCGUACCUGAAUCCUCCUGCAUCUGACUACUUUAAUUAAACAGGGCCCGCUGGUGGCCCUGUUUAUACCUGAUGACGAACGGGAAACGCGCUAUUCGCGGUACUCUUUAUGGAUGACUUCAGACCGCUUACGUGAAAAUAACUUUUUCAGCGCACGGAAGAACAGGGUGGUUGUCAGCAACGUAAAAUAGGUCACUCUGUGCGGUACUGAUAUCUUUUGCCGGUGCUUUAAUUUCAAAGAAUAAACAUGGCCCAGGUCAGUUAACAGCGUCUGGGGCAACAUCGCCUUACGCAAGUCACUUUCUAUCCAGCCAAUUUCUUCAACACUUAAAACAGGCUCUGUAUCGUACGCGAUGAACUUGUUACCAAGUUCAGUACAGUUACGGCACAACCAUUCCGGCACAGGACUCACCAUGAACUUACUGCUGCCCGUCAGUAACACGACAUUGAAAAUAUUCUUUUCGUCACGCUUCAGAGCCCGACACACUCCAGAUAUAUGGGUUUUAUUCUGAAGGAACGGAUUCUGCAUCUUGUGUUUUUGUUCACCGUAACGGUACACGACUGUCCACACUCUAUCAUCGAGAGAACCAUAAAUGUCUCCGGAGUAGUGUUUCUCUUCGAUAAUGAAGAUCCCUUUCGUGCUGAUAAAGAUAUGGUCUAUCUGUGUGGUCUGGGAUGCGUUGAGCGGUAGGGUAACGUCUGACAGAAGCGUCCCAUCAAGGUCAGCCAAAACACCCUUUAAUGCAUUUCGUGUACGCUGCUCGCUAAACAUAUUACUGACAAGCGGCCAGACACACAGGAUGAUGCACGACAGGACCAACAUGACGAACACCAGAAAGAUAGUCGUUAACGUUGUUAAAUCCAUUGUUCGCUACCUCACCGUGCUGGUGGCGUUAAGCGCACCGGAUAAAGCCUCUUUCAGGUUUACGUCCAGUGACAAUCCUAACAUGCUGCUUAACGAUGCUUUAGGCGCGUUGUAGUCGCGGAACCGCGUGGUUCCGUAAACAAUACUCAGUCGUUCACGCACUUCUGUGCUGGUGGCUGUGUCAUCGAUAAGACCAAACGCUUUAGCACGGUCGCCCAACCAGAAUCUCCCCGUGUACAGUUGUUCUUUAUCAGCCUGCUCACGAGAAAGUAACUUUCCUGCCCGACCAGCUUCGACAUCACGGAUAAACUGCUCAUGCAUUUUGUCGAGUAGCUCACUAUGCAGAAACGCUUUGGUUUCGUCGUCAAUCGGACGCCAUGGGUCAAGCGAAGCCUUCCAGGCACCUGCCGUUAACGGCUCGUUAGCCACUCCAAGACGGUCCAUAAUCUUUGACACAUCCCAGUGGUCCAUGCGCACGCCGAUACUACCGAUAAUGGCGUUUGGAUCCGCAUAAACCGCAUCAGCCGGAGAAGCCGCGUAAUAGCAGGCCGAGGCACACAUAUUCUUAAUGCUGACAAUUAUCGGACGGACGUCACGGGCAGCAGCUGGCAGCGUCCCUUUACCGGUACCAACAGCUUUCAAUAAUGCCUGUUUAACAGCGUCAUUAGCCGCUGGUGGAACUUCUUUUUUAUUUGAUGACGCUGUAGGGUCAGAAUCCUCAAUCGUCAGCCCCGGCGCUCCAUGGAGGGAAUUGCGAAGCUCGUUUAUCUCACGGUAAAUAUUAAUGGCGUCAGACGGGCCGCCACCGCCCGAUUCAGCCUCAAUCAGGAUCGCUUUAGCAUGCGGGUUAUCCCACGCUUCACGUAAAGCUCGUGCAAUGAUAACGCCGUCGCCCGUUGGCGAACCCGUGCCCAUUUCUCCAUGGAUACGGAUAACUGCGAUAUGGUCGGCUCCCUUACCGUUUUUCUGUUUAUCCUGAUACAUGGUGAAACCACUGUAACCAGCAAACCCAAUACCAAUAAUCGUCAGGGCCAUUUUUGAUAAUACGUGCGAUUUAUACAGUCGGUAAAACUUCUUACUUUCACGCGAUACCACAUCCUGAACAGAGCCUGUUUCAGGUUGAGGUGGAUUUUUUUUGAACAUGUAUUUCCUCACAUGAGUUUUUGGUAAUGCGCAAGAAGCCGGUUAAUGGCAAUAGCAAGCAACGCCAGUGCAAGCGGCGGAAAAUACUGUGUCAGCCCGUUAAAUAAAUUCAAAUUAGGGAUAACAAGAUAUGCAACUAUCAAUACACUGAUUAUCGACAGCGAACGGAACCAGAGGCGAUAAAGCUGAAUUGUAACAUCGCCGAAAACAAAUCUCUUCAUUUUCCACUGGUAAUAACCAUCCAGUGCCAAAGCAAUCAUCAACGGCAGGAACGUGAAAAACCAGCCAACCAGCAAAUACCAACGGUAAAUUGCCUGAUACGCCAUUAACGGGACGUUGCGGGCGGCGUUGUAGUUCGGGCUCAUGAAUUUGUUUGCCGCAAGGUUCAUCCCCCGCGCCGGUUUGGUUUUAUCGUCCUCGGGUAAUAGCCACUUAUUCAGGUACCCUGUAAAAUUUAAUUCGACGAAAAAGUAAUUAAACGUCUUUUCCGUUCUUCGCGUGACAUCCUGCCAUCUCUCCUCAUCCAUAAGCAACUUGCUGGAUUUCACCUCUGCGCUGAUAUCUUUAUAAAGCUUAUUGGUGUCUUCCAGGUAAACGUUAAACAGAAAAUAAAUCAACAGACCCAGCCCUAAACCGAACCGGAUCAUCGUCAUUCUCUGCGCCGACAUAUCCUUUCCAGCCAUUUUACACCUCUGUCAGUCAGUUUUAUUUGUGAACAGCUCUGCCCAAAGGGCUGCCAGGCGAAUAUUGCUUUCUCUGUUGAGGUAGUGAUUCUUCCAGCCAUGAAGAAUGCCCGAACACGCCAGGUCAUCCGAUGCGAUUAACCGGGAUAUAAGUGAAAAAGUCACUUUCCUGCGGACAUCUUCAUUUAUCCAGCGGACCUGUCCCGGGGUUGGCAUGUAUACGGUAUCUUCUUCAACCGGCCGCAAGCGCGAGAACUGACUAAAGGGCUCCGCCCAUGGCGUCCAGAGUGCGUGAAGAGUACCGUCAUUAAAGCGGACGGGAAGAGUCAGCACCGAGGCGGAAAACUCAUCAAGGAACGACUGAAUAAUACAGCUCUUGCGGUACAUUGCUGGCUGGUGGCGGUUGCCCAGGAUGGAAAGGUCGAUAACACGGUUAAAAAGAGACGUGUAUUCAUCGUGUGGGUCGCUCAGGUUGUCACUCCAGAAAAGUAGCUUUUCUUUCAAACCGGAUAUCAGCGCAUCCUCUUCGAAAAUACCCAAAUCGUGCUGGUGGAUGUCAGGCACCUUACCGUGCCGCUUGCGCCGCAUUACCUGGUAUUCAACCUGUUCAGGUAUAUCAAGGAAAACGGGCAGGAAGCCUGCAAUAUCAAUAAACUCAGGCAACAGGUACCAACCAAGACGCUCCGCAUUAAGCUGGAUAAAUUCCAUGCGUUCCUGAUUAUCAUCAAUCUGUACCUCAACUGUAUGGCUCUUUGCCAUGCAGGUAUUCAACAGUUCUUUGAGCCACGCGGUGAAUGGUCCCUGAGAUACAGACCAGUUACUGACGAUCUCUUGCUCAUCGUGCGUAACGAUAGUCACCUUAUGACGGAUAAUAAAAAACUCAGACAGAGUGCGGGCCACUACGUCCAGACUAUCAACUGUGUAUUGUGCGUAUACCUUGCUAAUGUCACCAGUGAGCUUCCUGGCGUAGCGUGACAAUAUUUCCGGGAGACACUCAUCGUCAACAUUAAUGCCAUACUGUUUCAGUGUCUUAUUUGCACGUGAAAUAUAUUUGGGUUGCGAAGAGUUCAUACCGAGCAAAGAUGCUCUUGAUACUCGUUUACAUUCCAUAGUCAGGCCACCUUCUGGGAUUUGCUUAGUAUUUCUUCAACGUCGAGAUUACGUCUCAAUUUAAGUUUGAAGGGCGAUGUUGUGAUCAUAUCAAUGACAGUUGUGGUUCUACGCAUUGAUUUUCCCGGCACCGUAAUAGGCAUCUGGCCUACGAUUUUUCGCCCGUCCUGUAAGCAGGCGAUGAAAUGCAGGGUCGGUAUCAUUGACAGUAAUUCCUGCGGAAUUGCACUCACCAUUGUUGUGGACUUACGUUCGGAAAUCGAGCCAUUGAAAUCAGUAUGGGACUGUUUAGUGCCCGUGCUGGUGGUGUAAGUCACCUGGUUCAUCGAAACAUUAGCCUGGCCGACUUUAGUCAGGACAAGUUCCUGGGUCUUCGCGUCAGUAACUCGUGUGGAAAUAUAGUUGUUGCAAAGCCCCGUCAACCGGUCAGCGGUAUCAGCGCUGGUGGCCGAGACAAAGUCUGAAAUCGUCUGCGUAGAGAUGAACAAUGCGAUCUUAGCCGCACGCCCCUGGGCAAGCAGGUUAAUCAUUUGCAUAUUAAUGGCCUGAUGGGCCUCAUCGAUAAAGAUGGAAACCCUUGGCGCUGCGGACAAAUCAGUCGCCGUGUUAUAGCGGCUACCUGCCUCAGCGGCGAUAUCCGAAGUAAUUAGCUGGGAAAGGUCCCGCGCAGUUGCCGGGUCAGACAGGCCAUCCAGUGAAAUAUAGAGCACACCACCACUGUUAAAAAGGCCAUGGCUGUUAACGAUGUUUCGAUUAGGGUUCUCGACAUCGUUCGCCGAAAGCAAUAUAUCCAUAGGAGUCUGGGAUAAUCGCUUAAGCAUUGGCAUAAGGCUGGCUGUAAUUUUGUAAUAGUGAGAUUCAUCACCGGUUACGUAUUUGAAACAUUCCAGAACCGUAUCCAUACCAUGCAUAACUUUGGGGGUGUUAUCUUCAAAGUAGUUGCUGAAGAAAUAGUUCUUCAGCAGUUCAAUUUCGUCCGCAAGAGGAAGAUUGGGGGAAACCUUAACCGUUAAAUGCCAUUCCGGCCCGAGAUGGUAAAUAUAAAAACCCCGUAGCGCAUUUCGGGUGGUAACGACCAGGUCCUGUUUUGAGCGGAUUGCAUAGUAAAUAUUCUGGAUAGUUGGUUUUGUACCAGCCAGCUUCAACGCACCAAUAGCUGUUGUAACAAGCCCCUCUGCGAUACGUAAGAACGGGUCUUCACCACCUUCGGUACCAGCAAUGAUGCUCAUAAUACGGGCCGAGAGGUCUGUAUCCUUAACAUAGUUAGCGCUGACAUCGUAAGAAAUAGACCUGGACGGACUACCUGCGUGGAAAUGCAGGAAAGGCUUACAAAGGCUUUCACAUUCUUCCUGUAACCCGUCCUGCCACUGGUAAUCGUUUUUAGGGUCCACUACGAGGACGAUGUGCCCAAGAUGAAGCAUAGAACUGGAAAGAAGACGCUGGAGAACCGUUUUCCCUGUCCCUACGUUUCCUGUGAUAAGGGUAUGACCAAAGAAAUUUUCUUCAUUGACGAAAAUCGGCACCUUCUUAUCAACACCAAAAAUUGAAUAAUUCCCACCAAGUUCAGUCGCAAGUUUUCGAUAGUGGCGAGUAACAGGAUUCAGAAUAAAAGGUAACUGAACCUCAUGCAUAUCACUGGAAAGGUUGUGUACCUGAUAAGUACGUUCAGAGUGUUCAGGUCCCCAUUUGAAGCCAUUACACAAAAAAGUAGUACGCUGGGGGAUCUCGACCUUUUCUUUUUUACGGAAGAGCUUGUUAACCAGUUUUUUAGAGGGGGCUCCUCCAGACGCCUGAAAACCGACCAGUUUCUGGUACUUUCGGUCAUCUGCAAAAAAUUGAGCGUUAUUAAUCAUCCGGAAGUCUUCCAGCGACAAAAAAUCUAUCGUGCGAUGAAAUAAACGCCAGUGCGCUCUAAAGAUAGGCACACCAUUCCAUAACCUCCAGCAAGCCAUAGCGAUUAAACCAAGAGAGCAAUAGAAGGGGAUUUCACUGAUUCCGUUCUUGCUGGUCCAGGAGUCGAUAAGGACAUAGAUAGAAAAUAGUAUCAGGAGUACCGCUGAACGAAAUUCAAGGGCAGGGCGGUAAAGCAUUUCCUGAGUAUGCAGAUUGUUUCGGCUUCUACGUUUCAUUGCUUAUGUCCUGAUGGUUAAAAAACGAAAUAAAGUCUUCGUAAAAAAUGUUAUUGCGCAAAGCGCCUUGUUGAAGAUCAUCAAGGCGGAUCAUGUAGUGCCGUAUUGCUUGUCCUAUCGUUAUCUUUAACGCGGCAACCGGGAAAUUAGCCAACGCUAGAUUUAACUGACGAAUUUCAUCCUGACUGAGCCCCCAGGAUACUGCAUCAUCUAAAAUUCUAAAACGGAGACAAAAAUUGAUAUCAGUGACCAAUACGACCCGUUGCAAUGCUCUUAUAUGCGCUGAAUUAUUGUUGUUCUUCACUCGAUUCAGGAGAUUUAUAAUCGUAUCGAUAUCGGAGAGAAGUGUUUCGCUGUUACUGAUGUCAGCCUGCUCCGGAACUGAUGGCGUAAGAGAUUUUGACUGCUCAAGGUCGUGUGCAAUGACGACAGCCGGAUCAGUGACGAUUUGACUCUGACGGGCAAAUAACGCUUCAAAAUCGCUGUUAAUGUCCCUGAUACCUUCAUCUGAAUCUGCCUCCACAUCCUCCGGAGAUUGUUCGGUAUCCGAGGCAAAAUUAUCAGGCGUACUCUCAGAAAGUAACUUUUUGUCCUGCGUUACAUCAACAUCAACAUCAACAUCAACAUCAACAUCAACAUCAACAUCAACAUCAAUGUUGUCACGGGUUUGGUUUAUCGCACCAGAUUCACUAUAACCAAAAUUAUCACCAUGAGAAUACGAUGAGUAAUCAUCCCAAUACUGUUCAACAUCCUCUUCCUGAACAUCGGGAUAUUCGGUUGGAGGUAUGCCAUUCGGUUCGUGUUCAGCGUGGUCCAGUUCAGGUGCUUCCUCUUCGUAACGUUCAGGAGGGAGCGGCUCAGGAUUCACCAUAACCAGUGGCGGCGGGAAAGAGAAAGACAACAUUUCAUUUUCGGACUUCACACCACCAAAUAAAUCAGCAGAAAGCAAUGGCAGCAUCUCAACCUCUUUAAUAUCAGGUUGAUGGCGUAACUGAACAAGCGAUACUUCGUCAAUUAACUGGACAUAUCGUUUUCCGUCGUUGCACGGGAUGCUAAAUUCUUCAUCGAGACUUCCUGAACGUAAUGAAAGUACAAAGAGACCGGACCCCAUUAAGCGUGGUUCAUCAAGCGGUGCAAUAGAGCGAAUAUGGUGCUCUGACACAUACAAGACCCCAUCGAUUAAAACCAGAUCAUUUGCAUUAAUUGCAUUAUUGUUGAACUGGUGCUGGAGUCUGGAUAUGUACUCGCCAGGACUUAUUUCUUCUUUUUUACGGCGUUUUUUAGCGGUUUUCCUGGUAUCGGAUUCAUUUGUUUUACAUUCUGGUUCAUCUGAGUUCAGUGCCGUUUCUUGAGUACUUUCCGGUUCCUGUUUCGGUUGAUUCUCAUCAGCUGUCGCCUCGGUUUCUUCAACAUCAGCAGUGUUAUCAGAAUCUAAAACAGCACUGUUACUAUCCUCUACAGGAUGUUUAUCAGCGUUUAAAACUGGAGCAUUAUCAGAUGACUGAUUUACGCCAAGGCGAAUUGAUUUUGCUCCAUGUGAAAGAGGGCGUGCAUAGAGCGUGUCAUGCCCUUUGCGGUCAACAAAAACAUAGUCGUUCGUGUCAUUAAUGCUGAAAAUGCCUGGCGUACUUUCUGGCAGGAUAUCGUAUUUAAACAGGAAGCCUACCCAUUUAAUUUUUAAAAGAGAGAACCAGCUGAGGCCUUUGAUUCCCUCAUCAAACAUUCUUUGAAUGUCCGUUUCUGAAAAAUCACCGCGAUGGAAAAAGUGUGCUAUCCGUUGUUCGCCGUAAGGCUCUAUAUAGCCGCCGGUUAACAGAAGGUCGGUUAAGGCUUUGCGACCAAUUUCACCAUCCGGGAAGUUAAUUCCGAGGUGUUUAAACUGACCCAGAAUGAAAUCAAGGGCCGCAUGUUCGUUGAUGUAAACAGAGCCCCCAAUAAUCAUAAUAUGGACCGGAGGCGGCGAGUUUUUAUCAAAGCGUUCAGCCGAUGAAUCAAAUCCAUUGAUAUUAAGAAUACUAAUAUUGUCUUUCAGAAUCGCGACGGCUCGGGCAGCUGUAUCGGAUGCCCGGAUACCGGAUUGUUUAUCAUACCGAUAGCUGGUAUCGGUGCCGGUAGAAUGCCAGUCAGCCGUUCUCAUACAGCGCGAAAUAAAAUCAUCACUGGUUGUAUAAUUACCUAAUGCCGCCAGCAUUUUAUCGUACAAACGCUCUUUUACAACGUCACUUAAAUAAUUAAGACACGUAUCGUUUAAACAGCGUUCUAGGAAUACAGGUGCCCGUACAGAAUGCUCGUUAGCCAGCCUUUUACGCCAGAUAACCUCAUAAGACAGAAUACGGUUUGCAUUGGCCCAAUCCAUUAAACUGGACGACAGAGGGCGCCACGUACUGUUAACCCCCGGGGUGGAUGAAAUAACGUCCACAUCAAAUAUCUUACCUGCAUCAUGAAACAGGCCGCAAAUAAAGGCCGCAUAAAGGUAACGACGUUUUCGUAUCUGCUCUUCAUCCUGUAAACCAAUGGGGCGUAAUUCAGUACUGUAGGCAAAUUUUAAAGCCAGAAAAGCAGUUUCUAAACUAUGCGUUAACAGGCCACCGGUGCCAGCAUGGUGAUGAUUUUCAGACGCAGGUAAAAGGUGAAUCCAGCGCGUAAAUUCCAUCAAUGGCUUAAUAACCAGAUUCGUUAAAGUAUAGGCAUCCUCACUCAGGUCUGAAUUAGGCAAACCGAUAUACAUAUUGAUUUCCUGUAACCGGUUUGCAUGGACGGAUAAGAUUUCACGCUCUGAAAAGAGUGUUAUACCCGUAGGCUUGCUGGGAUAGUCAAGAUAGCUUUGCACGUCCUUGUUAGGCGUGUGUGGGAUAUCAUACUCAUCAUCAGUAUCAUAGAUACUGUCGUAGUCAUGCCCUCCUGAGAGGGCGACCCUGAUUUUAUAAAAAAGCCUGGAUAUAAUACUCAUAUCAACCUGUGAGUUUAUUGAACCUGAACGGGAGUGACAGAUGUCUCGGCUUUAUCAGCUGUCUUACUCUGGACUACCGGAACGGGAGUGACAGUAUUCUCGGCCUUAUCAGCUGUCUUACUCUGGACUACCGUUUCUUCUUUUUUUAACGCCUGCUCCGUCUCAGCAUCGGGUUUUGGUUCGAGGCUCGCAAUAUACAGUUCGACGGAUUUAAACCGCUUAAUGCUUUGAAUGAAUGGCAAUGCAUCAUAUUUACCAUUCACGCGAUUUUCUGCGUUCAGUAUUUUACUGAUGCUAUCCAUGGCGACACGAAGGGAGCUCAGGAGUUGCAGGAUAAUACGGUCGUGGAUCUGUUGAGAUAUCUGACCAUAUAACCACAGCUGGUGCGCCUGGCGAGUCAGUACGUUGAUGGUCUGGAUAAUGUUCAGCAAUUUAUAGGUUAAUGGGUGAUUCCAGCGAAUCUCAAAUUCUUCAUAGUCAAAUCCAUCGAAUGAUGAAUCUUCGAUGGGGAGUUUGGAGACAUUUUUGUCAAUCUGAUCUUUGUACGUAUUGACAUUACCAGAAAGUUCGUCAUAAACCCCGGAAAGCCAUUUCUGAACUUUGGUGCUGGUUGCCUGAUCACCUUCGACCAGCCGGAAGAUAUUAUAAAUAGCAUUAGAAAUGGCGUUGAACUGACGCAGGCAGGCUCUGUUUUUUUCAUGGAAAUGAUUAUAAAAAUCACUGGAAAGUGGCUUUAAUUUUGAAAUGACCAUCCCUAAAGGACGGUUGUUACCGGCGUUCCGUUGAUUACGCUGUUCAUUUUUAGGGGAUACGUUGUCGACCAUUAUAAUAACCUCUUCAGUUUUUCCAGUCUUUUGAUGUCGGCUAGCUUUCGUUGAUGACAUUCCGUAAGCAGUUCACGGAUCGGUUUAAUUUUGUUUUCUGUCUCCUGGAUCAUCUCCAGUUCCCAGUCUAACGCUUUUUUAAAACAACUAACGCUGUAGCCUCCCAGCUUCGGUUUAACAACAACCCCAUAAUGUUCAACUUUGUUUUUGAACCUGGGCGAAAAAUCCUUCCAGACAAUAGUCAGUUUUUGCGAUGAACCGACCUUUUGUAACACUGGCGCGUAUCUGCCGGGAAUAAAUCUCCCGCCAUUUGCAUACGUGUUUUGUGAUAUCAACUGGUUUCGCGCCUUCCAGGCGGCCCAAUAUCCAUCCAAAACCUUUGAAGCUUCCAGCUUCAGUAACUCGAUGUAUCGUACCGAGUUCGCGAUAACGGUUUCCUGAUGAUCGGUAAUUAUCGGGUUCAUAUCUACUCCUCCAGACAAACAGGCUACAGGAGUUCAAAAAAAUUUUUCAGGACUAACAAGGGUGAUUUUAUUUUUUUUUAACUUUUUUCUGCGGGCACACUGCCACGGCUAAAAAAGUGACUUUUACGUGUUGAGACGAAUAUCGCCUACAAGCCGGGCACCGUGAGCCCACUGAGUGAACAGAGAACCUUACUCCGGAGGGGGGGGGUACCAGAAAAGUAACUUUUUUCGAAUCUGGAAUAGUUACCCUUAUACAUAAGUGACUAUUUUGGGAAAAUUCACACAUGACGAAACCUGGAAAAUCACAGCCCAUUGGUCACUAUUUUGGUAAAAUUCACAAAUGACGUUUUUUUCCCAUUGGUGAAUUUUUUUAAAAAAAGCAGCAAUGAAAGAUGAUGGUUUGCGCCAGUUUUGGCAUAAAAGUGUCUAAUGAUAUACGUGAAAAAAUCGAUGAUCUAACACCAGGUACUAAAAUGCAGAUAGUGCUUUAUAAUAUUUGUGAAUAACUUUUUCUACACCCUGCCGGGGUUGCUGUGAUAUAAUAAAAGCCCCUUUGACGCGCAGAAGUAGCGCAGUAAGAUAUCGACUCAAAAGUGUCCUGGAGAACGUAUGGACGUACAACAAAACGUACAGACUGACUCGGUCAUUAAAGCGUUUCUCCGUUCGGAGUUACAGUUAAUCCGGAGUCAGCAAAAGCUGCUCAGCGUGUUGCCUCGUGAACUCGCGUCGGAUUAUCGCUAUAUUCCCGAUAUCCUCCUGGGCCGUUUUUUCCAUCCCUCUACAGAUACUCGUCUUAAUCGAAUUGCACAAUCAGAGGCACGGCCCGGGAGUCUGUUAAUUCCGCGUGUAAACGGAAAACCUGUUUUAUGGAGCGAGUUGAUCAAAUUGAUCCUGGAUGACUCGCAUUACCUGAAGUUUGAUGCAUACGGGCGACCAUUUGACAGUUCAGAGCUGAAACCCAAUGCCCCGUGCGAAUUAAUAAGCGGGAAAAGUUAUGUCUACAAACCUGUCGACCUUGAGUUAUUCCGGAAAAAUAUUGUCUCUAUACAGAUGAACUUCCUCGUUAAUCUGUGGAAUCUCGCCAGAUUUAAACCUGCUUUUGUCCAGUCCUAUUUAGCCCUGUCAAAUGAUGCAUUUCAGAUGUUGGUUGAAACAGAAAUGUCUGCAUUCGUUGAGGUCACGAAUGUGAUCUUCUUUCCCCGGUUUAUAACCUAUGAUACCGGUCGACGUGGUUCCAAAGUUUAUGCGUGGGGGUACGAGAUACUGGCUGAUCUGCUUGAGGGAUUUAUACCCAGAGAAAAUAUGGAAAACUUACGGGUAGAGUUCACUCUGAAAGAGUCGUAUGAGAAGUUAAAGAAAUUUUAGUAUCACAGUGGGUUUAUAUUGACUCACCACUGUCAGUCAGGAUUGCGACAGAGUGAUUAUGGUUCAUACAGGAUAACGAAUACACGACCCCGAACGAAUUUAGUUAAAAAGUUACUUUUCAGAACCACACGCAGUCAUUUUUUCAGCCGGUCGUCUGACCCGGUACCGGGUCACGUUAAGGAGAAUACGGAUAAUGGUUUUAAAAAAGAGUGAGGUAAGCCAGCUGGAUAGCCUGGCAAAAGCCAUCAGGUUACUGGAAUAUGAUGCUAACAAAUAUACGAUAACGCAUUUGUAUGGCCGUAAAGUUGCUGACAGACUGGAGUAUCGCAAAGGAGUGAAUACCAGAUCAGGAGUAGGGUCGUGGCUUGGUGAAAAAUCUGCGAUGCUGCUCUCUAACGUUGUUGUGAACAAUGCAAUACAUAUUUUCGGAUAUGAACCUCAAAACCCUACAGAAUCCACAAAAGAAAUGGAUUUUAAUGCACUGGUUGAUUUGUUAAUACAGACAGGAUAUUCGCCAGAAUACUACCCGCUCCAGGUUAACAGGAUAGUUCAGGUUCUCAACGGGAUGAGUGAGGCGGAUUAUAAAGACUACUGUCUGGUCUGCAAAAAACCCUUCAUUCAUGCGCCGGAUAAAUAUGACUCCUGUCCGACAUGCAGCGCGAAAAAAUGCAAAGUUUCAAUUAUGCGUUAUUCGCAGCCCAUUGUUCCCUUUGAAUAAAAGACAUUCAUCACGCAUGGAAAAUCAACUUUUACACACCGCAAGCACUAUCUGUCAUAUCGCGUUUGCAUCAACAGGAAUAACGACGCCUUCAGAUGAACAAGGAUUUUUUCAUCUUUCAGACUCGAUCCAUCACCGGUUGCGUACGAUUUCGCCCGACCUGAAUGUCCGUUGUGCUUCUUAUUUAUUCCUGCCGGUCAUCCAUACAGAGUUAAAAACUGAUGACCUCAAAAACCAUUUUCCUGAUUGCAUCUUGCAGCUCGUUCAGGAGCUGACGCCGUUAAAAAGGGCCACCUGUCCAUCCGGCAAGAUCCGGUUUGAAAAAGAACUUGAUGCCAUGUUUUCGGCCAGUUCGGAAGCGGUCAGCAUUCGUCUGGCCGAAUAUCUUUCGGGACCUUCCCGUUUUCUCCGGAUGAUAAAAAAUCCGGACCGUAAGGCCCGUAUAGAGAAAAUCCUUGCAUCCAGAAACUGUAAUUUAUCUCACCAGUUGAUGCUGUUGAUACAGGCGGAAGAAACAGUGUCCAGAUUUAAAUCCCCGGGCAAAGUCAGGAAAGAUUAACCGCAUUCUUUCUGCAUUUAAAUUUCAUCAACGGCCACAUCCUGGGGUAGACCUUUCUGGCAGAAAAAGGUCAUUGCUUUCGCGUUCAUGGUCGAUUUUUGUAUACCUGCCUGUUUUUUUUGCUUUGAAAAAGCACUCCUUCAUUCACCAUACGGUUUCAGCAGGAAUACUCACCUGUCAGGCUAAUACAUUACCAGCAGCGUCUGUCUCCGGCUCGCCAGACGCGGAUAUGUUGCGCCAUUGUUCGGCCUGAAACAGCCCGCGAGAAAAAUUUCAGAUUUCGCACAGAACACCUUCCUUAUUGAAGAAAACGAAUUUUUUUUUAUGGGAUGAUAAUGCUAACCAUCGAGGGGUAGCAUAUGCAGAUCAUAAAAAAUUUCUUCCUUAAAACCGCCAUUAGUUCGUUGCUGGUGCUUUCCACUAUGAGCAUGGCUGAAACACAGUAUGUCGGGAAUACACCUUUUGUUUCCGGCCAGGCACUGAAAAAAGGUUUCUUCUGGUAUAACGAUAAAGAGCCGGUUGAGGAUGAAGAAGAACAACCGCAACAGCCUUUAACGGGUUCGCCGUCUCAGGACAAGAAUGAAGAACUUAAGCUGGAUUCCCGGUGGCUGAAAGAAAACCUGCUUAAUCUCCGUUAUGCAGCAAUGGAUAACCCGACAGACGAAAACCUGUCCCGUUAUUAUACUGCGCAACGUUUAAUGCUUGAUAUUGCCACCCGUUUCUCUGACCGUACCCGGGAUUAUUUCAUCAGUAAUCCGAUGAUGUCAGAAAAGAGACGCCAGCCGACUGAAACAGUUGCUUUAAAUGCACACCGGGCCGGUCUUGAAGAUAAUCAGCAAAAAGCACUGACCUCCAUUUUCCAGAAGGGCGGGUUGUUUUUCUUUUUCCAGAGCACCUGCCAGUACUGUCAUGAACAAAGCCAGAUUCUUAAUUUCAUGCAGAAUUAUUAUCACGUUGACAUUAUGCCGGUGAGUAUCGACGGACGUCCUCUCCAUAAUGGUUUAUUUCCCCGCUACGGCAGGGCAACGAUGGAUAUGAUCAAACGGUAUGCCAUUACUGAAGUUCCUACUGUUUAUCUCAUGUCUAAUGAUGGCUCUCAGGCGACACGUGUCAGUACCGGUCUUGUUUCCGCAGACGAACUUAAAAAUACGAUUAUUCUUGCGGCCAGAGGAAUGAACCUCCUCGAUGAGGCCACAUUCCAGAAUACGCUCGAUAUUAAGAAGCAAUAUGCGAUUGGCGACAGAGACGUCCUGACCGUGAACAAAGUGAGCUAUGAACAGGACCCUUAUCUGCUUCAGAACUUAAUGGAUAAAAAACUCGGCGAGUACGACAUGCCUACAACCGAUCGGGUAGAUGCCCGUUUCUCAGAAAAUGAAGGGGGCUUUAGUGGCUACUAAUUUUCCAAAAGUAACUUUCCUGAAAAAGUUACUUUUAUCGGCCAUGUUUUUUGGGGCUUACUCAAUGCAGCAGGUCCAUGCUGCCAACGUCAUGGAAGGCAUAUUCACAGGUAUGGUUGCAUCAACUGAUCCCGGUUCAGUCAGAACGGCGUCACGUGUAGGAGCUGUUGGGGGGAGUUUCUCAUACCGCCAGCCUCAGGUGAAUACCAACCUCGUCAACGUCAGUUUCCCGAAAGCCAGCGUCGGGUGUAACGGCAUUGAUAUUUUCCUCGGCAGUUUCAGCAUGAUCAACGGUGAUCAGCUUGUACAGAUUGGACGCGGUAUCGCACAGGGCUCAGCGGUAUACGCCUUUAAUACGGCAGUAUCAGCAAUCUGUGCCGACUGUGCAGCGAUUAUCGCGAACAUUCAGGACAAGCUCGCUGCGCUGAACAAAUUUGCCAAAGACAGCUGUAACGCGACCUAUGAGUUUUUGCAAAACGGACUGGGCACUCCUCAGGAGUUUACUGAGAAAAUCGGGCUCGGUGGCGGCGCUGUUGACUCCAUGGUAUCAGGUAUAUUCCCGGAUUUUGGUAGCACCAUGAGUCAGCCUGCGAGUGAAGUAAACAAAAAGAACUAUGCAAAAGAUCCUGAUGCAUUUAAGGAAAAAUACGCCGGUAAUAUUGUUUACCAGGGAUUCAUGAGCAUUGAUAACGGCAAUAUAAAUGUAGGGGGCGUGACUGAACUAACAGGUUACAAACUGGCCGAACAAAUAAUGUCACUUACCGGAACACUUAUCGUCAGCUGGGAUAGUAAUGGGGAAAAUUCUGCGAUAACACCCGUCCCGCCUACGAUGAAAGCGGCUGAUUUCAUAAAGGGGACAGGAACAGGAAAUGUUAAGUUAAAUGUUUGUAACCCAACUCCUGAUUUACGCAGUAACAGGAAAGCACAGUGUCUUGAAAUGCGUCAGGAGUCUAUUCAAUUCAAAGGACUGUCUGAAACCAUUAUUGAGACAUUGCUCGAAGUUCAGCGGGCUGUCAGGAAUGACACUGAGUUGACGCAGGACCAACGUAAACUUAUCAGCAUGUUAGGUGUUAAUAACAUCAUUCCGACUCUUCAGACCUUGUCAGCUGCUGAGGGUGUUCAAUACAUCAAUGAUAUCAGCACGAUCGCGGCAAAAAAUUUCACGAUAGAGUUGCUGAGUAGUGUACAGAAUAAAAUGACAAAUAUGACUUUGCCUUCAGAGGCGAUGACAUCGUUUAAGGACCAACUAGACAAAAUAAACCAAACCUUCAGAAAUCAGAUCCGCAGCGCUUCAGAAGUACAGUCCAUCCAGAAUACUGAGGAAAAAACGGUCCUGGCUUAUUGGGAUACGGCAUACGUUAAAAAACGGACCUAUGGCGAUAGCGGGAAUGGAGGCUGAUAUGGAUAAUUACACGAUUUAUACCAUUGGUGAUAUUGAUUUUGUUUAUACAGCUUUUAACGGGAUCGCGCUGAUUUUUUCCAGCCAUGGUUCUAAUGAAUGGCUCAGAUUUGCUGCAUAUGCAGCAGCAAUUGGACUCUUCUAUAAAUCAAUGAAAUGGGUCCUUGCCCCCACAAAAAACGAUGUCCCUAUAUUCUCAUGGAUAAUGGGGUUGUUGUUCUAUUCAAUUGCCGUCAUUAAAGCUGAUGUCACUCUGGAAUCGGUUAAAACGGGGGAGGUCAGGAACAUAGACGAUGUACCGUUAUUUAUCGCGUCAACCGGUGAACUGACAACCGGAUUACUUCACGGGUUAAUUACGGACUGGCGAGCAGCGUUUGACCCGCUUACGCCGGUGGGGCAGGUCAGCGAUACGCUCGAUGACAGCCUGACGCUAGGCCCAAUGACCAAAAUGGUCAAAUAUAUGGAGUGGGGUGGGGAAUCCAGUGGGUUCUGUCAGGCUUUCCCAAAUACGAUGAGCGGGAGUGAAAAACCUGUUACUUUUGAUGUCUGCAGAAUCAUCCAGUCUAUUGCACGCGAUUGUAUUAAAACGACCCAGGACUCAGAAGUUCAGACACCACUGAGAGGGGUGGCAUUGAAUGAAAUCUAUGCCACUGAUCUUGCGUCAGUAAUGAACGUGAUGGAUUCAAUGACGGCCAACAGCCUCAAGACAGCAAGCGUCCCAAUGGUGACAUCUACAGGUUUGCAGUAUGCGUCCUGUACGGAUGCCUGGGCGGCGGUUAAAGCCGCAUUCGACUCUCCUCAGGGCGCUUCAAUUAUGAGAAAUCUUGGGCAGAUGAAUCAGUUUGUUGCGCCGCAACAAGAGGAUAAUGGUCAACAAACUGACUUUAUCGGCGGUGCGGCCACCACGCUUUUUGGAAGCGCUGGUCAGGCUCACAAUAUCACAACAGCUGCAUUCGUUCUUAAUCAGGUCGACAAAGGCGUUCUCCAGUACAGGAAGGCGCUAGGUAUAGCGGCAGACUAUCAGCUCUUCGAAGCGAGCAUGAAAAGAACGAAUGCAAUGGUUAGUCAAGGGCAGCUCUGGCUCAACAUUUCAGGCGCUGCAAUAUCGUUCCUGGAAAUGUUCAGCUACAUGGUCGCCCCUUUUGCUCUGAUUGCGAUCCUGUUUUUAGGGGGGGAAGGUAUCGCUUCAGCCGCUAAGUAUCUGCAGCUAAUUGUAUUCGUUAACAUGUGGCCGAUAACGGCAGUCAUGGUAAACGCAUACGUGAAGAUGGUACUGAAUCAACAGUUUGACACAUGGACAUCGCUGGGGGUUCAAACCACGAUGAACUGGGCAAAUAUGGGGAGCAUUCAGGAGACGUACGGCAGCUACCUGUCUGUGGCCUCAGCUCUGUAUUGCAUGGUUCCGAUGCUGACUCUUUUCCUGUUGACCACCAGCAUUCACCCGAUGAUGGGAGCGUUGAAAAAUGUCACACCUGAUGCCCCAAACAAUACCGGCCACGUCACACCAGAUGUUUGGUCGGCGGGGAAUGCGGGUAAACAGUCCUUUGGUGACCAGACACACACCGCAGCCACUUCAACCGGUGCCGGUAUGUCAACAGGCGGGCUUCUGAAUGCGGCCGUUCGUAGUUCAAUGCCCUCUCUGUCACUUGGCAAUAACUUGCAGGAUACUGUUUCUGCAGCAGGUAGAAAUGAUAUUGGAACUACAAGAAUGUCUAGCAGAACUGCUACACAAGCUUUUAGUGAGGCAUGGAACUCUGCGUUUCAGGGGCAGCAUUCACAAAUGGCUUCGUCCGGUACCCAGGCUAAUCAGAGACUAGUUGAGGAUUUAGCAUCUAGCAUCAGUAGUGGUGUUGGCUCGAGUGUAGGUGUUUCUUCUGAAGCCGCCAAAGGUAGUGCCUUAAGUGCAGUUCUUCAAGCAGCAGGAGAACUGGGAGGUUCAUUGGGACUUGGUGGCGGCGGUGGAAAAGGAAUAUCUGGAGCAUUGAAAGGAGGCAUUGUUGGAAAAAUAAAUAGUGAUUCAUCCUUAACUGACUCAGCGAAAAAGGCUCUUACUGACAACCUUGAAAACAUGAUGAGAAAUGGAAGUUCCUUUUCUAAGGAUAUCGGUCAGUUGGAAUCGAAUAUUACACAGGAUGGGUUUACAAGUUCUGAUGGUUUUCAGAAGGUUGCACAACAAAUGCAACAAUUUACCCAGUCUAUUAGUAACACCGAAACAAAUGCAUUCAGCAAAACUGGUGGUCAAGCAUCUCAACUGGCUAUGAGUAACAGUCUGGAUAUUGAUGGCAAUAUGAUCUCCGAUACCAUGAGAACACCGGCAACCGAGAAUUCAGUAAGAGCUUGGGCGUCAGCUUCAGGUCUUAAUGCAGAUGCGAUAGCUGGUCAGUGGAAGUCAACCCGCGAUAUGAUGAACAGGAGUAACACGCUCGGUUCUGAUAAAAAUGGUAAUGAUGCCUUUGCAAAGGUAUUACUUGACCAGGCGCAAGCUAAAACUCAAAUGGAAUCCGGGGAAACAGUCGCCAAAAACCUGUCUGAUAUUAAACAGACAUCUGCGAUGUUUAAAAAUGCAGUCAGCAUGAUGGGGGCAAAUGAACAGAUACUUGCACCAGCUGCCGAAAAAUUAGAUCAAUUUGUUGCUUUGGGAGGUGGCGGGCAGUAUGCGAAUUACCAAGAGCAAACUCAAAUGGCCCCUGAUACGUCAGCUGUGCCAACAGCAGGAGAGAUUGGUGGAAAUGUUGCCGGCCAGAGAGCUCAAUCAACUGCGAACCUGGGUCAACACAGAGAAGCCUCCACAGCUCAGCCAGGUAAUACAAUUGGCGGAAUUACCGCUCAAAGCCUUAACGAGAACAAUGGUCGUUUACACGUUGCAAAUGAAGGUGGCGCAGGUGAAGGUCGUGUUCAUUCUCAGGCAGACAGAGAUACUUUAAACCAGGUUAAGAAUAAUCUUCCAAUGGGGUCCACAAAUGACACAAUUGAGAGAGGAAAACAGGCUGGUUCAGUUGGAGAAGCAACUACAGGAAGAGUCCAACCUCUUCUUCUUGGUGACGCACCUUCUAACGAUUUCAACGCUUCAACACAGCAAACAAUGAGGAACUUGCAAUCAAGUGAAGCACCUAAACGCUUUGAUAGCUUUAGUAGUACCGGUGACAAAACACAGGACGCUAAAGCAGCAUUAACUCAGGCAACAUUGCAUAGUGAAAACGCACGUAACCAAACCGGGCAAGAGCGUGAGGCAAGCCUGGCAGAAAGCAAAGCAUACCUCGAUAAGUAUAAUGAAAUCACCGGUGCAGCAAUGUCCGAAUCAGGAGUUGAACGGAUUGGAAGACAAGCGUCGGAUGGGAAAAAUAAUGGUUUCAGUGGCGGGCUGAAUGAUGUCGUAAAUGCAGAAGUCACUGGAAGCGGUACGACAGGAAAGGCAGCAAGAGGUAGUGCAGAUGCAGCAUUGGGCCAAGAACUGAGAGAAAAUAAUGGAGCCAGUUCACAUCCAAUGGAUAAGGCAUCAGCAGCGUGGCAAGCUACAGGAGACUCUGUGCCCGGGCAUGAGAUCGCGUCUGACAUUGUACAACGUGUUGCUGGUGCUAUCCCUGGUGGUGAUGCUAUCGCACCGAAAAUAGGCUCUCAGGAUAAUGUGCCGGGCGCAAUGGGUAUAAGUAGUGGUAGAGCGCCAGGCUCUCUCAUCGGAAACAUCAGCAAUAAUAUCCAGUUAGGGCAAGCAUUAAAUAAAGCAGGUAACUAUUCCGGUAUGAACGAUGAAAAAUUUACUCGGAUGGCGGACCAAAACGAGAUGUUAACUAGGCAGGUUCAACAUGCUCUUUCAAAUGAUUCUCGUUAUGGGCCUGAUGUAGCUGCCGAGUAUCCCAAAUUUAUUGCGAGUCUGCCAAAGGAUAUUGGAGUAAACGAGGGAACAGCGAAGACUAAAGAAUUCCUAGAUAAGCAUAGGAAAAAUUGUAAGCGUUAAGUGAGCGCCGUAUUGACGGUUAUUUAUCGGUAAGAACCACGUUCCAUGGCAGCAGUUCGGCCACUUUGUUGCUGGGCCACUCCGGCAGUACGCUCAGGAUAUGGCGAAGGUAGGCUUCCGGAUCGAUACCAUUCAGCCUGCACGUCCCGAUCAGUCCGUACAGCAGGGCUCCGCGCUCACCACCGUGGUCGCUGCCGAAGAAGAUAAAAUUCUUUUUCCCAAGACAGACGGCACGAAGGGCUCGUUCGGCAGCGUUGUUAUCAGGCUCUGCCAGGCCAUCUUCACAGUAGUAGCACAGCGCAUCCCACUGGUUCAGGACAUAAGCGAACGCUUCGCCCAGACGGGACUUUUUCGACAGCGUCUCAUUUUUUUCUACCAGCCAUUCAUGCAGCGAUGCCAGCAGUGGUUUGCUUUGCGAUUGUCUGGCUGCCAGACGCUCUUCUGUCGUGAGGCCGCGUAUUUCUUCUUCUAUCGCGUACAGCUCACCGAUACGUUUCAGGGCUUCUUCCGCUGUCGCUGUGUGAGUGCUUAUAUAGACAUCAUGGAUUUUUCGGCGGGCAUGGGCCCAACAUGCGGCUUCUGUCAGCGGCCCUCCUUCACGUUCCGGACUGAACAACCGAUCGUAGCCUGCGAAGGCAUCCGCCUGCAGCACACCAUGAUAGUGGCGAAGGUGUUGCUGAGGAUGUUUUCCCUGCCGGUCUGGCGAGAAGGCGAACCAUGCCGCUGGCGGAUCUGAUGAACCUGCGCUUCUGUCGUCACGUACAUACGUCCAGAUACGCCCGGUUUUCGUCUUCUUUCUGCCCGGUGCAAGCACCGGAACCGGAGUGUCAUCCGUAUGCAGUUUGUGGCAGUCCAUCACGUAGUGGUAAAGGGCCUCAUCCAGCGGGGCCAUUAACCGGCAACAGGCAUCCACCCAGUUGGAGAGCAGAGCCCGGCUCAGAUCCACGCCCUGACGGGCAAAGAUUUCGCACUGGCGAUACAGCGGCAGGUGUUCGCAGUAUUUGGCCGUUAACACGCGGGCCAGCAGACCCGGCCCGGCGAUACCCCGAUCGAUGGGACGUGAUGGCGCAGGUGCUUCAACGAUACAGUCACAUCGGGUGCAGGCCUUUUUCACCCUGACCGUGCGGAUCACUUUCAGGGCGCUGGAGACCAGUUCCAGCUGCUCCACGCUGACUUCGCUGAGGUACGCCAUACCGCUGCCGCAUUCCGGACAGCUGGUUUCCGCAGGAUCCAGCCGAUGUAUCUCGCGGGGAAGGUGUGCCGGUAACGGGCGACGAUGGCGGGACUGACGCAACUGGCGAGGUACCUGCGGAUCGUCUUCCCGUCCGUUGUAGCGAUCGCUUUGCUGCUCCUGCUGUUUCAGCAGGGCUUCGGCUUCUUCAACCUGUCGGCGAAGUUUUUCGGAGCGGGUACCGAACAACAUUCGACGCAGUUUUUCUAUCUGUGCCCGCAGAUGCUCUAUCUCGCGCUCUUCGUUCUCUAUUUUCUCUUCUGCGCGGGCCAGUGCAGAACGCAGGAACGACUCAGUCUCUGCAACGAGACUGAGCUGACUGUCUUUCUGGCGAAGCGCGUCUUCCAGCGCAGCGAUACGGGCGAGAUAGUCGUGAUUCAUAACCGCUUUUAUAAUGCGGUUAUGUUUUUUUUACAACAUUGUCAGUGAGUUAAGGCGGGAUAUUUUUGGCUGGCGCCAGUCCAGCUUAUCAAGGAGCAUGGCAAGUUGUGAGCGGGUGAUCGCGAUUUUGCCGUCGCGUACAGCAGGCCAGACGAACUGUCCCUCUUCCAGGCGUUUGAUAAACAGGCACAGACCAUCAGCAUCAGCCCAGAGUAUUUUCACGGUAUCGCCACGGCGUCCCCGGAAGAUAAACAGAUGGCCGGAGAAGGGAUCCUCAUCCAGAACGUGGUGUAUCUGUUCGCCCAGCCCGUUGAAGGAUUUACGCAUAUCCGUGGCCCCGGCGACCAGCCAGAUGCGGGUGCCUGACGGGAGGGAUAUCAUUGUGUCCUCCCGGUCAGUUCGCGGAUCAGCACAGUCAGCAACUCUGACGACGGGUUCUCCAGCGUCAUUUUGCCGUGGCGGAACUCAACAUGACAGGAAGUGGCGCUGGCGUGAGCGGAGGAGAACGUACACAGAGUGUCAUUCUCUGCUGCGGGCAACGGGUCGUUGAUAACGUCGACGGACAACAGAGUCGGAGAAGCCGGAAGAGAUUGAGGUACCACCGGCCCCACGAUAGUUGCAGGCAUUCGACGAGAGAUUCGCCCCUCUCUCUGCCAGAGGCGUAGCCACUUAAAAAUGAGAUUAUUAUCAACGCCAUGUUCCCGCGCCAGUUGUGCGACGUUGGCAUCUGGUCGUGAAGCCAGUUCGACCAUCCGAAGUUUGAAGUCACUGGAAUAGACGGUACGCGAUUCAGUUCGCCAGUUGGCAGCAUUUUCCAUAAACAGAGCUCCUUCUAAAUUAGACGGAGCUCUAAGCUAGCGAUCCCGGGACUGGAAUCACAGGCGGCAGUGACUUGACGCUUACGAAAAAUUAAAAGUUAGAUAAGUUAAUGGCCUGAAAAAAUCAGGCCAUUAACUUAAAAGUGUAUAUUUUCUGAAUAAUGUAUUAAUACCGUUCAAAAUCAUAUUCUCGGUCAAAAUCGUAGUUUUUGCCUAGAUUUUCAUGAAGAGCCUCAACCCUUCCUUCAUUUUGAUGAGACGGUCUCUGUAUAGAAGCAUGAAUUCCAUAUACACCGGACGAAUUCUCAAAACCUUUAGCCUGUUUUGCGGCAGCACAAGAUUGUUUUCGGUUUUUAAGAACUUUCUUUAAGACUAGUAAAACGAUAGAGAUGGAAAAUAGUCCAUAAAAACAAUAAGUUACAUAAUCCCAAUACAGAAAAUUAGCCAUUGUGUACCUCAUAGUUAUAGUUGUUGAACACAUUAAAGCCUAUCAUCCUUGUGUAGCCCUCAGCCCUCUCUCAUUUGAUUAGAUUAUAAACUAUUUAACCUCACGUCCAACCCCCUAUUUUCAUCACACCCGAAUGGAGCCUCAACUCAAAAAAGGGGCUUUACAGCCCAUAGUCCAUAGUGUAUCCGUUGAUAUAUAAACGUUACCCGCUGAACGGACAUGAAAAACAGUCGCUGUUUAUGAGCGGCUCUGGUCCGGAAAGUUACUUUUUAUCAGGUUCACCGCCACAGCAUCCGGCAAACAUCCCCGGUUUACUUACGGCCGUUGUCUACCCCGGCCGUGCAGGCUGACCAUUUAGGAAUAGCGUUCCCCGGAGCCCGCCGCCGUCAGGAACAGACUCAUGAGGUUUACGUGAAAGACCCGUUAAUUAAAACCGCAAUAAACACCGAAAAUGUGUUCCGCUUCUGGCGAGCCAUUGAAGCAUUAGCCCCUCAGAAUAUUGAUAAGGCAAAUGAACGGGAUAUGCUUAACCCGGUAUAUAAGACGGGUGCUGGUGGGAUGCUUCCCUGGGAUGCCCCGCAACACAGACGCAAAACGCCUGAACCGGGUAAGUCGUGGCGUUAUUCCGCUCAGGCCGGGGUUUAUCAUCUCAACGUUAUUACCAGUAUGCUUGAGGAUAAGAUUGGUGCUCAUGAAGAGAUAGCAGAAAAACGCAUAAACGGGAAAAGCAGGCUUUUUGAUAUUGGGUUCAAUGAAUCGGGUAUCCCCCAGCCAGUCACCUUCAUGUUGUCUCUGUCUGCAUGGUCGGCAGCUCAGAUACUCAGGCAUAAGCGAGGUGUCUACGCACUGCAUGAGCCUCUUUCCUCUGAUUUGUCCGGGCUCCCCGCACCGAAUGACAGUCUCCCUGUAAUAGAGAGCGGAUUCAGCGAUUUUGACCGCCUGACACUUCAUCUCAUGCAAUGGGUGGAAAAUGAGGCUUAUCGAUUACAGGAUGAAGAGCUGACGGCCGACACCAGCUGGUUGAAGACACUUGAGAAGCUGGUGGUUGAAAAGCUGUGCUUUCCGGAAGAAGCCCUGGAUACUGAUAUUGUCAGUAUGGUUAAGUGUUCCAUGGUGAAUAAGCCAAAAAACAUCAGGGAAGACGCUCCGGAGAAAGAGCAGAAAAAGAAAGAGAGCGCCCCCGACGAUCUCAUUAACAGUUUUUUCAUUACCGAACUGCAAAAGCUCGAUGUGACGUGGCGGCAGGGAGGCGGAGGGGCCGGGUUCAAAGACUUCAUUAUGGGGAUCUCCCGGGCCAAUCCACAGCGUCUUGAUAUACGCUCCGAAGAAGGUCUGGACUUCGCCUUUGAGAAACUGCUGCCCACUCAGCCGCCAGCAGGCUCCUGGCCCUCACAGUACCCCCUGGCAUUCAGCCAGCAGCUGGCCGUCAAUGAAAUCUGGAACAGACAUAUCAAUGAACCGGGCAUUUUUGCCGUCAAUGGACCUCCGGGGACGGGGAAGACAACGCUCCUGCGGGAUGUGGUGGCUGCUGUCGUCACCGAUCGGGCCGGUAAACUGGUUAAACUCGGCGGCAGAGCGUUUAAAGCCAAAGAGACCUUCACAUUCGAUAACCGGCAGAUACCUUUCUAUUCACUCCACAGCGACUUAACCGGGAGCGCCAUCGUCAUUGCCUCAGCAAAUAACGGUGCCGUAGAGAAUAUCUCCCUUGAGCUCCCCGGCGUGGAGGCUGUUCCGGGAGACGUGUCAGAGCGCAGUGAUUACUUUAGCGAGCUGGCAGGUAUCAUACUCGGCAAACCAGCAUGGGGCCUGCUGGCAGCGAAAAUGGGUAGAAAAACGAACAGAGAGGCAUUUGUUAACACGUUGUGGUGGGGCAGGCAAACGAAGCGUGAAGACAAGGAUAAAGUGCCACCGGAAACCUUUUCCCCCGGACAGGGCGAAGGGCUGAAAGAGCAUCUUAGUUUACUGCGUCAGGGCGGGAAGGGCAGGAAGCCCGUUCUGACCUGGGCAGAAGCCGUCAGUCGAUUUAAACGGGCUCAGGCGGCUGAAGAAACAGAGCGUCAGCAGCUGGUCCACAGUUCAGGGCUAACGCAUGAAAUGGCGUGGCUCGAAGAACAACGGGAAGUGUGGGAAGAAAGGAAGCAAACCGCAACGCUUCAGAUUGAGGAAUGCCAGCUCGCAAUACAGGCGCUCUCUGAUGAGCUCGCGGCGAUGGAAAUGACCGUUACCCUGUCCAGUGGAGAGCGGGCCGACCUCGAUCAGCGCAUCCACCAGCAUGAGAAGAAUAAACCCGGUCUGCUGGCUAACCUCUUUUCGUUCGGGCAGGUAUCCAGAGCGUGGUGGGAACGAUAUCAACGUCUGACAGACGAGUCAGAUGCUUUGCGGGCGACGUUGACUCAGCAUCGUCAGGAACAGCAGCUGGCGCAAUCAGAAAAAAAUAAUGCGGACAAUACACUCCGAAGCCUGGAGCGGGAGCUCGCUCAGGCGAUCAGUAACGGGCGGGCGGUCUGUAAAGAUCAGGAGCAGAACCAUGCAUUGCAGAAGCAGGCCAGAGACGAGCUCGGAGCCUCCUGGCCGGAGCGUGACGCAACAGAUGAACAAAGGGAGUUGUCAGCCCCAUGGCUUCAUGAGCGCUGGAGAAAGGCCAGAGAAGACGUGUUUGUCGCGGCAUUAGACGUACACAGGGCGUUUAUUGAGAAUAACCCCGUGAAAAUUGCCGCUAAUAUCGGGCUGGCGAUGGACUGGUUAAAAGGGAGAGCGCUGACCGAGGAACAGGCGGGGCUGGCCCUGGACUCCUUAUGUCUGGUUGUCCCCGUCAUAUCGAGCACCUUUGCAUCCAUGCCCCGGAUGUUCAGGGAUACAGGACAGGAAGCGAUAGGCUGGUUACUGAUUGAUGAAGCCGGACAGGCGCAACCUCAGCACGCCGUGGGCGCUGUCUGGAGAGCGAAACGGACGGUCGUCGUAGGCGACCCGAAACAGCUGGAUCCGGUAUCCAGUAUUCCGUCCACUGUAGAGAGGGCGCUGGCAAAACAUUUUAAGGUCCCUUCCUGCUGGUGGCCUGGCAAGGUCUCUGUACAGAUUCUGGCAGACCAGACAAUGGACGUUGGCACUUAUCUGCCCGACAUUGAAUCAGAACAGAUUUGGGUAGGUUGCCCGUUACGGGUUCACCGGCGCUGUGAUGAACCAAUGUUCAGCAUCAGUAACGAUAUUGCCUAUGACGGGUUGAUGGUCCACGGGAAAAAAACGAGCCAGAUGAAUCUCCCGGAAAGUGGAUGGCUGGAUGUGAAGGGGAGGACCUGCGAGGGGAACUGGGUAAAAGAGGAAGGGGCGGCAGUAGAAAAGUUACUUUUGGAUUUGCGUCACCAGUAUUCGCUCACGGCUGACAACGUGUUUUUGAUUUCGCCAUUCCGGGACUGUGCAAAACGACUUGCCGAUAUAGCGAAGAAAUUGCAGUUCAGCAGGGAUAAAACGGGCACUGUACACAAAACACAGGGAAAAGAAGCUACGGUGGUUAUCCUCGUGCUGGGAGGCAACAUACAGAAUCCCGGCGCUAAAUCAUGGGCAGCGGGCACACCCAAUCUUCUGAACGUCGCGGUAAGCAGGGCAAAACAGCGAAUUUACGUUAUCGGGGAGCGGGGAUUAUGGGAGAAGCUACCCUAUUUCUCAACACUGUCGCGGGCGCUGGGCGAUCUAAAAGAACCGUUGAUCGUCAAUAACACGCCAGUGUCGUAUCUGGAAGAGUAUUUAACCACGGAAUGGCGCUGAUAAGCGCCAUGCCUGUUAACACCUGAAACGGGCCAUCGUACCGGCUCAUAAACUUGAUCACUAUAAUGCGGAAGGGUAACGACGGUAUCGAUUUUCCAGAAUACACAGUACGGCGCAUGUUAACCGGAACGGUAGCACCAUAUGGGCUGGCAGGAUGAAGGAUUUACUGACAUGGCCGCGUUGACAGAUUACGACCACCUUCAUUUUAGAUGGUGCGGGCGUAAGAGAAACAGCACAUCCUCUGCUCUCCCUGUCACCUGUCGAAGUGACGACCAGAUGCCAUAACUUCAAAAGUUACUUUUAUCUGGGUGGGUUGUUCGCGAGUUUACCCGGUAUCUCCGCUAAUUUCGGGUUUACGCGAUCAAUCCCUGUCCAUGCAUUGAGUUGCUGCAUUUUCCCGUUUCGCUGUAAUCGCCGGUUAUAUCGAACCAUAAAAUUGAAUAUAUAGUUGGCUCUGACGCGAGGGGUCUUACUGUUGUAGUCGGCGAUGCCUUCAAACACAUUCCCCUUACGAUCAAUAAUUUUACGAUGCAGCCACCACGUACCCACCCAAAAAGAGGCGCAAGCAUCGUAAGCAAGCUCACGCCAGCUUAUCGCGGGGAAAUGAGAUUUCACUUCCGCCAGAUUUGAUGAAUUUAUCUGCAUUGGCCCAAUAUCCCAUGUACCGUUGGUAUUAAGGACAAAAGAGCCAAUCUUGCCGCCUUCAUUAUCAAAAAGGGUAAAGACAAGGUCACGGUCAAUGCCGAAGAAACGAGCGGCGUCAGUUAAACACUCAUUCUUGACCGUCUCGGGUACAUUUUGCGGUUUAGGGCGAUCCCUGGGCGGAUUGAAUGCUGCAUUUGCAUUGACUGUUAACGUUGCGAACAGCACCGCGCCGAAUAUUAGUUUCGUCAUAAACCCGCUCCUCAAAAGUUACUUUGUCAGGUUACACGUCACCAAAAAAAUUUUUUCCUGGCUGGGGGUAAAAACACCUCCUGGUCGGAAAAUUAUUUUUUUUGGUUUGAUACAGUAUUUAAGGAGGUAGGACAUGAUUAAACCAAUUGCAGUCGCCCUGACAUUGUUAUCCGUAUCGGCGUAUGCGGACGUUAAUUUAUCAGCGGAAGUGAAAGCCAAAAUUGAGGCCGUUGGUAUUGAUGCCGUUUAUGCGGAGAAGUCGCCUGUCGAAGGGAUUUACUCGGUCUUUUCGAAAGAGGGGACCAGUUACGUCACGUCUGACGGGAAAUACAUCUUCACCGGGAAUUUAUUCAAGGUGAAAGGUGCGGAAGUGGAAAACACCACAGAUGAGUUUAUCAGCAAAGGGAUGCGAUCCUAUAUUGAGAAGCUCGAUACCAUCACCUACAAAGCCCCGGAUGAGAAAUAUGUUAUCGGUGUCUUUACUGAUAUCACCUGCGGCUUUUGCCAGAGGCUACAUAGCGACCUGCAAUCCUAUCUGGAUAAAGGCAUCUCAAUUAAGUUCAUCGCCUACCCACGUGCCGGGAUGAACUCCAUGAUUGCCCGGAAUAUGGCAUCGGUCUGGUGUGCAGGCGACAAACCCGCUGCGUUGACCAAAGCCAUGAAAGGGGAUGGCUUGCCGGAUAAGCAACCGACAAAGGCCUGCAUGGACUCCGUUCAGAACCAGUUCAAUGCAGGGAACAUGUUCAAGCUCUCAGGUACGCCCAGCGGUUUAAGCCUGAAAGGUGAACCGAUGGUAUUUGCUGGGUUACGUGACCCUGACCAGAUGCUGAACAGCCUGAAGACGGCCAAUCAGAAAAAAUAGUUCUCCGGGAGAGAUAAUGAAGAAAUUUAUGGCAAUUGCAGCGGUGGUGGUUGUGUCAUUUUCAGCACAGUCCAGUUUGUGUGGUCAGAGUGGCUGCAAAGUUACUUUUGUUGAUGUCGAUGGUACCGAAAAACCGAUCAUGCUGCUUGAUGCUGCGGAGACUCCGUCGAAGAGUGCUAUGGGCCGGGUGUUUGAUGAUGUAAACACUACCGGUAAGACAAUUCAGACCGAGCUGAAAUCCUCAGUAUCCGGGCAUACAGAUAAAUCGUCGCCGGUACAAAUGAACCGGGUGUUAAGCCCGAUUAAAAUCUACAGCGCAUAAUACGGAGUCUGACAUGGGAUUAAUCAGAACGUUGGUCUAUGUGGGUAUCAUCGGCGGCAUAUUUGCCUAUUCACAAACAAAAGACAGUCUAGAUAAUCUUCCACUUCCGGAUGUGGAAUUGCCUUCAUCGCUGACCAGAAAUGACAUUAUGAAGUCCUCAGUGUUAGCGGAUUCCAUUGCCGGAUUGAAAAACCAUGGCGUAAUGGAAGGUGUAGUCGGGAUGAUGGGUGAACAACAUGAUAUCCGUGGUUCAGUCAACGAAGUCGUCAUGAUGGCCGGUAAUAUCGAUAUCCAGAAGCUUAUUCAGGAUUCAGUGGAUGAACUUGACAGCAGUAGCCGGAAAAACAGUCAGUAAGAUGGAAUUUUUUGUCUUCAGAUGUAUUUCUUUUUAUCGUUAGAUGAAUCUAGGAGAUUUAGAAUGAUAAAUAAACGAAAAAGUCAUCGUGUCAUCAUUUAUGCUGCCCUCGUGUUGGGAGGUUUUUUAUUAGGUUCAGUAAACUACGGUGUGUUGAAUUUAAUGCUAAAUAGCGGGGUGCUGGGUGAUGUUUCUGAAAUUAUGACUGUAAAGAAGGUAAGUCAUGAUGGUCCAUUCGAGUCUGAAAGCAGUCGUCGAAUGUCCGGUCAAUAAGUGUUCUUUCAUAUACAUCAGUUGCAUUUAUAAAAUCAUAAAAUGACUUCCGGGGAGAAACCAUGGAAAAGAAGCAAAAUCCUAAUCAACGUAUGCUGAUUAAUAUUGGUCUGGCCCUUUGUGGCUUUGUAGCCGGUUCAGUUGUCUGGGGGCCUGCCAGUGACCUGUUUAAAUCGAAUCAAUCGGCUAAAGAACUUGCUAACGAACGCAAGAUCGAGCAGUUCAAUCGGCUAAUCAGAGAGCCUCAGGCGAAUCAGCCAGCCGGUUUAGUCCUGACAGAACAGGACAAAGAGCUGAUUGGAAAGACGGCGGCUCAAUAUCUGAUCGACCACCCUGAAAACCUGGUAGAAGCGGGUAAACGCCUGGAGUCUAACCGCGAUGGUGAGAAAAUGUCUAAUGUAGUGAAUACUAAAGACGUUCUCCUGGAAUCAACCUACACACCUAACUACGGUCCGGAUAAUGCGGAUGUCGCCGUGAUCGAGUUUUUUGAUUACAUGUGCCACUUCUGCCAGCAAUCCAGCCCGGUUCUUGAAAAGGCCAUUAGCGUGAACAAAAAUGUGCGAACGUUCUUUAAAGACUUCACUAUUUUCGCAGACCGUACUCCGAUUUCAGGUAUGGGCGCAAAAAUUGGUCUUUAUAUUUUCAGGACAUACGGUAAGGAUAAAUAUUAUGAGUUUCAUAAUAAAUUAAUGAACGAGACCGGAAUAGCGCUUCAGUCCAAAAAGGAUUACUCACCGCAGAAUCUGGCAACGCUGGUUCAUGGGCUGGGGUAUAAAGAUAUUCUUGACGAACACGGUAACUUCCUUCUGACUGCACAGCUACGUGACCAACUCCAGAAUGUGCUUGAUGCGAAUAUGAUGCUGGCUGAUAAGCUCAAUUAUAGUGGUACUCCGGUAUUCAUCGUCAUGAACAUUAAGAACCCGCAAAACAAAACUACCACCAUUAUUCCCGGUGCGCCUGAUUCUUAUCGCUUGCAGCAGGCCAUUGAUAAAGCAAAAGGCAACUAAACAUAUUCCUUCCUUAGGUUGCUUUAAUGAAGCUUGAGCCAGGUAUUUUACUCUACAUUAAUUAUAAGAAGGUCAUAUCUAUGUUUGAACAUAACAUUCUUUUCAACAGCAUGAUGAUUAUGGUUAUUAUUUUAUCUUACAUGCUAUUUAAGAGCAUUAAGUCAAAAAAAAGAUUGCAUAAAAAGUAUGAGGAAGUCUAUAAGGCUUUUCAUCUGGCUGACUCUCAGUACAACGGCGGCAUGAAAGACGCUUACAGAAACUUAUCUUUAAGCAAUGCACAUUUGAAGUUUUUGGCAGAAUACUUCAACCAGGAGACAGUUAAGUUUGAUGGAAGAAACAUAAUCUGUGAAAGAGAACAAGAUGUACAGUAUGUUCUUUCGCUUAUGGCGGAUAGUCAUUUUUGGUUGAAUAAAGCCAUGAAGGAUAUAAAUACAGCAGUAAGUAACACGGAUGUUAUAAAAGAUAUUAAAUUAUCAGCUCCGCCAUUUUCUUCAUUGGGAGGAUUGAAAUUAAUAGCAGAUGAAUUUCAUCUUGAAAAUAAAGAGUUUGAUGGGUUUGCUACUCUUAAAAUCAAGUAUGAAGAGAAGAAGGGGGAGAGAUGACAGGGGCUUUGUUUUCACUUUCUGCUAGUGGGGUGGUGUUUGCCGCCUCUGUGGUUAUUCUCAUUCUUAGUGCUAUGUUAUACGACAGUUUAAACAAAAGGCGUGUUCGAAAUGUUCAAUCAUAUGAAUUUUCAGCCUCGCAUGAAGCAGCAACUGGAACUCAUCCAGAAGGUACUGUUCUGCUCUAUCUUGAUUUUGAUGGUGUUCUACAUCGAAGAAUGAAUGAGUCCUUUGAAAAAAUGCCCCUGCUGGAAGAAAUUUUAAUUCAAUGCCCUGAAAUCCUCAUAGUGAUCUCCAGCAGCUGGAGGGAGACGAUGUCUUUAGAGGGGCUAAAGCAUCUUUUCCCGGUUUCAUACCGGCACAGAAUCAUUGGCGUUACGCCUUCACUUCAGGAUGUACCGGAUAUUGAAUAUAUCCGGUACAGGGAGUGCCUUUCAAAUGCCCGAUAUCUGGGUAUCAGUCAUUUUAUUAUUAUAGAUGAUGAGUCGCACCGUUUUCCACCUGGGUGUGAAAAUCUGGUGUCUACAAAAUACAGAGAGGGGAUGACUGACGAAACAGUAUCAGCAGUCAUCAUGAAAUAUCGUCAGUAUAUCGUAUGAAGGCAUGCGUUUCAUAUUCUGUACGCGAUGAAAUAAACGCCGAUUAUGAAACGCAGAUACUCAAGCCAGAGGUAAGGGGCUGUCUUCAACGGAUUGCCGGGAAGGUUUAACAGAAAAGACAGCAUUUCAUAUUGUCCGGUGAUCCCCGCGCCCCUAGAAUAAGCGCAUUAUGAGUACCACCAGCCCAUAAGGAUGAACCAAUAUGCAUGAAGAGUUUGCCAUCGGAAGAGGAGGGGCAAUAUGUCGCUGAUCACCAUUGUCCUUGUUUUCAUGAUGGCGAUAGUUGUUACUGUGUUUAUAUCUCAUUUGUUGCCCGUAAAAAUUCCAUUACCCCUGCUUCAGAUAGCUGCCGGGGCGGGUCUUGCUGCCGGAGGCUUCCAGGUUGAUUUCGAUCCGCAUAUCUUCCUGCUGUUGUUCAUCCCGCCGCUGUUGUUUCUGGAUGGCUGGCGAAUACCCAAGGAUGCAUUUUUCAGUGAUCUGAAACCCAUCCUGUCACUGGCAAUUGGCCUUGUCCUGGUCACCAUUAUUGGCAUUGGCUGGUUUAUUCACUGGCUUAUCCCGGCGAUCACGGUGGCCGCCGGAUUUACGCUUGCCGCGAUCCUGUCUCCAACGGAUCCGGUGGCCGUCUCUGCUGUCAUUGUGCAGGGAAGUAGUGAUGUGAGCCUGUACAACAUAAAACAAUCCGAUCUUUCUGUAUCGGUCCAGGGUUCAGGCGAUGUUAAACUGGCAGGCGCGGUAGAGCGCCUCAGGAUUGAUAUAGCCGGGUCAGGUGACGUUAACGCAGAUCAGCUGAUGUCUUUAUCCGCUGAUGUGCAUGUCAGAGGCUCCGGCGAUGUCAGAACAUGGGUAUGUGAAUCGGUGAAGGCCAGGGUGACAGGCUCCGGUGAUGUUGUGGUCUGGGGAAAUCCGGUGGAUCGUGAUUGUUCUGUCGUUGGAUCGGGGGAAAUCCGGUUCCGGUAAACGUGCGGAAGAAAAUUCAACAUACUGUGUCUGGCUUGCUCCCCAUCUCAUGGAUCAGCUUGCCAGCGUGCUUUAUGUUCAGAGUUGUCAUGUUCGAAUUAAGGUCUUUCAUCAUCCGGCUUUCACCGUAUCGCACAUACUCCCUUAAUCUGCCGUUGUAGGAAGCGCUGGAAGCGAUUGUAAGCUGUUCUCCUGGACAGGUGAGAUAAGCCACUCCUUUAAUCAGAUCGUCCUCUACAGCGUUCAGAUAGACGGGAGAGGCGGCGAUGACAAAGAUAUCGUGCCGGUACAAACUUAACAGCUCCGCAAGAGAAGUUACUUUUCCUGGCAGAACAGGGUCGGAGGUCAGCAUUCCCCAGAUGCGGGCGCUCUUUUUUCCCGGCUGCGAAAACGUCGCUUCAUAAGGGAUGGCGGGGUCAGAACUGUGCCGCAGGCCCAGACCUGCUGAAAUAACCCAGAGGCAGAUACGGGAAUGUGAGGCUGCAAUAGACUUUGCCGUAUUCCAGUGAGCGCCACGGUAAAUGUUUUGGGUUUCAGUAAUUUCAUCUUUACCCGAUGUGUAUCGGGACUGUACAAGACAUUUCCAUUGCUGGUACGCAUUCCAUGUAUCCGGAAUAUGGUAGGGAAAUACCGUAUCCAGAACCGGGCCAUUUUUACUUUUCGCACAUGUAGUAAUGAGAUGUAUUUUCGACAUGUUUAUCAAGGAUUCUUUACACAGGUUAAGUGAAUUAAAUUUACUGAAUGUGCCAGAGCGGUAAGUUCAGUAUGGUUAAUUUUUCCGUAAAAACCAUCACUCAUAAAGUUCAAUAAAUUAAAGUCAAGCUCUGCUGGUGGGCAAAGGGAACCAGAGGCGUAUUGAUACUCAAGCCCUAGAACAUGGAAUAUCCCGUGAGGGGCGAACCUUGCAAGUUCUUCACCUGAAUAAAACUCAACCCACAUCCUGAGCCGGUAAUCCAGAGUGAAGUCACCAAUCUGAAUCCAGAAAUGAGGAUAAAGCUCAAAAUCCGUUUUGGGGUUUUUGACAACCCCGUAUAUUCUUUGAUGAGAAAUGCCUGCAUGUUUUAAAGCACUACUUAUCAUUAAUGUAUGACCAUCGCACUCAACGGGUGCAUCAUCAAUAGCCUGUAAGAUGUUAUUUAACAGUACGAAGCAUUCAGGAACUAGGAUAUUGGUCAUAAAAAUUACCCAUUCAUUCUGCAUCUAACAUGAAAUUGGGAUCGCGCUUGCCGCCAUCUCAAUUGAGAGCCUACAGAAAUCAUUGUUGCAGAGACAGGAAAGGGAACUGUUACUCCAGUCCUCGUAAAAAUCAGCUCCAAACAGACGGCAUGUAAACAGCUAUGGUUUUUUUAUCGGGUAUCCGGGGUGAUUAAUUUCUGUGUCGGGUUGCGUUGUAGAUAUCAUCAUUGUUGCGUUUGCCCACCCCAAUUACGGUGACCGUCACAAUUUCAUCGUUGACACUGUAAACCAGUCGGUAACCCGCGCCAUGGAGCUUUAUUUUAUACUGGUCUUUACCUCCAUGGAGUUGUGCUGCGGGCACCCGUGGGUUCUGAAGCCGUUCGGAAAGCUUCUUUUUGAAUUGCUCCCGAAUAGUAUGACCCAGUUUUUUCCAUUCUUUCAAAGCUGAUUCAUUGAAGGCUAACUUAUAGGUCAUCAAUGUUGACCUCGAUUCGGUCCUCACCGAUUCGUUCAUCAGCAAUACGCCCCAACUCUUGAUCUUCCAGCAUUUCCAUCAGCUGAGCAUACAGGGCUGGUGGUACACAGUAAAAAGCGGGUUCGUUGCGAUUCAGGAUUGCUACCGGUGCACCUUCUCCUGCAUUGAAGGUACCCAUAGGGUCACGUUUAAGUUCUGUAAUGCUGGCUGCUGUGGUGGUUAAAACCUGAAAUGCCAUAAUAAAUCCUCCUGUUAAGAACAUCUACUAUAGAUCACUAAAAGGUGCUUUGAAAGGUUCUUUUCAGUAAGCGGUGAUAUCGAAGGGUGGAAGAGGGAAGUUGAGUAACCGACAAACAUAACGUCAUGCAAGAAGAAGAUAGAGGGAUAGGUAAGUGUAUGAUUGAUCGUAGUCUGUGGCUGGUUAUGAACUAAAUGAACGGCGGACUAAAUUUAACAUAACGUACAUUAUGCGCACUAAGUCUUUGAUUUUACAGGUUCUUUUGAUUUUAUAUGGGUAUGGCCUGAUAUACGAAAUGCCAAUAUGAACACAACAAACUCAGGCUGACACAUACAUCAUUACAAUGAGAACAUUCAUCAAGACUAACGUAAUAACGUUAAGCCACAGUGAAACAAUACUCUUGCUUAUGAAAAGUUUAGUUAAAUCUGGGGACUCAUCUUUAUAAUCACCAGUUCUGGAUGCUGCCUGUCUACGGUUCAUGACAGCAUAAAUUUCAUAAUGACUGACUAAACGCAAUAUCAACACCAGAUAAAUUAGAAGAAUACCAGCAAUGAUUAGAUAUCUUGAACCGUUAAACAAAUCCAUAACUGUCUCAAUUUGAACGUCAAACAUUGUAUUCUAUCUCACUUUUUGAGGAGAUCGUCUUUCUUCCCGGGAUACCGUGCUCAUUCUUUAGUAUCAGCAUUUAACUGCAGAACGGAAAAUUUCUGGGUUGAAGGUAGAGACACGUAACUUAGCUUGCACUGCUCUAACAAGGGAAAAAUGCCGUCAGUUAACCCGGACAGGCGUAAACUAAGAGGCUGGAUGAGCUUUCCUGAUUGAGUAAAUUUAUCCGAAAGCGUUGAUUGCUGCGUAUAAAUAGAAGGCUUUCCGGGGCUGGAUGUCCAGCCAUUCUGCCAGUCUGUAUCCGACAGCAGAUAAUCCUGCCACCCCAUUGUUCGAAGUGUGUCAAUCAUGCAGGUGAACCGGAAUAAGGUACUCUGUUUUGUAAACUCACCUGAACUUGCCAGCCACAGGUAUUCAACCUUUUGAUAUAAGCGUGCAGACGGGCCUUUAACCUUGCCCUGUUCCUGCAACCAGAGAAUAUCCUGCGCUAAUGACCUGGGAAACAAUUUGCGUUUCUGGGCAGUGGAUAGCCAUUGCAUAAUAAACAUAUGGAUUUGUAGCGAAGACUGAAUCUUUCCUUCCCUUCGGGCAAGCGCAACUGCGAUCAGGAUACACCAUGAAAAAUGCGCCAGUUCAGUAUCUGGCCGUUUGGUAGGUAGAACAGUCAAAGAAUUCUCCGGCGUAGUUCAGCAACUGGUGAAAGACCAAGAAUACCACAAGAGAACCACUGACGUACCCCAGGCUUUUCAGGAUGAAAAAAAACCACCUUUUUAAGGUGGUUUCGGAAUGACUCAGCUUUUUCGCUUAAAUCAGGAAAUCAUCAAGAGUUUUACCGGCAUCCAGUUGAGCUUUAAUUGGAGAUGGUGUACGACCCUGACCAGUCCAGGUUUUACGCUCACCAGCAUCGUCGAUGUACGCAUAUUUAGCAGGACGUGGUUCACGUUGCUUGCGCACUUUAACGUUAACGGCUGCUUCCAUCAACUCACUCGGAUCAAUACCGUCAGCGAUCAUCAUUUCACGAUAGUGACUGAGUUUUUCCAAACGCUCGCGAUUAGCGGCUUCGAGCUCUUUUUCUUCUUCACUGCGUUCAGAGACAACCGUAGUGAGUUUUUCCAGUAGUUCUUCGAGAACCUCUAAAGGCAGUUCACGCGCCUGGGCGCGAAGUGUACGGAUGUUAUUAAGAACUUGUAAUGUCUCGCUCAUAGUUACCUCUUCUUGAACAUCGUUAUGCAGCUACAUAACAACAUUAAAUUAACAGUUAAAUGUCAGCAGGAGGCGUUGCAAGCUAAAUUAUUAUCAUCGUGAGAUGAUUUAAAAAAUUCUGGCUCUCAUGCUGUCUGUAUGUUCUGUAACCCGGAUACGCCCUGGUGUUGGUAUGUUCAUUGUCUUAUAGAAAACGAACAAUUGCAUCUCGUAAAAUCUGCCACUCCGUUUAUGACUCAAGUAAAAGAGUCCAAUGAACAGGUGAUUUUUAAAUUGUAAAGGUCAUAAAAAAAAUAAUCAAUGUUCUUUGAUUCAUUUUUUCAGGAUGAUGUCUAUAUCACCAGGCUUAACCAUUACAGUGAAGUCUGAAUGUUUACUCAACGAUUAUGUAUGGAACUGAUUUUUCAAUAUCAUCUAUAUCACACAGUCCGUGGAUUAAACCUAACCGCAUCGGCACAUUAACUCUUUGUUUUGCGUAAAGGUAUGCCAUAGCCCCCAUGCAAUAUGUUUCCUGCCCUGAAGGUUGAUACUGGCCCGUCUCAUCGUCAUUGAAAGCACCGGUAGUGUAUGUUGUUUUAUGGCAAAAAAAAGGAAUAUUGUCAUUGGCGAGAAGCGUCGAUUUUAUGUCAUCGAUGCGUCCUUCUACUAAGGGAAUAGGAUUAUUUUUAAGAAAGGGACAAUCUUUGCAAGGCCGUUUCAUAGCAAAGAGCUUCUUCACAUUAAGGCUCAUAUUUCACCAUAAGAAAUUUCUAUACAGAUUGUAAAAUUAUACUACAGACUUAAGAAUCAAACCAAAGUUCAGAAAACCUACAGUAUCAGACCCUGGAGUAUACAAAACCAAAAAUUGAAGCUUCUCAAUGUAGGUUUGUUAAACCACAAUGAUAAUGAGCUUGUACAUCAUAAGAUGGAGUAGUCGAUAAGACGGGCAGCACAUCCGGGACGAGUUUAAAUUUCGACCAGUGAAAUUAUUUCGUCAUAUAAAAUAGCCACGGUAUGAGGUCAUGUUUAGCUCAAUCAUAUCAAUACCGGCCCUGGACCUGCCUCACAGGACGUUGAGCUUAUUAUCUCUGUCGAAGGUAUUUAAAACCCCGGGAACCAGUGCCGGGGCAUUUACUUCACGUCAGGCAGGUUGUUUCUCUGGUAUGAUGCAAGCACAUCAUUAAGACCAUCCAGGACCUUUUUAUCCAUAAACCGCAUAUGGAUGUUUCCGUUUCCAUACACAAUAAAUUUAAUAUUUAAAUCCUUGUCGAUAUAGUCAACUUUCUGAUAAUCAUUCUUCUCUCUAAGAGCAAAAAGCUUAGGUACGAUAACAUCCUGCUGGCUGUAAGAUAGCCCUUCUAUGUACCGGGAAAUCCUGUAAAGAUCAUUGAGGCUGUUCAGGUCUCGAUCCGUCAUGUCAAGGUAGUAUACAUCCUUCUUGAACCCGUUCUUUAUAACCAUAUUUUCAUUAAUAACAAAGCUACGGGCGUUCUUUUUAAAAUCAUGGCUCAGAUUACCCAGGCAUGAAACCAGACCCUCGCAGAGUAUGUCUGCCCGAUUGUUAACCGUAUGAGCCACUUUCUCUCUUGCUGACUGAAUCGUCAUAAUUGGUGGUUCUGUUACCAGUUCGUCAAUAAAUGAUUUUAGUUGAGGUGCAUUCCAGUAGAUAUUUAAUGAUGUUCUGUCGAUGAGUCUCUUCCAUGAUUCUCUAUCAAUCAAAACUCUCGCCCUCUCUAUCUGUUUAUCUAAAUGGGCAGGGUUAAAGCGAACAUAUGCAAUUCUGAGCUGAUCAAUAAGGGAGAUGCCCAUCAGUUUUUCCGCUUCGGAUAUUGCAGUUAAUCCAUUAAUAAAAAGAUUCAUUGCCAUGUCCCGCUCAGACACAACGCUUUCUACAAGAUUAGUUUCUUUCAGUUCGUGGGAUGUCAUAUUAUCUCCUUUUUUUUAAAAGGAUGACAUAUUAGAUCGCUUCGUCAAUACCCUUUUUUAAAUUCACAUACUCAUAUAGAGCGAACGCGGAAUUUUGACCAUAAUAUUGCUGUAGUUGGAGAAAAGUAACUUUCAGGCGGGUAUCGUUAAGAGAUUGAUGACUGGGUAGAAGCAUUGGAGCAAUGAUUCAAUCAAGAGUGGCUUUGUUAUCAAAACCACCCUACUAUUUUAGCCGCAGGCCAGAUUAGAUAGAGAUAUCAGAAGGCCACAGGAAAUACAUCUCUCCAUUUUUCUUGUAUCGAUUAGGUUUGCUUUCACCGCCAAUGGAAAUCCCUAACGUUGUCAAUUCAUACUUACCAUCAUUAUCUUUGAGGUAUCCCGCAGUGAUAAGCUUCGUAUACAUGUCGGAUAACCCCAUCUUGUGCUGUUUUGAUAAAUUUGUAGUGGUUAGUUUAUUUGCAGGCUCGGCAUUAGCUUCAUCGUCUUUUCCUGCGCUGUCAUCCGAAUCAGUUGUUUUGUUAUCAAUGGAUACGAAAGUUUUUUCGUCAUUUUUUGUGGAUGAUUUCGAAAAAUCUUUUUUCUGUUCCUGAUUUUUUUUCGAAUCAGAGUCAGCGGUUUGCAAUGAUGUUGGGGAUGGAAUGUUUUCUGUGCUGAUCCGGAUUAAACGCUGGGCCUCGGUAAUAGAAGCAUUGAAUGCUUCCCGGUCUUCAUCUUUUACAAUUAAUACCCCCAGUUCAUGGUUAUUGAUUUGACUAAAAUCAUACAGAUUCAGGCUGCAUAUCAGGCUCUGACUUUCAUUAGCAUAAAAUUUAGCAUGCAGAUUCUGGCAGAAACUGAGCCGUACGUAGGGCAAACUGACUAGCCAUUCAUGGUCUUUUGGGUUGAGUUCAGAUUUACCGUAGAUGAUACGAAUAUCUACCUUCAUACGGUUUUUAUCUUCAAUUAGCUCCUUAAUUCUGGCGCUUAGUUUCAGGUAAGGGCUUAUCAGGAUAAUGCGCUCUUCGGCAUUCGCUAUAGUUUGCUCUACGUGAUAAUUCAAACCCGUUGUAUUGAGAAUCUGGACCAUAAAAAACCUCGAUUUUUCUGUAAUUUCUGAAUGACAGCGACAAAAUAAAAGUUACUUUUUAAAUGACCGCUGGUUCGAUGCCUUAAAGGAUGAAAUGUCACUCAGUGCUUAAUUAUUUGCUUUACGCCACUGGCGUGGCUCUACCGCGUGUGGGUCAGACCAUAACCCUUUACCUGCGUUACGUGCAUUUAGCUCAAGAGACCCAUACUGAGGAACCGUUAGCCGCCCCUGAUAACGAUAUGCCCAUGCCAUGCCUUCUGCGACCAUAACGGCAUUAAGAUCCUGGUUAUUCAGAUAGAGGGUACCAAGCAUACGCCCAUACACGUCCUGCCCGUGGUCCUCAAUAACGACAACUUUGUUUGCUGCCAUCUGAGUCAUGGCUUGCUUUGCCUUCUGACCGAAGGCCUGCUUACUCUCCGGGGCAUCAAUCCCAUAGAGCCGCACUCUGGUAUUUGUAGCGCCGUCAUAAACUUGGACAGUAUCGCCAUCAAUUACCCGCACAACUUUCCCUGAAAUGGUUUGAGCACAGGAAAGCAUCGGCACCGAUAAAAUAAAUACGGACAAAGGGACAAUGGCAAAUCUGGUCAUCCGGAAUUUAAUCAUUUGCUGUCUCUGGGUGAUAAUCAUUUAUUGUGAGUUGAACAGAAAAAAAACAAUGAAUUUGAAAAGUUACUUUCGAAGUAUAGGUUACUUUAUUAAUUACAUGCUAUUGUGUCAAUCUAUAUGAAAAUUAUUGCCGAAAGCGAAUAAAAAAGCAUGUCAGCUCAGGAAAAGGGGGGCUUAUGUCUACUGUAAAUGAUGUGAUUGUAUCUUAUGGAGUGGACAGUAAAAGGUAUUCAAGAGACUUCCAGACCAAAGAGGAAUUUAAAAAGAGCUGGUAUGCAGUUUUAUCUCGUGCACACGCUUCUGUAGACUCGAAGGUAAGCUGUUCCUGUAAGGGUAAAGGUCCAAAGUUACUUGCCGUAAAAUAUCAUACAGGUGGCGAUACGUAUUUUCUGGCACGGUAUCCGAAUACAGGUAGCCAGCAUUCUCCUGAUUGUAUUUUCUUCACACUGGAUAAAGAUAAUUCCGGGUUAAAAUGCUAUACACAUGGCGUAGUCAAAGACCUUAAAGAUGGUGGCUUCGGCAUCAGACUCGACGUUGCAUUAGCUUCAUCUGACUCCGAAUCUACCUCGAUCGUGCCUGUAGAUAACAGGAACACACCUGGUGGCGUUUCGCAAAAUAGCAUGUCGCUGCUAGGUUUGCUCCAGUUCCUGUGGGAUGACAGUGGUCUGAAUCGCUGGUAUCCCAAAAUGACCGGGAAACGUAAUCCAGGAAAGGUAUUCAACCUUAUUACCAGUUCAUCGGAAAAAAUUAAAAUUGCAUCACAUCCACUCUCCACACAUUUACUGGUUGGCACAUAUCCUUCUACUCCUCAGGAAACCAAAAACAUAAAAAUGACAGAUGCGGUUAUGCAAAGCAAGGAGCGUCUGAUUUGCAUCAAUGCGUUGUCUAAAUAUAACUACGAGAAACAUUCGAAUGUGUCAAAGCGGCUUCCGGUAAGGUAUUUUUCUGGCGUGCCGGUCGUGCUGAUGAAUACAGAGGACUGGACGUUACUGGAGAAGAGAUUCCCCUCUGAGAUAGCAAACUGGAGAGCAGGUGGCAAUGUCAUCUGUAUUGCUAUAGGCGAACCUGGUAAGUUUAAGGGUAAAGAUACGUACUACCUCAAGCCCCUCCAGAUCGCCCUGAUGAACGUUGAUGAUAACUGGAUCCCUGCAGAUUCCAGCUAUGAACUGACUAUGCUUAAUUAUCUUCAUAACCAGGGAAGAGCUUUCAUCAAGCCACUAAGAUAUGACGCCUCUAAUAAUGAUGUCUUUCCUGAUUUCUGCCUGACGGAUACAGGGGGGCAUGAACUGUUUCCUAUUGAGGUAUUUGGCAUGGAUACAGCUUCAUAUCUGGCCCGUAAGGCGAUUAAAGAAAGUUACUAUAAUGAACGAUAUGGAAAGAACGGUUGGGCAUCAUGGGUUGCACCGGCUGGCCCCUUACCUCAGUUGCCACCGAAAGCCAGAAGUUAGCCCCAGGUUAUAAGGGCUUCGGCCCUUUACUCCUUCCCCGGCUUCACAUCUCCACUACCAUGGUUGAGUUCUGACUGAUAAAAGGCAAUUUAUUGCCCCUCUCAUUCGUUUGUUAGUCACAGCUACGCCGCCUUUCAAUCCAGGCAACUGUAUUGCUUCACAUAAUAAUUGUGAUUGAUUACGCAUGCUAUUUGCUCGAUCUCAGAAAAGUUACUUUUUUUGCAGACAGUACAGUUUGCAAAAGAACACUUAAUCCAUUUCUGGCUAUAUCACCCUUCCCUUCUUUACCUGGGAUAAUAAAAUUUAAUUAAGCCCCUAUUUUAAACUUUUACAAACUAAUCAUGUUAUUCUUAUCCUGAGAUUAUUACCUGCUUUACAUCGUUAAGGAGAUCAUCAUGCCAACAGUAAAAACAGUUGUGUCUAAAGUUUUCUUUUUUAGCAUCUGGCUGGCAAUAGUACUUUACAUAGCAUAUUUAUCAUUAUCUAAUUUCAUGUUGAGAGGCAUCGAUCAUGAAGUGGCUACCACUUACAAUGAUAGUGAAGGGUUUGUAUCAGGUAAUCCAAUAUCAGUAAAGAAAGUUGACCCUUCCGAUGUCAGAAAAACAACGACCCAGGAGAAAGUUACUGGCGUUAAGUGGAACUAUUAUAGAAUCGGUCAAAACGAUACGAUCGGGGUUUUUAGUUACCAUCAAAUCAAAGAGGGUGACAUCCUAACGAUUACCUCACCCACUGAAAUAGUGCAAGAAGAACUCAGAAACGGACGUUUAAAAAAGUUUGAAGAAUUCUCUUUUAUCGAAAGCGUAGUUAAGAAUAGUAAAAAUGUACCUUUUGUUAAAGUUUGUAUAACCAAUGGAAGUUGUUUUUCAGCCAUACGCUUAUAGUAAAAAGGGCCUAUUGGCCCUUUUUGUUUAUUAAAGAUUUAACGCCGAAAUACACCAACCUAAAGCCUUGAUAUAAAUCACGUUGUACACUUAUUGCUCCCCAGAAAAUCACCCAGGUUACCAGAAAAUGAAAAAGCAUCGCAUAUUUAAGCUCAAUUCCAACUGAUAAGACACCAUUUAUCGUGGCUUCAGCCAGAAACGGUGAGAAGUAAUAGAGAGCAAUAACAGGAAUGAUUGAGUAAGUCACAAAUAACAGGGUUCUCCUGAGCGUAAGGUCGUCGCUUAAUUUUGAAUUAAAAUCUAAUCCAGUGUCUUGAGAGUGUGGUAUACCUUUGAUGUUCAUAGUCGUUCCUUUAUCAAUGUAGAAAGUUAUUUUUCUAAAACUUAACAUGCUUACUGUCAUUAAGAUUUAUUGGGUAUUCGGGAUUAGUCGUAUCGUUUCGCUACUGACGUAGUUUAAAAAAAGCUUCAGGGCCUUACCGCCAUCCUCCUCGUUAUGCUGCUGGUCUAUUUUCAUGUGUAUAUUACACAGGGUGAUAAAUGCACCUGGUCGUGUGCUGUUGAGUCCAUUACUUUUCUAAACAUGAUUCAGUUUUAUAAUUAUAUAUCACAUCAUAAAUUAUAGGGCAUGGUUUCAAUGUGUUUGUUUUGAAAAUUAUUUAAUAAUCCAGACCAGUAUCAACUAUAUCGUUAAUGUUUUAUUUUAAACAUUCUGACCGGAAAGCCUGCCUGCCUUUCUCGCAAGACUCUUAAAUAACAUGACCAUGCUGCUCAUGACGGCAAACAAGGACGAGAUUGCCCCCUACCGUUCUUCUUCCCGCCAAGUGUAAAAGUAACUUUUGGCGUAUAAAGGGGUUCAGCCCUGCAGUCCUUCAUCCGGUGACUUCCAUUCUGAACCGUAAACCGGCCCGUUCUCAUCCAGAAGGUAUAUUUUGCAUCGCGUGCGCUACGUGAAAUCUGACGUACUCACCCCUCCGUUUUUUUCCAGAUUUCACGUAGCGCCACCUGUGUGAAAACCACUCCAAAAGUAACUUUUUCUCAGGUCAAAAGCCGGUCACCCACAUAUCGGGGAAAGUCACAUUAAUUUAACACAUUGAAUAAUGGUAUUUAUUCGAAGUGUUAAAAUGCCUGAAACUCAACCAAAUAGAUACCCGAUCGCCAUAAUCCUUAAAAUCUGAAGUUAUCUUUCCGGACGGAUUGUGGUGAGAUUAAUGAAAUGCUUUUUCAUUAAUCUAAAACCAGAUGCACGGAGUUAGUGUUAGCAUGCUAUCUGUUUUGCAUGUGGCAUUCACGAUGCGGUACUACUCAUAUUUUCGGCGAUAUGUGACACUGUCACGCAACUACCAUGGUUAUGAACAGGAAUUGAGCAGCGCAGUCGUGUUCAACGAGAUGGUCAGGACAGAGUUUAAUAUCCUGCAGAUUCAGAGUUGUCGGGUACAGCCGGGAAGUGUCAAACCGGCAAAGGGCCGAAUGCUCCACAUUCAACAAACCACCCCUGGUUAGUUGAAUCCUUUGCCGGUUUUCACGAAGAAUAGCAUUUACCCAGCGAGUAGUGAUCAGUCCUGCUCGACAUUUUUAUGUCCAGAUAUGAAGAGCUAAAAAAUUUCUGGUUAAAAGCAAUUUUCCUGCCCGUAUGGAAAAACGCCGGGUACCGCAGUUGUUAAGAUGGUUGUCACCUGAACAAACGGAUGAUUUUAUGAAAAUUAUUGAGGUCAGCUACGGCCCCACUGAUGGAGUAUCCAUUAGUGGUUUAUAUCUGCGAGAGACGACAACCACUCAAAAAUCCGGCGCACUUUUAGGCGGUGGACUAUCACAGUCCGGCGUAGUUCUGGGAGGUGGCGGAUACUCUGGUAGCGAAACAAAUCAGACGGGGCGAUCGGCUAUUUUUGCGCCUCCUCAGGGCAAAACAGCAGAACCGGAUAUAUCGAGAAUGCAUGAACUGUUAAUGUACCUGGCUGUGGGAUUCAUCGCAUUGAACAUUCUCACUUAUGGUGCAUAUGGAGUUCUCAUUCUCACUGACUUUGAGUUGUCAAAGACAGCAGUAGAGUUAUUUGAAAGUUCGUUUUACUUUUAUAUGAUAAUAGGCAUUGUCGCUGCCUUAUGUAUAAUGCUAAUAGCUCCAAGGGAUUAUUCUCCAGUCCAUAUGGAAAACAGGAGAAAUGAACUAAGGAAGGAUGUUUACCUUCGUCUCCGUUAUGUCGAUACUGACAAUAUCGUUUUUGAUCCCGUAACGCUAACGGGUUGCCAUGCUGACAGAGUCUAUAUUUAUUCUUUAAUUGAGAGCAUUAUCAGUUAGUUUGCAUGGGAAGGCCUUGGCAUUAUCUGGUCUUCCCUUUUCUAUUUGCCGGACUUGAUGAUAUCCAUUGGUGUUGAAUUUUAAGGUAGCGUAAUCGUAUCGCUUCUGUAAUCUAUCCAAGUUUUAUAUGCCACAUAUAAACAUGAUGCCGGUAGAUUUAAAAAAUAACAUAUCUCUAUCCCAUCUUUCAUCUUUUCCAUUAAAUGGGAUAUCCCGGCAUCUCUGAAGUAAACCAUGGAAAUAACAUACCAGACCCUUAUAAACGGCAUUGUAAGUAUGUAGUGGAAUGCAACGCUUGACACGAAAAAGACUGAAGAUGUUAAAAGAUAUAGUAUUCGUGAGAUAGUGGUUGGCGCAUAGUAGUUUACGAAGCCACUUACAACCCUUAGGGCUUAUAUUUCAUGCUGCCCCUUUAAAACCAAAGAUAACAUUCACGAAAUCAUCUUAACACUGAGGUUUUCAAAAGGAUUUUUUUUCACUCUUUGUACCCUUUCAUAUACAUUCAGUGUUUAUCCGGGUUUUUUGGUUCCUGUUGAUUUCAUAUUUAAAAACACCCCCCUUACGUAAGAAAUAAAACCUGGUAGGAUAUUCAUAUCAACUAGUCCAUUUUUUAAAUGAGGGGUUAAUUUCAUGGAAAGUACAGCACUUGUUCCUCUUGGCGUGUAUCAACACUGUGCAAUGGCUUCUGUAGCCUACGUGGAACACCGUCGAACAAUGGGCAGGAAUCUGGGGGAGCUGGCCUAUGCAAAAGCCUUUUUCAGAGCAUUAACGGGUAAGGCUCAAAUUACAUCGAGUGAUGUCCGUCAGGUCGAUGCAUCUUAUGACCCGUCAGUUCGCGGUGAGUCGACAAAAAUGGAUUACAUGCGUGCUAUCGAUCUCCUUAUUGAUACGCGUGGAGAAGUCUUUACCCUGCCGCUCUCAUGGUCUGUGGCUGUUGCGAUGUUUCCAGGCAUACAGAACCGGGUAUCACAGCGACGCGAUCACCGUGAAAAAAUUAUGGAACUGCGUGACCAGCGUAAGACCACCAGCCAUUUGCAAUCAAAAGAAAUAUCGUUCCAGAACGCUAAGACCGUUUCAAGCCAGCGCCUCAUUUUCUGCCGUCCAGGAGAGCAUAAACAAUGGCUCAGGGACUGGCACGAUGAGAUCCACGGUCAGUGUCUUCGUGAAAGCGAUAUCUACAUGAUGCUAAGAACAUGGUGGUCAAAAUUUUGGGUUACCCGAUAUCGUAGUGAUUAUAUCUGGUGCAAUUCAUUACAUGAAUUACUUGACGAAAUUGAUUAUGUCCUUAGCUCAAUGACUUUAUUGGAAUACAAUUUGUGUGUUUCAGCAUUGCCAUUGAGUAUUGCUUUUCAGUCAGAUAAAUGAACUUGUAAGUUAACUGGUGUACUUUUUAAGAAAUUACGGCAUGAUGAGCCAAUAUAUUUUUAUUGUAAUUUGUGAGUGUUUAUAUUAUAAAUUCCACGGCAUGCCGAAAACAUUCAGAAAACACCUCGGUAAUGUUUUUUGUUUUUGUUUUAAAUAAAAAUAGACUCUUGAUGCACAGUUUUUAUUUAGUAUGAUGGACUCUCUAUCCGGGCAAUUGAUUUGUAGCAAAUGUUAAUAUCGAGGUGAUUUAAAUGGCUGACUAUUAUUCAAAUUCUGCGUUUGUUAUUGAAGCUACACCAGCGCAAAGUGAAGUUCUGUUAGAAGCAAUGCAUGAGUUGUUUGAGCCUGACAAUGAUUUUAUUCAACGCAUUACAUCUGGUGAUAGCCAUGACGGUCUUUCUGAAAUGGAACGUGUUGUGCGUCACUGUGUGCUGAAUCACCCGGACAAAACUACAGUUGAAGUUAUUGAAGACUGCGAUUGGUCAUUUGAUGGUGAAAUAUGUUCUGAGGGUUUCCUUGUCCACAGUGAUUGCGGUAAUUUCAAUUCAGAGCAUGCAGCGCUUUUUGCCCAGGCUUCUCUAAUUGCCUUCGGGAAAGAUGAGCUUUUAUCUUUUCAGAUAUCUUAUACAUGCGAUAACUUCAGACGUACUGAUGGUUAUGGCGGUGCUGCCUGCGUAGUUUCCCGUGAAUUUAUUCGCUGGACGGGGAAUUACGAUUUUCUUGAAGCUGAAGAAACCGCCUUUACUGAACGCAUGCACUAUUACUUCUGUUCUUUUACUGAGGUUAUCGGUGAGCUGGAAUGUCCUGUGACUUUCAUUCUAUGUUGCCCGUCUAAUGUAGAUGCAUCUCAGCGCUAUAAUGAAAUAUUGCUUAACUAUCGAAGUGGUGGAAAAACCAAUAUCGACGGUAGCAUUAAAUUUUCCUCUUGUUCAUCUCUCAAAAAUGCCCUCCUGGAGCCUGUUACUCCGGAUGAGUACCGGGUGAUGGCAAAGUACCUUAAGGUGAUGUGAUCCACGGAGGCGGGAAUUGGUCUCCCGCCUCUUAACACACUAUUUAACUGAAACUCCGGUGACUAGAUGACAAAACAAAUUUUACCUGCUGAACUGGCCGAAAUUGUAACCGCUCUACUGGUUAAACCUGAACUGCUGGGCGAACUGGACACACGUGUCGCUCAUCAGGAGUUCAUGAAGGCCAUAGGAUGUGUUGUAGCUGAUUUCUGUGGUGGUAUCGUUAACGGGGUGACUGACGGAGAUAUAUCGAGUCCCUAUCUUUCAGAUGUCUACAGCACACCCUGUCUGCAUAUUGAAGCAGAUGACCGUCUCCCUUCGCUGGAGCAAAAUGUCUGGGCAAACUAUCACAUUGAAGGCUGGAAAGAAGCUGAUGUUCUGGAGGCUGUAUCUGUUCCUGCAACAGUGAAAUCACAGCGAGCAGAUAUUCAGGGGAUGUUAAGUAAUGCCGGUCUUGCACUGGGUAUCGAACAGCAGUUAAAACUCAAAAUGGCAGACUGGCGAAUUGCGGAAGGCUGUGAGCUGUUGCAUGAGGAAGACGGAAGGCCUUACACCGCUACCCUCCAUAUAGCAAACCAGAUAUCACUUGAACUUGAGGACGAGUCUGGUGAGCCAUCCUUUGGUGUACGGCUGGAGAUUAACCACGGUGUCCCUGCUUUGCAUCUUAACGUGGCCGGAGGUGAUAUCCUCCUGCAUAUGCAUGUAGCACAGGGUGGCUUGAUUCUGACGCCGGACCACUCCGGGGUGCAAAUUGGUAGUGCUGAGCCUGAUCGUCAUUCCUACCAUGAUGAUGCAUCCCUGCUUGUGCGGUCAUAAUCUUAAUACUAUCCCGUUGAGCCAGGUGGCUGGUUCGGCGGGACAGGUUAUCCACCAGCAUCGAAGAAAGAGUGGUUCACAUUCAGUAAAAGUAACUUUCACAAAUGGCCCCCCAAGGAAUAUCGGGGCGGGUUUACGCACUGGCGACGGGAAGCAUGCGGGCGGGGUUACAUCAGGCGGAUGUACGUCACUACCGUGACUUCUGUUUCUGUAGUGUUGUACCACUCCCGUAAAUCACAUUCCGCUGAAGGUAGAUAUCCGCGACGGAUUUACCCCCCAGUUUUUUCAGAACCCGAUUGAUAUGGUCCUGGGAUGAUCGUUUGGUGAUUAAUAAUUCAGACGCUAUGUCCACAUCGGAAUGGCCACAAAGUACGAGACGCGCUACGGUGAAUUCCUGAUUAGUCAACCGGACAAUAUUAACUGCUGGUGGACAUGCAGAGUUAUUGAUCGUUUUCAGUACUUUAGCGAUAAACACAUUCAUUUCGGUUGUGAUAUCGAUAAACUGUGAGGCAUUCUUUCGGUCACAUUCUAUUGAACUGCGCAUCAGAUAGCAGACACGUGCACCGUAUUGAUAGAGCUUCCUCAGUGAAUGUAAAUUUUCCUCACGUAGUGGGCAUUCAAUGAAAAAUACAUGGUCCUUACGGACCUUAUGGCUUCUGAGGUCAUCCGCUGAUAGUUGGUAUACGGUGAUCUCAUACUUUCUGAGUAUUAACUCAAUUCCAGCAAACAGAAACUGGUUGUCCGUAAUGACGUAAAUCAUGCUCUCUGUCACUCCAUGUAUAGUAUCCGCUCCGUCUGUGAAUGAUACACGGUGACGGUAGCUAAUACUGUCAUGAUUUUAGCGUUUAAAGCUUCCUUUUGAUCUACGUUGGUCUUUCAGAUAUGACACCAGUGAAUACACAGCGAUGAAAAGAAGUACAAUAGCGGCCAGCAGUGCAAACAGGUUAGACAUCAUGUAUCUCCGGAUGAAUGGGAACAGUAACUAAGGAAGGUGCGAACAAGUCCCUGAUAUGAGAUCAUGUUUGUCAUCUGGAGCCAUGGAACAGGGUUCAUCAUGAGUCAUCAACUUACCUUCGCCGACAGUGAAUUCAGCAGUAAGCGCCGUCAGACCAGAAAAGAGAUUUUCUUGUCCCGUAUGGAGCAGAUUCUGCCAUGGCAAAACAUGGUGGAAGUCAUCGAGCCGUUUUACCCCAAGGCUGGUAAUGGCCGGCGACCUUAUCCGCUGGAAACCAUGCUACGCAUUCACUGCAUGCAGCAUUGGUACAACCUGAGCGAUGGCGCGAUGGAAGAUGCUCUGUACGAAAUCGCCUCCAUGCGUCGGUUUGCCCGGUUAUCCCUGGAUAGCGCCUUGCCUGACCGCACCACCAUCAUGAAUUUCCGCCACCUGCUGGAGCAGCAUCAACUGGCCCGCCAAUUGUUCAAGACCAUCAAUCGCUGGCUGGCCGAAGCAGGCGUCAUGAUGACUCAAGGCACCUUGGUCGAUGCCACCAUCAUUGAGGCACCCAGCUCGACCAAGAACAAAGAGCAGCAACGCGAUCCGGAGAUGCAUCAGACCAAGAAAGGCAAUCAGUGGCACUUUGGCAUGAAGGCCCACAUUGGUGUCGAUGCCAAGAGUGGCCUGACCCACAGCCUAGUCACCACCGCGGCCAACGAGCAUGACCUCAAUCAGCUGGGUAAUCUGCUGCAUGGAGAGGAGCAAUUUGUCUCAGCCGAUGCCGGCUACCAAGGGGCGCCACAGCGCGAGGAGCUGGCCGAGGUGGAUGUGGACUGGCUGAUCGCCGAGCGCCCCGGCAAGGUAAGAACCUUGAAACAGCAUCCACGCAAGAACAAAACGGCCAUCAACAUCGAAUACAUGAAAGCCAGCAUCCGGGCCAAGGUGGAGCACCCAUUUCGCAUCAUCAAGCGACAGUUCGGCUUCGUGAAAGCCAGAUACAAGGGGUUGCUGAAAAACGAUAACCAACUGGCGAUGUUAUUCACGCUGGCCAACCUGUUUCGGGCGGACCAAAUGAUACGUCAGUGGGAGAGAUCUCACUAAAAACUGGGGAUAACGCCUUAAAUGGCGAAGAAACGGUCUAAAUAGGCUGAUUCAAGGCAUUUACGGGAGAAAAAAUCGGCUCAAACAUGAAGAAAUGAAAUGACUGAGUCAGCCGAGAAGAAUUUCCCCGCUUAUUCGCACCUUCCCUUGCGGCAGCAUUCCCGGGAUUAGGAAUUGGUUUUGCUGGGGUGGCGCUGGCCUUCGGUUUAACGGUAUUAACCAUGGCAUAUGCCGUCGGUCAUAUUUCCGGCGGACAUUUUAACCCGGCAGUGACUUUAGGUUUAUGGGCUGGAGGUCGUUUCCCGGCCAAAGACGUAAUUGGUUAUAUUAUCGCCCAAGUCGUCGGCGGUAUUAUCGCCGCCGCUAUUCUGUAUGUUGUCGCCAGCGGUAAAGCGGGCUUCGACGCCACCGCUAGCGGGUUCGCUUCGAACGGUUAUGGCGAACACUCUCCGGGCGGCUUCUCAAUGCUUUCCGCCAUUGUGAUAGAGAUUGUCCUGACAUGUGGCUUCCUGCUGGUUAUUCACGGUUCCACGGAUAAAAGCGCUCCUGCCGGCUUCGCCCCUAUCGCCAUUGGACUGGCACUGACGCUUAUUCACCUGAUCAGCAUUCCGGUCACCAACACGUCGGUAAACCCGGCGCGUAGCACUGCGGUAGCGAUUUUUCAGGGCGGUUGGGCAUUGCAACAAUUAUGGUUAUUCUGGGUCAUGCCAAUCAUUGGUGGGAUACUGGGCGGUUUAAUUUAUCGCACUUUGCUCAGCAGUGAUAAAUGAAUAAUUAAAAACUCUAUACGACUGCAGAUCAUUCCAUAUUCACGCCAGCCAUCGAAAAAAUCUUCAGUCCUCCCCACUCUGCAGGCCUUGCAUACAACUGUAUGGGUGGGGAGUGGGGGGUUAAACCGUACAAUUAUCCAGCCUCGUAUAGUUGAUCGAGUGUGUCGCAAUUUCGAGCACCUCAACAUGAUCCAAAGCAUCGCUUUUUAUCACAUAUCCCUCUCCAAGGACAUAAUUAAGCAUUUAACUUUCAAAUAUAUUUCAAGCCACUUAUUCCUUUUAAACCCCAUUAACUUCAUUACUAUUGAUGGCUCAACUCCCAAGAUCAGCAUAUUCAUUGCAAAUGCGUGUUUAAUUGCAUCCGGCGUGACUUCUACUGGAAAAAUCACGCCAUCCAAUCUGGCAUGUUUAAUAGCAUUAUCUAUCCAUGAUGUCGCAAUGAAAUUGUCCACAUCCCAUAUCCUCCUAGGUUUGGUGGAAUCGCCGCAAGUAUUACCCGCUAUUUUCAAAGUAGCAAUCAAUAACUUAACUUGAGCUAUAUAAUAUGGGGAAAGUAAAGGAAUUUUCCGGCGGGGAGACAAUCUAUUAUCGUUAUCUAACGACAAUGAUUCAGUUUCAGAACUUAAUACUUUAACAUAUGGGCGAGGAGAUUUAAAAACAAAAGACUUCCGUUCUAAAUGAAUCACUUCAGUUAAUGAAGCACCAGUAUUCCAUAAAGUAGAAACAAAAGUUCGUACACUCAACUCAGGCGAAUAAUGCAAAACAAUGUUAAUCUCUGUGGGUAAAAUAUAUGGAGGAAAACCCAAUUCAAGGGCCUGUUUACGAAACCCCUCCCCCAGAUACAACCCCUUCGGAUUAAAAGCCCCUGAAGUAAGGAAAAUACUUUCAAGUUCUUUUUUAUUUAAUGGCUUAUUAUCCAUCAUAUCUUAUCCAUCAUAUCGACACAAACACCGGCCACCAAGGCCGGUGUUUGGUAAAUAAUUAAAACUGAUAUACUAAACCAAGUGCGACAAUGUCAUCAGUAGAGAUGCCAGCAGCACUGGUGAAACGAUUGUCAUCCACCAAAUUGAUUUUAUAAUCAACAUAAGCAGACAUGUUUUUGUUGAAGUAGUAGGUCGCGGCUACAUCAACAUAUUUCAGCAGAUCCUGAUCGCCGAAACCUUCGAUGUCUUUACCUUUGGACUGCAGGUAUGCCACGGACGGACGCAGACCGAAGUCGAACUGGUACUGUGCAACCACUUCAAAGUUUUGUGCUUUAUUAGCAUAACCACUGACGGAAUCACCACUGAAACGAGUCGCAUUAUAAGUUUGGGUAUACUCCGCAGCCAAGUAAAUAUUGUUCGCGUCAUAUUUCAAGCCACCAGUGUAAGUUUCUGCGUAUUUACCUCGACCAACCAGACCUGCAGCAUUCUGGUCAUCAGUUCGUUUAGAAUGAGAGUAUGCAAAACCUGCGCUGAUGCCUUCCCAAAUAUCAUAAGUGAUCGCUGUUCCGAAGCCAUCACCGUUCUGUUUGUUCCAGCCGCGACCAUUGUUAGUCUGGCCUUCACCACUUACACUACCGUUUUUACCCUGGUACUGCAGCGCAAAGUUCAGGCCGUCAACCAGACCGAAGAAGUCAGAGUUACGAUAGGUUGCAACACCAUUAGCACGCUGCUGCAUGAAGUUGUCAGAGCCAUAAGUGUCACCGCCAAACUCUGGCAGAACGUCAGUCCAGGAAGUUACGUCGUAGACAACGCCGUAGUUACGACCGUAGUCGAAAGAGCCCACGUCGCCGAAUUUCAGACCAGCAAAUGCCAGACGAGUCCAGGACUGCUUGUCAGAACCUUCAACGUUGUUCGCCUGAACGUUGUAUUCCCACUGACCGUAGCCAGUCAGUUGGUCAUUAAUCUGGGUUUCGCCCUUCACGCCGAUACGCAUGUAGGUCUGAUCGCCAUCGACGCUCUUGUCAUCAGAAAAGUAAUGCAAGCCAUCAAUUUUACCGUACAGGUCUAAUUUGUUGCCAUCUUUGUUAUAAAUUUCAGCCGCAUUUGCUGCACCUGCUACCAGCAGAGCCGGUACCAAGAGGGAUAGUACUUUAACUUUCAUGGUUGAACCCUCGUUUUAUAUUUGCCACUGCGUAUCGGGCUGUCAUUGUAUAAUUAUCUAUACACAAAAAAAUCCAGCCUUCUCAUGCUGUAAGCUAGUUAAAAGUUCCCUGUGAAUACACCUACAUUUUGUAACAUAUUGUAAAAGGAAUGCAUAACACGUCAUCUCGUGUCUCAUAACCAAAACACAUAGCAAUAGGAAUGGACAUGCCCUGAGGGGCUAUACAGAUGCCAGUAAGCAUGAAAAAGAACAAAUUGGCAGAGUUAUCCUGGAGAUGUUCGAAGAGGCUGAUAUGUGGAUGUCUGGAGAAUAAAAUUAGCGAUACCAAUCAUGCAUUUGAUGCCUUCAGCUCUGCAAUGAUGUUUUGCAAUUGCUCCAUUUUGCCAGCUAAAUAUUUCACCGCGCUGAUCGCAUCCAUCAGCAGCGGAUUGGUAUCGAGUUGCAAGCGAUCAUCGUCCACUCUCUCGCCGUUGAGCAUAACCACAGCGCUGAUAAUGGCGGUCACGCGGCUCAUGACAUGAUUAUUCCAACAGCCAGAAACCACGGCCACGCAUCAUUACCAUCUAAGGCAAGAAACGCAGCAAUGACGAAGCAAAUCAGAUUCAUUUCACACCAUCCAGACAGAGCUGCUUUUCCGCUGCGCGACGAGUCACCAGGCCGGGAAGGAUUUUUCCUCCGUCGUAUACCCCAGCGUGGGAACUGGUUGCAGGCACUAGUUAUCUUUCCCUGUCGCAGGUAAUUAAACAGAGUUGAUUUCUGCAUACUGGCGCAACCAGCGUUAAACGUGAUCGACGUUACAGCAGAAAAUGUAUUGUCGCUUAGUUGUCGUCCAUUGCCGUAGGUAUUGACGCAGCGCUCAGCCGCAAGGAUGUUUCGCUCCCGGUCUGCGGCUAUCUGCUAAUCAGUUUUGCACACACCGCCUUUAACGUCAUGCGUGUUAAGGCACAGCCCUGAUGUAGGUAGUGAUUAUGCUAAUAGUAACGGACAUAAAAAAGCCUGAAUCGCCACGGAUAAUCUAAAUAGCUGCGCCUAAUACCGCUACACUUUUGCCUGACCAUGUUUUCCUCCGGGGAAUGGGCUGGCGGUUUCCAUAAAAUGGCGGACCUUUUUCAGUAACUGCCACAUUGAGCGGCACUGAUGAUUACGGGUUAUCGUGUCAUGAAGUGCCUGCCAUAGCUGUUCCACAUGAUUCACCCACGGCGAGUAAACCGGCUGGUAAAUUACCCUGAACUUGGGAUUUGCUUUCAACCAGCGCUGUGUUUCGCGGCUUUUAUGGAUAAUGUAGUUAUCAACGAUCAGCGUGAUUGUUUUCGCCCGCCGAUAAGUGGCUUUCAGGUGCUUCAGCAGAGCGAUAAACAGCGCUGAACUUUUGCUGUUGCCGCCCACGUAGCUGACUUUACCCGUGCCACUGUGCAGUGCGCCGGCCAGAUAGUAUUUUUCGUUCUGCCCCGGCGUCACUACCCGUUUCUGCUGUCCGCGCAACUGCCAGUCCGCACCGAUUUUAGGAUUAAGGUGGAUAUCCACUUCAUCUUCAUAAAAUACCGGAUGCUCUGCGCUGCAUUCAUCCAGCGCUUUGUGGAUUACCGCCAUCUUUUCAUCUUUAUGUGGGUCACGGAUACGCAGAGUUGGCGCGGCCCUGCGCCAUACAAGCCCCGCAGAUGGCAACCAGCGGCGAACGGUUCCUGCAUGUAACUGGCAACCGGUUAUCUCAUUGAUUUUUAUUGCCAGUAAUUCGGUGCUCCAGCGUGAACGUUGAUAACCAAAAUCGCCGGGAGAAUGCUUUAUCAGCUCACGUAACAGGGUGCAGAUAUGUUCAAAAGGCCAGCGUCGGGAGCGCCCUGCGGGUAAGGAUUUCAGGCCUUCAAUACCUGAGUGCGUAAACCAGUUAAUCCAGCGACCAACGGAUGAACGGGCACAACAGAGAGUUCUGGCAACAUCGCUGACCCGUUCACCCCGAUGAAGCAUCAGCAUGGCCGUGAGUCUGCGGGCAUGAUUUUUAUCACGCGUUUUAUGAAUAGCUUUCUGCAUCAGGCGUCGUUCGCCACGGGGUAUUGGUACUAUGAUCGGCAUCGCUCAGUCCGGUUGGUGAUUUUGGUUGGUUUGGCGAUUGAUCAGAUCGCACAAUCCGGGCUGAGUUCCCUUUCAGUGAUCUACUAUUCCGCGCAGCUAUUUAGACACUUCCGAGCCGUUGAUAAUACUGGUUUUCAUAUUCUGUCGGUGACAUAUGAUCGCUAGAACCAUGCCGACGCUUAGGAAGGUGCGAACAAGUCCCUGAUAUGAGAUCAUGUUUGUCAUCUGGAGCCAUGGAACAGGGUUCAUCAUGAGUCAUCAACUUACCUUCGCCGACAGUGAAUUCAGCAGUAAGCGCCGUCAGACCAGAAAAGAGAUUUUCUUGUCCCGUAUGGAGCAGAUUCUGCCAUGGCAAAACAUGGUGGAAGUCAUCGAGCCGUUUUACCCCAAGGCUGGUAAUGGCCGGCGACCUUAUCCGCUGGAAACCAUGCUACGCAUUCACUGCAUGCAGCAUUGGUACAACCUGAGCGAUGGCGCGAUGGAAGAUGCUCUGUACGAAAUCGCCUCCAUGCGUCGGUUUGCCCGGUUAUCCCUGGAUAGCGCCUUGCCUGACCGCACCACCAUCAUGAAUUUCCGCCACCUGCUGGAGCAGCAUCAACUGGCCCGCCAAUUGUUCAAGACCAUCAAUCGCUGGCUGGCCGAAGCAGGCGUCAUGAUGACUCAAGGCACCUUGGUCGAUGCCACCAUCAUUGAGGCACCCAGCUCGACCAAGAACAAAGAGCAGCAACGCGAUCCGGAGAUGCAUCAGACCAAGAAAGGCAAUCAGUGGCACUUUGGCAUGAAGGCCCACAUUGGUGUCGAUGCCAAGAGUGGCCUGACCCACAGCCUAGUCACCACCGCGGCCAACGAGCAUGACCUCAAUCAGCUGGGUAAUCUGCUGCAUGGAGAGGAGCAAUUUGUCUCAGCCGAUGCCGGCUACCAAGGGGCGCCACAGCGCGAGGAGCUGGCCGAGGUGGAUGUGGACUGGCUGAUCGCCGAGCGCCCCGGCAAGGUAAGAACCUUGAAACAGCAUCCACGCAAGAACAAAACGGCCAUCAACAUCGAAUACAUGAAAGCCAGCAUCCGGGCCAAGGUGGAGCACCCAUUUCGCAUCAUCAAGCGACAGUUCGGCUUCGUGAAAGCCAGAUACAAGGGGUUGCUGAAAAACGAUAACCAACUGGCGAUGUUAUUCACGCUGGCCAACCUGUUUCGGGCGGACCAAAUGAUACGUCAGUGGGAGAGAUCUCACUAAAAACUGGGGAUAACGCCUUAAAUGGCGAAGAAACGGUCUAAAUAGGCUGAUUCAAGGCAUUUACGGGAGAAAAAAUCGGCUCAAACAUGAAGAAAUGAAAUGACUGAGUCAGCCGAGAAGAAUUUCCCCGCUUAUUCGCACCUUCCCUAAAUUACCCUACCACUAAGAAAAUUCCUAUCAAUGUUGAUUUCUUUACAUAUACCCACCUGAUGAUGGUAUGUGCAAUACAUUAAUAUUUAGUGUUUAUGAAAAGAGUCUGAGAUAACGAAAAUGAGGGUUUAUAACCUGGGUGAGUAUUAAUUGCCUCUAAAAAACAGCUCAGAGAGGCGCGUUAAAAUUUUUCUAUUAUUGCCGGGACCGUCGCCAACGGCGCGAUGUAUUCCGUAUUAAAACUGUCAAGAGCUGCGAAGAAUGAGCCAGUGACAGCGGGCAAGUCAUCGAGAAAACCGGGAGUACGUGACGAACCUUUAGUUUGCUGAGCGAAGCGAACAUCAUAAAAAGUAACUUUCUUCACCUUCUGUGGCCGAUUACCAAUAUUAUUGCCUGAAUGGUAUAGUCAAACCUGUAGGAAGCUGUUCCCCCAUUUUACCAGGAAGAAGAUUACGAUGAAUGUCAUUCAGUCCCGUAUGCUCUCUGUAUUUGAUUUUGACGGCACACUAACACGGCAUGACAGCUUUAUCCCUUUUCUGCGGUUUGCCUUUGGCAAUCGGGCUUUUUCCCGUCGUAUCGUCACAAUGGCUCUUCCCACGUUACGCUGUAUGGGGAAGAAGAUGACACGUGAUGAACUGAAAGAAAUUCUCAUCACAACCUUCCUUACUGGGGUUGACGAGAAAUGGCUAUCCAAAAAUGCUGAGAAAUUUUGCCAGGUCUACUGGAGUCGGCUUAUGCGUCCUGCAGGCCUGAUGGCCGUGGCGAAUGAAGUGAAUUCCGGCGCGGAAGUGACAUUAUGUUCUGCUUCACCAGAAAUGGUACUCAGGCCAUUUGCCGACAGGCUGGGCAUCAAAGUGAUAGGCACACAGCUUGAGGUCAAAGAAGGGAUACUUACCGGGCGUAUUAGUGGGCAUAACUGCCGGUGUAGCCAGAAAAUUAUCCGGCUGGAAAAAGAGUACGGUCCUUUGAAAAAUUAUCAUCUGCGGGCAUGGGGAGACACACGAGGGGAUUACGAACUACUGUCAGCUGCAGCCGACCCUCACUGGCGGCACUUCCAUGCGACCUGGCGUCGGGGAAAAGUUCCUUUCGAACUACCUAUCCGGUAAAUUAUCGCCCCUUUCCGGGGCGAAGGCUCACAGAAUACCCGCUAUUUUUGCCUGAUCCAGCCAGUCUUUAAACUCUUCCAGAAGUUGCUCGUACAGCUCCUCAUCCUUCACCGUUGCGAAGUUAUCGAUGGCAAAGAAGUUGCUGUUAUCGAUUCGCCGAUCGCUGAAGGUAUCCAGUUUUUCGAGAAUACCGUAAUUUGAACCGCCGAGGCCCACAAAUUUCCAAAAAAUGGGGUAGUUGGCCGAGCGGCGUAUGGCUUCUUUGAUUUCACGGGUUUUACUAAUCCCGCCAUCCGUAAUGCAGACAACAUAAACGGGCAGUAUGCUGUCCUUGAAGAAGUCGAUCACCUCAUUCAUGACCGGCGGCUCGUUGUUUGUCCCGCCCAGGCCCGGAAGGAUUUCCCAGGCAGAUCGUUUACCCGUGUUCUGGAUAGCCGCAACAUAUCCGUCAAGAUUGUCCAGGGUGACGUCAGGGUAUUUCUUGUGACGCUCAGCAAAGCCCCACACAUCCAUCGUACCGUCAUCAUCGAACUGGACUGACAGGACGGCUAUACGGUCGAGAACGGACUGCACAUGUCCCUUUUUAAACUGACCGGUCAUAGAGCCUGAGGCAUCAAGAACAAAAGCGACUCUGGCUUCAACCGUCUCCAGCUUGUGUUUGGCAAGAGAAACACUGGCUUUUUUUGCCAGACUGAUAAGCGCGGGGGCUUUCCCUUCCAGUUUUUUCUCCAGACUGAUCCGGGCUGGUUGCGUUGGGGUAUCUUCUGGUUGUGCGACAUCGACACCAUAGCUGACGGCAAGUGGCUCCAGUCCACCGUUAAACCCCUGCCCCUGAGCACGGAGUUUCCAUUGCCCCUGAUGACGGUAAAUCUCGCCCAUAAUCACCGCUUUCUCACUACGGCCCUUCAGGUCGACAUUGAAUUCAGCGAUGCCGGUUGCCGUCAGCCGGAGUUGCGAGAGUCCGCUGAUCGUGUCAUUGCCAUCUAUCACCAGCGUUAUAGCGAUUUUCUGAAUGGUUUCGGGAAUGCGUUCCAGCGCAAGCUGAAGGUUCGCAUGCUGGUGGCCGGGAAGCAGUUUUACAGCUCCACCGGCAGCACUCCGAUUGUUGUAGAAGAUAAAGUCUGCGUCACCGGUGACUUUCCCGUCAGCAUUCAGCAUAAACAGGCAGGUUUCUGGUUCACUACUAAAACUGUACGAUGACAGAUAAUCAAGUCUGAGCGUCAGGUCCGUAGUAUGUAGUGGAAUAUUCUGUCCUGAUUGUAAUUGCAUCUGAUCCCUCUUUAAUUUUGAGCAAUAUUCAUUCAGUAAGCUGAUAUAAAAAACCCCGGACAGGCCGGGGUUUCGUUGGGGUUAUUUAUCAGAUGUUGAUGCCAUGCUGUUGCGCCAGCGGGUAUAGGAAGUAUAAACCACCUUUUUGCUCCUCAUCCGAAGUAUCUUACCUGAAAUUCCCUCACUCGUUUACCGCUCAAGCCCCAAUUUUAACUGCCGGUCCAGCCUAAACCGCUCUAAUAAGGUUCGAUUUGGCGGUAAAAUCUCUAGCCUGAUAGCUCGAGAGAUACAAACUGCCCCACCGCCCCGUUUAAAAGUUGGCAGUGUUGAGCAGUGUUGGAUUUGGGGUCGUCAGUCAAAGAGACGACUCUGUGAUGGAUCGAACAGGCUGGGAGUCAGUGGCGGCGCUCGUUCUGGUGGCAGCUCACGCUGCUUGGCGGCAUUCGCCUUGGCUGUUUUCUGUUUCAGAUGCUUGAGAAUCUGCUCAAUGACCUUCGGAUCUUCGAUGCUGGCAAUCACUUUGACGUGACCGCCGCAGUGUUCGCAGACUUCAAUAUCAAUAUUGAAGACUCGCUUGAGGCGUUGCAUCCAGGUCAUGGCGCGGUGGCGCUCUGCAGGACUCUUGUCACGCCAGUUAGUAUCGAGACCUUCCGAUUUGUCGGGCUUCUUGCCCCGCUUGGCGGGUGUUACUUGAACUCGGUGUUUGCUGUUCGGUGCAAAGACGCCGUGGAAGCGUGUGAGGUUGACUCGCGGCUUAGGUACCAACGCAGCGAGUUUGGCGAUGAAGUCCAGCGGCUCGAAGAUCACAUGGGUGGUGCCAUUGCGGUACGGAGUUUUGAGCUCGUAACGCACCUGCCCAUUGGCGGUUAAUGCCAGACGUUUUUCUGAAACCGCUGGCCGACUAAUGUAGCGACACAAGCGCUCAAGCUUAUCCCGCUGAUGCGCUUCGGCCAUCACACCGGCGUGUAGCGAGAAACCAGCAUGGUUGGCUACUCGACUGCUUGAGUCGGCUUUAUCCUCACGCCCUGGCAAGGUUUGCAGGGUGAAGACUUUGCGCCCUUGCUGGGGGCCGACGGCAAUGCGAUACGUAACCGAAGCACCAUGUAAUUGAGUCAGCGUAUCGUCUUCGCCCUCUUCCAGUGUCAACCACGUAUUCUCGGCAUCACGCUCCAAAAUCCCACGCUUUUCCAUGCAGCGAGCGAUGCGAUGGCUGAGGGUGUGAGCGAGCGUAUUCAGCUCAUCGUAAGUGGGUGCCUUGACACGAUGGAAGCGUUGCUUGCCAUAGUCAUCUUCGGCAUAGACACCAUCGAGAAACAGCAUGUGGUAGUGGACAUUGAGAUUUAGCGCGGAGCCAAAGCGUUGGAUAAGAGUCACUGAGCCAGUUUGUGCAGAGGCUUUGGUGUAACCGGCUUUUUUGAUCAGAUGAGUUGAGAGUGUACGAUAGACGAUACUCAAGACCUGGCCCAUCAGCUGGGGAUGGCGAGCCAGCAAAAAGCGUAGCUGGAAAGGAAAGCUGAGCACCCACUGGCGAAUGGGCUCCUUGGGGAAGACUUCGUCUAUCAGCAGCGCCGCACUCUCGGCCAUCCGGCGGGCACCGCAGCUAGGGCAAAAGCCGCGUCGUUUACAGCUGAAGGCGACCAGACGCUCGUGAUGACAAUCCUCGCAGCGAACCCGCAUGAAACCAUACUCCAGACGGCCACAUUGGAGGAGGUCGUUGAAUUCUUGUUGGAUGUAGCGAGGCAGGUGUUGACCUUGGGCUUCGAGUGAGGCUUUGAAGGCUGGGUAGUGCUGCUCAACCAGCUGGUAGAGCAGCGUCUGGUCGGGUUGGUGGCGUUCGUAACCGUUUGUUUGAGUGGGCGAUUGACUCGCCGUGGCGUUCCUUGCCAGCGACAUGGGUAUCCUCCGCUGAUACUGUGGUUAUGUACAGUAUCAGCGGCUUGCGUUCAGACGUCCAGUCUGGCCCUAGACAUCGCUAAAUGCUUAACCCGCAAUAGCCCUCACGAGUUGUUAUCAGCCACUACCGGUUGAGCGAGAAGGUUUUGGGUUCAGGGUGCUAUUGCUCCACCAAUCACAAUACUGAAGCCCCAACUGUUAUCAGUUGGGGCUUUUUCUUGUCUGUUUGCGGCGGUUGCGUUUUAUCGGUAGUCGUCGAGCUCUGCACCAUCCCACAUAAGAGCUUAACGGUGCGAUCUUCAACGCCAUCACACAAAACUUUCUUUUUCACGCACAGUCAACUUAUUGGAUGUUUUAUUAACAACCCAAAAGGAGAUAUUUAGCGGGCGGCCGGAAGGUGAAUGCUAGGCAUGAUCUAACCCUCGGUCUCUGGCGUCGCGACUGCGAAAUUUCGCGAGGGUUUCCGAGAAGGUGAUUGCGCUUCGCAGAUCUCCAGGCGCGUGGGUGCGGACGUAGUCAGCGCCAUUGCCGAUCGCGUGAAGUUCCGCCGCAAGGCUCGCUGGACCCAGAUCCUUUACAGGAAGGCCAACGGUGGCGCCCAAGAAGGAUUUCCGCGACACCGAGACCAAUAGCGGAAGCCCCAACGCCGACUUCAGCUUUUGAAGGUUCGACAGCACGUGCAGCGAUGUUUCCGGUGCGGGGCUCAAGAAAAAUCCCAUCCCCGGAUCGAGGAUGAGCCGGUCGGCAGCGACCCCGCUCCGUCGCAAGGCGGAAACCCGCGCCUCGAAGAACCGCACAAUCUCGUCGAGCGCGUCUUCGGGUCGAAGGUGACCGGUGCGGGUGGCGAUGCCAUCCCGCUGCGCUGAGUGCAUAACCACCAGCCUGCAGUCCGCCUCAGCAAUAUCGGGAUAGAGCGCAGGGUCAGGAAAUCCUUGGAUAUCGUUCAGGUAGCCCACGCCGCGCUUGAGCGCAUAGCGCUGGGUUUCCGGUUGGAAGCUGUCGAUUGAAACACGGUGCAUCUGAUCGGACAGGGCGUCUAAGAGCGGCGCAAUACGUCUGAUCUCAUCGGCCGGCGAUACAGGCCUCGCGUCCGGAUGGCUGGCGGCCGGUCCGACAUCCACGACGUCUGAUCCGACUCGCAGCAUUUCGAUCGCCGCGGUGACAGCGCCGGCGGGGUCUAGCCGCCGGCUCUCAUCGAAGAAGGAGUCCUCGGUGAGAUUCAGAAUGCCGAACACCGUCACCAUGGCGUCGGCCUCCGCAGCGACUUCCACGAUGGGGAUCGGGCGAGCAAAAAGGCAGCAAUUAUGAGCCCCAUACCUACAAAGCCCCACGCAUCAAGCUUUUGCCCAUGAAGCAACCAGGCAAUGGCUGUAAUUAUGACGACGCCGAGUCCCGACCAGACUGCAUAAGCAACACCGACAGGGAUGGAUUUCAGAACCAGAGAAAGAAAAUAAAAUGCGAUGCCAUAACCGAUUAUGACAACGGCGGAAGGGGCAAGCUUAGUAAAGCCCUCGCUAGAUUUUAAUGCGGAUGUUGCGAUUACUUCGCCAACUAUUGCGAUAACAAGAAAAAGCCAGCCUUUCAUGAUAUAUCUCCCAAUUUGUGUAGGGCUUAUUAUGCACGCUUAAAAAUAAUAAAAGCAGACUUGACCUGAUAGUUUGGCUGUGAGCAAUUAUGUGCUUAGUGCAUCUAACGCCGCCAUAAACGGCGACAGGGUGGCGCGCCUAUUGCGCAUAAAAUGGCGAAGCCAUGCGCAACAGGCGCGGAAUCUCUGGCGUCCGGUUUGAUGGCUUUGUUAUGCAAAGGACUAGUCUUCAAUGACGUGUAAACCACGGCGCUUUAAGUCCUCCAACGAAUCCAACAUUCCCCUUAUUAAUUCAACAGGAUGCCCCUCCCAGUCUUCAACAACGCCAACAAUUCUCAAGGGUUCGCAGGUUCUAUAGGACUGUGUUGGAUUACCGGGAAAUCUUUUGUUCGUAAGAUUCGGAUCGUCUUCGAACGGUCCUGUUGGCUCAACUAUGUAUAUGUAGCCGCGACCCUCGAGGCCAGACAGUGACAUAGCAAGUUCAGCUCCCCAAACUGCUGGCUCCAUCAAGGCUGAAAAGUAGAUGUGCUUAAGAAUACGACCGUCCUCGAAAUGAGAGAUGAACCCUGUGGUUAGCAAGUCACCAAUCGCCAAAUUGGCUUUGGUUCCAUGAUAGAACGGUCCUUGCACCUGCUUGUAAUUAUCAUGAGAGAUGGGAAUCCAAUCUUUUACCAUUUUAAGACCCUUAAUUGUUGGGAUUUGGCUGCAUAACGCCUGAAAUAAGCCGUGCCGCGAAGCGGCAUCGGCUUGAUUGAAUUGUUAGACGGCAAACUCGAGCCAAUACUUGUGCAGGCCAACAAUAUUAGACGAGCACAGCAUGGGCAUUGCCGCUUUGAUCUUCUCCAGUGACCAAUUCCACCACUCCAUCUCCAGAAGCAAUGAAAUUUCCUCAUCGGUGAAGCGUUUCUUAAUCUUCUUAGCGGGAUUGCCGCCAACGAUAGCGUAAGGCUCCACAUCUUUUGUCACCAACGAGCGGCUGCCUAUCACCGCACCGUGCCCGAUCUUGAUUCCGGGCAUGACCAUUGCCUCAGAGCCGAUCCAAACGUCAUUGCCAAUGACAGUAUUACCUGCUUUUUGGAAGGCAUCGAGUGCGCUUGAGAAUGCAGGUUCUUCCUGCAUAUAAAAGAACGGGAAAGAUGAUGCCCAGUCGUACCGAUGCCCCUGAUUGCCAGCCAUGAUAAAGGAAGCCCCACUCCCGAUAGAGCAGAAACUACCGAUGAUCAACUUAUCAACGUCAUCACGGUCCGGAAACAGAUACCGUGCGCAGUCAUCGAAUGAGUGCCCAUGAUAGUAGCCAGAGUAAUAGCUGUACCGCCCAACUUUGAUAUUGGGGUUCUUCACUUGCUCAGAAAGCAGCUUGCCUUUGAAGGGGCUAUCAAAGUAGUUGGUCAUAAGAGAUCCCGCGGUCUGUGACUUUGCCGUCUAACGUUUGAAAUAAGGGGCGCCGAGCGCCAGCGAGGGGAGCCAAAAGCUUGCUUUUGGCCGUCCCGACUUGAUUGAAGGGUUGGGCGAUUUUGCCAUUAGAUUUUUUAUAAAUUUAGUGUGUUUAGAAUGGUGAUCGCAUUUUUCUUGGCUUUUAUGCUUGAUGUUAAAUUCGACCCCAAGUUUCCUGUAAGUGCGGACACAAAAACAUAUUUAUGUCCUGAUUUGCUUAUAAUAAACCCUUCAAACCAUCCGUUUUGUAAGGUUCUAUUUGCUGUGAAUCCUGCACCAGUUUUCCCAUACAGUUUUGUACUAUUAUCCAGAUCUUGUAGAUACAUGUUCUCUAUGGUGUUUUCUAUGGCUGAGUUUUUAACUGGGAGAUUGUGAUUAAUAAUUUUACGCAGGAAUUGAAUUUGUUCUUCUGGUGAAAUUUUUAAGCUACUUUCGAGCCAUGCUUCUGUUAAUCCGUUGUUUCUUUCUUUAUCUCCAGAGAAGUCUUGAUUUCCAUAAUCAAAAUCUUUGAGAUAAUUCUUGAUUUUAUUUAAUCCAAUUUUUUGGGUUAUUUCUUGCGAAACCCAAACAACAGAAAAUUGCAUCCACGUCUUUGGUGUAUGAUUGCUGUUCCAGAUCUCCAUUCCUUUGGGGGUUUUAUCCCAUUUGAAUAUGGUUUUCUGAUCUAUUAUUUCCGCAUCAAAUGCCAUAAGUGAUAAUGCGAUCUUGAAAGUUGAAUCUGGUGCCAUUUGCGUUGCACACUUUGCUUUAUUGAAUUGAGCAAUUUCAGCGUUUGUGGAUGCAUCGUAAAGUAAAAAACAACCUUCAGUUCCUUCAAAUAAUGGAGAUGCAACAGUAGAGAUAUCUGUUGAUGCACUGGCGCUGCUGUAGAUAAUAUUUGCAAUUAUUAAAAAAAUAGCGAAGUUGAUAUGUAUUGUGUUUUUCAUAAUAAGUAUUGGUUUGGUAAAGGGCUUAAUUUUAACGGCUAACAAUUAAUGAGGCUCCGGGUUCGCCCAACGUUUGACAUGAGGGGCGGCCAAGGGCGCCAGCCCUUGGACGUCCCCCUCGAUGGAAGGGUUAGGCAUCACUGCGUGUUCGCUCGAAUGCCUGGCGUGUUUGAACCAUGUACACGGCUGGACCAUAUGGGGUGGUUACGGUACCUUGCCUCUCAAACCCCGCUUUCUCGUAGCAUCGGAUCGCUCGCAAGUUGCUCGGCGACGGGUCCGUUUGGAUCUUGGUGACCUCGGGAUCAUUGAACAGCAACUCAACCAGAGCUCGAACCAGCUUGGUUCCCAAGCCUUUGCCCAGUUGUGAUGCAUUCGCCAGUAACUGGUCUAUUCCGCGUACUCCUGGAUCGGUUUCUUCUUCCCACCGUCCGUCCCCGCUUCCAAGAGCAACGUACGACUGGGCAUACCCAAUCGGCUCUCCAUUCAGCAUUGCAAUGUAUGGAGUGACGGACUCUUGCGCUAAAACGCUUGGCAAGUACUGUUCCUGUACGUCAGCAAGUGUCGGGCGUGCUUCUUCUCCGCCCCACCACUCGACGAUAUGAGAUCGAUUUAGCCACUCAUAGAGCAUCGCAAGGUCAUGCUCAGUCAUGAGGCGCAGUGUGACGGAAUCGUUGCUGUUGGUCACGAUGCUGUACUUUGUGAUGCCUAACUUUGUUUUUGCGUUGCUCAUGAUGUCUAACUCCCAAUUUGUGUAGGGCUUAUUAUGCACGCUUAAAAAUAAUAAAAGCAGACUUGACCUGAUAGUUUGGCUGUGAGCAAUUAUGUGCUUAGUGCAUCUAACUUUGUUUUAGGGCGACUGCCCUGCUGCGUAACAUCGUUGCUGCUCCAUAACAUCAAACAUCGACCCACGGCGUAACGCGCUUGCUGCUUGGAUGCCCGAGGCAUAGACUGUACAAAAAAACAGUCAUAACAAGCCAUGAAAACCGCCACUGCGCCGUUACCACCGCUGCGUUCGGUCAAGGUUCUGGACCAGUUGCGUGAGCGCAUACGCUACUUGCAUUACAGUUUACGAACCGAACAGGCUUAUGUCCACUGGGUUCGUGCCUUCAUCCGUUUCCACGGUGUGCGUCACCCGGCAACCUUGGGCAGCAGCGAAGUCGAGGCAUUUCUGUCCUGGCUGGCGAACGAGCGCAAGGUUUCGGUCUCCACGCAUCGUCAGGCAUUGGCGGCCUUGCUGUUCUUCUACGGCAAGGUGCUGUGCACGGAUCUGCCCUGGCUUCAGGAGAUCGGAAGACCUCGGCCGUCGCGGCGCUUGCCGGUGGUGCUGACCCCGGAUGAAGUGGUUCGCAUCCUCGGUUUUCUGGAAGGCGAGCAUCGUUUGUUCGCCCAGCUUCUGUAUGGAACGGGCAUGCGGAUCAGUGAGGGUUUGCAACUGCGGGUCAAGGAUCUGGAUUUCGAUCACGGCACGAUCAUCGUGCGGGAGGGCAAGGGCUCCAAGGAUCGGGCCUUGAUGUUACCCGAGAGCUUGGCACCCAGCCUGCGCGAGCAGCUGUCGCGUGCACGGGCAUGGUGGCUGAAGGACCAGGCCGAGGGCCGCAGCGGCGUUGCGCUUCCCGACGCCCUUGAGCGGAAGUAUCCGCGCGCCGGGCAUUCCUGGCCGUGGUUCUGGGUUUUUGCGCAGCACACGCAUUCGACCGAUCCACGGAGCGGUGUCGUGCGUCGCCAUCACAUGUAUGACCAGACCUUUCAGCGCGCCUUCAAACGUGCCGUAGAACAAGCAGGCAUCACGAAGCCCGCCACACCGCACACCCUCCGCCACUCGUUCGCGACGGCCUUGCUCCGCAGCGGUUACGACAUUCGAACCGUGCAGGAUCUGCUCGGCCAUUCCGACGUCUCUACGACGAUGAUUUACACGCAUGUGCUGAAAGUUGGCGGUGCCGGAGUGCGCUCACCGCUUGAUGCGCUGCCGCCCCUCACUAGUGAGAGGUAGGGCAGCGCAAGUCAAUCCUGGCGGAUUCACUACCCCUGCGCGAAGGCCAUCGGUGCCGCAUCGAACGGCCGGUUGCGGAAAGUCCUCCCUGCGUCCGCUGAUGGCCGGCAGCAGCCCGUCGUUGCCUGAUGGAUCCAACCCCUCCGCUGCUAUAGUGCAGUCGGCUUCUGACGUUCAGUGCAGCCGUCUUCUGAAAACGACAGUCAGAAUAGAGUCUGCUUUCCCAUUUUUUGACACAUGCCCGCGAAGGUUAUAGAUUUCAGCCUGACAGAAAUGGGCUUUGAGGCACAACGGAACAGAAAGUGCACUUAAGCCGCCUUCAACCAAGGAGACAUCGUGCAGGGGCACCGCAUCGGCUACGUCCGGGUCAGCAGCUUUGACCAGAACCCGGAACGCCAGCUGGAACAAACCCAGGUGAGCAAGGUGUUCACCGACAAGGCAUCGGGCAAGGACACCCAGCGCCCCCAGCUCGAAGCGCUGCUGAGCUUCGUCCGCGAAGGCGAUACAGUGGUGGUGCACAGCAUGGAUCGGCUGGCCCGCAACCUCGAUGACCUGCGUCGCUUGGUACAGAAGCUGACUCAGCGCGGCGUGCGCAUCGAGUUCCUGAAGGAGGGCCUGGUGUUCACUGGCGAGGACUCGCCGAUGGCCAACCUGAUGCUGUCGGUGAUGGGGGCCUUCGCUGAGUUCGAGCGCGCCCUGAUCCGCGAGCGGCAGCGUGAGGGCAUCGCCUUGGCCAAGCAGCGUGGCGCGUACCGGGGCCGCAAGAAAGCCCUGUCCGAUGAGCAGGCUGCUACCCUGCGGCAGCGAGCGACGGCCGGCGAGCCCAAGGCGCAGCUUGCCCGCGAGUUCAACAUCAGCCGGGAAACCCUCUACCAGUACCUCCGCACGGACGACUGACACAUGCCGCGUCGCUUGAUCCUCUCGGCCACGGAGCGGGACACCCUGCUUGCGCUGCCGGAAAGCCAGGAUGACCUGAUCCGCUACUACACCUUCAACGACUCCGACCUGUCGCUGAUCCGCCAGCGACGCGGCGACGCCAACCGCCUCGGCUUCGCCGUGCAGCUCUGCCUGCUGCGCUACCCCGGUUACGCGCUGGGAACCGACAGCGAGCUGCCCGAGCCGGUCAUCCUGUGGGUGGCGAAGCAAGUCCAGGCCGAGCCGGCGAGCUGGGCAAAGUACGGCGAGCGCGACGUGACCCGUCGCGAGCAUGCCCAGGAACUGCGCACCUACCUGCAACUGGCCCCGUUCGGCCUGUCCGACUUCCGCGCCCUGGUGCGCGAGCUAACCGAGCUGGCCCAGCAGACCGACAAAGGCUUGCUGCUGGCCGGUCAGGCCCUGGAGAGCCUACGGCAGAAACGACGCAUCCUGCCGGCGCUGAGCGUGAUUGACCGGGCCUGCUCGGAAGCCAUUGCGCGAGCCAAUCGGCGGGUCUACCGCGCCCUGGUCGAACCACUCACGGACUCGCAUCGGGCCAAGCUGGACGAGCUGUUGAAGCUCAAGGCCGGCAGCAGCAUCACCUGGUUGACCUGGCUGCGCCAGGCACCGCUGAAACCCAACUCUCGGCACAUGCUGGAACACAUCGAGCGGCUGAAGACAUUUCAGUUGGUGGACUUGCCCGAAGGCCUGGGCCGGCACAUCCACCAGAACCGCCUGCUCAAGCUGGCCCGCGAGGGUGGGCAGAUGACGCCCAAAGACCUCGGUAAGUUCGAGCCGCAGCGCCGCUACGCGACCCUGGCCGCCGUGGUGCUGGAGAGCACCGCGACCGUGAUCGAUGAGCUGGUCGAUCUGCAUGACCGCAUCCUGGUCAAGCUGUUCAGCGGCGCGAAGCACAAGCAUCAGCAGCAGUUCCAGAAGCAGGGCAAGGCGAUCAACGACAAGGUGCGCCUGUACUCCAGGAUCGGCCAGGCGCUGCUGGAAGCGAAGGAAAGCGGCAGCGACCCCUAUGCCGCCAUCGAGGCGGUGAUUCCCUGGGACGAGUUCACCGAGAGCGUCAGCGAGGCCGAGCUGCUGGCCCGGCCGGAAGGCUUCGACCACCUGCACCUGGUCGGCGAGAACUUCGCCACCCUGCGCCGUUACACGCCGGCCUUGCUGGAGGUGCUGGAACUGCGCGCCGCGCCGGCCGCGCAAGGCGUGCUGGCAGCCGUGCAGACCCUGCGUGAGAUGAACGCCGACAACCUGCGCAAGGUGCCGGCCGAUGCACCCACGGCCUUCAUCAAGCCGCGCUGGAAGCCGCUGGUGAUCACCCCGGAAGGCCUCGACCGGAAAUUCUACGAAAUCUGCGCCCUGUCCGAGCUGAAGAACGCCCUGCGCUCCGGCGACAUCUGGGUCAAGGGCUCGCGGCAGUUCCGCGACUUCGACGACUACCUGCUGCCGGCCGAGAAGUUCGCCGCACUCAAGCGCGAGCAGGCCCUGCCCCUGGCGAUCAACCCGAACAGCGACCAGUACCUGGAAGAGCGUUUGCAGCUGCUGGACGAGCAGUUGGCCACCGUCACCCGCCUGGCCAAGGACAACGAGCUGCCCGAUGCCAUCCUCACCGAGUCAGGGCUGAAAAUCACCCCGCUGGAUGCGGCGGUGCCGGAUCGGGCGCAGGCGCUGAUCGACCAAACCAGCCAGUUACUGCCGCGCAUCAAGAUCACCGAACUGCUGAUGGACGUGGACGACUGGACGGGCUUCAGCCGCCACUUCACCCACUUGAAGGACGGGGCCGAGGCCAAAGACAGGACGUUGCUGCUGUCCGCAAUCCUCGGUGAUGCGAUCAACCUCGGGCUGACCAAGAUGGCCGAGUCGAGCCCCGGCCUGACCUACGCCAAGCUGUCCUGGCUGCAAGCCUGGCACAUCCGCGACGAAACCUAUUCGGCGGCCUUGGCCGAGCUGGUCAACCACCAGUAUCGCCACGCCUUUGCCGCCCACUGGGGCGACGGCACGACCUCAUCCUCCGAUGGCCAGCGCUUCCGCGCGGGUGGCCGGGGCGAGAGCACCGGGCACGUCAACCCGAAGUACGGUAGCGAGCCGGGACGGCUGUUCUAUACCCAUAUCUCCGACCAGUACGCGCCGUUCAGCACCCGCGUGGUGAAUGUCGGCGUCCGCGAUUCCACCUAUGUGCUCGACGGCCUGCUGUACCACGAGUCCGACCUGCGGAUCGAGGAGCACUACACCGACACGGCCGGCUUCACCGAUCACGUCUUUGCCCUGAUGCACCUGCUAGGCUUCCGCUUCGCGCCGCGCAUCCGCGACCUCGGCGAAACCAAGCUGUACGUGCCGCAGGGCGUGCAAGCCUACCCGACGUUGCGCCCGCUGAUCGGCGGCACCCUGAACAUCAAGCACGUGCGUGCCCACUGGGACGACAUCCUGCGCCUGGCCAGCUCGAUCAAGCAGGGCACCGUCACCGCCUCGCUGAUGCUGCGCAAGCUCGGCAGCUACCCGCGCCAGAACGGACUGGCCGUGGCCCUGCGCGAGCUGGGCCGGAUCGAGCGCACGCUGUUCAUCCUGGACUGGCUGCAAAGUGUUGAACUGCGCCGCCGCGUGCAUGCCGGCCUGAACAAAGGUGAGGCGCGCAACUCGCUGGCCAGGGCGGUGUUCUUCAACCGCCUUGGGGAAAUCAGGGAUCGGAGCUUCGAGCAGCAGCGCUACCGGGCCAGCGGCCUCAACCUGGUGACGGCGGCUAUCGUGCUGUGGAACACGGUGUACCUGGAACGCGCCACCCAGGGGUUGGUCGAGGCCGGCAAGCCGGUGGAGGGGCCCGCUUGGAAAACGGAAUAUCCUACGUUAAGCCUGUUUUUUAUACAGACUGCUAUCUACUGAGCGUAACGAACGGUAUUUUCCCUGUUCCAGCUUGAGGUUUGUUCGCCAGACGUAAUCUCCACUCAAGUUGAUGUGUUCCCAUCCCAGCGGGGACAGAUGAGAAAUCAGCUGUUCAUUUAGUGGGAUCCCUUUUCGCUUCAGAGAAUCUAUGGCUCUUUCUAUAUAGGGGUCUGACGCUCAGUGGAACGAAAACUCACGUUAAGGGAUUUUGGUCAUGAGAUUAUCAAAAAGGAUCUUCACCUAGAUCCUUUUAAAUUAAAAAUGAAGUUUUAAAUCAAUCUAAAGUAUAUAUGAGUAAACUUGGUCUGACAGUUACCAAUGCUUAAUCAGUGAGGCACCUAUCUCAGCGAUCUGUCUAUUUCGUUCAUCCAUAGUUGCCUGACUCCCCGUCGUGUAGAUAACUACGAUACGGGAGGGCUUACCAUCUGGCCCCAGUGCUGCAAUGAUACCGCGAGACCCACGCUCACCGGCUCCAGAUUUAUCAGCAAUAAACCAGCCAGCCGGAAGGGCCGAGCGCAGAAGUGGUCCUGCAACUUUAUCCGCCUCCAUCCAGUCUAUUAAUUGUUGCCGGGAAGCUAGAGUAAGUAGUUCGCCAGUUAAUAGUUUGCGCAACGUUGUUGCCAUUGCUGCAGGCAUCGUGGUGUCACGCUCGUCGUUUGGUAUGGCUUCAUUCAGCUCCGGUUCCCAACGAUCAAGGCGAGUUACAUGAUCCCCCAUGUUGUGCAAAAAAGCGGUUAGCUCCUUCGGUCCUCCGAUCGUUGUCAGAAGUAAGUUGGCAGCAGUGUUAUCACUCAUGGUUAUGGCAGCACUGCAUAAUUCUCUUACUGUCAUGCCAUCCGUAAGAUGCUUUUCUGUGACUGGUGAGUACUCAACCAAGUCAUUCUGAGAAUAGUGUAUGCGGCGACCGAGUUGCUCUUGCCCGGCGUCAACACGGGAUAAUACCGCACCACAUAGCAGAACUUUAAAAGUGCUCAUCAUUGGAAAACGUUCUUCGGGGCGAAAACUCUCAAGGAUCUUACCGCUGUUGAGAUCCAGUUCGAUGUAACCCACUCGUGCACCCAACUGAUCUUCAGCAUCUUUUACUUUCACCAGCGUUUCUGGGUGAGCAAAAACAGGAAGGCAAAAUGCCGCAAAAAAGGGAAUAAGGGCGACACGAAAAUGUUGAAUACUCAUACUCUUCCUUUUUCAAUAUUAUUGAAGCAUUUACCAGGGUUAUUGUCUCAUGAGCGGAUACAUAUUUGAAUGUAUUUAGAAAAAUAAACAAAUAGGGGUUCCGCGCACAUUUCCCCGAAAAGUGCCACCUGACGUCUAAGAAACCAUUAUUAUCAUGACAUUAACCUAUAAAAAUAGGCGUAUCACGAGGCCUGUGGGAGGAAAAUAAAGUGUCAUCCUAACUACAGGACCCUGCAACGUAGCAAUUCCUGCAAAAAUCCAUUUAAAACAAUGACUUAUUUCAAUUCUGCCAUCUGCAAGCGUUUUGUGGGGAUGGAGGCCGGAAUCAUUAAAGUAUCAUCCUAAUUUUCGCUCAACCUUGGAAAAUGCUGAGAAUCGUAAAAAUAAAGUUUCAUCCUUUCCGCUACUAGUUCAAGGCUUUCUUCCGGCCGCCGGCAACAACGCUGCUUGGCUGAGGCGAUCCACUUGCGCUACCGCUCACUGAUCAGAUCGAACUUGAACUCGACGAGCAGCCAACCAUCAGGCCGAGCGUGAUCGCCAAAAAAAACGGAUCAUGCGAAAUCCUUCGUUGAGUUUGGCGCGGGUUUUAGCAAAUCAGCUGGCCCGCGAUCCGGUUGAGAGUGAUCCGAAGCGGUCCUUGACGACCGGCACAAAUCGGCCGAUUCUGUUGAAAAAGUAGCUUUAGCGGCAGCCUGCCGAUCAGGUGUGCCUGCUGUCGAAGUGGCUGCAAGCCACUUCAAGUUGCCUUCCGGCGUUUCACUGAGCGUCCUUGCUCAGGUUUAAGGGUUAAUUUGAGGGUUUCUGCUCGUAGCAGGCAUACCUAUCCCGUCAGCGGUGGCCCUUGAGGCAAAAGCUUGGCCAUGCGGCGCAGGUUCUGCACCAUCGCAGCCAAGGUGAAUUCGUCAGUGGCACCCGUUAGGCCACGCAGUCGUAAACGGUCGAGUUUCAUGAUCCGUUUGAGGUGGGCGAAAAGCAUCUCCACCUUCUUUCGUUCGCAGCGAGAGACGAGGUACUCCGGUGUCUUGGCGAUGCGUCGAGCCACGUCGCGGGCAGCCUCAUGGAUGCUGCGGACGAUCUUCCGAUUCGGCGUGUUGGGGCAGCAUUUCGCUUUCAACGGGCAGGUGGCGCAGUCGGUUUGGCUGGAGCGGUAAAUGACGGUUUUGGCCUUAGUUACCCGCGACCUUUGCUGGGUGAAGGCGCGCCAUUCACUGCGUAGCGGUUUGCCGGCUGGGCAGCGAUAUUCAUUGGCGUCCUGACUCCAGUGAAAGUCGUUACUGGAGAGGCUGUCGUCCUUGCGCUCGGUCUUGUCCCACACCGGCACAUGCGGUUCGAUGUCCUUUUCUUCGACCAUCCAGGCCAGCAUCGGGGCGGUGCCAUAAGCGGUAUCGCCGAUAAGGCGUUCCGGUGUGAGAUCGAACUGCGCCUCGACACGCUCGACCAUCGUCCUAGUCGAAUCGACUUCGGCGGUACGGUGCGCCGGGGUAGCUUCCACGUCCAUGAUCACACCGUGCUCAGUGUCGAUCAGGUAAUUCGUGGAGUAGGCAAAAAAGGCCGGGCCACCUGGCGCUGCUGUCCAACGGGACUGAGGAUCAGUGAGCGAAAUUUUCUUGGGAAGAGCCUCAGCCAGCGCCUCUUCAUCAAGGGCUUCGAGGUACUCGCGCACUGCGCGGCUGCUGAGCUUUGGAUCGUUCCAAUCGACCUCAUCUCCCGCCACCCCACGUUGCCGGCUGGCAUCCGCCUUAAUGAUGCUGGCGUCGACGGCGAAACCUUCACCCUUGACUAGGCCGGCUGCCAUGCAGCGCCGCAGCACCUCAUUGAAUAACCAGCGGAAUAGAUCGCUGUCACGAAAACGCCCAUGGCGAUUCUUCGAGAAGGUCGAGUGAUUGGGGACUUCGUCUUCCAGACCCAACCGGCAGAACCAGCGAUAGGCCAGGUUCAGGUGCACCUCUUCGCACAAUCGCCGCUCGGAACGAAUGCCAUAGCAGUAGCCGACGACCAGCAUGCGCACCAUCAACUCCGGGUCAAUCGAGGGACGCCCGAUGGGGCUAUAGAAAUCUGCCAGGUAGGCACGUAGAUCACUGAGAUCCAAGCACUGGUCGAUGCUGCGCAGGAGAUGUUGGGCCGGGACGUGAUCUUCCAGAUUGAACGAGUAGAACAGGCGCUGCUGUCCUCCCGGUAACUGUCCCAUCAUGCUGUUCGCCCCCACGCUCGCUGACAAAGCAAUUUUGCCAACGGCAUGGGGAGGCCGCUACUUUUUCAACAGAAUCGGCCGCACACAGCCAUUCGGCUCAACAGAACCCUGCCUUUACCCCACCAAACUCCGGAAACUCGCCCGGUAGUCCGUCGGCUUGAGAUGCACAUGUUGGCUGAGGUCGCCGGGUAGCGUGAACAGGCGCGGACCGUCCCGAAACUGGAACACGCGAUACAGAUGGAAUUGAUCGCCCGCCUCCUUGGAGAAUUCGAGUUCGUUGUGGCUGACCAAGAAAGACGAGCCUACCCCGCCAUUGGUGGUUUUCACCUCGAUGAAGCGCUCAUGGGCGUCCUCUUCGAACGACAGGAUGUCGAACCCCGCACCGUCUCCCUGGGUGUCGGACACCCAAUCCAGCCGCUGAAAAAGCUCUGGGUGGCCGAGCUCGGUCAGGCGUUGCUGUUCGUAGCCAAUCACCCACUGCUCCCCUGCCCGGCCCAGCUUGCGGUUGGCUUCAUCGCGAGCGGCAUAAUCGAACUUUCGCGGUAGGCGUUGCCGUAGAGAUGCCGGGGUACGCACAAGCACUUCACGGGCGGGUGGUUCUACCAAAGCCGCUCGGUAGGUUUUGUCACCCGGAAGUUUUACCUCCUCCAGGGCAUCGACAAGAGCGCCGACCGUCUGCUGAUGUUCCAGAACGUAGGCGUGUACGGAUUUACGCAGCAGCAGUUGGCUGUUGCCGCGUGGCUUGUAGCCGUUGAUAUAGGGCAGGCCCAGGGCAUCGAGUACGGCGCUAAUGUUCUGGUGCUUGAGCUCGACUGAAGACUUGCUGCGACCGUUCAGCAGUUGGCGCAGUGCCUGGUUGUGCUCGGACUUGUGGUACGGCUCCCCAGCCGCCUCGGCACGCAGCAUGUCGAAAUAGUCUUCGACCGUGGCCAGGACCUCUUCUUCGGACCAGUCUUCGCCGAUGCGAAUGAUGCGAAACCCGAGCCGCGUCAGCGCCGGAACGACGGUCGUCUCGCCACCGGAGAAGCUGUCAGCAGUGAGCGGGCCCUGCUCGGGAAAUUGCUUGCCGAAGGCCACACCGGCGAUGGCCUUGGAAUCGCAAUCGGUGCCGGUCUUCGGAUCACGUACCAGGAAGUCGCGGGACUUGCCGUAGCCGUGGCGCGCCAGGAAUUUCGUGCGGCCCAGUUGCACGAACUCAUCGAUGGCAGCCUGCACGGCGGCGGGGCUUCGAAGCUGGGAGAGUUGAGACACAGGGUCCUUCCUUACUGUCAUGGUGUGCCGGGAACCGCCGAGCCACGAGAUUAUGAGUAGCCCCUGAACAGAAACGUCACGAUAAAAGCCGUGAACGCCACCAGGCCCAUUAAAUCCCUUGCGUAUUUGCAGCCCGUGCUGUCCAAACCUGUACCAGGUCCGAUCAACACGCUCCAACCAUUGAGGUACGAAAACACCGCCUGACCGAACAAAAAAUGCGUGAUAGCCGCCGCAGCCAUGACGCCGGAAUCGUCAGACAGGCUGUAGCUGUUGACCAUUGCCCUGUACGCCUGCAUCUGAAAUGGCUAUUGCCCUGAUGGGAGCCGGCUUUUCAGCCACCGACACCAGCGAUGCCGUCAAUAUUCUUUACCCGAUAACCAUGACCGUACAAGCUAACAAGGCCUGGCAAGCCAGCGGACUUAAAAAGUCUUUUUUUCUACCAUCCCACAAAAAAGUUCGUGGUGGAGAAAAGAUAAGCUAUGCAAGGCUUUAGGAGACGUGGUUUUUCAGGAUGACGAAGAACGAUUCGGCGCUAGGUGCAACAUAGGUGCAUCGCACGAGCGCUAGGAACGGCGAAAAAAGGCGGACGUGGCGAAAUCGGUAGACGCAGCAGACUUUAAAAUUGGAGUGCCCGCGGGGAAAUCCGCGGAGUAGAACCGCUCAAAGUCGGGGAACGCUAACGGGCAAUACCCUAAGCCAAUCCCGAGCCAAGCCCCUUCGGGGGAAGGUGUAGAGACUGGACGGGCGGCGCCUAAAGCCUUCGGGCAAUGGCGAAGGGACAGUCCAGACCACGAACGUCAUCAGACGGCGGCGAAAGUCGAGGUGGUACGAAAAUCUGCUUCUCUGUGAGAGUACGGGUUCGAGUCCCGUCGUCCGCACCACAAAGCCAAACAUCCCUGCGAUGAUCGACCUCUGGGCGUUUGGUCGUGAGCCCGCCACCCUCGCGCUACGCUUUGCGCAGGCGUCGAAGGCGAUCAGGUGCGCCCAUCGAUUCCGUCGAGCACCAUCGCUGCGAGUUCAUCGCUGGUGUGUGCACCACUAUCGAGAACACGGGUUGUGCAUGGAAGCCGUUCCCUUGCGGCCAAGCAUCGGGCGACAUUCGCUAAUCGCCACUCUCGAAUCUCCGCAUUUCGAUUCGGGUCAGGAUGCAUGGUCUGGUUCGCGAUCCGGUGACGCAAUAGGUCCUCGUUGAGCGUCAGAAAGAUGUGCAGCAGCUGAUCGUCGAUCCGCCUUACCCCGUCGAGUAUCUCAGUCAGAUAGUCCGGGUGCACGAGCGUCAUUGGGAUGAUGAUGUCCUGCGAGUAAUUCCUUCGAAUCUCCCUGACCGCCGCGAUCGUAAGUCCCCUCCACAAGGGGAGAUCCUGAUAGUCUCCGCUCGCUGGCAUGGGGACCGUUUCUUUCACCACGAACCCGAUUUCCUCGGGGUCAAAGAUCAGCGAUUUGGAACGCCGAUCGCGCAGCCGCUUAGCGAGCGUCGUCUUUCCGGCGCCGAAAGGUCCGUUGAUCCAGAUUAUCAUUGUCGACGGCCUCUAACCUGAAGGCUCGCAAGAGCGCUCGACGGCCUCGUGCGGAGGCACGAUCGGAGUGGUUCCGAAAUGCUUCUCAAGAUAGGUGACGCCGAACGUCACGAUGUCCUGCGCGUCGAACAGGUAGCACUGAGCAAAGCCCACGACACCUUCUCGAUGGCGACCGAGCUUCACGUAAGCAUUUGCUAUAGUUUCAACCGCAUCCGGCUUUCCUUCGAUAGCAAAGCAAUCGAGAAUGCCGUUUGAAUCGUAAUCCGAUGCCGUUUUCCAGGCGACUUCACCGUCUCUUCCAAGCAUCGGCAUCUCAUACGUCACCCACCGUUUGUUGGGGAUAUCGGCAACCGCCUCGGCGUAGUGCAAUGCGGUAACGGAGUUUAGCGGCGCACCCAACAGCAGGGCCUUCCCGCCAAGGCGAACGAACCGCUCGACGGGCGAUCCUUCCCCCAAGGCGUGACCGAGUUCGUGAGGCUCCGUCAGCGUUUCAGCCAGCGGACCAACCGCGACCAUCGAUGCAUCGGGGUGCGCGCUGCGCCGCGCGCCGGGGGCUUGAACCAGAAAUUGAUUCAGCAGGCCGAACCCACGGUAAGUCCCGGCUGUUGCGGGAUCGAACGGCAGCCAGGUACGGCGGGCUUCGUCAUCCAGCCGAGCGCCAUUCAGAGUCUCCUCGUAGGGUGAUCGGUCCCACGACGCGUAUCCCAUCACAGUGCCAGUCGGCCCAACCGCGGAGCGUAACGCGGCAACGACCGUCUCCGCUCCUCCUUCGACCGGACCAAUCGCUUUAAGUGAGGCAUGCACCAUCAAGAGGUCACCGGUUUGGACUCCGAGUUUUUGAAGCGCCUCCGUUAUUGCCUUCCGCGUAUGCAUCGCGAUAUCUCCUCUAAACUGCAAAACACUAUACGGGGUCUGACGCUCAGUGGAACGAAAACUCACGUUAAGGGAUUUUGGUCAUGAGAUUAUCAAAAAGGAUCUUCACCUAGAUCCUUUUAAAUUAAAAAUGAAGUUUUAAAUCAAUCUAAAGUAUAUAUGAGUAAACGGCACUGUUGCAAAUAGUCGGUGGUGAUAAACUUAUCAUCCCCUUUUGCUGAUGGAGCUGCACAUGAACCCAUUCAAAGGCCGGCAUUUUCAGCGUGACAUCAUUCUGUGGGCCGUACGCUGGUACUGCAAAUACGGCAUCAGUUACCGUGAGCUGCAGGAGAUGCUGGCUGAACGCGGAGUGAAUGUCGAUCACUCCACGAUUUACCGCUGGGUUCAGCGUUAUGCGCCUGAAAUGGAAAAACGGCUGCGCUGGUACUGGCGUAACCCUUCCGAUCUUUGCCCGUGGCACAUGGAUGAAACCUACGUGAAGGUCAAUGGCCGCUGGGCGUAUCUGUACCGGGCCGUCGACAGCCGGGGCCGCACUGUCGAUUUUUAUCUCUCCUCCCGUCGUAACAGCAAAGCUGCAUACCGGUUUCUGGGUAAAAUCCUCAACAACGUGAAGAAGUGGCAGAUCCCGCGAUUCAUCAACACGGAUAAAGCGCCCGCCUAUGGUCGCGCGCUUGCUCUGCUCAAACGCGAAGGCCGGUGCCCGUCUGACGUUGAACACCGACAGAUUAAGUACCGGAACAACGUGAUUGAAUGCGAUCAUGGCAAACUGAAACGGAUAAUCGGCGCCACGCUGGGAUUUAAAUCCAUGAAGACGGCUUACGCCACCAUCAAAGGUAUUGAGGUGAUGCGUGCACUACGCAAAGGCCAGGCCUCAGCAUUUUAUUAUGGUGAUCCCCUGGGCGAAAUGCGCCUGGUAAGCAGAGUUUUUGAAAUGUAAGGCCUUUGAAUAAGACAAAAGGCUGCCUCAUCGCUAACUUUGCAACAGUGCCACUUCACAGACGGAUUUGCUCAAGCACUAUACGCUGAGUGAUGAAGACCUUGGGCAUAUCAGGCUGCGUCGGCGCGUUCACAACAGGUUCGGCUUCGCCCUGCAAUUGUGUGUCCUGCACUAUCCCGGCCGGGUGCUGGCUCCAGGCGAACUGAUCCCUGCAGAGGUCAUCGAAUUUAUCGGAGCGCAGCUUGGCCUGGGUGCCGACGAUCUCGUAGACUAUGCUGCCCGCGAGGAAACACGGCACGAGCAUCUUGCCGAGUUACGGGGGCUCUACGGCUUCCGCACCUUCUCCGGGCGUGGUGCGAGCGAGCUGAAGGAAUGGUUGUUCCGAGAAGCGGAGAUGGCGGUGUCGAACGAGGAUAUCGCCCGUCGCUUCGUAGCCGAGUGCCGACGCACCCGCACUGUCCUUCCCGCGACAUCCACGAUCGAGCGGCUUUGUGCCGCGGCUCUCGUCGAUGCCGAGCGACGCAUCGAGACGAGGAUCGCCAGUCGGCUGCCUAUGUCGAUCCGAGAACAGUUGCUGGCAUUGCUCGAGGAGACGGCUGAUGAUCGGGUGACCCGUUUUGUGUGGCUGCGCCAGUUCGAGCCUGGCUCGAACUCUUCGUCGGCCAACCGGCUGCUCGACCGGCUCGAAUAUCUGCAACGCAUCGAUCUCCCCGAGGAUCUGCUUGCCGGCGUUCCUGCCCAUCGGGUGACUCGUCUGCGCAGGCAGGGUGAACGGUAUUAUGCCGACGGCAUGCGCGAUCUCCCGGAGGACAGGCGGCUUGCGAUCUUGGCUGUUUGCGUCUCGGAAUGGCAGGCGAUGUUGGCCGACGCAGUGGUCGAAACCCACGACCGGAUCGUCGGCCGUCUCUACCGUGCUUCGGAGCGUAUUUGCCAUGCAAAGGUCGCAGACGAAGCGGGGGUGGUGCGUGACACCCUGAAAUCCUUCGCCGAGAUCGGGGGCGCCCUGGUCGAUGCACAGGAUGAUGGCCAGCCGCUGGGCGAUGUCAUCGCGAGUGGGUCAGGGUGGGACGGCUUAAAAACCCUUGUUGCAAUGGCAACCAGGCUGACCGCCACCAUGGCCGACGAUCCGCUCAAUCAUGUGCUCGACGGUUAUCACCGCUUCCGCCGAUACGCUCCACGCAUGUUGCGCCUGCUCGAUCUGCGAGCUGCGCCCGUUGCACUGCCGCUUCUGGAAGCGGUGACGGCCCUUCGUACCGGUUUGAACGAUGCCGCGAUGACCAGCUUCUUGCGGCCCAGCUCGAAAUGGCAUCGCCACCUUCGGGCCCAGAGGGCUGGCGACGCUCGCCUAUGGGAGAUCGCGGUGCUGUUCCAUCUGCGCGAUGCGUUCCGCUCCGGAGAUGUCUGGCUUACUAGGUCCCGGCGCUAUGGCGAUCUGAAACACGCACUCGUUCCGGCACAAUCCAUCGCGGAAGGCGGUCGUCUCGCUGUGCCAUUGCGGCCGGAGGAAUGGCUGGCAGACCGGCAAGCUCGCCUCGACAUGCGGUUGCGCGAGCUUGGCCGUGCCGCUCGCGCAGGCACGAUCCCGGGCGGGUCGAUUGAAAACGGCGUUCUGCAUAUCGAGAAACUCGAAGCCGCCGCGCCGACAGGCGCCGAAGAUCUGGUGCUCGAUCUCUACAAGCAGAUCCCGCCCACGCGCAUCACCGAUCUCCUGCUGGAGGUGGAUGCGGCGACCGGCUUCACCGAAGCGUUCACCCAUCUGCGCACAGGAGCACCCUGCGCUGACCGGAUCGGGCUAAUGAACGUUAUCUUGGCGGAAGGGAUCAACCUCGGCUUGCGCAAAAUGGCGGAUGCGACAAACACCCACACCUUCUGGGAAUUGAUCCGCAUUGGACGGUGGCAUGUCGAGGGCGAAGCCUAUGACCGGGCGCUGGCCAUGGUGGUCGAGGCACAGGCAGCGUUACCCAUGGCCCGGUUCUGGGGCAUGGGCACGUCGGCUUCGAGCGACGGACAGUUCUUCGUCGCUACAGAGCAAGGUGAGGCCAUGAACCUGGUCAACGCGAAAUAUGGCAAUACCCCGGGCCUGAAAGCCUAUAGCCACGUCUCCGACCAAUAUGCGCCGUUCGCAACCCAGGUGAUUCCUGCAACGGCAAGCGAAGCGCCUUACAUCCUCGAUGGCCUGCUGAUGAACGAUGCUGGACGCCAUAUCCGCGAGCAGUUCACCGACACGGGCGGCUUCACCGAUCACGUCUUUGCCGCAUGUGCCAUUCUCGGCUACCGGUUCGCUCCGCGCAUCCGCGACCUGCCAUCCAAACGGCUCUACGCGUUCAAUCCGUCGGCCGCCCCGGCGCACCUGCGAGCGUUGAUCGGCGGAAAGGUCAACCAAGCCAUGAUCGAGCGCAAUUGGCCCGACAUCCUGCGCAUCGCCGCCACCAUUGCUGCCGGGACCGUCGCGCCAAGCCAGAUUCUGCGGAAACUCGCCUCCUAUCCGCGGCAGAACGAGCUCGCGACAGCCCUGCGGGAAGUCGGUCGCGUCGAGCGCACCCUGUUCAUGAUCGACUGGAUUCUGGAUGCCGAACUCCAACGGCGUGCCCAGAUCGGGCUCAACAAAGGCGAAGCUCAUCAUGCGCUGAAGCGGGCAAUCAGCUUCCACCGCCGCGGUGAAAUCCGCGACCGUUCCGCCGAAGGCCAGCAUUACCGCAUCGCCGGCAUGAAUCUGCUCGCCGCCAUCAUCAUCUUCUGGAACACCAUGAAGCUCGGCGAGGUCGUUGCAAACCAGAAACGCGAUGGAAAGCUGCUAUCGCCCGAUCUCUUGGCCCAUGUUUCGCCGCUCGGAUGGGAACACAUCAAUCUCACCGGAGAAUAUCGCUGGCCAAAGCCUUAGCGUAGGAUUCCGCCCCCUCCCGCAAACGACCCCUUAUAGGGCGAGGCGUACAGGCUCUGGGUAUAUCGGUAACGAACUGCUGGAGCAGUACCCGGCCGCUAACGACGAUCUGCCGUAGGCUUCGUAAUAAAUUAUCAGGGACAUAUACAACUGCGUGACGAUCUGGCUGCGCUAUCCAGCACCAUGAGCGACUUGCGCCUGCAUAUUCGAGCUCUGGAAGUUAAGUAUCACGACGGAUGUCCCGCGCUGGUUGAUGCGCUGGUCGCUGAUUUCCUGCGCAAUCUCAACGAGCAGUAUCUGACGGUUUACAUGCGCGUACUGGCGUUCAGCGGCUGUUUUCACGACUGACUGCGAUCGGACGGUUUACGGCACGCUAACGCGGAGAUACGCCCCGAUUAAGGCUUACUCUGGACCACUCCGACGACUCACAUAACCUUCUUCGUGGCUUAAAUUGGGAUUGUUCAAGCUUGGCAGGGUGAGAGAUUAUUACGGCUUACGCCGUAAUGCUUUUUUCAUCCUCACUUCGCGGAAUAAACACGCACAUAAUAUGUGGAAAUAUCAGGGUAAACAGGCUGACUAGGAGCGGUACGAGAAAGUUCUGUAUUAAAAAACUAAGUAUCCGCGAAACAGCCGAUGCGACAGGUUACAGUCCCUCUCUGAUAUGUACGAUUUCAGUUACUGCAAAGGAAAACUCUGUCAGCAGUGGAGUAGUUAAGUUACAACUAUAUUACAAAAGGGAUAUGAUUUUUCAGGCUUUUUCAAAGUGAUCCAGCUUCAUCUCCAUGAUCCACCAUUCGGCUACUUACAUGAGUAAUUCCGGGUCAUCAUUCUUGUUGGCAAAAAAAGCAUAAAAUGACACGCCAACAUCAUCCCCUUUUGCCGCUGUCUUAGCUUCACAUACCUUCACAAUCUUCGCUCAAAUGCUGGCUCUCAUUAUCUUUCUCUUAUAGUUGCUGAGGACACAUGCUCUCAGACGCUGUCGAAUGGGCAGAAUUGGUUAAAGAUCCUCACGCCCGGGAACCCCAACGGACAAUGCGACUGUGGAGUCGUUCAAUGGCAGGCUACGGCAGGAGUGCCUGAAUGAAAACUGGUUCAUGUCGCUGGAAGAUGCCCGGUCCAAAAUCGAGGCUUGGCGCAUACACUAUAACCAGAAGCGUCCCCAUUCUACUCUGGGAUGGAUGACCCCGUCCGAAUUUGCAGAAAAAUCUGUCGGUUGCCAGAAUAUGUAACCAACAUGAAGCCGGUUAUUCCUGAUUAUGACUGGAGCAUAUUCGGGGGCGGGGUCAGAAGCCGGAUAUUCCUAAUUAUGAAUGGAUCACAUACUGGGAGCGCGUCAAUAUGAAGACAUUACUAUCAUCGGUGUGUAUGAAUCAACGGGGAGAAGGUCAAAGGAAACCGGAGCGACAGAAAUAGCAAAGAUGAUAAGUAUCGCACGUUCCACGGUCAAUAAAAUCAUCGAAGAGUCGAAAAUGUGAAUGUCGGCAGUCGGUUUUUUUAAAAGGUCAAUAUAAUGAAAAUAAAAGAUUUUUACCGACCACGUUAGCAUUAUCGUGGAAAUGUGCGCGAAACCCUUAAUGCGACAAAGCCUAUCAGAACGCAUUGGCGGAAAAGGUCAACGAGAUACUGAAGACGAAGUUUUUGCUGUCACGCCCGGCAGAUCUGUAGCAGGCAAGAAAGAUGGUGAGGGAAUCAAUAGCAAUUUACAACAGAGUUCAGCCUCACUAGGCACUAAAAUACAAAACGCCCGAUACGGUGCAUCAGGCGUUUUACAGGCAUAAAAGUGUCAACCUAUGCUAGGACUAGUCAGUCGAAAUCCCGGCGCAGAUACGCGGUGCAUAUCCCUGAUUCAAAGCCCUUCGGUGACAAUUUUAGCGGCAGCAGCCAACACGUCUUUGCGGGCUUCUGCAUUCUGCUGUGGCUGAGUGAAAUAGGUUACCAACACCAACGGUGCGUGGUUCGCUGGCCAAAUCACGGCGAUAUCGUUAGUGGUACCGUAAUCACCACUGCCGGUUUUAUCACCGACCACCCACGUGGCUGGCAGACCUGCGCGAAUGCUGGCUCCGCCGGUAGUGUUCCCCUUCAUCCAUUCAACCAGUUGAGCACGCUGUGGUUCACCCAGCGCCUUGCCCAAAGUUAGGGUUUGCAGGCUUUUUGCCAUCGCCAGCGGCGAGGUAGUGUCACGCUUAUCGCUGGGAAUGGCAGUAUUUAAAGUAGGCUCGGUACGAUCGAGACGAAAGGUUUUAUCACCAAUAGUACGCGCAUACUCUGUCACUUUUGCCGGGCCGCCAAGAUGCUCAAGGAUCUUGUUCAUCGCCGUGUUGUCACUGUACUGGAUGGCGGCGGCACUGAGCUCUGCAAGGGUCAUCCCGGUAUCCAGGUGUUUUUCGGCGAUCGGGUUGUAGUUGACCAGAUCGGAUUGUUUGAUUUCCAUCCGCUUAGCCAAAAGAUUUUUAUCCAUCUCGCUCUGUUUUAACAACGCCGACACCGCCAUCACCUUGCUAGUGCUACACAUGGGAAAACGUUCAUCCCCACGAUACAGGAUCUGCGAAUUAUCGGCGGUAUCGAUCAGCGCCACGCCAAGGCGGCCACCGGAGUUUUUCUCGAGCUCGGACAGUUGCUGCUGAAUAUUCGCUUUGGCAUUAGCGGAUUGAGCCCAUAAUGGUGCGCUACCGAACAGCAGCGGCAUAACCGUAGCGACCAUCAGGGUGGUUUGACGUAAUGUAUUUUUAACCAUGUUUUGCCUCACAUAAAAUGGAUUAACUCAGCGGGUUGUUCUGCAGAUGGCGAGAACUAUCUUCUUUUAGACCGUUAUUGACAAGCGACAAGAAUUUUCUCUAACAUAAAGAAAAUCUUUUGGAUAAUACCUAUGCGUUCUAACCCUCCCCUGAAUGCUCUACGUGCUUUUGAAGCCUCUGCCAGACAUUUGAGUUUCACUCGGGCAGCGCUGGAGCUCUAUGUUACCCAGGCUGCCGUUAGCCAACAGGUUCGGCUGCUUGAAGAGCGCCUGGGCAUGGUGCUGUUUAAACGAUUACCCCGUGGUUUAGAAAUGACAGAGGAAUCACGGGCGCUGUUUGCCGUGUUAACCGACGCCUUUGGCCAUAUUGAAAAAGCCUUCCGGCAGUUUGAAGGGGGGCAGUUCCAGGAGGUGCUUACCGUGGCUGCCGUCGGCACUUUUGCCGUGGGCUGGCUGUUACCACGUCUCGAUCGGUUCAGGCAAGAGCAUCCUUUUGUCAAACUGCGGCUGCGCACCAACAACAACGUUGUUAAUCUGGCCGCCGAAGGGCUUGAUUUCGCCAUCCGUUUUGGCACGGGUUUGUGGCCAUCAACCCAUAACGAGAUGCUGUUUAAUGCUCCGCUGACCGUAUUGUGCACGCCAGCUACGGCUAAGCGGCUCGUUACCCCAGCCGAUCUGCUGCAAGAGGAUUUACUGCGUUCUUACCGUGCUGAAGAGUGGGAAAACUGGUUUGCUGCCGCUGGCUUGCAGGCUGUGAGAGUGAAUGGCGCCAUCUUUGACUCAUCCCGUCUGAUGAUCGAGAGCGCUAUCCAUUCCGGCGGUGUGGCAUUAGCCCCAGCGAAAAUGUUUGUCCGGGAGCUAACCACCGCGCAGCUGGUGCGCCCAUUUGCUACCGAAAUCAAUAUGGGCAGUUACUGGUUAACCCAUUUAAAAUCGAAAGCAAUGACCCCGGCGAUGGAAAUAUUUAGCGAAUGGUUACUGAAAGAAGCGGCAGAAGAUAAUACGUAGGGGCGCAGCAUGCUGUGCCCCUCGGGUUUCCAGACUUAUUGCUUGUGGUGAGUCAGGCGGGUAGCAAAAAAAUGGUUUUUCGGAAGAAAUGCGGGCUUCCGAAAACAAACAGAGACAGGACAUGUCCGUUCAAACAUUCAGGAACAGGUAACGGGAUUUAACGGAACCUGAAUGCCCCCCGAUAACUGUCAUCAUCUUGGCUGAAGACACAGGUAUUAGGGGAGCCAAAAGCAGGCGCGUUGCCUGUGAUGGAUUAUGUUGUAACUAGAGUCCUGAGUUGCUGUAGGAUAUAUCACUGAAGGUAUUGAAUAACACGCCCGUAAGCAGCCCUUACGGCUCGCUAACGCGGAGAUACACCCCGACUGCGGCUUCGCCUUGUCAUGAGCACUCCGACGGCUCACAAAAGCUUCUGUAUCGCUUUUAGCAGGUUUAUGUCUGGCAGGGUACAGGGAUGGAUUGGCUGAACCUAUCAAACCUGUAACAGGCUGCGCCGGGUUAGGGUGCCAAUCACCAAUAAAGCUAUAUUCAGCGUUGGCUGGCACCUCCAUGCCGCUAAGCGGCAUUCAAAUAACUGGAUGCGCACUGCUCGGCAGUUUAUAUUAGGGACUCCUGAGUGCUGCCCUUUCGUCUUUUCACCAACAAGCAUUUGCUUUAUUCUUGGGAAAGUAUUUCCGACAGUGACAAGUUUGGAGGCAGAUUGCCAUGCAUCGACUUUACACAUACCUUUGUGCUAUCCAUGCACUGCCGUCAUCGGUAAAAACGGUCAAUAAAACGGAAACCCUCAAGCGAUUCUCUGAAGGGGAAAACACGAUAGAAGAGUGCGAAAUCCUUUACGUGUUUAAUAAUGACGUUCAGAUUUUAUAUAGAAUGGAAUCCGAAACCUUCCAAUCGAAUGACGUUUGUCAUGAGUGUUGGGUCAGUUAUGAUGUGGUACAUGAUGGCGGAUACGCCAUUUCACCGCAGAAAAAGCAGUUUUAUAAUCGUUGCCAAGAAAAUUUCUGGCUGAAAAUGCAGGCUCAACUUGAUGGGAAAUAUAAAACACCAGCCUCUUGAUGGUUAGGAAAAUGAAUCAUCGUUAUUAAAAAUAUCCUUACCAUGAAUGGUAUCGUUGGGUGCUAAUGCAAUUUGUGCCGAUAAAAUGUGGUUUUCGGUGCAUUUCUAGCCUGAAAGACGUUUUUCAGACUCACUUAUCCCGCAGCCUGUGACAUGUGACAGAAGCCAUCGUUUCCGGUCAAUGCUGUGCAUCUGCCACUAACUCCGUGGCGUGUCAGCCAGCCUAUGCACCGCUGAAGCGUAGCCGAUUGCCGUACAGAAGGCAUUUAUUCGGAUCCGUGUGCAGGAACCCUUUACGCGGCGAAGCCCGGCUGCUCCGUUUAUUUCCGCGCCUCCAUCUGCAGAGCCUCAUACACUUUUGGCAGCAGUUCGCACCGUUUCCGGUUGGACAAGAAGCCAUAGUAGCGGACCUUCUUAAAAUUCUUUGCCGGGAUAUGACUCAUAUAGCGCCCGAGCAUCUCUUCCUGUGUCUGCGUCUGCUGCCGGUAAUGCUGAGAUACAGUCCGUCAGCAGUCCUAACCUCGACGUACUCACCCCAAUCUCGCACAUGAACACAGAGGUGCUUUUAGCGUGUACGCCUUUGCAGCUUCCGUAUUAAGUUCCCUGGUAUCACUGAUAUAGGUGUUCUUAGCCGGAACCCCAGAUUUUUCCGUUACCCCAGUUUCAGCCCCGCAACCAGUGCAUCUAGGUCAAUAAUUUCAUUGUUACUCUUGAAGGUGUAAUGCCCGUUCAAUAAAAUAUACUGCCAGGCUACCGGUGAUAUCCGGGUCAGUGCCUCAAUACCCUUGUUGUUGCCUUCUGCUUCCAGCAGUUCCAGUAAUCGUGAAAGGAUCUCGGAGUUGUAAUAAACGCUCUCGUAGCAGAUCAACUGCCCGCACUGAUUGCAGAUUUCCGUUUAAAGGUCAUUUUUCCCGGUUAGCUCCUUCUUUCUACCGACUUUGGCGACUGCAGCGCGCAGCUAGUGAUACGAUUCAAUCCGGUUCUGGGAGCGACGUAUAUCGCGUUCCAGCUGCGGAUCUCGCGAAUACUUCAGCGUGUAAUGCUGCGAACAAGCCGGUCAUAUUCAAAUACUGCCUGUCUUGUCGGGUUAGUUGUUGUGUGAGUACACAGUUUGCAGAACAGCGUUCCCUGCGUCAUUUCCUUCAGUCCUAGCGUGGCGACAAUACGCUCGAGAUUGCUUUUUUCCCCGGGUGAUAAGGUCCAGGUCAAUUUGCCCGACGGGCUGAAUCAGACAUCGAGGGUUCUCUGGUGCAGUACAGCACCUGCAGCUGCCUGUUCAGGUCGGUGAAAUGAGGUUCAAAGCACAAGCCAAACCAGUGCAGGAUCGCAAAGUUGGCUUUGUUGAUGCUGUGCAUAUCACCGGUGAUGGCUGUGGGUUUCACCUCUGAGGUAUUGCGAUACCAGAUAUCAAAAACAUGGUGACCUUCAUAGUCAUUUGUACCAAUCAGAUAGCCAUAGAUCGGGAUGUGGUUACACAGCAGCAUGUAGGCUACCAUACCUUUACCGCAGCCGAAAUAUUUACGCGAAUACCUGGCUUUACUGUCUGUCGUUCAACGCCAAAUUUUUGCCCGUCAACGGCACCAUAAAGGGUUUCCGGGUCAAACGAAUAGAGCGGGAAAAUCGGCAGUUCCUUAACGGUAUCUGUAAUGCAUUCUUUGGCUGUGAGAAGCGACGCCAGGCGAAGGUACUGUUCGUACAUUGUUUCCAGAACAUGGAACGGAAUAUCGCUGGUUCGUGCCAUCACGUGAUGACCAUGAUUCAUCGCCUGAGCAACGAUGACCGCUAUCAGGCUGUCUGCAUCAGCGUAUUUUUUUGCAUAACGAAUAAUGAAACGGAAGUUUUGCUCGCUGGUCCUGUUCGUUGUGUCGUUUUCGGCCAGUGCAGAUAUCAGUGGCCGGAUUGUGCGCGUCCUGGACGGUGAUACCGUUGAGAUGCUUGAGCCGGGAAAACAACUGACGCUCAUUCGCCUGGCUGGCAUCGAUGCGCCGGAAAAGAGUCAGCCCUUUGGCUAGCGUUCCCGUCAGGAACUCUCAUCGAUGGUGGCUCAGCGGCAUGUAAGCGUCACCGGAAGUGAUAAGGAUCGCUAUGGACGUUUGCUCGGCACCUUGUGGCUUGGCGUGACGGCUGUGAAUGCCGAACAGAUACGCAAAGGCCUGGCCUGGACAUACCGCUACCACGGAAAACCCGCCCGGCCAGACUACGCUGUUCUGGAGGCUGAAGCCCGCCGUCAGUCAGUCGGACUCUGGUCAGAACCAGGUCAGACAGAGCCCUGGCGCUGGCGUAGUCUGCAUCAGGAUGGGCUAAAAAAGAAUAAUGAUUAAGGAGAUUUCUGAAUGACGUUAAAAUUAACAGAAAGCAAGCUGGAAAACCUUGUUGAUACUUUAAAUGCCAUUAUAUGUGGUGAAGUAAAUAUUACGCGUGAGCAGCGUGAAAAUAUGGUCAGGACGGUUGCAAUUCUGGGAGGCUUAACGGAACGACAGCGCCUCAUCACUGCGGAAAAAGAAGCUAAAACGCAGGUAAAAGAAGAAAAGAAAAAAACCACGCCUUCCGGAUGAAGUGUUUCCGCGUUCAGGAAAACCGUGGGCACCGGAGGACCUGGACCUUAUUCAUUCGAUUAUUGCUGAUAUUUCGGAUGACAGAAUCGAUGAUCAUAUACUCUGGCUGUCGAAGAAACUGCAGCGCACCCCUUAUGCCAUCACCCUGAAAAUUGUCAGUGAAGGCCGUAUGAACGAGGAAUGGGCUAAAGGGUGGAAGCCUGCCGCAAAAUCUAUUUGUGCGGAUUUUGCUCUGGUCAGGGCAAAGACUUCAGCAAACAAUACAGAUAAUUAAUGAACGUUCGUCACUCAUAUGAAAUGAGUUGAUAAAUUAACUAAAAUUUAUAACGUUAAUAUGAAUAUUUUAUCAAGAAUUUUCCUGCUCAACUAAAUAUAAUAUUCAUGCAGCCGAUAAUAAGAGUGUAAGAAAGGGGGCGGUGUGAACGAUUUUCAUAUUUUAAGUAUUUGUAUUCAGAAUAAGGAUGUGGCAGGCGCAAUGCGCGUGCUGUGUGAUAAAUCAGAAUUUGCGGUGCGCAAGAUUCUGGAGAAACUAAAGGUCAGGGUCACAACGCAAACCGGCAGGGCAUUCUGGCAUUAUGUUCAGGGCUGGCUGUUAACCGCGUGUCGCCAGGGGAAUCUACAGCAUGAAUCGUUCAGUACCCGACGUUCUUCCCACAAUCCGGAAUGCCAGCCAGCUCAGUCCCGCUGCUCUCGAUAUGGCCAAGCUCCUCGCACUUCUGGCCAUGAUUAUCGACCACACCAAUACGGUGUUUCUGUCGCCAGCCUGGCCGGUGAUGUAUGCGCUUGGCCGGAUGGCCUUCCCCCUGUUCACGCUUAUAUGGGCGAUGAACGUACAGCGCACCCCGGAACGACUGCAGAAGAGAGCCAGUCGCCUGUGGAUCUGGGCAGUCAUCACUCAGCCGGUGUUCAGCCUGGCCUUCUGGCAUCACCAGCCCUGGUGGGCCCUGAACAUUCUGUUCGUGUUUGCCGGCGUCACGCAGCUGAUUGCCCUGCAGUACCAGCACGGCCUGAAAGGAAUGUUUGCGGGAUAUCUGCUCCUGGCCCUCAUGAUUUGGCCCCUGCAGCCGGCAAGCUACGGGCUGGCAGGAAUAACGCUGGCCAUCAGUAUGGCAACGGUUUCUGGCAGCGAUACACCCGGAGUGCAGCGGCUGGCAGCCAUCACUGCCGUGCUGUCACUGAUUUGUUUAAACGGGUUAUCGCAUCUCCUGGAUAUGCCCGCAGAAACAUUAUUACUGGCCACGCUGCCUACUCUGGCAUUCCCCCUAGCAGUGGUUUCAUUCUGCAGGCAAAUCUGUCCGGAGGGCCGCAGGCGUUUCAUGCCGCGUAAUUUCUUUUAUUAUGCUUACGCCGGCCACCUGGGGAUUAUUGGUCUGGUACAGUCUGCUUUUGGCUGACUUAGGAUGACGUGAUGGCUAUCAGUGAGAAAGAGCUGAUAGCCCGUAACCACCUGAGAGGUUAUCGGUCGGGCUUAACUGGUUAUUAGCGCAGGGCAUGUUAAACUUCCCGCAGGGAAAAGGAGAGAAGCAUGAACCAUGAAAGUGAUCUGACGAACCACGGCUUCAGUGAAGAGGACAUUGUCCGGCUGCGGGCCAGUUCAGCUAAAACGGGUACGGAGAUGGAUACCCUACUGAACGAUCUGGCAAACCGUUUUAAGGCCCUGAUAUGGGUGCUGUCAGUCAUGUUACUGAUUUUUGUGGCCACACUUUUGGCUGGCUCGAGGAUGCAUGCCAUUUCCUUUGGCGUGGCUAUUCUUGUUCUUGGCACUCUGUUUACGAUUACCAUGCCUUUGAAGCUGGCCUAUAAAUCAUGGCAUUACCGCCGGAAUCUCAUUUCCCAGCGUCAUCAGAAGUGAUCAGAUCGAAAACAACCUUAGCCUUUACCCCCCAUCCCACAAUUUUCAUUGUCAGUUUGCCCCGGGACAUGGUGUCGAUUUUCCGGUAAAAAUCGGUGCUUAUAUAGUUAAACAGACGCCAUGUUCCAGGUCUGGCCAUUAAUCCAUAGACACUGUAGAUAUUGCCUGCAAGCGCGAUCCCGUUGUAUAUCCCCAACCCUGUUGACGGUUCAAAUCCCAUGAAUUUAGCGAUAUUCAUGGCACCAUCACCAAACAUACCCUGCGUGUCAGGUUCAUUCAGGAACUGACGACCAACUUCACGGGUUAUCGUGUUGGCCGAGUCGACAAUCAGAAUAGCCCCGGCAAGAACGCCAACGGGGGUCAUUGAGGAAGUCAGCACGAAGCCAAAUACGCCCUGCAUACCUGCCAGCACCACUUUAAUUCCUGAGAUGACAUAACCGACCAUCCGGUCUUCAUCCCUGACGUAUUUGAUCUGGGCAUAUAGCUUCGCAUAACCGGUCUGGAGCUGACGGCUCUGCUCAAGCAGACUGGUGUUUUCGGCCUGCAGGUUACGCAGGCAGGUCAUGCACUCUUCGUCAGACUUUGCCCGCCGGGCACGCUCAAAUUCGCCAUUAAUGACAGAUUUAAUUUCAUCGAUGAAUUUGAGACGCGUCAAUCCAUCCCCCAGAUGUCGGGCGCCAACAAUAUUAGCGGUAUUGACGAGUUUGCGGGCCUCCAGAUUAAUCAUGGUUUCUGCCCAGACUCGUGCCUGGCUUUUGUUUCCCGGAAGAAUUAUAUCCAUUUUUCUCAUCCUGAUUGAAAAUUACCCAUUAAAGCUUAUCGCGCUCCCGGAUUUAGGCAACCCUGCUUUAAAGGGUAAAUGUAUGCCGCGAAGCGGCAUGGAGACGCCAGCCGGAGCUGAACCGGGUGAUUCUGGUGAGGGGCGUCGUAACCGGCAUCAGCCGUUACGGAUUGAUAGGUUCUGCCAAUCCCAUCCCUUUCCCUGCAAAGCUAUACCCGCUUAAAGCUUUCCGAUUGCUAAUGUGCGCGGUCGGAGUGAGCCCGUCGAGGCCAGAGGCCGCUGACGGGCUGUAUCUCCGCGUUAGCGCCGUGAGGCGCUUACGAGCGUGUACAGCGGGCUUGCCGCGACGCUAACUGCAGCUGCUUUGAUUUCUAGUUACAACAUCCCUCUUAAAGCGAGGGUGUUCCGGCCCUUUGGGCCGGGGCGGCGUCGGUUUAGCAGGGGUCAGGUAUGUAUGCGGUGCCUGGUUCUGGCGAGAACGGGGCCCGGCGCUUGCGACGGGAGGUACUUUUGAUUUCCUUCUGAGCGCGCGGCCGUGAGGCCGCUGCACGCGAAGGCAUUUUACGUUAUCCACAGAGUGGCCGUAGACAAAGAUCUACUCUGGAAUGUAAUGAACAGAGAGAUAAAAAAGGUGAAGUAAGACUGUUUUGCGGAAUGUCUUUUAUUCAUUUCCGGGUUACUCCACUUAUUCGUUUGCGGAUUUCUGUGUAAAAAAAAGAGACUGUGGCCAUUGCGGGCCAUAACGACCGGCAGAACGUCAUGGUGACCGGAAGACGAAAGGAGUGAAAGAUGAAAAAUGAGCAUAAUGGCCGAAAAAAUCCAGCACGAAAAGCCCCGGUGAGGGGCCUGUAAACAGGAAGACUGCUGUGUCGUCUGUGACUAGUCCGGUGGAGAAAGCGCCAGAUCCAGCUGGUAAAGAUGCUGGAUAGCCAGAGCCUUCAGGCGCUCAGAUGUGCACCAGUACGCUUCGUCAGGCGGCAGGGUGCGGUAAAUCCAUUCAGACAUUGCAUGGAGUCGUUCAUGGGGUCGUCUCAGAAAACGGAAUCUAUGGUCACUCCCGUUUUUGCAACACCGAUUUUGACGACAAGUUGGCUUGCUUGAAUCUAUCCGGCGUCUGAAUGGGAUUUUAUUCCCGCGCCUCGAUGAGUUCCGCGCCUGAUGAACCUCCAGAAAAUAUACGGCUUCAAUGAGCCUUUCCGUUUUACAGGUUCCUCAACAGGCCGGUGGGCCGUUAGUAUCAUCAAUAUCAGUAUUCGCAAAACCAGAUGAAUGAUUGUUUAAACUGGUGUAUUUCUGCCUUUAUGCUUCGUAAGUUUGCUGUCGCGCCGUCAGUGCCCAGGCUAUUCUGGCCAGCUUGUUUGCCAGAGCACAGGUGACGACAAAGUUGCUUUUCCGACACAACAACUCCCUGACCCAGUCGGCCAACUUGCCAGACUGGUGUUCCAGUUUUUGUAUGAAUACCCUGGCACACUGAACCAACAAAGUUCGGAUCUUUUUGUUGCCCCGCUUGCUAAUCCCUAACAAUGUCGUCCGACCUCCCGUGCUGUACUGUCGGGGUACCAGCCCUGUUGCCGCCGCAAAGUCACGGCUGCUGGCGUACUGCUUCCCGUCGCCAAUCUCAGUUGAAAUAGUACUGGCAGUCAGCGUUCCAACGCAGGGAAUACUCAGCAAGCGCUGUCCAACCUCAUCUUCGUCCAACUUUCGUUUCAACUGAGAUUCCAGAUCUUUAAUCUGCUCAACAAGAUAGUGAUAAUGCUGUUGUAAUUUCAGCAGUAACUGGCUGAGAUAAAGAGGCAAACUACUGUCCUCAAGAAGGGUACUCAGUCGACUAAUAACGGCAGCACCUCGCGGAACGCUGAUACCAAAUUCCAGCAGAAAAGCAUGCAUCUGAUUAGUUGUUUUCACCUUAUCCUGAACCAGGGAUUCACGGACACGAUGCAGAGCUCGCAUUGCCUGCUGAGAUUCGGUUCUGGGCUGCACGAAACGCAUAGAUGGACGUGAUGCUGCUUCACAGAUAGCUUCAGCAUCAACGAAGUCAUUUUUGUUGCUUUUAACGAAUGGGCGGACAAAUUGCGGUGAUAUCAGCUUUGGAAAAUGCCCUAACUCUUCCAGCUUGCGUGCCAUAAAGUGAGAACCGCCACAGGCUUCCAUCGCGAUGGUUGUUGCCGGGCAUGUCGCCAGAAAUUCGAUUAGCUUUGGUCGGGUGAAUUUUUUACGGUAAACGGCCUUCCCACGAUGAUCCUGACAAUGAAUAUGGAAAGAGUUCUUACCCAGAUCGAUACCAAUAAGCGCAAUGUUUUCCAUGAUGGUUCUCCGAAUGAAAGCCUGUCCUCAGCAUAGUACUGGGAAGGAGGGAGUGACCAUCUCAUUAAAUAAAGCACGCUAAGGCGUAGUUCCCUCGGGCUACACCGCGUCCGCACUGCGCGGUUCUUUCUUCCCUUGCAGUGACGCAAUCAGCGGGCAGGAAACGUUCCCCUUCCGCGCAUGGCAGGCGCACACCAAAUCAGACAGCACGGCCUCCAUGCGCGCCAGGUCAGCCAUCCUCUCGCGCACGUCCUUGAGCUUGUGCUCGGCCAGGCUGCUGGCUUCCUCGCAAUGGGUGCCAUCCUCCAGCCGCAGCAGCUCGGCGAUCUCAUCCAGGCUGAAGCCCAACCGCUGGGCUGAUUUCACGAAGCGCACCCGCGUUACAUCCGUCUCGCCAUAGCGGCGAAUGCUGCCGUAAGGCUUGUCCGGUUCCGGGAGCAAGCCCUUGCGCUGAUAGAACCGGAUGGUCUCCACAUUGACCCCGGCCGUCCUGGCGAAAACGCCAAUGGUCAGGUUCUCCAAAUUGUUUUCCAUAUCGCUUGACUCCGUACAUAACUACGGAAGUAAGCUUAAGCUAUCCAAUUCAGAUUCGAAAGGACAAACGUAUGUCUGAACCUCAAAACGGGCGCGGCGCGCUCUUCACUGGCGGGCUGGCCGCCAUCCUCGCCUCGGCUUGCUGCCUCGGGCCGCUGGUUCUGAUCGCCUUGGGGUUCAGCGGCGCUUGGAUCGGCAACUUGACGGUGUUGGAACCCUAUCGCCCCAUCUUUAUCGGCGUGGCGCUGGUGGCGUUGUUCUUCGCCUGGCGGCGCAUCUACCGGCCGUCAGCCGCCUGCAAACCGGGUGAGGUUUGCGCGAUUCCCCAAGUGCGAGCUACUUACAAGCUCAUUUUCUGGGGCGUGGCCGUGCUGGUUUUGGUCGCGCUCGGAUUUCCCUACGUCGUGCCAUUUUUCUAUUGAUCACAGGAGUUCACCAUGAAAAAGCUGCUUUCCGCCCUUGCCCUCGCUGCCGUUGUUGCCCCCGUGUGGGCCGCCACCCAGACCGUUACGCUGUCCGUACCGGGCAUGACCUGCUCGGCCUGUCCGAUCACUGUCAAGAAGGCGAUUUCCAAGGUCGAUGGCGUCAGUAAAGUUGACGUGACCUUCGAGACGCGCGAAGCGGUGGUCACCUUCGAUGAUGCCAAGACCAGCGUGCAGAAACUGACCAAGGCUACCGAGGAUGCGGGCUACCCAUCAUCAGUCAAGAACUGAUCAUGAAAGACCCGAAGACACUGCUGCGGGUCAGCAUCAUUGGCACAACCCUCGUGGCGCUGUGUUGCUUCACCCCUGUUCUGGUCAUUUUGCUCGGUGUGGUCGGCUUGUCCGCGCUGACCGGCUAUCUGGACUAUGUGCUGCUGCCUGCGCUGGCGAUUUUCAUCGGCUUGACCAUCUACGCCAUCCAACGAAAACGCCAAGCCGAUGCCUGCUGCACCCCGAAAUUCAAUGGAGUAAAAAAAUGACCGAAAUCACCGUGAAUGGCAUGACCUGCACAUCCUGCGCCACCCAUGUCAAAGAUGCUUUGGAAAAGAUUCCCGGCGUGAAUGCCGCUGUGGUGUCCUAUCCAGAAAGCCGCGCGCAAGUCAUGGCAGACACCGCCGUGAGCCACAACCAACUGCUGGCCGCCAUCGCCGCAUUGGGUUAUCAAGGCUCGAUCCGGGUUGGUGAUUUCAAAGAUGAACCAAAAAUCCGUGAUGCACUUGAGGGCGCCGGUUUGCAUAUCGCCAUCAUUGGCAGCGGCGGGGCCGCGAUGGCGGCGGCGCUGAAGGCCGUCGAGCAAGGCGCGACGGUCACGCUGAUCGAACGCGGCACCAUCGGCGGCACCUGCGUCAAUAUCGGCUGUGUGCCGUCCAAGAUCAUGAUCCGCGCUGCCCAUAUUGCCCAUCUGCGCCGGGAAAGUCCGUUCGACGGCGGUAUUGCGGCAACUGUGCCUGCGAUUGACCGCAGCAAACUGCUGGCCCAGCAGCAGGCCCGUGUCGAUGAACUGCGGCACGCCAAAUACGAAGGCAUCCUGGACGGCAAUCCAGCCAUCACCGUUUUGCACGGUGAAGCGCGUUUCAAGGACGACCAGAGCCUGGUCGUCCGUUUGAACGAGGGUGGCGAGCGCGAGGUAACGUUCGACCGCUGCCUGGUCGCCACCGGUGCCAGUCCGGCCGUGCCGCCGAUUCCGGGCCUGAAAGAGUCACCCUACUGGACUUCCACCGAAGCGCUUGUCAGCGACACCAUUCCCGCACGCCUGGCCGUGAUCGGUUCGUCGGUGGUGGCGUUGGAACUGGCGCAAGCCUUUGCCCGGCUCGGCAGCCAGGUCACGAUCCUGGCACGCAGCACCUUGUUCUUCCGGGAAGACCCGGCCAUCGGCGAGGCCGUGACAGCCGCUUUCCGCGCCGAGGGCAUCGAGGUGCUGGAGCACACGCAAGCCAGCCAGGUCGCCCAUGUGAACGGCGAAUUCGUGCUGACCACCGGACACGGUGAAUUACGCGCUGACAAGUUGCUGGUUGCCACCGGUCGGGCACCGAAUACGCGCAGCCUCGCGCUGGACGCGGCGGGGGUCACUGUCAAUGCGCAAGGGGCCAUCGUUAUCGACCAAGGCAUGCGCACGAGCAACCCGAACAUCUACGCGGCCGGCGACUGCACCGACCAGCCGCAGUUCGUCUACGUGGCAGCGGCCGCCGGCACCCGUGCCGCGAUCAACAUGACCGGCGGCGACGCAGCCCUCAAUCUGACCGCGAUGCCGGCAGUGGUGUUCACCGACCCGCAAGUCGCCACCGUGGGCUACAGCGAGGCGGAAGCGCACCACGAUGGCAUCGAGACCGACAGUCGCACGCUGACACUCGACAACGUUCCGCGAGCGCUUGCCAACUUCGACACACGCGGCUUCAUCAAGCUGGUCAUCGAGGAAGGUAGCGGACGGCUCAUCGGCGUGCAGGCGGUGGCCCCGGAAGCGGGCGAACUGAUCCAGACGGCGGUGCUCGCCAUCCGCAACCGCAUGACGGUGCAGGAACUGGCCGACCAGUUGUUCCCCUACCUGACAAUGGUCGAGGGGUUGAAGCUUGCGGCGCAGACCUUCAACAAGGACGUGAAGCAGCUUUCCUGCUGCGCUGGAUAAAAAAAGGAGGUUUUCAAUGAGCGCCUACACCGUGUCCCGGCUGGCCCUUGAUGCCGGGGUGAGCGUGCAUAUCGUGCGCGACUACCUGCUGCGCGGAUUUCUGCGUCCGGUGGCGUGCACCCCGGGCGGCUAUGGCCUGUUCGAUGAUGCCGCCUUGCAACGGCUGUGCUUCGUGCGGGCGGCCUUCGAGGCGGGCAUCGGCCUGGACGCGCUGGCGCGGCUGUGCCGGGCGCUGGAUGCUGCGGACGGCGAUGAAGCGGCCGCGCAGCUUGCCGUUCUGCGCCAGUUCGUCGAGCGUCGGCGCGAAGCGUUGGCCGAUCUGGAGGUGCAGUUGGCCACCAUGCCGACCGAGCCGGCACAGCACGCGGAGAGUCUGCCAUGAACAGCCCCGAGCGCUUGCCGUCCGAGACGCACAAACCGAUCACCGGCUACCUGUGGGGCGCGCUGGCCGUGCUCACCUGUCCCUGCCAUUUGCCGAUUCUCGCCAUUGUGCUGGCCGGCACGACGGCCGGCGCGUUCAUCGGAGAGUACUGGGGUAUCGCAGCCCUCACGCUGACCGGUUUGUUCGUCCUGUCUGUGACACGACUGCUGCGGGCCUUCAAAGAUCGAUCAUGAGCGCUUCCCAUUGAGACAAACCACGCUGUCGCUACGUUGCCUCAUGCCGGCAUCAAAUUCGGCUGAGUAGCUUCUCGCCAUCUGGACGUAGCUCACCCUUGGGUGAAACAUGCCGAUACAGGGUCUGCCGCGUGACGCCAAGUUCCUGGCACAGGUCGCCGACCUUGGUCUCUGGCUGACCCAUUGCCGCCAUCGCCAGCCGCAGCUUGGCGGCGGUCAUCUUGAACGGCCGGCCGCCUUUCCGCCCGCGCGCGCGGGCCGAGGCUAGGCCGGCAAUCGUGCGCUCCGCGAUCAACUCGCGCUCGAACUCGGCCAGGGCGGCGAAGAUGCCAAAGACCAGCUUGCCGGCGGCGGUCGUGGUGUCGAUGGCCGCGCCGUGCCCGGUUAAUACCUUCAAGCCGAUGCCGCGCCCAGUCAGGUCGUGCACGGUGUUGAUGAGAUGUCGCAGGUCGCGUCCGAGCCGAUCCAGUUUCCACACGACCAGUGUGUCGCCAGUUCGCAACGCCUUCAGGCAGCUCGUCAAGCCGGGCCGAUCCUCGCGCAUGCCGGAUGCCUGGUCCUCGUAAAGAUGUACUGGAUCGACCCCGGCGGCAAUCAGCGCGUCGCGCUGCAAAUCGGUAGCCUGGGAGCCGUCCGCCUUCGAUACCCGCAUGUAGCCUAUCAGCAUGUCGUACCUGUCACAUAUACGUUCGUUUUGUCGAACCAUUGCAUCGCCCUUUGUGAUUGGCGUAUAAACACACAAACACCUAUUAGCGGAGAACGCUAUGAAUACCAUUCGCUGGAAUGUCGCCGUCUCGGCCGACACCGACCAGUCGCUUCGGAUGUUUCUGGCCAGCCAGGGCGGCGGCCGUAAGGGCGACCUGUCGCGCUUCAUCGAAGAAGCGGUACGGGCACACAUCCUGGAGCUGAGCGCUGAGCAGGCCAAGGCCGCUAACGCCCAUCUGAGUGAGGCAGAAUUGACCAACGCGGUUGACGAAGCGCUCGACUGGGCACGUAAGCGCUGAUGCGGGUCGUGUUGGAUACCAACAUCCUGUUCAGCGCCCUGAUCUCGCCACAUGGCGCGCCCGAUGCGAUCUACCGUGCCUGGCGGGCGGCGCGUUUCGAGGUGGUGACCUCGCGGAUGCAACUCGAUGAAAUUCGUCGAGCCAGCCGCUAUCCCAAGCUUCAGGCCAUCCUACAGCCCGCCAAGGUGGGCGCCAUGAUCAAUAACCUGCAACGGGCUGUGGUACUGGAGCGCCUGACCAUCGAGGUCGAAGCCGAUGAUCCGGAUGACUCGUUUUUGCUGGCCAUGGCCUUGGCGGGCGAUGCGGACUACCUGAUAACCGGUGAUCGCCGCGCCGGCCUGCUGUAACGCGGGCACAUCGAACGCACGCGGAUCGUCACGCCCGCCGUGUUCUGCGUCGAGGUGCUGUGAUCAAUGCCGGUCGGUUUUCUGACUCAAGAGCAACGCGACGGUUUUGGCCGCUAUGUUGAUUCGCCCAGCCGUGAAGAGCUGGAACGUUACUUCCACCUGAGCGAUGAAGACCGUGAAGCCAUCCAGGUGCUGCGGGGUAACCAUAACCGUCUGGGUUAUGCCGUUCUGCUGACCACCGUCCGCUUCGUUGGCGUUCUGCCGGACAAGCCCGCCGCCGUGCCGGUGGAAGUCCUGCAGGUGCUUUGCCGACAACUGGCGAUUCCAGACCCCGACUGCCUCCAGCGCUAUAGCGAUCAUCGCCGCUGGAUACAUGCCACCGAUAUUCAGAACCGCUUUGGCUAUCGUCAUUUCACCGAUCCGGGCAUCGGCUUUCGCUUGAGCCGCUGGCUGUAUGCCCUCUGCUGGACGGGCACCGACCGGCCGGGAGUGCUGUUUGAGCGAGCCACCUCGUGGCUGUUCACACAGAAAGUCCUCCUGCCUGGUGUGUCUCAACUAGAGCGCUUUAUCGCCCAGUUGCGCAGUCGGGUCGAAGAACGCCUCUGGUUUACGCUGGGCCGCAGCGUGACUGAGGAACAGCGAUUGCAACUGCAAGACUUGCUGACGGUGGCCGAAGGCAACCGCAGCUCCCGGCUGGAUCAAUUGCGCUCCGGCCCGGUCAUGGUCAGUGGCCCCGCGUUGAUUCGGGCACUGCGCCGGCUCGAUGACGUGCGCGGCAUCGGCAUCACCUUGCCGGCGGCGGCGCACAUCCCUCCCAGCCGUAUCGCCGCCCUGGCCCGCUUCGCCAACACGGCCAAGGUCACCGCGAUUAAUCGGCUGCCGGCGUCGCGGCGGAUGGCGACACUGGUGGCCUUCGCACUCUGCCUGGAGGCGACUGCGCACGACGACGCACUGGAAGUCCUGGAGGCCUUGCUGCGCGACCUGUUCAGCAACGCGGAGAAGGCCGACAAGAAAGCCCGCAUGCGCAGCCUGAAAGACCUGGAUCGGUCGGCCGCGACGCUCGCCGCCGCGUGCAAGGUCGUGCUGGACAGCUCGAUCAGCGAUGACAACGUGCGCGCCCGGCUGUUCAACGACCUGCCGAGGACCACCCUGGAAAAGGCCCUGGAAGAGGUCAACGCGCUGAUCCGCCCGGUAGAUGACGUCUAUUUUCUUGCAUUGGAAGCGCGCUACCGCAGCGUGCGCCGCUUCCUGCCCGACCUGCUCAAGCACAUCCGCUUCGGCUUCAGCCCGGCCGGCAAGGGCGUGGCGGCUAGUCUGGAGUGGCUGCAACUGAACCUGCCGCGCCGGAAGCCAGAGGAUGACGCGCCGCAGGAGAUCGUGGCCAAGGCUUGGCAGAAGCACAUCACCCGCGAAGAUGGCUCCCUCGACAUGGGUGCCUAUGUGUUCUGCACGCUCGAUGCGCUGCGCACGGCCCUGCGCCGCCGCGAUGUCUUCGUCUCGCCCAGUUGGCGCUAUGCCGACCCGCGCCUUGGCCUGCUCGACGGUGCCGAAUGGCUGGCGGCGCGACCGAUCAUCUGCCGGUCACUGGGCCUGACCAUCGACGCCAAAACCACCCUGGACGCCUUGUCCGUCGAGCUGGAUGCAACCUGGCUGGCAGUAGCCGCGCGCCUGCCCGACAACCCGGCGAUUCAACUGAGCGAGAACACCGAGGGCAAGACCGAACUGUCGCUCGGGGCGCUGGACAAGCUGGACGAGCCCUGCUCGUUGCUGCAACUGCGGGCGGCCGUGUCUGACCUGAUGCCGCGUGUCGAUCUGCCGGAAAUCCUCUUGGAAAUCGCCGCCCGCACUGGCUUUUCCGAGGCCUUCACCCAUGUCUCCGAACGCAAUGCACGCGCCGACAACCUGGUCACCAGCCUCUGCGCGGUGCUGUUGGGCGGGGCCUGCAACACCGGCCUGGAGCCCUUGAUCCGCACCGACAACCCGGCGCUGCGCCGUGACCGGCUGUCCUGGGUCAGCCAGAAUUAUAUCCGCGACGACACCCUGUCAGCGGCUAACGCCAUCCUGGUCGGAGCGCAAAGCCAACUGGAACUGGCCCAAGUCUGGGGUGGCGGCGAGGUCGCCUCCGCCGAUGGCAUGCGCUUCGUCGUACCGGUGCGCACCGUGCAUGCCGGCCCCAAUCCGAAGUAUUUCGGCACCGGCCGGGGUGUCACCUGGUACAACCUGAUUUCCGACCAAUUCUCCGGCCUCAACGCCAUCACCGUGCCCGGCACGCUGCGCGACAGCCUGGUGUUGCUGGCGGUCGUGCUGGAACAGCAGACCGAGUUGCAGCCGACGCAAAUCAUGACCGACACCGGGGCCUACAGCGAUGUGGUGUUCGGGCUCUUCCGCCUACUUGGCUACCACUUCAGUCCGCGGCUGGCCGAUGUCGGCGGUACCCGCUUCUGGCGCACGCGCCCGGACGCGGACUACGGCAAGCUCAACGGGCUGGCCCGCCAGUCGGUCAAACUCGACCUGAUCGCCGAGCACUGGGACGACCUGCUGCGCCUGGCCGGCUCGCUCAAACUCGGCCGGGUGCCGGCGACUGGCAUCAUGCGCACGCUGCAAACGGGAGAUAGACCCACCCGGCUGGCCCAGGCGCUGGCCGAAUUCGGGCGGAUCGAAAAGACUCUGCACACGUUGACCUAUAUCGACGACGAGUCCAAGCGCCGCGCCACCCUGACCCAGUUGAACCGAGGCGAAGGCCGGCACAGCCUGGCCCGCGCCGUGUUCCACGGCAAACGCGGCGAGCUCCGCCAGCGCUACCGCGAAGGCCAGGAAGACCAGCUCGGUGCUCUGGGCCUGGUGGUGAACAUCAUCGUGCUGUGGAACACCCUCUACAUGACGGCGGCCGUGGAACGGCUCAAGCAGCACGGCUAUCCAGUGCUGGAAGAGGAUUUGGCCCGGCUAUCGCCGCUGAUCUACGAGCACAUCAACAUGCUCGGGCGGUAUUCCUUUGCGGUACCGGAAGAAGUUGCGCGCGGCGAGCUGCGGCCACUGCGUAAUCCAGACGACGACCUGUGAUCCCCCUAAACGCUAUGAGCAACACCCAAGCUGCUGCUGGAUCGGCGGGCACUUCACCGAGCCGAACGAACAGAAAACGCAGCAAUCCCCUGGGUUGGGGCGCAGCAGCGCCUUGCAGUUGCUGCACUCGUAAUAGAACUGGCAGGCGUCCGUGGGCAUGGUUUCCGGCUUGGCGAAGCCGCAGCGCGGGCAAGUCAGCACGGACUCAAGGACAAUGGCGCUCAUCGUGACCUCACUUCUGCACUGUGGAGGGGUAUCCCGCGUUCGCGGUCGCCUCAGUCAGUGCCUCGGGCUGGGCCUUAUCGGGAUCGUAGGUGACGGUCGCCGUCUUCUGGUCGAAAUUGACCUGGACGUCACUCACGCCGGACACCUUCUCCAGCGACUUCUUGACCGUGAUCGGACAGAGUCCGCACGUCAUGUUCUGCACGUCGAGCGUGACGGUUUUCGGGGGAGCCGCCAGCGCCACGAAGGGCAAGGCGAAAAGCACGGCGAUCAGCAGUUUGCGCAUGGUUAAUCUCCUUCAGUAGAACAGCGGGGCGAGCCACGGCACGGCCAAUAGGCCGAGCAGCAGCACGCUGACGAUCCAGAACACGAGUCGCUGUCGCACGAGCGUGCGCGGAUCGGCGCAGGGUGUACCUGGCGUACAAACCUGUGGCACCAGGUAGAGCUUGCGGAAUGCCAAUCCCAGGAACAGUAGAGUCAACCCGAUGAAGAGGGGGCGUAGUGGCUCCAUCAUGGUCAGAGCGCCCACCCACGUACCGCCGACACCGAGUGCCAACAGCACCAGUGGCCCGACACAGCACACCGACGCACCGAUGGCGGUCAGCGAACUCGCGACCAGCGAGCCUUUCCCGGUGAGUUGCAUCCCCAUUCCCAUCUCCUGAGCCUGAUUGCCUAGGUGCUAUUCUAAACUCCGUACCAAAGUACGGAAUCAAGGAGAAAGUGAUGGCCACAGAGCUGACCAUUGGCAAGCUGGCAGACGCCGCCGGGGUGAACGUCGAGACGAUCCGCUACUACCAGCGACGCGGGCUGCUGGAUGAACCAGCCAAACCCUUGGGUGGCCAUCGGCGCUAUCCGGUGGACAUGGUGAAGCGACUGCGUUUCAUCAAGCGGGCUCAGGCGCUGGGUUUCACGCUCUCGGAAGUCGGUGGACUGCUGACGCUGGAUGAGUCGUGCGCCUGUGCCGAAACGCGAGCACGGGCUGCACGCAAGCUCGCGUUGAUCGAGCAGAAGAUGGCCGACUUGGUCGUCAUGCAGCAACUGUUAGGCGAACUGGUGCAGCAAUGUUAUGCGGGAGACGGCGGAACGAUCUGCCCGAUCAUCGAGGCACUGAUCAGAGAGUAAUGCCUGGCGGGUGAGCUGGAGAUCGGAAAGCCCCUUUACGGUGGGGUUCAGAGCUUACGUUGGUUUUUGGUUCCAUUGCUCCCCAAACCCCGGAUUGCCGCCAACGAUAGCGUAAGGCUCCACAUCUUUUGUCACCAACGAGCGGCUGCCUAUCACCGCACCGUGCCCGAUCUUGAUUCCGGGCAUGACCAUUGCCUCAGAGCCGAUCCAAACGUCAUUGCCAAUGACAGUAUUACCUGCUUUUUGGAAGGCAUCGAGUGCGCUUGAGAAUGCAGGUUCUUCCUGCAUAUAAAAGAACGGGAAAGAUGAUGCCCAGUCGUACCGAUGCCCCUGAUUGCCAGCCAUGAUAAAGGAAGCCCCACUCCCGAUAGAGCAGAAACUACCGAUGAUCAACUUAUCAACGUCAUCACGGUCCGGAAACAGAUACCGUGCGCAGUCAUCGAAUGAGUGCCCAUGAUAGUAGCCAGAGUAAUAGCUGUACCGCCCAACUUUGAUAUUGGGGUUCUUCACUUGCUCAGAAAGCAGCUUGCCUUUGAAGGGGCUAUCAAAGUAGUUGGUCAUAAGAGAUCCCGCGGUCUGUGACUUUGCCGUCUAACGUUUGACAUGAGGGGCGGCCAAGGGCGCCAGCCCUUGGACGUCCCCCUCGAUGGAAGGGUUAGGCAUCACUGCGUGUUCGCUCGAAUGCCUGGCGUGUUUGAACCAUGUACACGGCUGGACCAUCUGGGGUGGUUACGGUACCUUGCCUCUCAAACCCCGCUUUCUCGUAGCAUCGGAUCGCUCGCAAGUUGCUCGGCGACGGGUCCGUUUGGAUCUUGGUGACCUCGGGAUCAUUGAACAGCAACUCAACCAGAGCUCGAACCAGCUUGGUUCCCAAGCCUUUGCCCAGUUGUGAUGCAUUCGCCAGUGACUGGUCUAUUCCGCGUACUCCUGGAUCGGUUUCUUCUUCCCACCAUCCGUCCCCGCUUCCAAGAGCAACGUACGACUGGGCAUACCCAAUCGGCUCUCCAUUCAGCAUUGCAAUGUAUGGAGUGACGGACUCUUGCGCUAAAACGCUUGGCAAGUACUGUUCCUGUACGUCAGCAAGUGUCGGGCGUGCUUCUUCUCCGCCCCACCACUCGACGAUAUGAGAUCGAUUUAGCCACUCAUAGAGCAUCGCAAGGUCAUGCUCAGUCAUGAGGCGCAGUGUGACGGAAUCGUUGCUGUUGGUCACGAUGCUGUACUUUGUGAUGCCUAACGUUUGACGUGAGGGGCCGCCGUAGCGGCGAAGCCGCGAAGGGAACCCGCAAGCGCAGCUUGUGGGCGGUCCCUCUCGACGGAAUGGUUAGAUGCGACCGUUUUAGUGAACACUUGCCUUAGAUAGCAAGUUGAGCACAGCAACGCCGCUGAUAAUGAAGCCGACACCAACAAAUCCCCACAUAUCUAGUUUUUGACCAUGCAAAACCCAUGCAAUCGCAGUGACCAAGACGAUCCCGAGGCCCGACCAAACUGCGUAGGCGAUUCCAACAGGAAUCGAUUUGAGUGUCAGCGACAGGAAAUAAAAAGCAGCAGCGUAUCCCGCUACGACGAUAAAAGACGGUACUAACCUAGUAAAGCCCUCACUAGACUUGAGCGCAGAGGUUGCAAUGACCUCAAAAAUAAUGGACGUAGCCAGAAAUAACCAAUUUUUCAAAAUAUUUAUCCAUGGAGUUCCGCGAAUAAAUUUUAGGUUCGAUUUAAGAAAAAAAACAGUCUUGUUGCUGGCCGAAAUUUGUGCGCACAGCAAAGCAUCUAACGCCGAGUUCAGCGGCAGUUUUUAAGUUGUGGUUUUAUGGAAUAUUUUUGCGAAGCAAAACCAUAAAACCGCGACUUAAAAACUGUCCAGUGCGCGCAGCGCACGAUGCUGCAACGACUUGUGUACGCCCAGCAUGGGCAUGAACUAAUGAGGUGAAAGUCCUCUGUAGGAAGGUCACCGUUCGAUAACAUGCUGUUAUUAAACGUUAACUACUAGCGAAUGGCAAGGGCUUACCCGUGAGGGGCGGUCUGAAGGAAGCCGCUAGCAAAUUUGCGAGCUGAUGAACAAGAACAUCAUAUGAGGCGUAGGCUGAAGGUGAGUUGGCACAAGACGACGAAACCACGUGAUCUAACGGCCACCGUAAAUGAUGCAGCAGUGCAAAGAAAGUUCAUGUCCUUAUCUGGGGAGAUCUGCUUAGCAUGCGAUCGGUCAUUAACCAGUAAGGCUCUGGUCUACAAGUGUCUUGGCUUUUCAAUUUCAUCAACUGGAAAGAGCGAAUUAGAUGAAAACCGAUAGCGCAUGACGGGGCAACUCGGCAUGUGAUUAAGCAGAAGUCAGCAGACGGCAUAGUAGCCCAACGCCUAUCGUAAUGGAUGGGAUAUGGUGAAGGCCUGAACAUUUAGAAGAAGGAGGAGUCUUGCCAAACUUGUCGGUACUCACUACGUCGUCAGACGAUUACUAUCAACAGCGUAUUAGCCCGCAACCAGCCUUCAACAGCAAUCUAUUUCCGCAACUACUCGAACCUGAGAAUCUACACCGAGCUUGGCGACAAGUGAAAGCCAAUAAAGGCGCGUCGGGUAUCGAUGGCAUGACCAUCGAAGCCUUCCCGCGCUGGAUGCAACAAGGCGGCUGGCAACAGUGUAAAUCUCAGCUUGAGCGAGGAGAAUAUCAACCCUCAGCGGUCAGGCGCGUGGAGAUCGAUAAACCCGAUGGCGGUAAACGCAAAUUGGGGAUCCCCACCGUGAUUGAUCGUGUGAUACAACAAGCAAUCGCUCAGAUACUCACGCCGUUGUUUGACCCCUACUUUUCAGUCAAUAGCUUCGGCUUUAGGCCGAACAGAAACGCCCAGCAGGCGGUACUACAAGUCAGGAAUAUCAUCAAACAGAAGCGCAAAUUUGCCGUUGAUGUUGAUCUGUCCAAGUUCUUUGACCGCGUCAACCACGAUCUGUUGAUGACUCAGUUAAGGAGUAAGGUGCAGGAUAAGCGUCUGCUAGCGCUUAUUGGCAAAUACCUGCGAGCGGGCGUCAUGGUCAACGACCAAUUUGAAGCAAGCUUCGAAGGUGUACCUCAGGGCGGCCCACUCUCACCCUUAUUAUCAAACAUCAUGCUGGAUAGUUUGGAUAAAGAAUUGGAAAGCCGAGGACAUCACUUCGCCCGCUACGCUGAUGACUUUAUCAUCUUGGUGAAGUCUCAACGGGCGGGAGAACGUGUUCUCAAGAGUAUUACUCAUUAUCUUGGUACGAAGCUAAAACUGAUCGUUAACGAGCAUAAAAGCCAAGUAGUUAAGGUAGGUCAAAGCAAGUUCCUUGGCUUCACCUUUAACCGAGGAAAGAUCCAAUGGCAUGCCAACACGUUGCACGUUUUCAAACAAAAGAUACGACGACUGACGAACCGCAAUUGGGGAGUCAGCAUGAGCUAUCAACUGUUUAAACUGCGGCAAUAUAUGCAAGGUUGGAUCAAUUACUUUGGCAUAGCCAACGCUUAUCAAGGUUGCGUCGAUUUAGACCACUGGAUCCGUCGCCGAGUGCGUAUGUGCUACUGGCGUCAGUGGCGAAAACCACGGACUAAGGUGCAGAACCUACUUAAACGAGGUGUCAGGAUCCAAGCUGCCGUUGCUUGUGGACUCACAAGUAAAGGCCCUUGGCGUAGUUCGAAAACGCCAGGCAUACAGCAAGCGCUGAGUAACGAGUACCUAGAGAAAGCUGGAUUGUAUUCACUAAGAGAUGGAUGGAUUGCAGUUCAUUAUCCUAGCCAAAUAACAGGUUAGGAGUUCUAAAUGAACCGCCCUGUGCGGAGCCGCAUGCAGGGUGGUGUGGGGGCUGGAGGCUAGAUACCUCCGGCUACCCGAUUAGAAAUUUAGUUGCUUAGUUUUGAUGGUUUUUUACUUUCGUUUAACCCUUUAACCGCCUGCUCUAAUGUAAGUUUCAAGAGUGAUGCGUCUCCAGCUUCACUGUGACUUGGAACAACCAGUUUUGCCUUACCAUAUUUGGAUAUUAAUAAUUUAGCGGACUUUGGCCAAGCUUCUAAAUUUGCGUCACCCAAAUUACCUAGACCGUACGGUUUAAUAAAACAACCACCGAAUAAUAUUUUCCUUUCAGGCAGCCAAACUACUAGGUUAUCUGGAGUGUGUCCUGGGCCUGGAUAAAAAACUUCAAUUUUAUUUUUAACUAGCCAAUAGUUAACCCCGCCAAAUGAAUUUUUAGCUUGAACCUUACCGUCUUUUUUAAGCAGCUCAUUAGUUAAUUCAGACGCAUACGUGGGGAUGGAUUGAGAAUUAAGCCACUCUAUUCCGCCCGUGCUGUCACUAUGAAAAUGAGAGGAAAUACUGCCUUUUAUUUUAUAGCCACGUUCCACAAACCAAGUGACUAACUUUUCAGUAUCUUUAGCCGUAAAUGGAGUGUCAAUUAGAUAAGCUUCAGCAUCUACAAGAACAACCAAACCAUGUUUAGGAACAACGCCCCACCCGUUAACUUCUUCAAACGAAGUAUGAACAUAAACGCCUUCAUCAAGUUUUUCAAUUUUUAAAUCUGGCAAAGGCUCUGCUGCGGUAGCAAUGCUACAAAACAAAAAUAUAAAGAAUACAGAUAACUUGCUCAUACUUUCCCUUUUCUAACUUUGUUUUAGGGCGACUGCCCUGCUGCGUAACAUCGUUGCUGCUCCAUAACAUCAAACAUCGACCCACGGCGUAACGCGCUUGCUGCUUGGAUGCCCGAGGCAUAGACUGUACAAAAAAACAGUCAUAACAAGCCAUGAAAACCGCCACUGCGCCGUUACCACCGCUGCGUUCGGUCAAGGUUCUGGACCAGUUGCGUGAGCGCAUACGCUACUUGCAUUACAGCUUACCAACCGAACAGGCUUAUGUCCACUGGGUUCGUGCCUUCAUCCGUUUCCACGGUGUGCGUCACCCGGCAACCUUGGGCAGCAGCGAAGUCGAGGCAUUUCUGUCCUGGCUGGCGAACGAGCGCAAGGUUUCGGUCUCCACGCAUCGUCAGGCAUUGGCGGCCUUGCUGUUCUUCUACGGCAAGGUGCUGUGCACGGAUCUGCCCUGGCUUCAGGAGAUCGGAAGACCUCGGCCGUCGCGGCGCUUGCCGGUGGUGCUGACCCCGGAUGAAGUGGUUCGCAUCCUCGGUUUUCUGGAAGGCGAGCAUCGUUUGUUCGCCCAGCUUCUGUAUGGAACGGGCAUGCGGAUCAGUGAGGGUUUGCAACUGCGGGUCAAGGAUCUGGAUUUCGAUCACGGCACGAUCAUCGUGCGGGAGGGCAAGGGCUCCAAGGAUCGGGCCUUGAUGUUACCCGAGAGCUUGGCACCCAGCCUGCGCGAGCAGCUGUCGCGUGCACGGGCAUGGUGGCUGAAGGACCAGGCCGAGGGCCGCAGCGGCGUUGCGCUUCCCGACGCCCUUGAGCGGAAGUAUCCGCGCGCCGGGCAUUCCUGGCCGUGGUUCUGGGUUUUUGCGCAGCACACGCAUUCGACCGAUCCACGGAGCGGUGUCGUGCGUCGCCAUCACAUGUAUGACCAGACCUUUCAGCGCGCCUUCAAACGUGCCGUAGAACAAGCAGGCAUCACGAAGCCCGCCACACCGCACACCCUCCGCCACUCGUUCGCGACGGCCUUGCUCCGCAGCGGUUACGACAUUCGAACCGUGCAGGAUCUGCUCGGCCAUUCCGACGUCUCUACGACGAUGAUUUACACGCAUGUGCUGAAAGUUGGCGGUGCCGGAGUGCGCUCACCGCUUGAUGCGCUGCCGCCCCUCACUAGUGAGAGGUAGGGCAGCGCAAGUCAAUCCUGGCGGAUUCACUACCCCUGCGCGAAGGCCAUCGGUGCCGCAUCGAACGGCCGGUUGCGGAAAGUCCUCCCUGCGUCCGCUGAUGGCCGGCAGCAGCCCGUCGUUGCCUGAUGGAUCCAACCCCUCCGCUGCUAUAGUGCAGUCGGCUUCUGACGUUCAGUGCAGCCGUCUUCUGAAAACGACACCAUGUGCAAACGAUGUCAGAAUAGAGUUAAAUUUCCUAUUGAUUGACAUAUUCCGUCAAAGGUAAUAGAUUUCAUCCUGACACUUUUGCCUUUGGAGGCAUCUUGCAAGGUCAACGCAUCGGCUAUGUCCGCGUCAGCAGCUUCGACCAGAACCCGGAACGGCAAUUGGAGGGUGUUCAGGUGGCGCGGGUGUUCACCGACAAGGCUUCUGGCAAGGACACCCAGCGUCCCGAGCUGGAAAGGCUGCUGGCCUUCGUCCGCGAGGGCGACACCGUGGUGGUGCAUAGCAUGGACAGGCUGGCACGCAACCUUGAUGACCUGCGCCGCAUCGUCCAAGGGCUGACACAACGGGGCGUGCGCAUGGAGUUCGUCAAAGAAGGGCUGAAGUUCACCGGCGAGGACUCACCGAUGGCCAAUCUGAUGCUGUCGGUCAUGGGAGCCUUCGCUGAGUUCGAGCGCGCCCUGAUCCGCGAACGUCAGCGCGAGGGAAUCGUGCUGGCCAAGCAGCGCGGUGCCUACCGGGGACGAAAGAAAUCGCUGAACAGCGAACAAAUUGCCGAGUUGAAACGGCGAGUUGCGGCAGGCGACCAAAAAACCUUGGUGGCCCGUGACUUCGGCAUCAGCCGCGAAACCUUGUACCAGUACCUGCGGGAAGACUGACCAUGCCACGCCGCUCAAUCCUGUCCGCCACCGAGCGCGAAAGCCUGCUGGCACUGCCAGAUGCCAAAGACGAACUGAUACGGCACUACACGUUCAACGAAACCGACCUGUCGGUGAUCCGUCAGCGUCGCGGCGCCGCGAAUCGAUUGGGCUUCGCUGUGCAGCUUUGCUACUUGCGAUUCCCUGGCACCUUUUUGGGCGUCGAUGAGCCUCCGUUUCCGCCCCUGUUGCGCAUGGUGGCCGCGCAACUCAAGAUGCCAGUGGAAAGUUGGAGCGAGUACGGCCAGCGCGAACAGACACGGCGGGAGCACUUGGUCGAGCUGCAAACGGUUUUUGGGUUCAAGCCCUUCACCAUGAGCCACUAUCGGCAAGCCGUGCAUACAUUGACCGAGCUGGCCUUGCAGACCGACAAAGGCAUCGUGCUGGCGAGCGCACUUGUCGAGAAUCUGCGGCGGCAGAGCAUUAUCCUGCCCGCCAUGAAUGCCAUCGAGCGCGCAAGCGCCGAGGCCAUCACCCGUGCCAACCGACGCAUUUACGCGGCGCUGACCGAUUCUUUGUUAUCACCCCACCGUCAGCGCCUGGACGAACUUCUCAAGCGCAAGGACGGCAGUAAAGUGACGUGGCUGGCAUGGCUGCGCCAGUCGCCUGCCAAACCGAACUCUCGCCACAUGCUCGAACAUAUUGAGCGCCUGAAAUCCUGGCAAGCACUUGAUCUGCCCGCAGGCAUCGAGCGGCAGGUUCACCAGAACCGCCUGCUCAAAAUCGCUCGUGAAGGUGGCCAGAUGACGCCUGCUGAUCUGGCAAAGUUCGAGGUGCAACGACGCUAUGCCACGCUGGUAGCGCUGGCCAUCGAAGGCAUGGCCACCGUCACCGAUGAAAUCAUCGACCUUCACGAUCGCAUCAUCGGCAAGCUGUUCAACGCGGCCAAGAACAAGCAUCAGCAGCAGUUCCAGGCUUCCGGCAAGGCGAUCAACGACAAGGUGCGGAUGUAUGGGCGCAUCGGUCAAGCGUUGAUUGAGGCCAAGCAAAGCGGCAGCGAUCCGUUCGCCGCCAUCGAGGCCGUUAUGCCCUGGGACACCUUCGCCGCCAGCGUCACCGAAGCGCAAACAUUGGCGCGGCCUGCCGACUUUGAUUUCCUGCAUCGCAUCGGCGAGAGCUACGCCACCCUGCGCCGCUAUGCACCGGAAUUCCUUGCCGUGCUCAAGCUGCGGGCCGCGCCCGCCGCCAAAAACGUGCUUGAUGCCAUUGAGGUGCUGCGCGGCAUGAACACCGACAACGCCCGCAAGCUGCCAGCCGAUGCACCGACCGGCUUCAUCAAGCCGCGCUGGCAGAAACUGGUGAUGACCGACGCCGGCAUCGACCGGCGCUACUACGAACUGUGCGCGCUGUCCGAGUUGAAGAACUCCCUGCGCUCGGGCGACAUCUGGGUGCAGGGUUCACGCCAGUUCAAGGACUUCGAGGACUACCUGGUACCGCCCGAGAAGUUCACCAGCCUCAAGCAGUCCAGCGAAUUGCCGCUGGCCGUGGCCACCGACUGCGAACAAUAUCUGCAUGAGCGGCUGACGCUGCUGGAAGCACAACUUGCCACCGUCAACCGCAUGGCGGCAGCCAACGACCUGCCGGAUGCCAUCAUCACCGAGUCGGGCUUGAAGAUCACGCCGCUGGAUGCGGCGGUGCCCGACACCGCGCAGGCGCUGAUAGACCAGACAGCCAUGGUCCUGCCGCACGUCAAGAUCACCGAACUGCUGCUCGAAGUCGAUGAGUGGACGGGCUUCACCCGGCACUUCACGCACUUGAAAUCGGGCGAUCUGGCCAAGGACAAGAACCUGUUGUUGACCACGAUCCUGGCCGACGCGAUCAACCUGGGCCUGACCAAGAUGGCCGAGUCCUGCCCCGGCACCACCUACGCCAAGCUGUCUUGGCUGCAAGCCUGGCACAUCCGCGAUGAAACCUAUUCGACGGCGCUGGCCGAGCUGGUGAAUGCGCAGUUUCGGCAACCCUUCGCCGGCAACUGGGGUGACGGCACCACGUCAUCGUCGGACGGCCAGAACUUCAGAACCGGCAGCAAAGCAGAAAGCACUGGUCAUAUCAACCCGAAGUAUGGAAGCAGUCCAGGACGGACUUUCUACACCCAUAUCUCCGACCAGUACGCGCCCUUCAGUGCCAAGGUGGUCAACGUGGGCAUUCGUGAUUCAACUUACGUGCUUGAUGGCCUGCUGUACCACGAGUCGGACUUGCGCAUCGAGGAACACUACACCGACACGGCAGGCUUCACCGAUCACGUGUUUGGCUUGAUGCAUUUGCUGGGAUUUCGCUUCGCGCCGCGUAUCCGUGACUUGGGCGAAACCAAGCUAUUCAUCCCCAAGGGCGAUGCCGCCUAUGACGCGCUCAAGCCGAUGAUUAGCAGCGACAGGCUGAACAUCAAGCAAAUACGCGCCCAUUGGGAUGAAAUUCUGCGGCUGGCCACCUCCAUCAAGCAAGGCACGGUAACGGCUUCGCUGAUGCUGCGCAAACUCGGCAGCUACCCGCGCCAGAACGGCUUGGCCGUGGCGUUGCGCGAGCUGGGGCGCAUCGAGCGCACGCUGUUCAUUUUGGAUUGGCUGCAAAGCGUGGAGCUGCGCCGCCGCGUCCAUGCGGGGCUGAAUAAGGGCGAGGCGCGCAACGCGCUGGCCAGGGCGGUCUUCUUCUACCGAUUGGGUGAAAUCCGCGACCGCAGUUUUGAGCAGCAGCGCUACCGGGCCAGCGGCCUCAAUCUGGUGACGGCGGCCAUCGUGUUGUGGAACACGGUAUAUCUGGAGCGUGCCACCAGUGCUUUGCGUGGCAACGGCACGGCGCUGGACGACACAUUGUUGCAAUAUCUGUCGCCGCUGGGGUGGGAGCACAUCAACCUGACCGGCGAUUACCUAUGGCGCAGCAGCGCCAAGGUCGGUGCGGGGAAGUUUAGGCCAUUGCGACCGCUGCCACCGGCUUAGCGUGCUUUAUUUAAUGAGAUGGUCACUCCCUCCUUCCCAGUACUAUGCUGAGGACAGGCUUUCAUUCGGAGAACCAUCAUGGAAAACAUUGCGCUUAUUGGUAUCGAUCUGGGUAAGAACUCUUUCCAUAUUCAUUGUCAGGAUCAUCGUGGGAAGGCCGUUUACCGUAAAAAAUUCACCCGACCAAAGCUAAUCGAAUUUCUGGCGACAUGCCCGGCAACAACCAUCGCGAUGGAAGCCUGUGGCGGUUCUCACUUUAUGGCACGCAAGCUGGCAGAGUUAGGGCAUUUUCCAAAGCUGAUAUCACCGCAAUUUGUCCGCCCAUUCGUUAAAAGCAACAAAAAUGACUUCGUUGAUGCUGAAGCUAUCUGUGAAGCAGCAUCACGUCCAUCUAUGCGUUUCGUGCAGCCCAGAACCGAAUCUCAGCAGGCAAUGCGAGCUCUGCAUCGUGUCCGUGAAUCCCUGGUUCAGGAUAAGGUGAAAACAACUAAUCAGAUGCAUGCUUUUCUGCUGGAAUUUGGUAUCAGCGUUCCGCGAGGUGCUGCCGUUAUUAGUCGACUGAGUACCCUUCUUGAGGACAGUAGUUUGCCUCUUUAUCUCAGCCAGUUACUGCUGAAAUUACAACAGCAUUAUCACUAUCUUGUUGAGCAGAUUAAAGAUCUGGAAUCUCAGUUGAAACGAAAGUUGGACGAAGAUGAGGUUGGACAGCGCUUGCUGAGUAUUCCCUGCGUUGGAACGCUGACUGCCAGUACUAUUUCAACUGAGAUUGGCGACGGGAAGCAGUACGCCAGCAGCCGUGACUUUGCGGCGGCAACAGGGCUGGUACCCCGACAGUACAGCACGGGAGGUCGGACGACAUUGUUAGGGAUUAGCAAGCGGGGCAACAAAAAGAUCCGAACUUUGUUGGUUCAGUGUGCCAGGGUAUUCAUACAAAAACUGGAACACCAGUCUGGCAAGUUGGCCGACUGGGUCAGGGAGUUGUUGUGUCGGAAAAGCAACUUUGUCGUCACCUGUGCUCUGGCAAACAAGCUGGCCAGAAUAGCCUGGGCACUGACGGCGCGACAGCAAACUUACGAAGCAUAAAGGCAGAAAUACACCAGUUUAAACAAUCAUUCAUCUGGUUUUGCGAAUACUAAUAUUGAUGAUACUAACGGCCCACCGGCCUGUUGAGGAACCUGUAAAACGGAAAGGCUCAUUGAAGCCGUAUAUUUUCUGGAGGUUCAUCAGGCGCGGAACUCAUCGAGGCGCGGGAAUAAAAUCCCAUUCAGACGCCGGAUAGAUUCAAGCAAGCCAACUUGUCGUCAAAAUCGGUGUUGCAAAAACGGGAGUGACCAUAGAUUCCGUUUUCUGAGACGACCCCUUUCAGCACAAUCGGAAAAAGAGAAGCGUGAGAACAGCCGGGUAUUCACAUUCAGAGAGACCGGAUUUCUGAAAAUUUAUCCAUGGUUCGUUUUUUAUCGAUACGUGCCUGCCGCCACGCCUGAAAGUCCGGGCGUGUUUCAGCCAUCCUGACGACCUCGACAGAGAAAACCUUAUAUUUGCCCUGCUGCUGGGGCGAGCCAAGCCAGCGGCGAAUGGCGGCGUCUGUCCACAGACAGGAGUUCUUAAGCCUGUAGACGGUGAUCCAUUUUUCUGACCAUGCAUCAAAUCUCUGGCAACGCAGCUGAUACCGUCGCUCUUCUUCCCGUCUUUUCCAGUCGCUGUCUGCAGCAAACUUUCGGUGACCAACAAAAAUCCCCUGGACUUUGCCCAUGUCCUGCCUCCCCCGGAAUGUUGUCAUUAUCAACGGUAUCAGGUCAGAGCCGUAACGGCCAGCAGUGCCAGGCAGAAUACACCGGACGGCAUCUUACCCGGAGAGGUGUCUACUGUAUGCGACAAAGUGGUCAACCCCGGAGAUGGCCAUCUCCACAAUUUCUGAAUGUCAGCAUGACCAUCAGUGAUAAUACAGCAAACGUAAGACAACAUACCUCCCGCCCUGCAAAGCAUUUGCUCCGCAGCGCCACGCUCUGCGUGGGUCACGACUGUGCACAUUAUCGACAUAUUCUUUUUUUCUUUUUUUUUAUUUUUUCUCUUUUUUUCACCCGCGCGGGGAGGGCGGCCUGGCACCGUAAAGGGCCUAAGGCCUAGAGGCAUGUUGUCUUACGAUUGGGUGCGGUUGUCGGCCACUCCCUUUUCGAUGAUUGUUUCGCCUGAACUCACGCUUUAACAUCCAUCGCUGGUGGCCCGCCGUCACGGCGAAAUUUCUAACUGAGCGAGGUUUGUGUGAGCAACAGAGGCAGAGAAGACAGCGUUACCGAUGUGUUUAAAUCUCAGGUGCGGAAUGCAUGCCGUGAACACGGAAUGAGUGAUCUCAUUGCCUCACUGAACGGCCGCGACCGGGAUUUUAAUGCCGAUACCCUGUUCGGAGUAUGCGACCGGUUCUUCCUGGUCGAGAUGAAAUCGUACAACCGUAAUGUUCGUGAUGAGGCCAAAAAACCUGCUGUCUGCCUUCUCUGCAAUGGAUUACAGAGAAACUCUCAGGUCCGUCGCUGGCACAAAGCAUGUCACUUCAUCAUGUGGGGGCGUGUUGUUAAGGAUUCGCUUGAAACCCGUUUCACCAUCUACCAGGACAGUGUAUGUCGGGAUUCUGUCCUUCCGAACUGCAGUGGUCUCGGGGAGCCUCCUGAACCAACCAUCUAUCGGGGGGAAGACCUGGCAAGGGGAGCAGCUUUAGGUACAGCAGGCUUAUCAAAACCAGAUUUUUUCCAUUACCUGUGGUGGCUGUUAAAUGGCAGGGCUGUAGAUGUAGACGAAUUUAAAAUCGCGCCCGGUAGCAGGUUAGGUUUCAGUUUGUUUGGUACAUCGGAUACAACUGGUUCGGUAAUCAGUAAAACGUUCAGCACUUACGGUGAACUUGAAAUGUGGGCUGACGAGGCAUUAAGACGAUUACUCAGCACCAGGAGAUAACCAUCUGAAGAUAUUGCGCCGGUGUGAUCCACGUUUUUGCUGUCGGAUACAGUAGACCUUAUCCGUGCUUCAGCCAGCUCACGCGAUUUAGCGUCAGAUUCAUUAAACCCGGGUCUGCGGUACCACCGGUUAUUUUGCGUCUGAUGCCACAACAGCGUCUCCUUUGGUCCUGGACAUUAUACCUGCUUCACCCUCCCCCCCAUUUUCAGUCAGCAUGAUAUCUGCAGACUGUACUUCUCUACCGGCGAUGCGUGGUUUAAACAUUUCUGCGAUCCCCUGAUUAUUUUGGAGUUAUCCACCGGAUAGAAUAAUUAAUUAAGAUUAAUGAGGUUUAUACAAAGAACAACAAAGGAUAAAAAAGAUUAGCGAUCGGCUUAGCCCUUUAUUCAUGCGGCUUUCAGGGGUUCUGUAUCAUCGCUGGCGGGUAGCUCAUCAACGCUGGAGGGCAAAUGCUCAACGCUGGAGGGUCAGUAAUCAACGCUGGCGGGUUGUUUAUCAACGCUGGCGGGUUGUAACUAUCAACGCUAGCGGGUAUUCUCCAUAAGUAUCCACAAGCGGGGCUUUUCUCACA
rnacentral:autocatalytically_spliced_intron from 1 species